rnacentral:lncRNA from 1 species
ACUUGGGUGUAUAAUAAUACUAUGCAAUACGAUAAAGCAAGGAAGCAUCACUUUAGCUCACUUUGGGUGAGAACAGAACUUACAGGAUUGCUAGGCUGAAUUCUGCUUCCGGUUCGGCAAAAUGGAUGAAAGCAUGAGUUUUGUUCCGAUGGAUGGAAUGGUCCUGAGCGUGUACGUUGCCUUUCCUUGAUCCUGGACUUAGUGAUCAGCAUGAGGGCAAGAGUCGUGAGUUGGAGGGAGCCGAUAACUAAUGUCGCUUCUGUAACUUCCAUUUCUAGAGAUGAUCUUUCAAAUUCGGUGCUUCUUUCUCAACCUGACCUUUAAAAUUGUAAAUUGAAGUAAUGAUGAUUUUACAAGCUCCGGUGAACUUACAUCAAAUUCUUUUCAUCGUCUCUUUUCGAUUUUUCGAAGAUUUCGUGAUCAGUCUUUUCACAUGUGGGCGCAAAUUGAAGUUUGACAGUUUCUUCUCAUGUGAAGGGCUUUCGGAAUCUUCUAAUUUUUUUUUUCAUAUUGACUGGAUGUUGAUAUGCAUGACAAAGCAAAUACGCUAGUGUCUUUGCGUCGCUGCGGCAUGACUCUUCCGGAGGCUCUCUCUCUCGACACAGCAUCCGAGCCUCCAACAGUGGCUGUUCGUCUUAGAAUAUUAGCAAUGGCUCGGCACUCUUGAACUCGCUCUCGCCACCGGAUAGGGCUAGCCAAUUCUCUCUCUCUCUCUCUCUCUCUCUUCCUUGCAAGAGCUCAAUACCUCCUCCAAAGUGCAACCUACGGCAAUGGAAAUUCGGGAGACGACAAGAGGAUGGGAGAAAACAAAAGCGCAACGUCUCGGAGAUGGAACGUCCCGGCAAUUGUGACUGUUGAUCAAGGAAACUCCGUGGUCAAGUUUCGCUGUCGUGGCAGCAAGGUGACUGGUAUCUUCGAAUCGGUAGCCACACUGUUUGUGCUUCAGUCGGUGCUGGAAGCAACAAUCGGUAGAGAACUCAAUCUCGAUGAAUCGCUAGUGGGUGCUCCGUUCACGGUUGGACUCUCUCUAGAUUUUCUCUGACUAGAUAUUUUUUUGCAUCUUCUCUCUCCUUCUCUCUCUCGCUGGCUCGGAUUCCUUGAUUCAUCUCCUUUGCGCGGCUCGGACUCUCUCUAGAAUACGUUCUGUUGACUCUUGCUUCGUUCUGUUCCGCUCCCACUUCAUCGCCAUCUUUCAAAUUCCAUCGUUUUGCCUAUCCACGCCGCGCAAAGGGGAUAUGGGGUGGUGUGUUCACUGUUUACAAGAGCUUUAUCCAAUUGCCAAGGCUAAGGUCGGAUGGAUCAUCGUCAUCUGGAUACAAUCCGCUGAUUCGAAGGAUGAGAUUCUUCGAGUUUCGCUCUCGGCACUCUCGCCUGUCCGGUGUCGCUUUAGCAACAGCGGCAGCCAAGGCCAAUCUGAGUCGUUGUCAUCAUCUGAGACGAUAUGCCAAGCGUGACGAUUGGCAACGGCCAGCAUGAAGAGAAAACAACGAAGAAUGAAAAGGCACGAAGUGAAGGUGAAGCUGGUGGGGGCUGCUGGAUGAGAAGGAAGUAAAGUGUUAAAAUUUCUUUAAAAAAAUAAAGGAAAAAGAAAAGGAAAAAAAGAGACAAAAGGAAAAUAUAGAGAGCCCACGAGAAGUCGGUCAAAAGGAAGACUUGUCCAAAAGACGUAAUUCAUCGUUCCAUCGAACAUAGUGCAAUUGGCGGCAAUGGGAAUUCGGAAGACGGUGAGAGAAUUGGAGAAACAAGAGAUGAAACGAUAUCAACAGAUGAAGUCGGAACGUAUGGAAAUCAAUUCUAGAGUCGAAUCAGAGAUGGAAAUCAUCAUCCCCCGAAUGUCGAUUUGAUAGAGAUCAUCAUCCCCCGAAUGUCAGCGAGGAACCGGCUGUCCGUGGAUUAUUUCUUAUGGCACGAACUUCCUUCCUCUGCUUUUUGUUACAGAAUCGUCUCACUCUCUGUUUCUCUAUUGCGCAAUUCAACAAACAGGUUCUGCUCAGAGGAUGCAGCACAUUCAACGACCAGGGUCAAGUUCUUCACCAUGCAUCGUUUUCUCUGUCCAUCUUCAUUUUUCACCAAGUCUUUCUCCAUCGGGAUCCUUUCCUAUCCGAUUGAACUUCCGAGUCCAAUUCCGAUUCGUUCCAGUAUACGUUCUGUCGAUUCUUGCUUCCUUCUGUUCUCUUCCACUUCAUCGCCGCCUUUCGGAUUCCAAAUGCAGUCGCUCCCAUCCUUCGUUUCACCCUCCUACGCCGCGCAUGAAGGGGAUGUCGGGCUAGUGUGUAGGAUCCGCCAAUUCGAAGGAUGAAAUCUUCGAGUUCACUCUCGGGCCUCCCACCAGUCCGAGAAGCCCGUCAAAAGGAAGACUUGCACAAAAGAUGGAAUUCCUUGAGAAGAAGAUUCAUCCCAUAACUCAGCCAUCAUUUUCUUUUUCUUUUCCUUGAAAAAGGCAUCACAAACUCCAAACGACGCCAUCAACGACGCCAUUGCAGCAUUUCUUGGCUUCAGGUACCUUUAUCGGAUCUCUCCCUCCAUCUCGAUGCGCUCCCCCUCUCAGUGAGUUCCGAGUUGAUCCACCAUCACCCUCACUGUCUACUACUCCCUUGAAACCGAGUUGCACUCGCCUCGUGAUUGAUUCCAUCGGCGGCCGUCUAGAAACUUCGGUGAUCUUCUAUGUUUUUUUUUUUUUUUUUUCUUUCUUCCAGUUUGAAUCGCGUUUUCGUUUUGUGGAUUCUUACUUGUUUUGACAGAGGUUUGAAUCUAGUGGCCUCGAGCGAUGUUUAAUGCUCGUGUCGUUUUGCUCAUCAAAGGAGUUCAUGUCGGAUUUUUUUUUUUCUUUUUUCCCUGUUUCCAAUCAUGAAUCCGAGACCACUUGGAAACGAGCGAAAAUUGAACUGAAAACGUCGUGAGAAAUCGCUGCAGCGAGCGAGACUUGUGCGGAGUUAAGCUCGGUCUAACAGUGGUUAGGUUUUCCUCUAUUUUUUGGUAUUCUCUAGUCGCUUCUGCAUUCAGCUGUGGUGCGAGGGUGACUCGCCAGCCAUUCUUGAUCGGUCGCUUCAGUUAACACUUUCUCUCUGUAUAGAUUUCCGAGCGGCUUGGGACUUGGAGAUGGGAGUAGCACCGAUGAGUUAUGACAUGGAAGAGGGGACUCUGGAGGUUGGCAUGGGUAAGCUUUUCUCUGCUUUUUGAUUUCUUUUUUUUUUGAGCUACGGACAAUAGAAAUCUGCUGGGAUGCUUGAAUCUCGUAAUUAAGCUUUGAUUAUACUGUGGGGAGUAGCUUUAUCUCCUUGUUUGUGGCUUAUUGUGUCUUUCGCCAUCUAAAUUUCAGCGUGCUUGGAAUCAGAACUUUAAUCAUGGGGUAUUUUUGUCGAGGCUUUUCCAUGUAGCUUUCUCGUCUCUGAAAAGUUUAUGUUGCCCCUGUUAUGACCACGGUUAAGACACUUAUUACCUAGAUCUACACAAUGUCUAUCAUUUCACAUGUAUUGGUCCAGAGGUGAGGAAUUAGUCAGCUCUCGUCCAAGUCAAAUUUUUAGCAUGCCUUAGUUGCUGGGCCUUAGUUAUCGGCUGUUCAGACAAUUGCUUCGCUGCUUGCAAAGUAUAGGACCGUCUCUGGUGGAGCUGGGCCAUUGGUUAUACCCGACAUAGUCGAGGAAAAUUUCACUGGUUAUGAUUUUAAGAGGUUCAACUGACAUGUUCGAUUAAUUUUAUUGCAUAUCAGGGACCAAAGUAUCAACAGAUAGUAAAUAUUCGCUUGGGAGAUGGAACGACUAGAUUUGGGAAAGUCCUUGAAGUUGAUGGAGAGAAAGCUAUUGUGUAGGUUCAGUAUAAGCAGCCAGCCUCUUCUUUGUUCCUUUAGUUCUCUUGAUACUCUGUAUUUUUUGGUUGGGCUGCAUUAGUUGGGUCACUUUUGUGUGCAAUACUUUUCAGCUAAUGACAUAGUGAAAUCUCUAUCAUUCAUUGCAAGCAUAAGAAAAAGCAAAACAUGAAGAAUAUUUCCUUGGGUAUAUGUGAUGAGAUGUGAGAAAAUCAUAUGAAAUAAUAAUUCAAAAAAUUGUAAUUCUUGAGAAGAACAAUGUUAGGAAUCUAAUCAACAUUUGUGUAGGCAAUUAUAGAUCCCCUCCGCUCUUGAGUGAUGGAAAUCUAGUCUCAGUAUGGGUUAUUUUGGCUUUGAAAAAGACUAGUAAUCUUUCCUAUGUCUCUUAUUGUUCUCAAACUUUCAUCGGUUAUGUUAUUCACUAGUUUUUGUGUCAAUAAAAUUUAGAUAUGAGUAUUCUACUCAUGCUUGUGUGACUAGGGGUCAUUCAUCUUAGAUUUCCAGUAUGUAAAGCUUUCUGGUCAUUCGUGUUUCACUUCCUUGUCACUAGGUUUUUGAAGGGACUUCUGGGAUUGAUAAUAAAUACACCACUAUGCAAUUCACUAGCGAUGAAAGUUGUUGUGCAAGUUCAGUUUAAGCUACUAGCCUCUUCUUUGUUCCUUUAGCUCUCUUGAUAUUGCAUUUUUUUUUUCCAGUUGGACUACAUUAGUUAGGUCACUUUGUGUGCAAUAAUUUUUAGCUAAUGACCUAAUGAAAUCUCUAUCGUUCAUUGCAAGCAUCAGAAAAAACAGAACAUAAAGAAUAUUUUUUUGGGUAUAUGUGAUGAAAUGUGAGAAAAGCACAUGGGAUAAUAAUUCAAAAAAUUGUGAUUCUUGAGGAGAACAAUGUUAAGAGUCUAGUCAGCAUUCCAUUUAGCCCAUUAUAGAUCCUCUCCACUCUCGAGUGAUGGAAGUCCAGUCACAGUGUGGGUUAUUUUGGCUCUAAAAAAGGCUAAUAAUCUUUCCUAUAUGUCUCUUAUUGUUCUCAAACUUUUGUUGGUUACGUUAUUCACUAUUUUUUCUAUCAAUAAAAUUUAGAUAUGAGUAUUCUAGUCAUGCUUGUUUGACUGGGGGUCAUUCAUCUUAGAUUUCCAGUAUGUAAAGCUUUAUGGUCAUCCAUGUUUCACUCCCUUGUCGCUAGGUUUCUGAAGGGACUUUUGGGAUUGAGAACAAAUACACCACUGUACAAUUCAUUGCCGAUGUAAUUAUGCAUGUUGUUUGUUUUUGUUUUCCUAAUAAAACAAUGUUUCAUCAUCCUGUAGAGAGAAAGAGUUAUAUUUCUUUUUCCGUAUAAUACUGCUACAUGUUGGCAGCAAGAUUUCACUUGUAGCAUGAUAAAUAAUUUGGGAUAUGUCAUGGCCUUGGCUACAUAAAAGGCUUUCAAAAGUGCUUUGUUUUUCUGCCUUCACAAAUCCCUUCAGUUGUAUUAGCAUUUACUCUCUUUGAUCAUGGAUAAAUAAAAUAACCUUUAGAAAUUUAUUGUGGAGUUAUCACACCAUUUGUCCUUUCCAUUGACUAUGUAGGUAGAUUUAAUCAAAAAUACAGUCUAUCUGCUUGCUAUCUAUGGCUGCCGUCGAGCCACCACCAUGCUCCUACGGCCCUAUCCCUCAUAGACGUCCUUGGCAUGGAGCCCCAUUUGAGGUUCCUAAUCCUUGUAGGAAUAGCAUUACUUUUAUUGAUACAUGUGAUUGGAUGAGAUAAUCGCUUUGCCAUGCCUUCUUAUGUCACGAUGAGCCAUUUUCAUGCUAUUAUUUCACGUUGAGGCUUUGCUUGUUGAGUAUCCUUCUCGAAUUCGACUCAAUCUCGAAUCAUUCGUCUCUUAUUGUUUUCGUUGCUCAUAUUGAUUAGUUACAAAUUCUAUUUAUAUCUAGAUGUCUAGUCUAAAAAAAGAAAGAUUAACCUACUUAAAGACAGUGCCUCGUGACCUGGUCGGUCGGCCAUUGUUGGAGUGUCGGCGUUGAUAUAGGCGGUCAUUCAUUGGUAAGUUGCCAGCAAAAGAAUCUUUACCGUCCCGGCUUCUCUGGUGGUCUUUGCCGCGAAAGAUGGGCCUGCCACUAACAAUUUUGUUUGGGCCUAGGCCUCCCAUUAACAUCUUCAGUGAGCAUGUUACAAUUCUCAAGCGAAGCGAAGUUUGUCAAACUGACCCAUCAAGAAAGAAAGGAAGUGGUCAAAGGUUGGGCUGGUUCAGAGGAACCCUAACUCGAAACCAAUCGCCAUUAUACAAGUCUUGUCACGCACCAUGAACUACUUCUCUGAACUCCAUCUUCUUCACGAGAAUGAGCCGAAAUAUGUUUACUUCUCUCAAUCCCAAUUGUCGAUUACCUAUGCUAAUGCAACUAUUCUGUCAUUAAAUUAGUAAUAAGGCUCGAGGACCCUGUUUCUGAAGAAGGACCAAUCAAAUACGCCAGGACAAAAAUAUGUUUUUCAUUGCUACAAGCCUCUUCCGGCUUUUGUGCUGUGAUUUAGAGGCUGUGUUACGUGGAUCAGUCUGGUGAAAUCGUGGAGGUCGCCUUCGCGAUGCAUGUUCAUGUUCCCUUUCUGCUGCCUUGCGAACUUGGUCCGCGCAGAGUUUGGUUUGAAGUAGACAAGCUCCUCGAGGCGCAUGCCUGUGAGCACGAUUGGCUUAUUCCAAACUGAGAUGCGUGCGUGACUCAGAGUCCAAGCCUUCUCGUGGAUGAUCCAGAUUCUACGCAGACCGAGUAGUUGUCUAACUAACGUACGACAUCUGCCGUCUUCGGAAUUAACGUUGGGAAUCCCAUCCAGCAAUGUGCAUUCUAUAGAGUUUGAGCUUCGUGGAUUUCUUCGCCAAUCUCACGUAUGAUGACGUUUGCUUAAAGACUUUUUUUUUUUUACUCUUUUGAACAAUAUUAUAUGUUUGUUAUUUUAUUUUCACUCAAGGACUCCAAGAGACAAAGAUCUACACUUUAGGAAUCCUCAGAACAUGAGGUUUUGCAUUUUGUCAAGUAACUUCAGCAGUUUGUCUCGACAUUUUCCGUGCUAAGCUAGUUUCACGUUCAAUAUGGAAUCCAUCUAGAAUUUAAUAAUCCCUCCUACUAUAUAUGGGAAUAUCUUAGAGUUGCAUUGUACUAGAUGGUCAAUGUGGUGGGUGAUACGAAAAGUGAUAGGUAUAAACAACUAGUCUACCGAAUUAGUGUGCAAAUGAGAUUUUUCUAUAUGUCGGGUAAAUAUCAUAUCGAGUUAUUUUGUAUAAUCAAGUCACUAAACUUUAAUUUAAUUUCAAUUGCUCGAUGCACUAACGCUAUUUUCUUUUCCCAUAUGCAAUCAAUGCAUUAUGAAGACUUUUUCGAACAAUUUUUCAAGGCAAUAUUGACAUGGUAGUCUUAUAUGUCUAAUUGGAGAUGUCGUAAUGAUCAUAGGAUGCCACACGAGUCUCAAUUAAGAAAAAGGCAAAAACAAAAAAGAGAGAGAGGAUUACAUGGCCCUUGUGUAACGAGGAGAGGUUCUCAAGACAUAAUUGGAUCGGCAAGAAGCUAAAGUGAUGAUGAGUAUCUAAAUCAUUUUUUAUCCCCAUUGGAUUUUCUAAAAAUCUAUAUAAUCAAGAAUGUAAUGACUUUUCAAUUCUAUUUUUCCUCACAAUUUGAUAAGACUCAAUAAGCAAUUGUAGAAUCAUGAAAAAUCUAGUUGCCAUAAAUGAACCAAACUAACCCAACGGUAAUUUCAUUACAUACUUUUACGCUCAAAAGCGUUGUUUUACUUGCUGAAAUAAUCAUUAUUUACCGAAGCUUGCCCCCACUAAGAAAAAUUUCUAGAUACAUUCAUGGAUUGGCCAUAAUUUGGUUGGAUUUCGAUUAGUUACAAAUUCUGGAGCCCAUUCACCAAUUGAAAUAAAAAAAUUCAAUGAUCCAAUUGCAAAAAUGUGCUAUAUAAUUCAGUCAUCGCUACUGAUUUCUCAUCUAUCAUUCCCUAUAACAAAUUUGAAUGCCUAGCCUCACCCGAUCAAACAUCCACAAAAUUCCCAUCAAUCCAUCUCCUUUUUCCCUUCAACCGAGCGGGCCACUCGUAACCGCAAUCUCCGCAAUGAAAAGCUGCUGAAUGGCGUUAUGCGAUCUUUUGAGGCCAUUUUGGCUCGGUCUUUGAAGGUUGAGCUGAAACCUUUCGGAAAUAAAUAUCUGAAAUCAUUUGAUAUAGAACUGCAAGGUCUGCUUCUACUUUGGAAUCGUAGGUAACUGUUAGUUUUUGAAUUUUUUCGCCGGAGAGAUGAGCUACUCAUCUAUCCAUCUUUAACUAUGGUAGUUUCUACUACAGGCAAAGGGAAGAGACUAGACUGAUGAGCUACAUCUAUCCAUCUUUAACUAUGGUAGUUGUUGUUGUUAUUAUUAUUAUUGUAAGUGGAACCAAGAGUUAAUCAUGUGCAAGUGUCAUGCAUGAGCAUGUCAUGUGAAAUCCAGGCGGGCCAAACAACCUCAGUGUUAGCUUUAAUUUCUCCUACUAUUGGGGAUGCUCUUGUUAUAAGAGAAAAUAGAAUAAACGACAGCGUAAAAUGGUUUCUUUUUUCUUUUCUUUUCUUUUGGGUGUUUCGAGAAAUUACUCGAAAAAGCUCUAUCUUUUAACUGGGGGUUGAAAGUCUGUUUUUUUAACUUGUGUGCAAUCACAGAUUUUCUAAUAGAACCGAGAUAUAGGAUGCGGUUGCUUCUCAAAGGGGCUUCUCAAAGGAGUUGUAGCACUUCUUGGUGUUCUCAUUUUGACAUCUAUCAAGCUAAAGAAGAACGUGAGGAAUGGAGAUUCGCUAAUUUGAUACAAUGCAAGAAGUGAAGCGACACUAAAAAUUGAAGAGUAACCAUUCAGCAAGUCCAAAAUAUUUAAGCACGCAACAUUGCAGCUGUAUCAACACAGCAGAAGACGGCAUUCUGAUACAGCCAAAAUAGGAUGAGAAAACAAAAUGAAUCCGUCCACAGCAGUUCAUGCAACAUAAAAGAGACAUUGAUCAGAAAUAGGGAUACAAACAUAAUCACAGAAACUAAUCAUGAUGAAGGAGUUUAAAAUGAUAUAGAAAGAAACGAAAACUGUAGGUACAAGUAUCUACUGUUCAUGCCUAUUGAUUUAGUAAAUUUUAAUUUUGUCGCAACACAAGGGCCAUAUAUGCUAGUACUUCAUUCUCUCUUUAUUUGGUUCUUGUAUGUGUGGAUGGCUGCUUGUAUUGGUGCCUUUUUCUUUGCAUAGACGAAAGUGAUACACACUUACUUCCAUUAGCUCCCACUUGAAGUAUCCUUCCCCCUCCGCACACCCGCCCCAUUCUCUGCUUCAUGUUUCUUUCAAUUUAUAUCAGUUUCUCAAUUAAGAGUAUUUGAAAUUGAGCAAGAAGAGACCUGGAAGCAUGAAGGAAAUGAUAGCGCUUGGGGUGGGCUCUUUUGAUGAUAUUUUCUCUAAUCCAUGUCAUACCCACAUUGUUAGUACACUCGGUACUUCCUUAUGAAGCAAUCAAAAACUGCAUAUAAAAGAGACAUCCUCAUUAAAGAAGGAAGCACAAAGGCACUUCAAGGCCAGGAUUGUCAGUGCCUGCAAAGCAGAAGGAAGAGAACUAAGAAGAUAUAUCUAGGAAAUGCUGCGAUAUUCAAUGAGGUAAAACCAACAUGGCUGAGAAGCUCACCCAGAAUGCAAACCUAGAACAUCUGAAAUGCCAUGAAUGAUAUGUAACCAAGCCUUCAUAAAAUGUAGCGUUCAGCACAAAAGCCAUUUCUGGAAAUGAGAGACUUUGCUCCAAGGAUUGGAAUUGCAUAGAAAACUGCUUUUUCAAACAUGCCUUGGAUGGACAGCAAAGCUGAAUGAUUACCUUAGCUUAGUAGAACAUGCUCCUAUCAUUUGAUUCCAAUCAAAGUGAUCAAAACACAUUUAUAACUUCCACAAUGCCAUGUUAGGAGGGUAAAAACUCAUGUAUGCACAGGAGUUAGAUGCCCAACGCAUACACUUAAAAUGUUUAGUGGACCGGUGAACCUCCCUCUCUAUCAUGAUUCCAAUCCGACUACAUCAGCAGUUGAACACACAUAAAUAUAUAAGUAAAUGACAUUGUAUGAAACAAACUCAUGGUUGAUGUGAUUCAUGUAGAACCAAAACAUGCCCUCCAAGUUCUCUAUCUGUUCCUGUUUGUAAUGCCUAGCAUUGCAAUUAUUAAAAUGGUGACUACAUUCCCACCAAAUACCACAACUGUGGACAUCAUUAAGGAGAAGCAAAUCCAAGAAAUGUGAAACUACCAUACUAUUCCAUUUAUACCAAAAAGACAAUGUAUCAGAUUUAAAGGAUAUAUUACUAAGGAACUCAGACAAUUUAUUUCCAUCCUGCACUUGAAAAACCACAAACAGAGAUGCUCAAUCAAAAUCCCCUAAAACAACAGAUGCUCCAUUAACUAGUUAACGAACGAAUGAAACUAUGUAAACAUUAAUCAUCAGAUUACUUAUUUCCACAAAGAUUGGACCCAAAAUGGGGCAUAGGGACGAGAGAGAAGUGUGCAGUGAAAGCUUGUUUAAGUGGAGUCCUUUGAUCAUUACUUUUCUCUACAGUUGUAGUGGAACUUAGGCACUUGUUGAGAUAUAUCAAAACCGGUCAGUGGGAAGGACAACUCAAUGAUCCCCAAGUUAAACUAGAAAGGGCUUAACUAGAAACUCGAAAAGCAAAACCAUCACAUGAUUCGUUCUAAAGCUAGCUCCAAAAAAAGUGAUUGCAUCACUGAACAUUUCUAAAUAUACAAAAUUUACAUAUCGAGAACUGAUGAUGAAUAUAUGUAGCUAGAAGCCUAGAUCAAGACAAUGAGACACGAGCUGGUUAAAGGCUAGAAAGUGAAAACACUAUGAGAUUUCAUUUCCACUAUGGACACGAUUCCUUCCUUGGUGGGUAGUAGAAGAAUUCAAGAGUUACAGAUACCACGUCAAGUAGAAUUAAAUAAUCCAGCCCUAGACAUAAGAUCAGGAGCCACUAUGGUUCACGUGUGAAGCCACUGGAACGAGCUAAAGACCGAUUCUCAUCCACCUGAUCUGAUCUGACACUUCGGUUUCGCAGCAACCCUGAUGUCGAAUCCUGCGGCAACAACAUCAUCACCAUUGAAUCUAGCAUCGAUUAAAAGUGAAUCGACAAGUGUCAAAUUCCAAGACCUCAACUUCGCAUCAGAAGCGGCUUAAGAAAACUUACGGGAGGAGAAGGAGGGGGGAGAAGCCGUGUGGUGAAAAGAGGAGGAACGGUCUGCCGUUGGGACUGAGGUGUCGUUGCCGGGGUGGCUCCCUAUCCUCGGGUGUGUCAGAGAUCGGACUUCCCAACGGCGGCAACGGUGGUGUCGAGGGCACCGGCGAUCGCUUGGCGCGAGAGGAAGGAGAUGAAGCGAUGAAGGUGUUCCCGAGAAUUGCAAUGGAAGGGACUAGAAAACCGUGAAAUUGGAAAGGGAAACCUGAUCCCGAUUCGUUGGGGAAUUUUCUUUAUUUUUUGGCCAAUCACAAAUUUCGGAAAAAAUUGCCUCAAUUUAAAUCGCUGAAAAAUGUGGUGUAAAUAUUUGACCUGGCCAGUGAGAUCAAAUUUUUAUUUAAUACUGAUUAGGCAAUUUCAUAUUCUUAUUUGGCUGGCCAGUGAGAAUGUGACAGGAGAGAGGAGAGAGAAAUGAAGGAGUUUCCAAGUAGGAUGACGGGAGGGAACAAAAAACGUGAAAUUGGAAAAGAAAACCUAAUCCCAAUUUAUUCUUAUUUUUUUGCCAAAUUACAAAUUUCGGACAAAAUUAUCCUUUUUUAAGUCGCCGGCUUAGACCUUUAUUUGAGCCUAUUUUGGCCAUUUUAUGCUUUAAUCUAUAGCAAAAUCCAUACUAUUCUUUUUCUCCAUGGAAGAACUUGCUAUAUGAAAAUGAAGGAGCUGGACUUGAACGAUUUGCAUGAAGACUUCGGACUUUGACUUAGAAAAACUUUUGGAGUAUUGUCACAGGAAAAUUUGUUAGAUGAUGAUUGUUGAUCUUUCGUCAUUUCAAUUUUGAAGAGCUUCGAUGCUUUAGGAUCAUUUUCUCUUGAAUUCUUUCUGCUUUACGACCACAAUUAUCUUGUAAAGAGCAUUCAUGAUAUGCAUGGCAAAGCAAUUACCCAUAUAUGCUACAUCUCUUCGCAGUUAGUCAAUUAAACAAAUUUUUACAUCAAUGUCUACUAAGACUCUAUUCGUUUCACGGAAAAUAUUACGUUUUUAGAAAAAAAAAUUCAAUAAUUCAUUUUCCAAGAAAAUGAUUAUUUUUCAGUAUUUACUUGAAAUUUGAAAAUGAAUCAAAAAAUAUUUUCUGUUGUUCUGUUUGGAAAAUUUGAUUUGAUUUCCCUUCGUGCACUCCCUUUAACAAUUUUCUUAUUUUUUUUAAAAAUAUAUAUUUUUAAAAUUUUAAAAUUUUAAAAUUUUAUUUUUCUUAUACUUUUUUAUUUUACUUAUUUUAUUUUAUUUUUUCAUUCUAUUUUUUCUUUUCCUCCUCCUUCUUCACUCAGUCGCCGUGGCCAAUGGAAUACUAGAACAAUACUCAUUUAAUGACAUGUGUUAAAAACAAGAUUUAGCUAUAGCAAGUUUUUUCAUCCUCGAACACUUUCAAAAGGAUAAAUUUAUCAUUGGAUUUCUACAACUUCAAAUGGUUACCUCCUUACUCUUUGCCCUCCAAAUUUAUCCUUGGAUUUCUCAUUCCACUUCAACAAUUUCAUAGCCCGCUCGUUCAAACAUGUACCCGUGCAGAUUAUUCCAAGCGAAUUCAUCAAGCACCAUAAGCAAAGAACAACUCUUAGAUAUUCUGGUGACUGUGCUUUUUCUCCCCCCCCCCCAUGUCGCAUCGACAAAUGCAAGAUGAUACUUCCUUGGAUCUCCAUGAUCUGUAUAUUCAGAGAGUUUUUAUGCUAAUCUGCUGUCGCUAAAUACAUGUAUACAAGAGAUACAAAUGCUGCAAAUGGCCUAUAAUCAACUAGGACGUUGCCUGGGUGGGAGCUUGAGAAGUUCACCAAUUUCCUACACCGCAUUAUAACAGAAUGAAACAACAUUUAAUAUUGAUGCUAACAACCAUGAAGCAAAGCAGAUCCAUAUAAAAAUUCAUUCAACUGCUAGAACACCAAAGCACGUAAUUAACAAAUCGAAUUCAACACGACUGAAUCAUUAACUAAUUUAAAGAAUAGCAAUAAAGCUAUGCAACAAUACGUCCCGGAUCAAUGUUUAUGAGAGCAAAGAGUGUCAUUGAAUAGUGUAAGCAAAUUACUACUUUGAAAUGAGACAAGCAUGUCCAGAAUUUGCGAAUGAUUGCUCACCCUUUCGAACAAAAGAAGACGAAGGAGACACGAAGCUUUCUGAUGCUAAUACCAAACAUUACAAGCUGAUGAAAUUAGUGUAAUAACAAUGGUCCCAUCCUGCACCACACAUAAAAACAAUGCAACACACUGCAUUAGAAAUCGAUGACCGCAAAUCUGAAAAGGCAGAGGACAAGGAAGAACUUUGGUUGGAGGAACGUACUGGAGAUGUUACAUGGUUCAUGAGCAAUCUCAUUUCGCAUGCCACGGACGAUUCUCUUGUCCAAUAGAUCCUGAGGGCGAUGGCUGAUCUAGUGAGGCCAGAUCUAGUAAAGCUUCCUCUACGUGGGAUGGCGACUUCUCCGCAGGGCUUGGGAGUGAUGGGCACUGACUCCUGCUGCAACUCCUCUUAAAACUAUAGGGACUGACAUAUCAUCAGCUAACAUGUACUUCAUCUUUUCAACAGAAUUUAUAACUUGUUCGGUCGCCUGCAUGGCGAAAUUGAAUGUCAGAAACUCCACCACAGGCCUCAAACCAUAGAAAGCACCGUCGAAUUCAACUCCAACGAAACCAGCCUCUGUGAUUGCAGUAUCAACAACCCUCUCGGGUUCAUGCUUCUGCCAAAAAAAAGAAACCCGAAGUAGCAUUCGAGCCUCUCUCAUAGUCAUCUCUUUCCUGUAGUAGCAUAACUACGUAACGGUAUUUCUGCGGCGCAACUCUUCCGCAGCCUUUCUGUCAACAUCAUAGCAUCCAAGCCUCUGGCAUUGGCUUUUCGUAUUAUAAUCGACAACAUCAUGCGCCGUCGAACUCGAACUUGCUCUCUCUCUCUCUCUCUCUCUCCGGAAUGGGUAUCCUUGGAAAGAGAGUCCAGUUUCGUCAUUCCAUCAAACACCUUCCUUGCAAACUCGAUUCCCUCCUCCACAGCACAACCGACGACAAUUGAAUUCCAGGAGACAGCGAGAGAAUUGGGAGAAAAACAAAAUCGAAACAGAAAUCAAUAGACAAAUCUGGAACGAAUCGAAAUUAAUCCUACAGUUCAACGGGAGAUGACGAAUUUCGUCAUCUCUUCAAUAUCACGAGGAACCGGCGUCUCUGGAGAUAUCUCGAGGCAACGAUCGUUAGAGAUUCCAGUCAACAGCUUCACUCCUUCAUGUCUUUGUAGAGAGAGAGAGAGAUUCUUCUCUGAACUUUAGACACUUCUUUUCUCCUCUCUCUCUCUUUUCUUUUAUUUGUACUUUUGUUAUUUCUUUUUAUUUUAUUUUAUAUGUCUUUGAUUUGUAUUUUAUAAAUAACAGAAGUACAAAUAAAAGUCAGCUUCUUCAAUGAAGGAACUGAAUUUUAAUAUUUUAUCCCCUCUCUUUUCUUUUAUUUGUAUUUUUGUUAUUUUUAUUUUAUUUUAUACAUCUUUAAUAUGCCGAGAAAAUUAAUGAUUCAGCAUCGAGCCCCGUCAGUCACCGUAUGCUCUCUCUCUCUCUCUCUCUACGCUUGCUCUUGCAAUCUUUCUUCUCGUGUCUCACACUAACGCCAACGAGUUACAAAGCGAGUGAUGGGACGGACUCAUUCUUUUGCUCGUGUCAUGGUCUCCCUCCUGCUCCCCCUUCCUCUAGCAAGUAGCAAAACAAGUUUUUACUAGCCUGUUCUGAUGUCUUCAAGGCUUUUGGUUUUAGGACGUGCUAUUUGAAUUUCUCAUGGAGAGUAAAAAAAAAAAAAUAAAAUAAAAUAUACACAUUUUUAAAUUUCGGGCCGUGGCAGAUCCUUUUGGGUCUGGGCCAAAUGGCAUUGGCUUCAGUUUGGGCCAGGCCCUCAUUCACGUAUUCUCCCCCCACCCCCUCCAAAAAAAAGAAAAAAAGUUUCGCUCUGGUCCUUGGCCACGACGCUUCAUCGGCUUCCACAGCUAAUUGAUGGUCCAGCGAAUGACUGCAUAGCCGUUGGAGAUGAAUAGGGGACGCUAUUCUUCCAUAUUAGCCAACCUCACAAGUUUUCGGAGAAUGAUUUUAUUUUGCCUCUUCUCUUUACGUUUUUCCCUUUUCUGGGGUUCGUUUUUUCUCUCCCCUUUCUAUCAGCAUUGUGUGAUAUUAGCACAUGCGAGCAAGCCAAUUGUGGGAAUUGCUUGUAAUUUUCUUUUUCUUUCCUUGGCAAAUGGAGCAACUAUUGCGACCCAUCUAAAGUUCCAAUCGCAUUUCAUUAAAACGGGUAUCAUUCAUCCGGCCAAACCUACAACUUGAGGUGAGUUGUUUUCUGUUGUGACAAAAGUAGGAACACUGCGUCUUCCUAGUCAAAAGUUAAAAAGACUUACAUCAAUAUACGAUAGCCGGAGCUAUAUAAUUCGUGAUAAGAUAUCGUGCUUUUCAAUUUCCUAUCGAUCGAGCGACAUGAAAUGACUAAUAUAAUUUCUGAAACAAAAGGUUCUUUGUUAUUACCCUGUGAUAAAAUCUAGGAAAAGGGCGAAACAAGAAUUGAAAACGUGAAGAGAACAAAGGAAGAGCAAAUUCUUAUCUGGAUGCGGGGAAUCAUGAGCAAAGGGGUUCUUGUCAUCAUCGUUAGUCAUUGGAGCCCCGUACGUGAUUAAUGGCUCGAUCAAAUCAGGCACACGAAUCCGGAUCCGAGGCGAAAAGAGGGAAAGGGCCCCGUCCUGAAGAUGAUCGAGCAGGGGAGGAGGCAGGGAACACGGUAAGAGCGGUGGGGUGGCAGGGCAAGAGAGUACACAAGCAGACUGCUCCUAUUCAAUUCUAAUUGGGUUUGUGAGGUUCAUAAUAAUCCAGACGCACACUCAUUAAUGGCACAUUCCAAACUUAGAUGAACUGAAAAAGGACGUGCUUCAGGAUUUAUGUUCCCUUUCGUCCUCUUCCAUGCUCAGCCGUCAUCCACACUGUACAACGCCAUUGUUGCCGCUUGUCAUUUGCUAUGAGGCCAUCACCGUGCCGUUGUUGUCGUCCACUGCAAUGGGGCUUGCAACUAUCUCUCUCACUAUCCCGAACCUCCAGAGACCUCCGCUUGAGGUUGCUGCCUUGAGUCUGAGGUCUCACAACCUCGAAUCUAAGGUAACGUCCUCUGAUUCAAGGUUAUGAGACCCCGAUCUGAGAUGUACGCCUCAGCUAGCCCCAGAGAGAGACGACGAACAAUGAGUUUGAGGUCAGUGGCGGUGCUGGUGGUUGCGGUGGUCGCGUUUGCUAAUGGCUGUUGAAGGUUGUGGGUGUCGGUUGUGAUUGCAGUGGCGGUGGACAGUGGUGGCCGUACUGGUGGGCAAAGGUGAUGGCAUGAUGUUUCAAGAGAGAGACGGAGAUGGAUUCCGCAGUGGUUUUACUGCCACUUGAAAAAAGUUUUCCUUGUAAGCGCCACGUUAACAUAUUUAACGGUUUUUCAACAGUGUUAGUGGUACAUCCAUAAUUUUAAUAAUGUAGUAAACGCAAGGUUGACAUUGUGCGCAAAUUUGAAAAAUUUGUGGUGUUAUUGUAUGCUUGCAUUCCCAUGUCUUAUCAUAUGUAUUGGUUGGUCAAAUGUUUUCAUGGACAGAACGUCACUUGGGAAUUCAUUUAGACAUACGGUCAAGAAAACCAGAGAAUUGCAACUCUUAAGUAUUCGGACACAUUGUGGCGGGUGAUGGAAUAUGGAUAGACUAUUCUUGAAGCAAUGAUGAGAUAUUAAAUCCAGAGAGCGAAUUUCUCUCAGAGAAAAUGGGAAGAUUCUGAAGAUGUCAUGGACCUUGAAGAUUCAGAAGGUUUGUCGCCAUGUAGGAAACUAGAGGCUAAAUUGCGUUUACCUUCUUACCAGCCUUCCAAGAUGUUGAAUUCCCUUUACAAUUUGUGAGUUUCAUAGUAAUUAAUUUGCACACUCAUUGAUGCGACCUUUUAAAUAAAUAUGCUUGAAAUCAAAAAGGACUAAGCUUCGAACGUCAAAGAUUAACAGAAGUUCCAAGUUGCUCCCUAGGAUAAUUGGGAGGCGUGACUUGUCAUUUUUAUAAGUUUUGUAUGUGUAGAUGACAUGCUUUUCCUAGUCACUUUUCAAAUUCUCAAGAAUUUGAUAAUAAGCUUUUGGCACGUUGAUUGAUGGCAUUGAUAAGGGUGGCCUAAAUUGUAGUUAAUACUUAUGUCUAAUACAAAGAGUGGGCUAAAUCAUUUUGUAGUAACUCAAAAAAUUUCACAUAGAUAUUUCUCCUUUUUCUUACUGUCAAUCAAACCAAACAGCCUAAAUGUCAUGUGAGUCCUACUGAGCUACUUUUUCAUUGUUCUACUCAUCUAAGGCCUCUCACUGCCCUUGAAAAGACUACAAUAUUUGAAUUGGAGUGUCUUUUUUCCAAAAUGGCGAUUUGACAAUCUCUUGUUAUGAAAGAAAAAAGAUAUACCACCCCGAUCUCCAUUCAUCACCAGCAUAUCUCAAAUAUGAAAUCACACGACAGGCUAUAGUAAGGAAAUUAAUCAAAAGGUAAUCGGAAUAGUAAUGGUAAUAUAACCUUAUGUUUGCACGUGCAAUGAUUCAAGUGAUUAAUAUGAAACCACUGGACUGAAUUGAACUGAUACAUGCCGAUGGAAAAUUAUCCAAACUACCCACUAAGCUGGAAAAUUAUUUCGAUGGGCAGAUUGUUCGUUGACGAAUUCAUAGAGAGACACGUGUCAAAAAUUGACGAAUUCUGGCUCUUAGAAUUCAAACAAAUUGGGGCUGAAGCAGCUCAGCACCUAUCAGCAAUAACGCCCCCUGAACUUCUCCGGUGGUUGGUCAACGUCUGCGAGAGAAACUCUCAUAAAGGAGAUAUUCGUUUGAGCUCAUUGAAAGGGAGCAAUGCAGUGUUCAAAGUCUCCAUCUUUAGCAAUGUUGGUAAGGACCCGAUUCAGGUUGGAUUGAGAUGAACAAAGGAAGCAUCGCUUUAUGCCAUAUUUAGUUCAAACCAACAUACCGCAUAUGUCAUUUUGUCUUUGUUCUCUUUUUGGAGCUAGUUGCAAUCUUAUCAUUUUUAGAUUGUCUGUAAACAUAACUAGUUGCCGUGAGUCAGUUGCUAAGAUCACUCCUGUGCCUCUACAAUUGAAGAAUGCAAUUCUGCUCUAAUUGUUUGAGAUCGAGGAUUCGUUCUUCAAACAUAUGUCAAGCCAAGCCUGUAAUUUAUAUAGCCAUGAAGCUCAGGUGCAAGCUCAUUCUUGUUGAUGAUGUCGAAUAAUUGCUGCAGCUGCAGCAAGACCGUCCACUGCAAUUUAUGUUUAAAUAUAUCUGUAAACCUGAGAUUACUCGUUUUAUCUCAGCUACUAGGUGAUUGUGAUCUUGUUGAUGUUGAAACAUAAGCAUUUAAUUAACCAAUCCAAUAUAUAUGAGCAUUUACUAUAUCAAAUUUUUACUUUGAUAUAUUAUUCACGUUUACCUUGCUUUGACUGGAAAUUACCUUGUUAACAUAGCCGCAGCAUUAAAUACAGUGUUAAUAUAACUAUCAAUAAUGAUAAUUCGAUCCAAAUUAGUUAAAAAGAGAAAUAAUUCCGUGAUUCCUUAUUCUCAAUUCUCAACUCAACAUGCUAAACCCUGAAAUGUCGGGAAUUCAUCUCGUGAAUGGUUUGCCACGUGAUACUUUUAUAUUCUGUUUGAAUCAGGCUUAACAACAAAUAUGGAUUCACGAAAUUGUAGAAUAUGCAUUAAAUAUCCAUUCCAAGCUAUCUGACUCCGUCAACGAGUCAUCUAAGUAUGGGAUACGAAAUGAAAACCACAGCAUCAGAAAAGUCACAUUUUCAGAAAUUUUCCACCUCUUGUGCACGCAUCAAGAGACAAUGAGGAAGAGAACAACACGCAAGGAAGAUCGAUGGCAAUUCUGACGCUCCAUUCUUUGCACGCGACCACGCAGAUCUCGCACUCCUUCACCACAGAAUUCACAUUUUAAAAAUUGACUCUGUUCAUAUAGAACCCUUUAACUCGAACCAGAGAGAUCAGCAAACCACAAGACCGUAAUUUUCGCAUCAUUUGUUGAGCACACGAAGGAAGUCGGCCAUAAUAAGGGUUCAAUAAGUCGAGAACAAAUUGAAUUGAUGCAAUAUGAUUUUGUGGUUCAAGGAUUGAAUCAAAGGUACAUACUAAUCUAGUUCGAACGUUUCAUCCAACAAGUGAUAGGCAUUUCGAUCAAGGUGUUCGUAUGCAAAUACAAGGCAAAGAUUCACUUUCAGAUCAUCACGAAAAUAACAUUGUGAGUUCGAGUUGCUAAUCGAGCUUCAAUCGCAACUGAUUUACUCACACAAACAUUAGCUAAAGCUCACUGGCUCUCUUUCGUUCAGUGACAAAGUUCCCGGCGGUGUACACAUCGAUAAUCGGGGCUGGUGAAGGGGGAACGACCAAGGGUUCAUGCCCUUUCGGGCGUCCUGACCAGAAAACAGAGCAGAGCGAGAGCUAGCCUUGCUGCAGCGAAACCUGCGAUGGCGGAGCGACUACGGCGGCGGCUAACGGUUUCUGAAGGACGACGGAGAAGGAGAACUGAUGAAGAAGCCUCGAGAAUUCCCAAGAAAAAGAUGGCGGACGGUGGCUUUCUGGUAUCGAUUAGUGGUGGAGAAUCUUCUGCAACUCGGCCGAUCGAAUGAGAGAGAGCUGUGGAUCGUGGGCUGCGGUGAGGGAAAUUGUCUGGGCCGAGGCUUACUCUGAUGGGCCUGUCACGCGCAUUCGGGAAGAGGAAUCCACGAACGGGAGCUCAGCAAGAGAGAAUUUCUCCAUUGGGUCAACCCAUUUCUAGAAGCGUCUCCAUCUUCACUCCCUCUCCGUCGCCUUAGUCCCCCCGGCAGCCACCGCCGCUCGUCCUCCAUCGCCGGCCACGACAACACUCAUGUGCUCAGCACAGAUCACACAAGGUGGGGAGGCUCAAAGAUUUCUAAACGUCCAGAGAAUCAUCUCUCUUGGCUUCUUGCUUCGUCUGGUGACCUCCAACUGACCUCCCGGAUCGCUCCACCACCAGGCCGUAGCUCUGUUAGCACCGUUCUCCCGUCAGUUUGCUUUGGCUGCUCUGAAUUUGUUCGUUUCUCCUUCGCUGGCUCCGAUCUUCAACGUCAUUGUCUCGCACAACCUCUUCCUCUAAUCCGAUCGUCCUUCAUGCAUCGGAUAAAAUAAACACUACAAUCUUCCUUCUUCGUUCUUAGCUUCGUGAAGAGAGACCCAGGCAUAUUUGUGUGAUUUUCGUUGUUCAAAUUCACUGCUAGCGCGUCAAUGCACGUGCUAUAAGUGCUUUGUAUAAUCCAUUGCAUGAAGUGCUCACUGUGACAUGUUCAUAUUAAUAAUCUGAAUCACAAAUCAACGUUCACUGCAAUGCGUGUUUGUCUGCUAGAUGGUCGAUACUUGUUUAGUUCUCCCUACCAAAAAUCUUGCAAAGAUGAUUCCGUCUACAUCUAUGUUACUUUGGCGGUUUCUGGAUUAAUGUUCUGUAAACUGUACUAUAUCUUCUACUAGGAGGAGAAAGAAAUUCUCAGCAUUAUCUCCCGCUUGCUUAAAAUUUAUUCUCAUGUUGUUUACAUUAGAUCGCCUAACCAUUGAGAUUAAUAUGAUUUCUUUUCUACUGAUUGUGUGUUUGAUGAAUCCAAGUAACAAUCCAAGGUAAGUUUCGAUUGUUUGCAAUGUGAAUUUGGUGGCUGGGGAGGUUCCGCUGUGAAACGUUGGCCUCAGUUGUUCUGAAUGAAAGAAUACAUUUGCUUGAAUUGUCAGCUUGAUAAGGAAGAGAGUGAUGCAAGCUACGGUUUGUUGUGAAAAAGAAACAAGCAACAGUUGCUGAAUUUCUAUUCUGCAGGAAAUGGAAGCGAAUUAGAAUAACUAAUGUGCUUUUGAGCAAUGAUGCUGAUUUCUGGAUUAUCUUUGUGAACAUAUGGUAUCUUUAUUUCUAUUUUGAACGUUUGGUAUUUGCCCCACUCUCUGACUGAUAACCAAUGCCAUGAACUUCUUGAUUGAUUAAUUCCUCUUUCUGCAAAUGACUUUCGCCCCAGUAAUGGUCCACUUUCAGUAUACGAGUCCUCAUUGUAAUUUGAGUACCAGGUGAUGUGAUACAGUCUUUUUGAUUCAUUUCUCAAUAUGUUUCCCAAAAGUUGCCUGUUGUAAAAAAUUUCAAAUAUUAAGCUCCAUCAGCCUCAUUUUUUUUUUUUUAAUUAGAAUUUCGUGUUUGAAAGAGUGGUUGGUAUGAACUUGAUCUUUGCACUGGAUUAACUCAAACGAUAUUUCAUCAUAGAUAUUCAGAACGGAGUAUUUCUUUAGUUGGCUUUUUAUGACCUUUGCUGCUGAUAAAGUAGAUUGACUUGCUAUAAGGAAUUAGUGCUCUGUAAGUGCAGCCAAUUUUGUUAAUUUUGCUGCUGGGUAUUAAUUAGUUCAUGGAAUGAUGCUUAUUAGAUUUGGUAGAUUCAAACAAUGGUAAAUAGCCCAAGCAACAUCAGGAAAAGAUGAAAAAGCAUUUCUUAUUUGUUGGGAAUCAUCAUCAUUCUUUCUCUUAGUAGUGAGAGAUACUGCAAAUAUCGUAGAGUACAAAUUGAAUGAAGAGGUAUUGCAGCUUUGGACUUGUAUGCCAAUCUUGGCUUAUCUCAUCAAUAGCCAAUGUUAUGCUGAUCUUUGAAUGAAUCCAAGCACUUAUCUUUAGUAGGCUUUGGAAUUUUCACAAUCUAUGGAUCUAACAAGUCUUAACAAUCGAUGUGUCGGGGAAUUUCUAACCUGUAUCGGGUACAUUGAGUGGAGUCUACGUCAGUGGUUGAUCAUUUAAGCCCCAUAUGCAACAUUCAUGUGAGAUUCACUUGAACGACUAUUGAAAUCGACCCUAUCUAAGUGAGCACAGGCACCACCUUGUGGAAGCUAUUCUUUGGCUGAUGGUAUAAGACGUGAAAAUUCUUAAAUCUCCGCCUUCUUUGUGCUUUUGCACGUUGGAUUUAGGUUGCGACAAAUAAGUGCCCUGGACUUACUUUAAGUUAUGUUAAUGGGGGAUUAUGAAAAUGUUCUUAAGGAUAUACGGAAAUACUCUCCCGAAUUCGAUGCUUCCAAAGGUCAAAGUAGUUCAACCUGGGCAACUAGAAAAGAGUAACAACAAGGUCAGAAUGUUAUGGAGCAUUACCCCAUUGGUCAUUUUCAUCUCAACCUUUUCAAAUGUGGAGACAAUUCCCUUUUUCGGGCGAUAAUACUUGAUGAAGGUGCUUCCGAGAUAGAUUAUUCCUCAGGAUCACUGUCUUGGAUGAUCUCUUCCUCUAAUCUGUUCAUCCUUCAUGCGUCGGUAAAAUAAACACUAUAUUCUUCCUUCUUCAUUCUUAGCUUCAUGAAGAGAGACUUCAGGCGUUUUUGUGUGAUUUUUGUUGUCAAAUUUACUGCUGGUGUGUCUAUAUGCGCGCUAUAAGUGCUUUAUAUGAUCAUUGCCUGAAGUGCUUACCGUGAAGUGUUCAUAUUAACAAUCUGAAUCACAAAUCAACUUUCACUGCAAUGUGUGUUUGCCUGUUAGAUGGUCGAUACUUGUUUAGUUCUUCCUGCCAAAAGUCUUGCAAAGAUGAUUUGUUCUUCAUCUAUGUUACUUUGAGAUUGCUGUGUAGGUUAAUGUCUUUGGCAGUUUCUGGAUUAAUGUUUUAUAAAUUGGACAAUCUGUUCCACUAAGAGGUGAAAGAAAUCCUCAGCAUUAUCUCCUGCAUGCUUAAAAUUUAUUCUCAUGUUUUUGACAUCGGAUCACCUGACCAUUGAGAUUAAUAUGAUUUCUUUUGUGUCUGAUGAAUCCAACUAACCAUCCAAGGUAAGUUUCGAUUGUUUGGAAUGUGAAUUUGGUGGCUGGGUAGGUUCCUCUGUGAAACGUUGGCCUCUGUUGUUCUGAAUGAAGGAAUACGAUUGCUUGAAUUGUUAGCUUAAUAAGGAAGAGUGAUGCAGGCUACAAUUUGUAUUGUAAAAGACACAAGCAACAAUUGCUGAAUAUCUAUUCUGCAGGAAAUGGAAGCGAAGUAGCGUAACAAGUAUGCUUUUGAGCAAUGAUGCUGAUUUCUGGAUUAUCUUUGUGAACAUAUGGUAUCUUUAUUUCUCUUUUGAACGUUUGGUAUUUGCUCUACUCUCUUUCUGGUAAACAGUAGUGUGGACUUCUCAGUUGAUUAAUCCUUCUUUCUGCAAUUGACUUUGGCCCCUGCUAUGGUCCGCUUUCAGUAUACGAGUCACGUUGUAAUUUGUGUACCUGGUGAUGUGAUAUGGUCUUGUUGAUUCAUUUCUCAAUAUGUUUCCCAAACGUUGCUUGUUGUAAAAAAAUUUAAAUAUUAAAUUUGAUCAGCCUCAGUUUUUUUCCCUUUUUUUGUUGAUCAGAAUUCUGUGUUUGUAUGAACUUGAUCUUUGCACUAGAUUAACUCGAACGAUAUUUCAUCAUAGAUAUUUAGGACAGGGUAUUUCCUUAGUUGGCUACUUUGUGGCAUUUGCUGCUGAAAGUACAUUGACUUGCUAGAAGGAAUUAAUGUUCUGUAAGUGCAGCCAAUUUUUUGUUAAUUUCGCUGCUGGGUAUGAUGAUGUUCAUGGAAUGAAUGCUUAUCAGAUUUGGUAGAUUCAAACAAUGGUAAAUAGCCCAAGCAACAUCAGGAAAAGAUAAAAAAAGCAUUUCUCAUUUGUUGAGUCAUCAUUAUUCUUUCUCUCAGUAGCGAGAGACGCUGCAAAUAUCGUAAAGUAAGAAUUGAAUGAAGCGGUGCCGUAGUUUUGGACUUGUAUGUCAAUCUUGGCUUAUCUCAUCAAUAGCCAAUGUCAUGCCGAUAUUUGAAUGAAUUCAAGCACUUAUUUUAAGUAGGUUUUGGGAUUUCACAAUUUAUGGAUCCAAUGAAUCUUAACAAUUGAUGUGUUGGGGAAUUUCUUACCUAUACCGGGUACAUUGGGCGGACUCUAUGUUAGUGGUUGAUCGUCUAAGCCCUAUAUGCAACAUUAAUGUGAGACUCACAUGAACAGCUAUAGGAAUGGACCCAAUCUACACGUGCAUAGACACUACCUUGAGGAAGCUAUAUUUUGGCUGACGGCAUAAAAUGUAAGAAUUCUCAAAUUUCUGCCUUUUUUGUGCUUUUGCACUUUGGAUUUAGCUUGCGAUUAAUUAGGGCCCUGAACUUACUUUAAGUUGUGUUGUUAAUGGGGGAUUACGAAAAAGUUCUUGAGGAGAUAUGGCUAUUCUCUCCCGAAUUCGAUACUUCCAGUCACAAGUAGUUCAACCUGGGCAACUAGAAAAGAGUAACGACGAGGUCGAAAUGUCAUGGAGCAUUAGCCCAUUGGUCAUUUUCAUCUCAACCUUUUCAAAUGUCUCCACUUUUCAGGUGUUAAUCCUUGAUAAAGGUGCUUCCGAGAUAGAUUAUUCCUUGAGCAAUGGCCAAAUAUCAAACCCCGAGGAUCAAUUUCUCUAACAAGGAAGGAAUGACAUUGUCGAACUUGAAGAUUUAGAGGGUUUCCUGCAAUGUCGAUCACUUUUACCCUGUUCUAGCGAAGUAUCUAACUGUCCAUUACUCACUCAUCAUGAGAAUUUGAUGGUAAUGAAUGGUAGCUUUAUUAGUCAUGUUUCUGCCUUUAUCAGUGCCUUGUCUUCGUUCUUUCAAUAUUAUUUAAUUCUUUUUUACCAGCGUUUCGGAUGUUGAUAUAUACGGUAAUAUUCGGGAAGUGCAGAUUGUAAUUAAUUGGUGGGGUAACUAGCUCUAAUGUUAAAGGGAUGUAAAAUUAUUUCAUCAAUUUUAUUUUUCUGAUUUUCCAUGGAAAUACUAACUACCAAUGUAUGCUAAAUCAUUUCAUACUAGGUCAAUGCUCAGUAAUUUCUGUAAAUGGAAUCGCCAUAAUCUGAAACUUUACACAGACAAGUCUCAAUCGGCAAAGAGUUGAACCCACCGAAGCCGCGAACUUUGAAAAUCAAUGACGGCAGAGCUUUUCUUGAAGGUGAAACAGUUGGAGCUAUUUUGGGAAUUCUUCCCAACGAAGCGGGAGCUCUACUGGGUGGCUCUACUACGAAAGUUGCAGCAUUGCCGGCGUUUUAGACGGAAGCCAUUUCCCCUGCUCGAAGCUUUGAAACGUUUUCAGUCAAGGAGAGAGAGUGUGUUGGAGCUCGAGUCUGGCUGGGAAGAGCUGGUCAGCGCAGUGCUGAUGAAGACAGCUCUAAUGGAGAAAGCCCAGCUAUCUUCGGCCCAAUUUCAGUUUCUCUCCUUGGCCCAUUGUCACCGGUCCGCAAACAAAAUGGCUGAUUGGGUCGUGAAAACCUAACGUACGAAUGCUCUCCCUCCCUCUUGACUGACCCAUCCCUCCAGUCUUUAUGGAAUUAUUUACGUUUGGAUGCCCCUUUGCUGGGCUUUUGUUUUAAAGACCCCAGGGUUUUAAUUCAUGGCAUGUCCUCAAAUUUGAAAGCUUGCCUCGUAUAUUAGUUUGUCUUAAGCUCGAAUUGGUCGACGGUCAAAACCCAAGUUCAAAAUUACAUGGAAAGUAGAUGAUCAAGCAAGUCUUAAGAGCUAGAAUCUGGAGGAAUUGGACAAUUCUAAUUGAGGUUGUUCACGCAAUUUGACUUGAAAAACUAGAAAACUGAAAUUAGAAUGGAAAGAUUAAUUAAACUGGAUUUUCAUCCCUAUCCUGUUGGGGAAAAGACAAAUAAUUAGUGCUUGAGUCUUUUCCAGCUACUCCACACCAUGCCACCAAGUUGUCGAAGCAGUGUUUCUUUAUAACUCAGUCUCUAUAUGAUUGAUUUUUGGUUGAAAUAACCUCGUAAGCAUGAUCAUUUCUCCAAUCUAAUGAAGUAAAGUAACCUUCACUCCAAUCUUUAUUUCUCUUUUGAACGUUUGAUAUUUGCUCUGCUCUCUUUCUGGUAAACAGUAGUGUGGACUUCUCAGUUGAUUAAUCCUUCUUUCUACAAUUGACUUUGGUCCCUGUUAUGGUCCACUUUCAGUAUACGAGUCACGUUGUAAUUUGGGUACCUGGUGAUGUGAUACGGUUUUGUUGAUUCAUUUCUCAAUAUGUUUCCCAAACGUUGCUUGUUGUAAACAAUUUUAAAUAUUAAAUUCCAUCAGCCUAAGUUUUUUUUUCCCUUUUUUUGUUGAUCAGAAUUAUGUGUUUGUAUGAACUUGAUCUUUGCACUGGAUUAACUCGAACGAUAUUUCAUCAUAGAUAUUUAGGACAGAGUAUUUCCUUAGUUGGCUACUUUGUGGCAUUUGCUGCUGAAAGUACAUUGACUUGCUAGAAGGAAUUAAUGUUCUGUAAGUGCAGCCAACUUUUUGUUAAUUUCGCUGCUGGGUAUGAUGAUGUUCGCGGAAUGAAUGCUCAUCAAAUUCGGUAGACUCAAACAAUGGUAAAUAAAUAGCCCAAGCAACAUCAGGAAAAGAUAAAAAAAAAAAAAAAAGCAUUUCUCAUUUGUUGAGCCAUCAUCAUUCUUUCUCUCGGUAGCGAGAGAUGCUGCAAAUAUCGUAGAGUAAGAAUUGAAUGAAGCGGUGUCUUAAUUUUGGACUUGCAUGUCAAUCUUGACUUAUCUCAUCAAUAGCCAAUGUCAUGCUGAUAUUUGAAUGAAUUCAAGCACUUAUUUUAAGUAGGCUUUGGGAUUUUCACCAUUUACGGAUCCAAUGAGGCUUAACAACUGAUGUGUUGGGGAAUUUCUUACCUAUACUGGGUCCAUUGGGCGGAGUCUAUGUUAGUGGUUGAUCGUCUAAGCCCCAUAUACAACAUUAAUGUGAGACUUACAUGAACAACUAUAGGAAUGGACCCAAUCUAUACAUGCACAGACACCACCUUGAGGAAGCUAUUCUUUGGCUGAUGGCAUAAAAUGUAUAAAUUCUCAAAUCUCUGGCUUCUUUGCGCUUUUGCACUUUGGAUUUAGCUUGCGAUUAAUAAGGGCCUUGGACUUACUUUACGUUGUUUGUUAAUGGGGGAUUAUGAAAAAGUUUUUGAGGAGAUCUUGAUAUACUCUUCCGAAUUCGAUGCUUCGAAAGGUCACGAGCAGUUCAACCUAGGCAACUAGAAAAGAGUAACAACGAGGUCGGAAUGUUAUGGAGCAUUAGCCCAUGGGUCAUUUUCAUCUCAACCUUUCUAAAUGUGGAGACAACUCUACUUUUCAAGUGUUAAAGCUCGAUAAAGGUGCUUUUGAGAUAGAUUAUUCCUCAAGCAAUGGCCAAAUAUCAAAACCCUGAUAAUUGAUUUUUUUAACAAGAAAGGGAUGACGUUGUUGAACUUGAAGAUUUAGAGGUUUCCUGCAAUGUCGAUCGCUUUUACCCUGUUCUAGCGAAGUAUCUGAUUGCCUAUCACUCACUCAUCAUGAGAAUUUGAUGGUAAUGAAUGGUAGUCUUAUUAGUCAUGUUUAUGCCUUUAUAAGUGCCUUUUCUUCGUUCUUUCCAAAUUCUUCAAUGCUUUUUGACAAGCGGAUGUUGAUUUAUACAGUAAUAUCUGGAAAGUGAAGAUUGUAAUUAAUUGGUGAGGUAACUAGCUCUAAUGUGAAGGGGAUGUAAAAUUAUUUGAUCAAUUUUAUUUUUCUGAUUUUCCAUGGAAAUACUAACUACCAAUGUAUGCUGAAUCAUUUCAUACUAAGUCAAUGCUCAGUAAUUUCUGGAAAUGGAAUCACCAUAAUCUGAAACUUUACAGAGACAAGUCUCAAUCAGCAAAGAAUUGGAACCCACCGAAGUUGCGACCUUGAAAAUCAGUGACGGCAGAGCUUUUCUUGAAGGUGAAAAAGUUGAAGCUAUUUUGAGAAUUCUUUGCAACGGAACGGGAGCUCUACUGGAUGGCUCUACUACGAAUGUUCCAGCAUUGUCGGCGUUUUAGACGGAAGCCAUUCCCCUGCUCGAAGCAUUGAAACGUUUUCGGUCAAGGAGAGAGAGUGUGUUGGAGCUCAAGUCUGACUGCGAAGAGCUGGUCAACUUAGUGCUGAUGAAGACAGCUCUAAUAGAGAAAGCCCAGCUCUCUUUGGCCCAAUUUUAUUUUCUCUCCUUGGCCCAUUGUCACCGGUCCGCAAACAAAAUGGCUGAUUGGGUCGUGAAAACCUAAUGUACGAAUGCUCUCCGUCCCUCUUGAUUGGCCCACCCCUCCAAUCUUUAUGGAAUUAUUUACUUUUGGAUGCCCCUUGGCUGGGCUUUUGUUUUAAAGACCCCAGGGUUUUAAUUCAUGGCAUGUCUUCAAAUUUGAAAGCUUGCCUCGUAUAUUAGUUUGUCUUAAGCUCGAAUUGGUCGACGGUCAAAACACAAGUUCAAAAUUACAUGGAAAGUAGAUGGUCAAGCAAGUCUUAAGAGCUAGAAUCUUGAGAAAUUGGACAAAUUCCAACCGAGGUUGUUCACGCAAUUUGACUUGAAAAACUAGAAAACUGAAAUUGGACCAGCAAGUGAAUGGAAAGAUUAAUUAAACUGGAUUUUCAUCCCUAUCCUGUUGGGAAAAGACAAAUAAUUAGUGCUCGAGUCUUUUCCAACUACUCCGCACCACGCUGAUGUCGAAUCAUUGUUUCUUUAUAACUCAGUAUCUAUAUGAUUGAUUUUUGGUUGAAAUAGCUACGUAAGUAUGAUCAUUACUCCAAUCUAAUGAAGUAAAAUAACCUUCACUCCAAUCAUGACGCCUCCUUCAAUAUAAAAAAGAAUAUCCCAUCCAUGUCAAGGUGAAGCAACAUGAUGACUAUAUAACUAAAUAAGUUAGCCGACUCUUUUCAUUUAUAAUAUUCAAUUGUUUGUAAGUUACCAUUCUUGUCUUAGUUGAGGUGGCCGACAACGGUCUUUUUCUUUUUUCUUUUUUAGAUUGACCAGUUUCGACUUGUAGCAAUGUGCUACCAAGUUUUCAACUUCACAAGGAAUCUAUUUGUGUUUAGUUGAGGCCUUAACUAAUGUUAGGUUAUCGUCCACACCCAAGGAGGUCACUGGUAUUUUUAAUUGAUUAGUCUAAACAUUUUUAAUUUUCUCACUAUUUCUUUUCAUAUGUAAUAGUUGUGCUCUUUUUCUAGUAUUAAGUAAACAAAUAACAAUUGAAAAUGUAAAUAAAAUUGCUAAAAAAAAAAAAACCGAUAUAUGCAACAUCUAGGCUGUACCAUAGGUCUCUAGGUUGUCGCGCUUCAACUUUUGUGCCCCUUGAUCAUUAAAAGAAGUGGACUAAAAAAGAGAUGAUUUCUUCAUCGUAGCUUUUUUUUUUUUUUUUUGGUCUGACUUAAUCGUAGCUUACUAACAUAAAAAUUGAACAUGCCCUUCAUUUUUAGUUAAAUUUGCUUAUUAGUCAAAAAUAAACUCUCGUGUGUCAUGUAAGCCACCAGAGGGUGUCUCAAUUAGCAAAGAUUAUUAAAUCAUUCCAAAGCAUGAGAGAACAAUGUAACAUUAUCACUUGCUACAUUAGAUAAUUAUGUUCUUGUCUAUUUUCCCUUCACCUAACCUAUAAAAAAUGAAAGGAGUAAUCGAAUAUCCCCUGCAUCUAUAUUACUUAUAUUCUCUUUGUGUGUACCUGCACCGCAAUAGCAUUAAGAUAUAGCAAAUACGUGAUUGGCUCUGUUUAAAAAUAUCGCAAUGGGAGUUCACAUCCACAUCAAUCAUAUGCUAAUCAAUCAUCAAAACAAGUAAAACUAACCAUUUAACUGGAGAUUAUCCUUUAUUAAGAAAUUUUGCAAAAUGCGACAUACAUUUAUUCUUUAAAUUUUUUUUAAAAAAAUCAUGUUUACGUGGCAUCUCUAUCUUGCAAUUAUUGAACAAUAGUAAUAUGAUAAUGUUAUGUUAACAUUGAUAUUUUCAAAAUGACACAUAAUGCAAAUGACAUUAUUCUUUAGAAUAAAAAGUUAUGCUUGAUUAAUCCCAUGAUUGAUAAUGUUGGGUGGGGAGUUGGUUUCUAGCUUAGGAACCGGAGCUCCUCCAUUAGAAUCCCACAAAUGCAUGCAAACUGUCUCAAUUAACGAAGAUUAUUGAAUCAUUCCAAAUCAUAAGAGACAGUGUGACCUUAUCACUUGCCACGUCAAAUAAUUUUGGCCUUGUGGGUUCACAUCCACGUCAAUCAUAAGCAAAUCAAUCAUCAAAACUAGCAAAACUAACCAGAGAUUAUCCUUUCUUAAGAAAUUUUGCAAAACGUGACAUACAUUUAGUCUUUAAAAUUUUUUUUAAAAAAAUCAUGUUUACGUGGCAUCUCUAUCUUGCAAUUAUUGAACAAUAGUAAUACGAUAAUGUUAUGUUAACAUUGAUAUUUUCAAAUGACACAUAAUGCAAAUGACAUUAUUCUUUAGAAUGAAAAGUUAUGCUUAAUUAAUCCCAUGAUCGAUAAUGUUGGUUGGAGAGUUGGUUUCUAGCUUAGGAACCGGAGAUCCUCCAUUAGAAUCUCACAAAUGCAUGCAAACUGUCUCAAUUAACAAAGAUUAUUGAAUUAUUCCAGAUCAUAAGAGACAGUGUGACCUUAUCACUUGCCACGUCAAAUAAUUUUGUCAUUGUCUCUUUGUCCUUCCCUUAACCUAUAAAAAAACGAAACGAGUAAUCGAAUAUCCCCUAUAUCUAUGUCACUUAUAAUACUCUUUGUGUGUAUCUGCACCGUACUAUCAUUAAGAUAUAGCAUAUACGUGAUUGGCUCUAUUUAAAAUAUCACAAUGGGGGUUUCCAUCCACAUCAAUCAUAUGUAAAUCAAUCGCAAAGAAGCAAAACCUACCAUUUUACUGGGAUUAUCUUUUCUUAAAAAAUUCUGCAAAAUGUGACACACUCUUAAUCUUUAUGAUAAAAAAAAUAAUGUUUUCGUGGCAUCACUAUCUUGCAAUUACUAAACAAUGGUAAAAUGUGAAUAUAGUCAUUUUCAAAAUGAUGCAGAAUGCAAAUGACUAUUACUUUUAAAAUAAAAAUUAUGCUUAAUUAAUCCUAUAAUUCAUAAUGGUGGUUGAGGAAUAGGGGAUUUCCAGCUAAAAAAAUUAGAAAUCCCCCAUUAGAAUCCCACAAAUGCAUGCAAAUUGCUUUGGAUUAGAGUCACCUACAUAGCCGAAGGCUUAAGCUUAACCAAUUCACGAUACUUGUAAGAUAUUUCAUAAGUUUCUAGGUAGACGGGUGUCCACGCCUAUGCUCCUAGAUAAUACAAAAAAAAUGCUUACUUUAGGAGAAUCCAAAUUUUAUAUGCUAAUUAUUUUAGUAUAUACUUAUUCCUCAUAAACUAGGUAGUUUUUAUGCAAAAGGUCCUUAUCAACUAAAUUGCGAAGAGUACAUCCCCCAUGACUUUAAUUAGUAAUAACACUUUUAUUCGUUAGAAAUUAGUCAUAACCUUUUCAAAUACUCCUCCUAAUAAAUAUACAUAUUUAGGACUAAUAUGACAUUCUAAUCUAAAAAUUAUGGUUGGUAAAAAAUUACAUAACCUCAAUAUUUCCUUCUAAACUGAGUUUUUUUUUUUUUUUUGAACUACCCUUCUCAUGUGCAAGGCAAAUCAGGAGUAGCACGUGAAAUUUGACAACUGGGAGUGAACUCACACAUGAAAGGGGCAAGUAGAACUUGACUAUGAUACCAUGUUAGAAAAUCCAAUCCAAAGAUAUGUAAAGAGCAUAUAAACUUCAUUAUCAUGCAAUGUGGGAUAUUUCAAUACAUGCCAACCAAGGAUAGAGCAGAGCCCCUCUAAUGCGUUUAUAGCUCCUAAUGAGCUUUGCCAAUCAUGAUAUGCCGAAAUGCCUAUGAGUUGCUCUUUGCUUUUCCUCAAUAUGUUCCUUGAUGAAACCACCUAGAAUAGUCUGCAAGCAUACAUGUGUGAAUGACCCAGAUGUGAAUUUGCUUAAGUGGAAUGAGAAAUCCAAGGAUAAAUUUGAAGGCAAAGAGCAAGAAAAUAAUGAUAUGAGGUCAAAGAAAUCUAAUGAUAAAUUUAUUCUUUUGAAAGUGCUCGAGGAUGAAAGAAAUUGUUGGCUGGCAUUGUCUCCUAAUACAUGUCAUUAGGAGAUAGUAUGUAGAUGGAAGAAAACCUGCAACAAGUGGACAUCAAAAGCUAUGACAUGGUAACGCUAGCGUAGAGCCGCUCGUGGAGAUUAUUCAAGUGACUAUCUUUACUCCAUUUUUUAUUUACUCCAAUUAGGAUACCCUAUGGACACAUUGAAAAAAAAAAAAACCAUGUCAUAUGAUUUCCCACACAAACCAAAUCAUUUUUUUUUUUGUCGGUCAUACUCUAUUUCUAUUCUACACUCACUCUCAAACUUUUGCCUUGACUCUUGCAGGGCGUGAGAGUCGAAACCCACUCCUGAAAUUUACGCGUCCCCACCCCAUCCCCCCUGAGAAGGUGGAGAUUUAAACCCCUCACUUCCCCCUUUCAUGUUGGAAAGGUGGCCACUGAGGCGAAUCCCAGUGAUUAACCAAAUCAACUUGAAAAGCACAAUAUUGAGUCAUAACAAUUAAUGCAUUGGGGAACUCCUUGCCUGUAUCAGAUCCAUUGGGCAGAGGAAGGAUCCAGGUGGACCCUCCCUUAUUUCCAGGUGCGACAGCCUCCCCAUCACUUCGUUGGCCGGCAAGAUUGGCCGCGCUUGCCCCCGGUCAACAGCCUCCAGACACUGUAGCCCCAGAUCAAGCAGGUGGUCCAGCAGUAGCAUCCGAUCAAGGCCCCUUCGCAAAAAGAAUAAAAAUAAAAACUCUUAAUGUAAAGCUUGUCUGUUCAAAAAAAAAAAAAAAUGUAAAGCUUGUGAUUAUAUAUGUUUCUAAUUUGUGAUAUCACGUCAUUGUAUCAUGACUGGAUUACCUGUGAGUUUCUUUUCAUUCAAUAGGUAAAGGUGUCGUGUCAGGGAAAUUGAAAAAAAAUUGAAGAGACUCUUCUUUUUGGUGACAAAACGCGAGAUGGUUCUCUACUGCCUUUGUUUCCUUUGAUUUUGGUCCUUGUUGGAUAGGUCUAAGGACAAUUUAGGAGUUCUAAUUUCAAUGGAAAGCUGUUCUUCUUAGCACAUUUUGCCAAGUCGUUCUCUUCUCAAGGUUUGUCAUCUUUUUGGCACUUUGGGUGAGAUUGAAUCAUUCACUUAGAAAGUUUAGGUGACAGCAUCUCAUUUAGAAUGAGUAGUGCAUUAUCAGUAAACAGAUACAAGGGUCUAAGUUAGUCCAAAUAUAAUAUGUCAAGAAGAUUAACAUUAUCAAAAUUUGGUAUUUACUCCACAAAUCAAUAAUACGGCCAGCGAAUCAAUGUUUGUCCACUAGCGAUCAAGGAAAGGAUGGAGAAUUAAUAAAUAUUUGUCCACCAGCCGUGGAGGAAAGGAAGAUUUACCAAAUCAAAGUUUGUCUAAUCACUAAUUGUCUUGGAGCAGUACAGGACAGAAUGAAUACCUAAUCAAUGUUCGUCCAUUAGCAGUGGAGGAAAGGAUGGUUUACCUAAUCAAUGUUUGUCUAAUCACCGUUUGUCUCUGAGCGGUGCAGGAAAGAUUGGAUAUCUAAUCAAUGUUUGGUCAUUAGCAGUGGAGUAAAGGAUGGAGACAUAGACAUCCUAACCAAUGUUUGCAUCACUCAAUUGUUUAUGUGUCCACAUUAUUGUCUUGAUUGAGGCAACCGAGAGUGGUAUUUUUCCUUUCUUUUUUUUUUUUGGCUGGUAACGACUUGGCGCAUUUUGCAGUCGAUUUUUCAGCUACUUGAGGAACUGACUCGUGUUUAGAUUAAAAAUGGGUUUGUAACACGUAUUGAGACAAUUAUUACACGAAAGGUGAUUACAACAAGCUAAAAUUAAGUUUCAAAUCAUAAUAGCUAAAAUUAAGUUUCAAAUCAUAAUCUCAUUUUGACGAUGACAGACUAUAUGAAGUACUUAUUACACGGGAGAUGAUUCAAGUCAAAUCAUUUUGGUACUUUAACGGUUGGUAAUCAUAUGAUUUUUACUUUCUCUUUAAGCCACUCGGUGUUAAAAAAUGCAAAGAAACCAAGCUAAGAGCUUGCAUACCAUGUAGAUAUUACUUGAUUGUUGAUAAGCUGUGGGUUGAAGGGUCUAAACAUAAGUUAUCGAAUUGCUGGAAAAGCAAAUGCUGAGGCAAGUCUUAAAAAUUAUAAUCCAAGCCCUCUUAUAUGGAGAAAUGUAACAAAGUCAUUCAAGAAGAAUAUACGUGUAAAUCAUACAUACUAUGUUAAUAUGGACCAGCAAAUUAUAAAGAAAUUCGCUGCUUCCAUAACUAAGGAAAAAAACCCAAAAGAUAAGGGGGUGGCUAGCUAUGAUUCUGAAAUUUCAUUGGAGAUCUAAUGACUAAUAAUUUUAAUAUUAAAUAGGAGAUACUGUUGUAUUUUGUUAUAUUAAUCAGAUAUUUGAACAAAGAAGAUUGCUUUACUUUGUCAAAUUGAACCGGUAGUAUGAUAAAACAUUAUUUGAGCUAUGGUCUUGACGAAGGCGACUGGUCUUUUUCAUCUUUAAAUUUUGGCCUAUGACAACCCUUAAUUUUCAGUAAAUGCAAUCACAUCAAGUGCAAUGUCAUUGGGCGCCACAUGCUCAUUCACAUUAGGAGUCAAACCAUAGUUUGUCAAAUAUUUGAGAGUUCCAAGGCCACUCACUUCUCUUGCAAUAGCCGAUAAUCUCAAGCUAGUGGCAGAACUUAAAUCUUUUCGGACUACUCCACACCAUAUCACCAAGUCGUCAAAUUAGUGUUUAUUUACAACUCAAUUUCUGUAUGAUCGAUUUUCGGUUGAAAUAGUAUCGUAAGCAUUCAUCAUGUCUCCAAUUUAAGGAAGAAACAUAACCGUCAUUCCAAUCACUACUCAAGUAUUUUCCAACUACUCUACAUAAUGCCACCAAGUCGUCGAAUCGGUGUUUCUUAACAACUUAGUAUCUAUAUGAUCGACUUUAAGCUAAAAUAGCCUCAUAAGCAUGAUCAGUUCUUGAAUCUAAUGAAGUGGGAUAACUUUCACUCAAAUAAUUGCUCAAGUCUUUUCUAACUACUCCGUACCAUGACAACAAGUCGUUGAAUUAAUGCUUCUCUAGAACUCAAUAUCUAUAUGAUCGACUUUAAGUUGAAAUAGCCUUGCAAGCAUGAUCAUUUCUCCAAUCUAAUGAAGUAAAGUAACCUUCACUCUGAUCAUUGCUCAAGGCUUUUCCAACUACUUUGUACCAUGCCACCAAGUCAUCGAAUUAGUGUUUCUUUACAACUCAGUAUCCAUAUAAUCGACUUUCCCUUAAAGUAGCCUUGCAAGCAUCCGAUCAAGGCUCUGCGACACCCCCCCCCCCCCUUCAAACGAAAAAAACAAAAAAAACAAAGCCUUCCCAUCACUUCGUUGACCGGCAAGAUUGGCCGGGCUUGCUCCCUGCUCAACGGCCUCCAGAAAACGUAGCCUCAGGUUAAAAAACCAAAAUAAAAUAAAAUAAAAUAAAAAUUUUAAUGUAAAACUUGUGAUACUUUAUAUUUUUUAUUUAUGAUGUCACGUCACUAUAUCUUGAUUGGAUUACUUGCGAGAAUCUUUACAAUAAAUAGGUAAAGGUGUCGUGUCAAGGAAAAUUUUAAAAAGAUGGAAGACGGUCUUCUUUUUUAUGAGAAAACGUGAGAUGGUUCUCUACCGCCUUUGUUUCCUUUUGUUUUGGUCCAUGUUGGACAGGAAUAAGGACAAUCUAGGAGUUUUAAUUUCAAUGGAAAGCACAUUUUGCCGGGUCGUUCUCUUCUCAAGGUUUGUCAUCUUUUUGGCACUUUGGGUGAGAUUGAAUCAUUCACUUAGCAAGUUCAGGUGAUGCUAUCUCAUUUGGAAUGAGUAAUGCAUUGUCGGUAAAUAGUUUUAAGGGUCUAAGUUACUCCAAGUAUAAUAUAUCAACAAAAUCAACAUUAUCGACAUUUGGUAUUUACUCCACAAAUCAAUAACACAGCCAGCGAAUCAAUGUUUGUCCAUUAGCGAUUGAGGAAAGGAUGGAGAAUUAAUAAAUAUAUGUCCACUAGCCAUGGAGGAAAGGAUGGUUUACCAAAUCAAAGUUUGUCUAAUCACUAAUUGUCUAUGAGCGGUACAGGAAAGAAUGAAUACCUAAUCAAUGUUCGUCCAUUAGUGGUGGAGGAAAGGAUGAAGACUUAACAAGCAUUUGUCCAUUAGCGGUGGAGGAAAGGAUGGUUUACCUAAUCAGUAUUUGUCUAACCACUAUUUGUCUCCGAGUGGUGCAUGAAAGAAUGAAUAUCUAAUCAAUGGUUGGUCAUUAGUAGGGGAGCAAAGGAUGGAGACAUAGACACUGGUGAUGGUUACUGGUUAAGAAAUCAUCCAUUUCUAUAUGCGUAUUAGAUGGUGACUAGGACAUUAGGACUAGUAACUAACCAAUGUUUGUAUCACUCGAUUGUUUAUGUGUCCACAUUGUUGUCUUGAUUAAGGCAACCGAGUGUUAUUUUUAUUUUUUUUUGGCCGGUAACAACUUGGCGCAUUUUGCUGCCAAGUUUUCAGCUACCCAAGGAACUGACUCGUGUUUAGAUUAAAAAUGGUUUUCUAACAUGUAUUGAGACAAUUAUUACACGAGCGGUGUUUACAGCAAGCUAAAAUUAACUUUAACAUCGUAAUCUCAUUUUGACGAUGACAGACUAUAUGAAGUACUUAUUACACGGGCGACGAUUCAAGUCAAAUCAUUUCGGCACUUUAACAGUCGGUAAUCAUAUGAGUUUAUUUUCUCUUUAAGCCACUUGGUGUUAAAAAAUGCAAAGAAAUCAAGCAAAGAGCUUGCAUGCCAUGUAGAUAUUACUUGAUUGUUGAUAAGCUACGGGUCGAAGGGUCUAAAGAUAAUGUCUCGAAUUGCUGGAAAAGCAAAUUCUAAGGCAAGUCUUAAGAAUUAUAAUCCAAGCCCUCCUAUAUGGAGAAAUUUGACAAAGUCAUUCAAGAGGAAUAUACCUGUAAAAAUCACACAGACUAUGUUAAUAUACACUAGCAAAUUGUAAAGAAAGUCGCUGCUUCCAUAACUAAAGGGAAAAACCCAAAAGAUAAGGGGGCGGCUAGCUAUGAUUAUGAAAUUUCGUUGUAGAUCUAAUGACUAAUAAUUUUAAUAUUAAAUAGGAGGUAUUGUUGUAUUUUGUUAUAUUAAUCAUAUAUUUAAACAAAGAAGAGUGCUUUACUUUGCCAAAUUAAACCGAUAGUUUGAUAAAACAUCAUUUGAGCAGGAGAAUUAAACCUCUCUCUGUUCUAUUCUUUCUUUCUUUUUUCUCCAUAUAGUUACAUUUCGAGCUUGAGCUAGUAAUCGAAAUGAGUUGAAUAUAGAUUUGGUGCAACCUACAAAGACCCACAUAAUAUAUUAAGUGGCUUAGUAGAGUUAGGCACAUUCCAACCAAAAAAAAAAAGAAAAAAAAAGGACGUACAUGUCAUGUGGGUGUGGCCUGUCCUUAUGUGUAUGUUAUCUUUUAAGAAUUACACUUUGUUCUUUUGAUUAUAACAAAUUGUAUGAAGCACUUAUUCCACGACAGAUGAUAUAAGUCGAAUCAUUUUGGCACUUUUAACAGCUGGCAAUCAUUCGUUUUCCAUAUUUUCAAGUCACUUGAUGUGCGUGCAAUAUUUCUGGAUAGUUUAUAAUUCCACUUUGCGGUCUUGAUUGAGGCGAUUGAUCUUUUUUUUUUCUUUAAUAUUUGGCAAGUGACGACUUGUGCUACUAAGGAAGAAGAUUCCGCAUUUCACGGUUAACGUAGCAGUGGAACCAUACCUUAAAUUUUAAAAUGCAAUGAAAUCCUGCAAACAGUCUACCUGCAGUAGUACUCCGAUUGUUUAUAAUUCCACGUUGUGGUCUUGAUCAAGGCGAUUGGUCUUUUUCUACUUUAAUUUUUGGCCUACAAUUAUCCGCAAUUCAUGGUAAACGGAAUUACAUAAGAGCCAUAUCAUUGGGCACCACACUUUUAUUCACAUUAGGAGUGAAACCAUAGUUUGUCAACUAUUUGUAAGUCCUGGGGCCAUUCACUACUCUUGCAAUUGCCAAAAGUCUCAGGCCAAUUGUAGAACUUAAAUCUUUUCCAACUACUCCGCACCAUGCCACCAAGUCGUCGAAUCAAUGUUCUUUACAACUCAGUUUCUAUAUGAUCGACUUUCGGUUGAAAUAGUCUCGUAAGCAUGAUCAUUUCUCCAAUUCAAUGAAGUAAAAUAAUCUUCACUCCCAUCAUUGCUCGUAUCUUUUCCAACUACUUCACAUAAUGCCACCAAGUCGUCGAGUCGGUGUUUCUUUAUAAUCCAGUAUCUCUAUGAUUGAUUUUUGACUAAAAGAGCCUCGUAAGCAUGACCAUGUCUCCAACUUAAUGAAGUAAAAUAAUCUCCAUGCAGAUCAUUGCUCCAGUCUUUUCCAACUACUUUGUAUACCACCAAAUCAUCAAAUCGGUGUUUCUUUACAAUUUCGUAUCUUUGGUUACAUUUCGGAUCUCCAUAGUCAAUAUCUAUCACCUCCCCCUUCCAAGUAAUUUGGAUCUUUAAUAAGAUUUUAGAUUGUUGAAUCGCUUGUACUAAAUCUCGAGCGUUAUCAAAUUGAACAUUAUCAACAGUUGUUAUUCAAUCUAUAAAUCAAUAAUACAGCCAUUUUAUGUUUUAGAAAUGUUUUGAUCUAUAUACUAUUUUAUAUUGACUGUGGACUAAAAAAAGCCUACAAAUGUAUUAAAAUUAAUUUGUUGUUCAAAUAUUAAAUUUAAUGUGAGUAAUGCUUUUCUAGUAAAAUUAUAAACUCAGUCUGAAAUUUAGAUCAAUUCUAAAUAUGUUGACCUAAUGUUAUGUGGGGGGGGGGGGGGGGGGCGCAAACAUUUCAGAAGUCCUGAAAAAUAAAUUGGGCUAUUAUGGACACUUAAUUGAGAUGGUGGUCCAACUGUAAUCUUAAGGUAUUCUCAUACAACUCCUUUUGCUUUUCAUUUAGGUUUUUGGCCCGCUCGGAUUUUAGAGAAAAAUAAGCACGGCGACUCUUUACUUUCUAAUAAGAGCCUCGAAAUCGGGUAAACUAAGACGCCAAAAGGAAUCUUUCAUUUAAUUACAAUCAUUACGGUUUUCGAAGAAGAAUUUAAUAAACAAAAACCCUUAAAAGGCACAAAGAUACAUAGAUCGAAGCAGGAUUGGCAAACAACAUAAAAUUUAAGCAAAGUUAACGAUAAAGAGAAUCACGUGAAAGGUCAUAUCAUUGGAUACCACACACACUCACAUGGCUAUGUUAUAUAUAUACAUACAUAUAUAGAUAUAUAUAUAUAUAUAUAUAUAUAUAUAUAUAUAUACUACUUUAAAUAUGAGGUUUAAUCUAUUUUGCCAUUGCUCGUACUUCAACUUAAUUAUUCACAUUUUUAUUGAAGGUGUUUAAUAAAUUUGAAACCCCAAUCGUCACCUCGUCUCGAUUCCCACAAGUACCCAUAUGCACAAAUCGAUGCAUAUAUUAAUAUUGUGAGAAGGAUUAAAGAUGCCACUUAUUACAUGCGCAUGGGGGUGUGGGCAGUCCUUGUCCGUUUGUUCUCUUUAUUAACUACAUUUUGUUAUAUCGAUAAUGGCAAACUAUAAAAAGUACUUAUUAAACUGGCGAUAACCCUAGUCGAAUCAUUUUCUUACUUUAAAUUUUUUAUAUUUUUUCUAAGCCACUUGAUGGAACUGCAAUGCAAAAAAAUAUAUUGAAGUUCGCAAUUUUUUGUCUUGAUUGAGGAGACGAAAGAGCAGUCAUUUUUUAUAUUUAUUUUUGGGCAAUGACAAACUUGAACAGUGUGCUGGCAAAUUUUCAGCUUCCCAAAAAUGAUGCUUAGUUAACUUAACUACAGUUAUGUUACAGAUCUCCGUAAUCGACACCCAUAUCCUUCUUCUUUCGAGUGGUUUGGAUUUUUGUUAAAAUUAUGAAUUGUUGGAUCUCUAGUACUAAAUCUUGGCCGUCAAUAGGUAGAAUAUUAUCAACAACUGCUAUUCAAUAUACAAAUCUAUAACACAAGCCCCCACAUACAUAUAUCGAUGAAAAUAUUAAUAUAAUGAAGGGAUUAAAGAUGCUACUUACAACGUGCGUGUGUGGGUGUGGCCUGUCCUUGACCAUUUGCGCUAUUAAUUAAGUUUUGUUAUAUAGACAGUGACAGACUAUAAAAUGUCCUUAUUAAAUAAUGGAUGAUCCAAGUCGAAUCAUUUUCUUACUUGAACAGCUCGUAGUCAAUUUCUUUAACCCACUUGAUGGAGCGGCAACUCAAUUUUUAUAGUGAGAAGAAAUCAAUUCAAGUCCUCAAUGGAUUGAGGAGGACUAAGAGCAGUCAAUUAUUUUUUAAUAAAUAUCACUAAAAUCUUCAAAUUGAUACUUCUAUGAUAAUUUAUCCCUAAACUAAUUUUUUUUACCACCAAAAUCUAAAACUAAUAUAUUUGUAAUAAAUUUAAUUCCAAAUUAAACUUUAAAUUAAAACAUUUGUGACAAUUUUGUCAUCCGUUAGUUUCUAUUAAAUGGGAUUAAUAUCGCGAAAAGACACAAACCAAUACACUUGUAACAAAUGAAUCAUAGAAUUCCAAAUUAGUAUAUCCGUCAACUACUAUAUGUUAUCCAACAUAGUGAUUUAACGGUAAAAUUUAAUGAAAACUAAUAUAUAGUAAAUUUAUUACAUACGUACAAGUGAUAGAUUUUUUAUAGUCCAAAAAUUAAUUUAGAAUAAAUUUAUCAUAGAUAUACUAAUUUGAAAUUUUUUAUGAUAUUAAUCUCUAUUUUUUUUUUUUUUAAUGUGCUCCUUACAGUUUCCCUAAGAUUUGACCGGUGCUUAUUAACUAAAGUGAGAUUACCGAGUUGCAUGGUCCUUGCCGAUCUUCCCUUUCUUUCUCGCGGUUUGAGUCCUUGUCGAGGUUUCGAAUCCUUGAAUCUAUAGCAAAUAUUAUUGUAGCCGCUUCAUUUGAAUAAAUCUGGAAUGAGACCCCUUAGUAGAGGCUUGGUGUUCAGAAAACACAUCAUAAUACUAUCCCCCAUUAAUAUUCACUGCAUAGGAAGAGUGUAAAAAAGACUUCCAAGUCACCGCCGAUACAAGUAGCGUCUCACACCUAGGGCCCCGUUCUACUUCAUAUCAAUGUGUCCAUCAUCACUUGUCAUUACUAGACUUUGGCUCUAUAAAAAUAUGAUUCAACAAGCGCCUCCCCCCCCCCCACCCUUCCUCCUCCCCCCAAGAAAAAAAAAAGACCCAAAGCUGACUUAAUGGAAAAAAGCGAUGGUAAUGCUCCGGUCUAAAGACUCAUCACAUAUCUCUCUACCGCCCUCGAUUGAAAAAAUAGCAAACAUUAUUGUAGCCCCUUCAUUUGAAUAAAUCUGAAAUGAGACCCCUUAGUAGAGGUUUGAUGUUCAGAAAACAUAUAAUACUAUCCCCCAUUAAUAUUCAAUUGGUUUGACCACAAAAAUUGCCCCAUGCCCCAAGAUAUGUUUUUGUCCUAAUAUAUUUUUAUUCAUCUCUUUUGAUUAACCAUUAUUCGAUUUGGGCAAUUGAAUUUUAUUGAUUUUACACUGAUGAAAAGGAAAUAUUCUCAAAAUAACACAUUACUGCUUAUCAAUGAUUUUUUAACAUGGAUAUUUUACUAUGAAAUCCGUUCACAUAUGAUAGUUAACAUUUACUCGAUACAAGAUAAAGGGUAACGUGCAAUCUCAUGAAUAGGUUAAAAAAUGAACAGUACAUAUUAGUUUUAACAUUUUUCAAUAGUAAGAAAUCUUACGUUAUUGUUAAGUCACUUGAGGAUAGAAGCCCUUUUGAAAAAAAAAUAAAAAAUCUUGAGGAGGUAGUGACCAAUUAUAAAGGGGCCUUGCUUUUUCUGGAUGCCAUGAGAAAAUUGAAUUUUAUACGUGAUACUUUGUUGGGGUUGUUCCAAAUCUAUCCCUAGAAAAUUGAAUUUUGUAAGCGAAUAAAAAGCACAAAAUGCUAAAAUACCCAUUCUGUUGUAGUUGUCUUCCUACAUUCCAUAUUUUUAGAUUGUCAUUACCUUUCUUGUCUUCUUUAUUUUUCUAUUAAUACCUACAUAAUCUCUCUGUGUGGAAUGAGCUCUGAAUUGAACCAUGCUUAUGAAUCUGUUUGUUGGGUGUAGAUUUUUUUUUUUUUUGACAAGUUAUACUUGUUGAAACAAAAUUAUAGACUCACUUCACCCAUGCAAUUAAUGUGAGGAUCUAUAUCUAUAGAAUGACAUGAGAACAGUCUUUCACUUAAGAGCUGCCUUUAAGGUUAAUACAUAGCACUCUAGAUAACUAGAAAGGAUUUUUCCUUCUUCCAAGAAUUGGAUUUGCUACAUUCUCCAUUAAAAAAAAUGUAGCCCCCUGGUCUCCACCUAAGCUAAUCUUAUGCAAAACCGACUAGAAAAAGUCCACUAUCUAAACCACAAAUUGUCCGCAAUGUGAGAGUCCAAUGCCACUCACUACUCUUGAAAGUGCGGGCAAACUUGUAUAUUAAACAAAAUAGUUGGCUGUAAUUGUAGAUGAAUUUCUAUAAAACUAGCAAGAUUCGCACAGGGGCUGAGGUAAUUUUUUAUAUUAUUUUAAAUGUUAUUUUUAAUCUAUUUCGCUUUUGUUCCCACUUCAAGUUAGUUAUUUUUCAUGAAUUUUUAAUUUUAAGUUUGUUGUAUCGUGAUUAUUAUUUGUCAAUAUAUUUUAACUUAUGUUAAUAUUUUUAACAAACAACAUAGACAUUCAUGCCAAAAUAGAGAAAUAUUUGACGGCCAAUACUUUAACAUCCCUACGAGGGAAAAUGGUAUAAAAUUAGAAAGAGUAUGAGAUAUUGUUUAGAAGUUAAAAAAAAGUUUGGAUAAAAUAUAAUGUAGAUAACACUUAAAACUUGAUGUUGCCAUAAAAAUAUGCUUUGGAAUAUUAAUCUACACUAUAAAUUAAAUGAACGACCACUUCAACAUCACAGUUUUACAAAUAAUUCCAUGAAAACAUCCAUGCAUAUACUAAAAAAAGAAGUUCGGAAGUAUCCAGUGAAUCUCCUACGUUUUAAAUUAUGAUGAUAUUGAUAUGCAUCUCCUAUCUUCCGCUGACGAUUGCUUCCUUGCACCGAAAGGUGAAAUUGUCAAGACUAAAACAACAAGAUUUCUCUGGUUGACAAAUAGCUGUUGGGAUGAUUGGUGUGCGCACACAUUUGGUGGAGCUAAUUAUGCACCCAUUUUACACGUGAUACUUUGUUAGGGUCAUUCCAAAUUUGUCUCUACGUAAUAUUUCCUUAAGAGAAUCCAAGGACAAAAUGCUGGAAUAGCCAACCUCUUAUAUUUCCCCUUAUUUCACAUUUUUAGCUUGCCAUCACCUAUCUUUUUGUCUCCUUAAUUUUUCCGUUUUCACAUGUAGUAUCUCUCUGUUGGAAAGGGCUUUGAAUUUGAUUAUGCUUGUCAUUGUGUAUGUUGGAUGUAAAUUUUCAUUUUUGAGAAAUUAUACUUUUGAUACAAAAUUAUUCACUAAUUCACGUACAAAAAUCAACAUGAGAGUCAAUAUCUAUAUAAUUAUGCAAUAACAGUCUCUUCUCUAUGCCCUGCCUCUAAGGUUGACACAUAGCAUUCUAAAAUAGCUAGAAAAGACUUCUCCUUAUUUUAAGAACUGGAUCCGCCACGUUCUCCAUUAAAACAAUGUGCCCACUUGGACUCCACCUAGGCUAAUAUUUUGCUCUACUGACUAGAUAGAUUAUUCAUAUAUCAUGAUGUACUUAUAGGCACUAAUCCCUUAUUAGCUACGUGAGUUCUACUCAAUCUAAUUACAAGGACAAUGUCUCUCAUGACUUUAAAUUGUUUCUAUCUAGUCAAAAUGUUUUCAAACGGUCAUAAUUCAUAUAUGGGAUUAGGGGUACAUUGACAUUUCCAACACAACAAUUUUUUAUGGGCAAGUUUGUCAUGUGAAACUAAUAAAGAGAAUUUCAGCCAGUUUAAUAUUCAAAACAGAUCAGAGACCAAUAUUAUGCCUAUCUAUCAUAUGAUACUAUUAAUUUUUAACGUUAUACUUACUUAGCGUCUCUAUCUUGCACUUAUUGAUAUUACUAUAUGAUAAUUUUAUGUUAACCUUGUCAUUUUCUUAAGAAAGGUUCAGAAUAGAAAAUACAAUACUCUUUACUAUAAAAAUUAUGCUUACAUAGCCCAGAGUUGGCACAAUUAGUUGGGUCAUUAGGGAUUUCCAACUUAGGAACUAGAGAUCGCCGGUUCGAAUCCCACAAACUACAUGCAAACUGUUUUGGGUUAUAGUCACCUACAUAGACCAAAGAUCUGAGUUUAAUUGGUUCCUGGAAUUGGCAUGAUAUUUCAUGAGCUUCUAGGUAAAUGGCUCUCCACACUCCUACCCCUAUAUCGCACAAGCGCGCAUACACACACACUCACUUUAGGAGAAUGCUAACUUUACAUGGUAUUACACUUUAGGAGAAUGCUAAUUUUACAUGGGAUUUUUUAUAUGCACUUAUUCCUCAUAAAUUAGGUAGUCAUUAUACAUAAGAUCUUUGUCAACUUAAUUGCAAAGAGAACAUUCCCAUGACUUUGAGGAAUAUUACCAAUCGAUCUUAAACAUAUUGUACGAAUACCAAUUUAGUUCUAAACUUUUUGAUUUUGCCAAUUUAGUGAUAAACCUUUGUGCAAAAUUCCAAUAUAGUCUUUUUGGCCAAUUUCCGAUGUUGAAAUGGUCAUGUGUUGCUUAGAAUGGUCAGCAAUGACUGGACUGUGACAUCAAUAAUUUCAAGCAAAAAUUCAUCAAAAGGGUUAUAUUGAAAUUUUCCGUAAAGGUGUAAAACUAAAUUGACAAAAAAUUGAAAUGAUUAAAACUAAAUUAGCAUAUGUAUAAUAGAUUUUAGGAUUGAUUAGAUAAUUUUCCCCAUGACUUUAAUUAGUCAUAAUAUUUUCUUUGUUAUAAAUUAGUCAUAACAUUUUUAAAUAGUCAAUACAAAUAUAAGGUUUAUGACGUAAUUUGAUAUUCUAAUCUAACAAUUAUGGUUGAGUUUGAGAAAAGGAGCGAGGAAGUUAAGGUCUUGUUUGGCAAAAAGUGUUUCUGUUCCCCGGAACACAAAUUUUUGUUCUUUUGUUCUGGGGAACAAAAAAAGAACAUAAACGUGUUUUGUAAAACUUUUGUUUUCCCAGAAAUAGAUUUGGAAAAAAAAAAAACAAGAAGUAGAAAAAAAGUAGUUUCUUAUUCUUGGGAACAAUUCCGAAAGACAAUUUUUCUCUCUCUUCUUUUUUCUUCUCUUUUUUAUUUUUAUUUUUUCUUUCCUUCUUCUUUCUUUUGGCCGGUCAUCGGCCUUGGCCAUGGUCGAUGAUCAGCCAAUGAGGACCAGCAACCUCACCGGAGCGUCCCCGACCCCCAGCGAUUCCUCACCUUGCCUUGGCUGGGCGAGCUUGAGCUCGCCUAGAUUUGGCGAGGCCAAGCUCGCUCAACCACCGACGAGGCUCGACUUCGCCAGAUUUGGGCAAGUGCAAGUUCGCCUAGCCAAGGCGAGGCCGACCUCUUGUCGCCUGGGCGAGGUCGAGCCUCGCUAGUGACCUGGGGAGGCUUCGACGAGCUCCCCGGCCGUCGCGGUGGCUUGGCGAGGCUCCAGCGAGCUCGCCGAACCUCGCCCAGCUAAUCGCCAGCCACCGCUGUGGCUGACAAUCAGCCACAAAGGAGAAAGAAGGAAAAAAAAAGGAAAAAAAUAAUAAAAAUAUUAAAAAAUUAAAAGAAACAAUAAAAUUAUACAAGUUUACGAAAUGCAUUUAUAUUAUUGGAACAUGAAUUUUUUGCAGUUACCAAGUAUGUUCUUAUAUUCAGAAAUUAUUCCCUGAAAAAAAAUUAUUUAUGUUUAAAAAUUAUUUCUUAAAAUAGAAUAGUUACCAAACGCGCCCUAAGCAACCACUUGGUGUUCCGGUUGAGCAAGCCAGUGAAGAAGACGCGUGAGUUUACUUUUUGCUUUUGUCCGAGUAUACGAGUAGUUAAAGAAAACCAAUGUCGGAAUGCACUCAUUCGAGGAGCUAUGCGUAAUGACUCAGCAAGUUGCAUAUGAAGGAAACGCCUUCAUAGUUAGUGGAAUAUGCCCUUUCAACGAGAUUCACAUGGCACUCGGCAUAACAUUUUGUUGUUGUCCCAUAUGAUUGUGUCAUGAAAUAUGAAUACGCAAGAGUGAUUUUAAAAAAAUUCCGCGAGUUCCAUGGUCACUUUGGUCGACAUCUAGUUCUAUUUGCUUACACUUAUAUAUAAAAAAAAAAAAAAAAAAAAAAAAAAUUCUGCAUUUUGCUCUCCCUCGAGAAAAUUAAAAAUGGGAAAAAAAUAGGUUUCAUAAAUUAUGAAAAACCAUAUAAUAACUCUACUUGUCAAUAAAUGUGUGUUCUUGAAAAUUCUAAAAAUCAAUAUUUGAUAAUUGCAAUUUUUGAAAAAUAAAUGCGAAAGGAAAAGCUCUGGACAGAACCAAGCAUUUGGGAAAGAAAAGAAAAAGAAAAAGAGGGUUUUGUCCUGUGGGAGGGGGAGGGGGGAGACUUUAAUAUGAAUGAGAGCCCACCGAGCAAUGGCAAUGAUUUUGCGUGUUAACUUUAUCAUGUAAAGAGUACCAGUGGUCGCUAUGAUUUUGCAUAUUAAUAUUAUCAUCUAAAGGGUAGUAGUGUUCGAGAUAGUAAACUAGUUGAAAAAUGUUAAGAGAAUAGCAAAAAUUUAAUUUCCUAAGAAGUUCUAAUCUAACAAUUACAACUGUAGUUAAAUCUAACCUAGCAAUCAUAAUUGGCUUUAUAAUCUAACAAUCAACCUAUUUAUCAUGUUAAUUCUAAAUUAUUAAUGUGACUUCAUGGACCAGCACAAUGAGCGGGGGGUAGGACUAUACCUAACCUUAUGUUUUGUCCAUCAGGCGUGGAGGAAAAACUACAUGCCUAAAUUAUGUUUCUCUAAAGCGGUGAAUGAAAGAUGAUAUCUAUCAUGUCAUUGGCAUGGAGGAAAGGAAGGUGAUUUCGCCAUUGGCAUUGGUGACCCUGCUCCCCGUAUUAAUAGAUUAUUUAUUAGACUACCAUCCAUUUUCUUGAUUGCCGCGACUGACAGCAAUCUUUUUUAAUUUUUUUUAACUCUUGGCCAGUGGAGUCUCUAAGGACUUGGAGCCCCUUUGCUCCCAACUUUUUAGGCCCCUGCCAUGGAAAAUGUUUCAAAAAAAAUGUUUCUGGAACACUUUUUGUUACUUUUUUUUGUUCCCGGAAAACAAAAAAGGAAUAGAAACGCGUUCGGUGCGUUUCUGUUCUUUUUUGUUUUUUUUUUUCCCGGAACAAAAUUGGAGCAAAAAAAAGAAACACAAAAAAGUUGCUUCUGGAGAAAAGAAACACUUCUUCAAAGCCAAAAAGAAACGCUUAUCUUCUUCUCUCUCCUCUUUUCUUCUUCUCUCUCUUCUCUUUUCUUCUUCUUUUCUUCUUCUUUUUUUCUUCUUUUUUCUUUGGCCGGCGAUGCCGUCGAGGGUCGGCGACCUCGCCGGAGCGUCGCCGACCCCCGGCGAGGCCGAGCUCGCCCAGCCAAGGCGAGGCUCGGCCUCGCUCGAGGGGAGAUCUUCGGCUAGGGUUCCGGCGAGGGGCUCCGGAGGACGGUGCGACGGCGGCGCGGCACUAGAGGUUUCGGGAUCGACACGGGGCGACACGGGCAAAGACUGGCGGACGGCGUCGCGAAUGGCGUGGUGAGAUCGGGACGGUGUCGAGUUGCAGGCUUCGGGGCGCAGGUGCUAAGCUCCGACGGCAGGGCGGCGAGGCUCGGCCUCGCCCGCGCCGGCGACGCCGAGCCUUGCCUUGGCUGGGCGAGCUCGGGCUCGCCCAAAUCCGGCGAUGCCGAGCCUCACCAUGGCUGGGCGAGCUCGAGCUCGCCCAGAUUCGGCGAGGCCGAGCCUCGCCGGGGGCCGAGCCAUGCCCAACCACGGCGAGGCUCGGCCUUGUCGGGGGCCGGUCGCCGGCCUCCGGCGACUGGCCAAAAGAAGAAAGAAAUAAAAAAGAAAGAAAAAAAUGGAAAAUAAAAUAAAAAUAUUAAAAAAUUAAAAGAAACAAUAAAAGAAUAAAAUUUACCAAACAUGUUUCUAUUCAUUUUUUAUUCCCGGAACAAACGUUACCAAACGCGUUCUUUUGUUCAAAAACCGUUCCUCGGAACAGAAACACUUUUUUUUAUUUCUGUUCCCGGGAACAGAAAAUGAACAAAAACGUUUCCAUGCAGGGCCUUAGUUUCCGAAGGAAUUGAGUGGGGUUUAGUUAAAGUCUUAACUGAGGUUAGAUUUCCGAGCUCCAUAGUCCAUACUCAUCCCAUCUUUCUUCUCGUGAUUUGGGCCUUUGUUAAGAUCUUAAAUCAUUGGAACAAUAGUAGUACAUCUCAAUCGUUUUUUUUUUUUUUUGACCUAGGAAAUUUCGUAUGGCUAGCAACUGGAAGUAAACCACUGAGGGCGAAACGUGCUAGUCACCACACACGUGCUACCAGGUAAGUCGUCAAAAGUCUCAAAACUAGCUUUCCUGCAAGGCGUAGGAGCUUUGAACACUAGAUCUCUUCGAUGGAAGUCUAGCGCCUACCCAGCUGAGCCACCAUGGCGGGUGGUUUAUCUCAAUCGCUCUUGAUCAAAUAUUCCAGCAAAAAGUUACCAUGUCUCUUUCUCCAUUGAUUCUCUUUGACGCUCCCCUUCCUUCAUCUUUUCUCGCACUCAUGUCUCUUUGCCUUUUCGUCUUUCAUCAUUCUUGCUCUGUUCCACUUUUUCUUCUCCUUGCUACAGCCCUACUUCAUCCUCUUUUUCUUAAGUACGUACGGCCCUUUUUCAUCGUCCUCUCUCUCCCUCUCUAUGUCCCUCUGCCUUUCCUUUCGAGGGGUUUUUAUCCGAACGUUUUCUCGCUCUUUCUUUUUCGGAAUACAAAUCAAAGAAAAUGUCAGAUCGAUGUUGCUUUUGAGAAAAAUAGAAAAUUAUUAAAUUCAUAUUGAUAUGUAAUUGUUGAUACAAGUGUUAUGAAUACGUAGCAAAAGUUCAAUCCGAGAGGUUAUCAAGAGAAAGCUUGAGCCCAUUAACAUAUUAAGUUAACUCAUCUUUAUUAAAAACAUGAGCUAAAAAGUUAUUGAUCAAUUAUAAUAUAUUAGCUGCUUAAUACUAUAUUAAUUCUCUAUUGUGAAACUUUUCUAACCCAACUCACACACAUCUUAACAUUCACCUCUCGCGUGUUGGCUUAGUAUUAUGUCUGCUUCCCCUUGAUUCAAGUAUCGUUCUCCAUUAACAUGACUCAAUUAGAAUCUUCGCUUUGGUGCGUCUCCUAACUAAAAUAACAACAAUGCCCAUCUUCAUCCCUAGUCUCUUUCUUCAAAUUGAAUCAUGAAGGUUACCAUCAGAACCACAUUGUUACACAAUAAUGCCCACCUCCAUUCCAAGUCUCUUGUGCUAGAAUGAACUAUGAAGGCUGCCCAAAAAUUGCGUUGAUCACGAGAUUCCUUUCCUAAGAUAUUCUCCAAACAUCGGUAUACAUUCAAAUUGGCCAUUACCUAUCAAUCAUCGGCCCUGAAUCAUCGGCCCUGGCAUCAUUUCUUAGGAGUGUCUAGCAAAAAUUUGAUACCUUUAACCAAAGAGAUCACCAAAGAAAAGCACAUGUCCGAGCUGGCCAAUAUGUUUUAUUGAAGCCAAAUUCACUCAAAAACUAGGAUAUAUUAAUUGCUCCAUACCAUACUAAUUCUUCGGUAUAAGACUUUCUAACAUAACUUACAUAUAUCUCAAUAAGAAGUAUCUAAGUAAUGGUUAAAAGAGUGAGAACGGAGAGAUAUUGGGAAAAGUGCCAAAAAAGUCCUAAACCUUUUGCUUUUGUGCCAAUUUAGUCAUAAACCUUUUUUUGGUGCCGAUUCAGUCAUAAACCUUUUUAAGUUGUGCCAAUUCAGUCAUUUCUGGCCAAUUUUGCUGACUGGACGCUGGCCGGCUGACGUGGCAUGAUUGGUGCUGAUGUGGACAACUUUUAAUAAUAUUUUUUUUUUAAUUUUUUAAAUAUUUUUUAAAUACUUUUAAUAUUUUUUUAUUUUUUUAUUUUUCCUCCAGCCGGUCGCCGAGGUUCGCCGACCGGCCAGAAGCGACCGCCGGCGAGAGCGAGGCCGACCUCGCCGGCGAUCACCUCUGGCCGGUCGCCGGGGGUCCAGCGACCGGCUAGAGGAAAAAGACAAAAAUAAAAAUAAAAUAAAAUAAUAAAAAUAUAUUAAAAUAUUAUUAAAAAUUGUCCACGUCAGCCGCUCGGCGUCCAGUCAGCAAAAUCCGGUCAAAAUUGCCAGAAAUGACUGAAUUGACACAACUUAAAAAUGUUUAGGACUGAAUUGGCACAAAGACAAAAAGUUUAUGACUUUUUUGGCACUUUUCCCGAGAGAUAUUAGAUGAAUUCCAACCACAUUAUCAUAUGGCAAUUUUUGAUAAUGUUCCACACGGAGUAUGAAUGUGUCUACCUUAAAUAAUUCACUUCUGUAGUGGUUCCAUCAAUUUGUCAUUUGACUCCUUUUUUGAGUGGAAGUCAUGAUGGGGUUUUUUGGGAUUUGACAAACUUUAACAGUAACUGCUUUUAGCCUCUAGCGCAUGAUCAAUGUCGAUACUGAUAUGCAACUCCAAUUUUCCAACGAGAAUAUUUUCAUCAAGUGACUAGUGUGGGAUGUUAACAAAGAAGAGUUCCGCUAUUCCCUUCCAAUAGCGACGGCGCAAAUGGGACCACGAGUUAUAUUAUGCUUGUAAUGCGCAACCGGAUUACAACUUUAAAAUGGGAAAUCUUUACUAAUAUCCUUAAAAUAACUUUUAUCCCUUUCUGAAUGAAAUGUCAGUCAAAAUGCCCUCCCUCCAAAUUGAGCACCAAGUAAAGUCAUCAAUCAUUUCUUUUCGUUACUCUUGAAAGCAUAAAACAUUCAAUAUAUAUACUAGCGUGCAACUAACGUAUAACCGCACACAAUCUCGUCAUAAUUAUAAAUAUACAUACGUAUGUAUGUAUGCAAGCACACAUGAAUAUGUCUAAAAGUAUAUGUAUUUUAAUUACCUCUUAUUUAGUUAGAUAUACAUCUUGAUCACAAAAAACUUUUUUUUUCAAAGAAUUGGCAACCGGAUGAGUUUUGAAAUGACUUGCACUUGCACUUCUGCGUUCUCUUUCAAAUGUUUUUUUUUUUUAAAACUUUAUUAACAAAGAAAAAGCUUCACCACGUAUUGUUGCAACUGUUUCUUCCUACUUCCUCAUUAAUUGAAGAAUUAUUGUGUACAGCGGACUUAAAUAACAACGGCUCUAUACUUGGUUACCGCGAAAUACUAUACAGCCUAUUAACAUAUCGUAAAAUAAAAAAAUCACCUUUAACCUCUUUCAGUUAAUUAAUACAGUAAAAAUAAAAUGGGGGAUAUCCAAUCAUUGCAAAAUAACGUAAUAUAAGGUGUUGACUUGCAUAUUGAUUUUUUCUUUUUUGAGAAACCCCUUUUCAGAUAGGUGAAGUUCAUAUUAAAGGUAAAGUGAUUGAUGAAAAUAAUGCCAAUACCAAAACGAGACCAAAAAUAUGAUAGAGAAGAAAGACUUUUAACACCAAAAGAAAUGGAAGUUGGGUUGUAUCGAAUAAGUAUGUAGCUUUUUUCUUUUUUUCACUAAGCAGAGAGGAGAAUCAAAAUACCUAUCAUGGGCAGGGGUGUGGAGUUUAACUCUUAGGAGGAGGCUUAUGAAUUUUAUAACAAUUAUGAGAAAGAAGUAAGAUUUUGUAGUAGAGUUUCAAAAUUGUAGAAAAGGAAGAGUAGAGAGGCAAAGUGAAGCACAGUUUUUUGGGGCUAGCUCCAAAAAAAUAAAGCAUCAACUUUAGUUUGAGGGACAAAUCUGACCGAAACUUCUUUUUUGUCUUGUAAAAAAGCACAAAUUUUAGGUUAAGGGACAAAUCCGGCCUAAACUAUUUUUUUGUCUCGUAAAAAAAUGUCAAUUUUAGGUCAAGUGACAAUUCUAGCCCAAUUUUUUUUUUCUCGUAAAAAAUUACAAACUUUCACCAUUAUUCAACUUUCUAUUUGAAGUUAAUCUUGUUUCAAGAAAAAAGUUUCUAGCCGUGAGCUUGGCAAAUCUUGUUCAUGGGGUCUCUCGAUGGGCGGUGGUCCAUAGCUUCAUUUUAAGACAAAUUGAAUUAUUCAAUUUACCAUUAUUCUCCAACUUGUGGCUCAAACAAGAAGAUCAUGAAUAGUGUUUUAAAUCUGGCCAGCAAGUGCACAUGGAUUUAUCGCUAAAAACAAUCAAUGGAUCUAAAUUAAAGGGGGCUAAAUUUAGGAUUUAAGUGAAAAUUGGUGAUUUUUUUUAGACAAAAAAACUUAGGAUCAUAAUUGUAGCUCAUCCCAAAGUCAGUGUUUUUUUAUGUGACAAAAAAAAAGUUUGAGCCAAAUUUGUCACUCGACUUAAAAUUAGUGUUUUUUUAUGAGACAAAAAAUAGUUUUGGUUAGAUUUGUCCCUUAACCUAAAAUUUGUGCUUAUUUUUGGAAUUAGCCGCAGUUUUUUGCUGCAUUUGUCAAAGGCUCAAGAAAAAAAAUGGUUCAGUUAAGUCGAUUCAUUUGAAAAGGUUAGAAUUCAAUAUUUUUUUUAAUCACUCAAGCACAAAGAAUGAGAAGCCCCAAAAAUGUACAAAAAUAUCUUUAUUAGUCUAAAAACAACCGUUCUGGUGUUUUUCUUUUCUAUUUUAGCAAUAUAAGUCAUAUUUAUAAUAAAAUUAAUAAUAUCUUUUUAGUGAUAAUUUUCGUACUUGUGAUUCUUAUAUUGUAGCAUUCAAUUUCCUUCAAGUCAUUUUUCCCUUGCUUUCGUAAGGAUGGAAAUUCAAGAAAUUAAUUGGUGUUUAGUUGAGGCCUUAAUCAAGGUUAGGUUAUAGACAAGAAAAUCGAACAUGCACUCUAUUUUUAGCUAAAUUUCCAUAUUGGUUAUGUCCAUAGUUUUAACCCACCAAUCAAAGAAUUGGUAAGGAUGGAAAUAAAUAAACUCUGACUUAAUAUAAACUCGCAUACAUUAAGGAAGCCAUUGCUCUCAAUUAACAAAGAAAUCCAAUGAGAUGUAAAUACUAAAUCAUUCCAAAGCAUGAGAAGAAAAUGUAACCUUAUCACUGCUGCGUCAAAUAAAUUUGUCCUUGUCUCUUUCACUUUUCCCAACCUAUAACAGUUGAAACGAGUAAUCUAAUAUCCGCCAACCUUUGUAUCACUUAUAUUAUGUUUGUGUAUAUGGGGCAGCACACUAUCAUUAAGAUAUAGGAAAUGUGUGAUUAGCUCUAUUUAAAAUCAAUUAAAUGGGAUUCCUAUCCACGUCAAUAGUAUGCGAAUCAAUCACCAAAAGAAGCAAAUCCAGACCAUGUAACUAGAGACAAUUUUUUUUUAAGAACCUCUGCGGAAUGCAAAAUACACUUGUACUUUACAAGAAAAAAAUUUUAUGCUUACUUAACAUCACCAUCUUGCAAUUAUCAAACAUCAAUAAUAUUAUAAUUUUAUGUUAACACAGUCAUUUUCAAAAUGAUAUAGAAUGCAAAAUACACUCAUUCUUUAGAAUAAAAAAAAAAAAAAAACAUGCUUACUAAAUCCUAGGAGUAACAUAGCUGAUUGGGAUGCUAGGGGAUUUCCAACUCACGAACAAGAGGUUGCUUGUUAGGAUCCCACAAACUGCUUUAGGUUGGAGCCAACUACACAGGCCAAAGCCCUGAGCUUAACCAAUUCAUAAAGCCUACAGGAUAUUUCAUAGAAUUAUGGGUAGAGAGGUCUCCAUACCCAUGCCCCCAUAUCAUAAGUAAAAUUAUAUGCUUACAUUAAUAGUAUCCCAAAUUUAUAUGGUACUCUUUUUAUAUGCACUUAUUUCUCAUAAACUAGGUAGUUAUUAUGCAAAAGGUCCUGAUCAUAUUAAUUACAAAUAGAACUUCCCUCAUGACUUUAAUUAGUCAUAACAUUUUUUUUUUGUUAAAAAAUUAGUCAUAAUAGUUAUAAAUAUAUGGACUUAGGCCUAAUUUGAAAUUCUAAUCUACCAAUUAUGUUGGUAAAAAUGGAAACAACUUCAAUUUUUUUUUCUUUAAAACAGAGUUCUUUUUCCCUUAAACGGAUGAUUCAAGGGGCUUUCUGUCAACAAAUAUGUGAAAAUUUUGAAUACUACAUAAAGACUCAAGAAUUAUUUUCAUCCAAUGGGCAAUAUCAAUUAGAUAUGAGGGUCUAAAUUAGCCCAAGUCUAUUUUGUCAAUAAGUAGAAAACUUGCAAAAAAUUGCAAUUCAACUUACAAGUGAAUAUCAAUAAUAUAAUAAUUUUACGUUAAAAUUGUCAUUUCUUAAAAAUGAUAGAUAAUACAAAAUAUACUUAAUCUUUACAAUAAAAAUUUAUGCCUACUUAACCCCAGGAUUGGUUCAACUAGUUGGGACAUUAUGGGAUUUUCAGCUCAAGAACUGAAGAUCCAUUGGAACCUCACAAAUUGCGAGCAAACUACUCUAAGUUACAGUCUCUUACAUAGGUCAAAACCCUAAGCUUAAUUGAUUCAAGGACUAUAGGAUAUUUUCUAGGCUUCUAAAUAGAUAGGUUUCUGCACCUAUGCACUUAGAUUAUUAAAAAGAAAAUGCUUACUUUGGGAGGAUGCUAAUUUUAUAUGAGAAAUUUUUCAUGUGCACUUAUUCCUCAUAAACUAGGUAGUUUUUAUGAGAAAAGGUCGUUAUCAACUUAAUUACAAAGAAUAUGUCCCUCAUCAUUUUAAAUAGUUAUAACCCUUUUUUUUUGUUAGAAAUUAGUCAUGGUUGGCAAAACAAUUAAACAACUUAAAUUUUUUCCCUAUGAACUGAGGUUUUUUUUUUUAAUUAUAAAUUUAAGACAUGAUUUGAGGGGCUUUCUGUCAGCAAAUUUAUGAAAAUUUGAAAGAUAACACAUGAAAUUAAGACUCAUUUUCAACUAAUGUUCAACAUCAAUUAGAUAUUAUGGUCUAAGUCAGCCCGAUUCUAAUAUGUCACUAAGUAGAACAUUAUCAAAAAUUGAUCUUCAAUAUAUAAAUCAAUAACGCAGCCGGUGAAUCCAUUUUUGUGUUUAGCCGUGGAGGAAAGGAUGGUCCCUAAUGAAUGUCCAUGAGCGGUGGAGGAAAGGAUGGAGACAUAGACAUUGGUGUGGUGGCCGGUCAAUUAAUUAAAAAAAUCAUCCAUUUCUCUUUAUAUAAAUGUUUUUUUUUUAAAUAGUUCAGCCAUUUCUUUAUAUUGCUCGAUUGUUUCAUUCAUAGUUCAUUGCCUUAGUGACAAGAGGAUUAUGCAAGAGUCUUGGCAGUUGGGUAUUCCUUCCCAGUAAAAAUUAAUUCAUAAAAUGACAAAUAAAUUCUUAUUAAUUAUUGAUACGACGAGUGAUGACUCUUGCAGCUUCUCAUAUCUCUUUAAAAAUAAUCUUAUAAAUGAACCAAAUGUCUAAGGAUUAGUUGACAUCCAAUAUCAUCAAUCAUGUUAGAAACUAUCAUCGAUAAAUUGUAUUAUACAUUUGGCUGAACAAAAUCGUGUUCUAUAAUUAAAAUACUAUUUUUGUACAAUCUUUGUUGGAACAUUUAUGGUACAGCAAAUUAUAUAAAAACUGCCGAUUAGUAAGGAUUUACACAUUGAAUGAUAUAUUUCCCUCUACUUUUUUGUAUGGUUGCCAGUAUAGAAAGUAAAGUUUAUGUAAGUAUCUCAGUUGGCUAAAUUCUCAUCAUGAAAGCACAAGGUCAUCAUAAUGUUUCGUGUGUUACUUGACUUUCACUGUUAUAAUGACUAAAAUGCUUAGUAGCCUGCAACAACUAAUUUCAUAUAUGUAUAUGUGUAGGCUAACCUCUUCCUGUGGAAGGUUAUAAAAGUGAAAAAAAAUUAGGGUUAUAAAUUAUCAAAAGCCACAUGACUUUAUUUGUCAAUAAUUGUAUAUUUUUGAAUAUUUUAGAACCGAUUUGUGAUAAUUGCAAUAUUUAAAAAAAACAUUAAAUGUAAAAUACUCCAAACAGACCCAAGCAUUUGAAAGAAAGGGGGGAAACUUCAAUAGGAACAAGAGAGACGCAAAAUAAUGUUAGCGGUGACUCGGGAUCGUUCCCCGUAUUAAUUUUAUCUUGGAAAGAGUAGCACUACUCAAGAAAAUAAAUUGAUUUAAAAUGUUAAUAAAGAAUGGCAAAAGUUUAAUUUACUUAGAAGUUUUGAUCUACAAUUCCAAUUCAAGUUACGUCUAAGGUAACAAUUACAAUUGACAUUAUAAUCUAACAAUUUGCUUAAUUACAAUGUUACUUCUGCAUUUUAAAUANNNNNNNNNNNNNNNNNNNNNNNNNNNNNNNNNNNNNNNNNNNNNNNNNNNNNNNNNNNNNNNNNNNNNNNNNNNNNNNNNNNNNNNNNNNNNNNNNNNNUGUUUGUCCAUUAAUGGUGGAGCUAAAGGAUGCGGAAACUUACCCAUUGGUGAUGAUGAUUGGUCAAGUUAAGAAAUAAGAAAGCCAUUUCUAUUACCAUAUUCAACUUUUAAUUAAGAAGUAUUGAGGGACACUGAAAGGAGAUAUCACCCAUGAUAGUAGUAAUAAUUUAUUUGCUUAUUUUGCUAGACUCAAAUUGGUUGAAAAUGAGUCUGGUGCAGACCCACGUAGGCUCACGUGGAAUUGGUGAUGCUUUUUUCAUAUCAUUUCAACUGGCUUAAAAAUUUCAAGUGUCGCACCAAAAUUUUGAUAAUGGGUUACAUACUGCCACCUCUAGAUGAAACUACAUGUCACGUGAGUUUUGAUCCGUCCUCGUCCUUUUGUUCUCUUUAUUAAUUACAUUUGCUAUAGCGAAGAAUGACAAACUACAUAAAGUACCUUUUAUACAUGAGCGAUGAUUUAAAUCCAAUCAUUUUAAUAAUUGCAUUUUGAUCGAAGGUGUUAUAUUCGAUUCGGAUUCUAAUCGUCACUCCAUGUUGAUUCACAAAAGUGCCCACAUACAAAUAUUGAUGAAAAUAUUAAUAUUAUGAACAAGAUUAAGGAAUAAUAUUAGGAAAAAUCUUAAACUGAUACACAUGCGACAAUUUACUUCACAUUAAUUUUUUUAUCACAAAAAACUCCCAAACUUAUACAAUUAUGAUAAAUUUAUUCUAAACUAAUUUUUUAACAAUGAAAAAUCUCAACCUAGUACACAUGUGAUAAAUUUACUUCAAACUAAUUUUUUUACCGUCAAAAACCAUAAAUUGAUACAUUUCUGACAAAUAUACCCCCCGUUAAAUUAUAUUAAUACCAGAAAAAAUUACAAAACCGAUACACUAUAACAAAUAGAGGGCAAAAUCUCAAAUUGGUAUACAAGUUAAUUACCACAUGUCAUCUAAAUCAGCAAUCUAACUAGAAAAUUUAACAAAAACUAACAGAUAGUAAAUUUCUCAUAGAUUUAUCAGUUUAGAGUAUUUUAUAGUCAAAAAAUUAGUUUUUUUUGUAAAUUUAUUAUAAGUGUACAAAUUUAAGAUUUUUUGUAGUAAACAAAAUUAGUUUGUGAUUAAUUUAUCAUGUGUACCAGAUUAAAGAUGAUAUUUGUCAAGUGCAUGGGUUGGUGUGACCUCUCCUUAUCAAGUGGGCGCCACCUAUUUUGUUAUUUGUUGCUCUUUCUUAAUUACAUUUUGUUAUAUCAAUUUGACAGGGUAUAAAGUAUUCAUAUAAUUUUAGUCAAAUCAUUUUGUUACUUUAGAAAUUGGUAAUCAUUCGUAUUUUAUUUUUUUAAUCCACUUCGACGAGCGUGCAAUUCAAAUAAUGCAAAGAAAUCAAUUUACUCCACAACUGUGGCGCGACGGACAGCUGCCGUAAUUAAGGUACAUAUUGGUGUUUAGUUAUGGCCUCAACUAAGAUUAGAUUUUUCUAAGAUCUAAAGUCUGUUGUCCACGUGACUAGUGGAUCAUGCAUGAGUCUUGUGAGUUGGGUUUUCCUUCCCAAUGAAAAACUACUUCACAAAAUGAUAUAUGAACUCAUAUUUAUGACUCUUGUGGCUUCUCAUGUAUUUUUAAAAAUCAAUUUUAUAAAAUGAACCGUGUAUCCUAGGCUCAGUCUACAUCCAAUAUCAUCAAUCAUGUUAGAAUUAUCAUCCACAGAUUGUAUUGUUGUUUAACUCAGAAAUGGAUUCCAACCUGAGUAGUGAACUAUCUUCAACCAAAAGAUAUAUCUUUUAUUUUUAUGAAAGGGGUUUAGUGGCGAUUUUUAAACAUGAGUUGCAAUUGGCAUGAUAAUGAAGAUGAACAACGAAUUUAAAGGUAAAAGGUGAUAGUAAAUGUUGGAAAUUAACAUGACAUUUAAACUGAUAAAAGUAUAUCAAAAAAUAUUAGUAAUCAUGAUGAUCCUUGCAAUAAUUAUAUGUUGCCAUUUUAUACUCCGCCAAUCAUAACUGCUUAUUAAGACGUAACCAUACUAGAUGCAGUUGUAACUGCAUUCCCGAGAUUUUAGGACUCCUAUCUGCACAUCGAUGCUAUCCACAAGCUGUUACGACUCUUUAAGUGUCACUAGGUUAACCGUUGCUUGGUGCCCUUAUCUUUAGUCGACAUUUUCACUAUCUCCUUUCUUCUUAGUUGAUAAUUGUCGACCAGUCAUCGUGGUACAUCGACAAUGGUAUCCUCAAUCGUCUAUAAUUACUGUCCAUUGUCAUUGAUAUGUGCUUCUAUUGUCCUUAACUUACCAAAAACCAUAUCAAUUGUCACAAACUCUAUACCCAUUUAUAUCAACAUUACGUCGUUCACAAAAAACUUCAUCAUUUUUCGGUGUAAACAAUUAUACAUCUGGCUAAAGAAAAUCUAAUUAAGCGACUAUCAUGUGAUUUAAAUACAAUCUUUAUUCUAACAAUUAUGGUACAACAUAUUACAUAAAAUGUACAACCAAUCAUAUGGGAUUUACACAUUGAAUGAUAUGUUCUUGGCUACUUAUUUGUGUGGUUGCCAAUUUAGAAAGUUAACUUUACAUGAGUAUAUCUGUUGGCUAAAUUCUCAACGUGAAAGCACAAGGUCAUGGACUCAAUUUUGUAUUGCAUGCUACUCAACUUUCACUACUAUUGUGACUAAAAUGCUUAGUAUCCUGCAACAACUAAGUUUGUUUACAUAUUUACAUAAGCCAAACUCUCGUCAUGGAAGGUUGUAGACCUGUCAUGCAUAGCAUGUUGUGAUGCAACUUGACUUCUGCACCAUAUUUAUAGUGUCAUUAAUUAUAUGUAUUUAGUCAUAUUUACUUAUGAUAAAUACAUACCUGCAUAAUAUAACCCUCUAAAAAUUUAUAGUUUUCAUUCCAUAGAAAUUUUGUAACAAGGGAUAGUUUUUUCUCUUAUUGAUUUGCUAUCAAUUGUUUCUUUUAAUUUUUAAUAUUUAUUGCAAAGCAUGUACUGUAAUUUCGUUUUUAUGAUGAUAGAUAAUUUUUUGAAUUCUCUAAGAUCAUAUAUUUGUCAAAUAUAGACAAUCAUGGAAUAAAAGAUGUUUCAACAUUAAGCAUCUUAUUUAUCACAUACAUGAUAAAUAUUUAUAUUGUCGAUUUGUUAUAUAUAUUGGCUAUCACAUCACGUAUUUUUUCUAAAAGUUUGUCAAUGAUAUACCUGAAGAAGGGGUGCCCAACGUCGAUCGAGCGAUCAAAAAAGAUUCCCAAGCAUCUUCAUAGCACGACCCAGCAAUCAUCUUCUUUGGGGGUCCUCAGGCUAUAAAGCCGAUUUCCUUCCUUUUGGUCCCUCUGUAAAAGGCAACCAUACAUUUACUUAAUUAUAAAAUUCGAAAGUUAUUGUACACUUAGUUAUAUCUUAUUUUUGAAAUAUCUAAAGUCAUGUAGUGAAUCCUAUAUAUAUAAAGUGGGUAUCCAUGCAUUAUUGAACUCCUUCGAGAGAUUGUCAAAAUUUGUAAAUCAAAAUAUUAACGGGGAUAUGUUAAAGUGGUCCUCAAAACCAAUUUGCUAAAGUGCAAAAUAGAACUGAUAUUCAAAUAUACAACAUAUGUUUAGGAAUUUGGGAUUUGUUAAAGUGACCAUCGAUAUCAAAUUGUUGAAUAAAGCUUACACAUGAUUGUGCUUGCUCAACCCUCAAGAGAGUUUUACCAUAUAUAUAUAUAGAUAUAUAGAUGCUUUUCUAGGUAAAUCAAUUUAUUAAAAUGACUCAAUUUGUCUACCAUUUAAAUACAAUGAGGAAAAAAAACAUUAAUUUAUCCAGGUCAAUCACAUGUUUUGAACAUUAUGAGUCUCACGUAUGACCGAAAUAAUUUAUUAGUGAGAUUGGGUAAGUCCAAGCAAGAACUUGCAUGGUAAAAGAUUUUACCAUCAUUUAGGAAAGAGAUAUUAUCAGGUAGAGAGUAUUAUUGUACUGCAUAUUAGUCGGAAAAUAGUUGUUUUCCGGGGCAUUUUUCCUGACAUUAAAAGCUUACCUAAUUGCCAUCGCACAAUCCUCCCCCCCCCCCCCCAAAAAAAAAAAAAAAAAAAAACCAUUAGGAGGACUUAUUCUGAGAAAGAAUAUAGAUGCCGUUUUCAUGUAUUUUCUGAAGUACUCUGGAAUUUCCGAGGGACCACUUGUGCUUUUCUGCCUUGGCCAUAUGGUCCACAUUAAAAAUUGAGUUGCUGGCAGACUGUAAAGUCACGUGGGUGUGGCCAGUCCUUGUCCAUUCAUUUUCUUUAUUCAUUACCUUUUAUUAUAUCAGUGCUGACCCACACUGUUUAAGUCGACUCAUUUGUUUACUGCUACUUGAACAGCUGAUGAUCAUCUCUUUCUUCCUCGAUUCAUCGCUAUUCGACGCUCCCCUUCCUUCGUCCUUCUUUCGCGCUCGAAUCUCUUCGCCUCGUUCGUCUCUCGAUCUGUUUCACUCUUUCUUCUCCUCAGCACAAUCAUUCUUCCUUUUCCUCCUCUUCUUCAGUAUCUUCUCCUUCUUUUCAUCAUUCUCUCUCUGUAUCUCUCUUUCUUUCUUGGAAAAAAAAAAAAAUCAAAGAAAAAAUGUCGGUCGAUUCUGUCGUUGCUAUUGCGUAUGAUGUCUUCAAGAGCUAUGUAGUUGAUCCCGUCAAGCGUCGAUUCAGAUACGUGAUCUCCUCCAAGAAUUUCGCCGACGAUCUUCGGGAGGAAGUCCGGAGCCUGGAGAAGGAGGCUCAGAGGGUCCGUAUUUUGGCAGAAGUGGCCCGAAACAACCUUCGGAAUUUCUAUGGUUACUUCCCAGAGUGGCAGCAAAGUACUGACAAGGCCUUGGAGGAGGCGGGAGACCUGUUGGGCGACAUGGGUGAGGCGAGCAAGACUUGCUGCCACGGGACUCUUCCCGACGCCAAAAGUCGCUAUCAGUUCAGCAGGAAGGCCGAGGACAAGAUCAAGGUCAUUAAGCAACUCGCUCAAAAAGGCAGCGGAUUCAAGGAAUUGAACGACAUCUCCUUCACAGAUCCUGCUCCGGGAAAUGUCACUGCUACGAAUCCAGCCAGGAGAGAAGGCGAAGAAUUCGUCCAGCCGACCACCGCAACGGCCUCCGCUUCUCCUGCCUCGACGUCAAAUGAGCUUAGUAAGGAUGGCGUCUUCGAAUCCAGAACUGCGAUCAUAGGGGACAUAAUGGGCGCUCUUGCCGAUAACAGCAAUAGUGUGGUCGGGGUUUACGGGAUGGGUGGGGUCGGCAAGUCCACCCUUUUGGACGACGUGGUAAGCAGAAUAAGAGAAGAGAAGCGGUUCGAUCUGGUCGCCAAGGCCGACGUGUCACAAAAUCCUGACAUCAAGAGAAUUCAAGGUGUGAUUGCCCAUGUGUUGGGCCUGGACAUGAAGGAUUAUGAGUAUGAGAGCUUGCGAGCGGAUCGUCUGCGCGAGAGGUUGGGAAAUGAGGAAAAGAAGGUCCUCAUAAUACUGGACAACCUAUGGAAAGGGCUUGACUUGAAAUCUGUUGGAAUUCCUUGCGGGCAUGACAACAAAGUCAUGGGAUGCAAGUUGUUAUUGACGUCGAGAGACCGAAAUGUUUUGCAAAGGGAAAUGGGCUGUGACAAGGACUUCUUUCUUGAUAGGCUGGAGGAGAAAGAGGCAAAAAUAUUGUUUGAGAGGAUGGUGGGAGAUAAAGUUCAUGAUGAUGAGUUCAGAUCCAUGGUGAAUGAAGCACUCCGCAAAUGUGCAGGUUUGCCUUUGUUAAUUGUCACAAUGGCGAAACAUUUGAAAUACGGCCGUUUGCCUGAAUGGAGGAAUGCUUUAAAUCAAAUUGAGCGGUGUUCAAACAAAGGGUUAAGUGCAGUGAUCAAUACGAUGUUGCAAUUAAGUUAUGAUCAUUUAGAAAGCGAGGAAACGAAAAAUUUGUUACAACUCUGUGUUGCUUGUGGCGUCUCUAAUCCCUCCGUUGAAGACUUGGUGAGGUAUGGCUAUGGUUUAGGGAUAUUUCAAAAAGAUAUCAGCAUAAAAGAAGCUAGAGAUGAAGUGAGUACACUCAUCCACACUCUUCAAGCCUCCUCCCUUCUGGUGGACAAUGGAGAUGACAAUGCUUUCAAGAUACAUGACUUGGUUCGUGACUUUGUUGCUCAGUUCAUUUUAAAAGAUCAGCCUCUUCUCGUGUUGGAAAAUGAAGAAAUGUUGGCAACACAAUUGCGGAGGGAGAGGCUCGAAAAUUGUAAGGCGAUAUGCUUUCCCUAUAUUGACAUGAAGGAGCUUCCCAAAGAAUUAGAUUGCCCUGAAUUGCACAUCUUUUUGCUUUUCAACAACAAUAUAUCUCUUGAAAUUCCAGAUUCGUAUUUCAACUCUAUGAAGAAACUUGCAGUUCUAAAUCUAACUAGCGUACGUCUCACUCGUUCACCGACGCCAUUUCAGUUCUUGGAGAACUUAUCUACUCUGUGUCUUCAAAAUUGUUCACUAGAGGAUGUGGCCAUUCUGGGCAAGCUAAAAAGGUUACAAGUUCUCAGUUGUGUGAAUUCCAACUUUCAACAAUUGCCGGAAGAAAUUGGGCAACUAACAGAGUUGAGGAUGUUGGAUUUGAACUAUUGUUGGCAUCUUCAGAUAAUUGAACCGGGUGUUCUUGGAAGAUUGAUCAAAUUGGAGGAGUUGUAUAUGGACAACAGCUUUAAUCAAUGGAAUUUCGUGGAGCAAACUCAACCAACUAAUGCUAGUCUGAUUGAGUUGAAUCACUUGAAGUAUCUUUGCACUCUACAUGUCUCCAUUCUCGAUCCAAGUAUGCUCCCAGAGGACCUAGAUGUCAAGAAAUUAACCAAGUACAAAAUCCGAAUAGGUAAUACAAGACGCUGGAUCAAUGACCAAGGAUCGAGGAUUUUGGACCUCAAGUUGGAUCCAAUAAGUGAUGUUCUUCGAAAAAGAUGCAUGCAAAGUCUCCUAAGCAAAACAGACGAUCUGUUUUUGGCCGGGUUGAACGGAAGCGAGCAAAGCAUUUGUGCAUUAUAUCAAGAAGGCUUUCCAAAAUUAAAGCAUCUACUGGUCUACAAUAGUCUUUAUAUCCAACACAUCCUCCGAUGGCAUUCCUCCAAGUCCUUCAGUACAUUAAAAGUAAUUCGAGUCCAAAGUUGUGACAAGAUGGAAUUUUUGUUUCCUCUUUCAUUACUAAGAGGACUUUCACAACUGGAAGAGAUUGAAGUUGUCUCUUGCAAGUUAAUGCGUGGGAUUGUAGAUGCUGAUGAUUGUGGAAAAGUGGAGUUGCAAAAUUUGCGUGUAAUGAAAUUGCACGACUUACCAAAUAUCAAGAAUUUUUUCACCGUCGGGACAGCUCCUUUGAGUAAUACAUCAAAGGACCAAGUUGGCACUCAAAUUACAUUUUUCAAUGGGCAGCAGGUAACUUUCUAUCAAAAGAAUAUAAUAUUGAUUACUUUUUCCUACGUAUGCUAAUUAGAUGCAACACAUAUUAUGUUGCUUAUUCAUUUUGUUAUUUUCAUUUCAAUUUUUUUUCCUAAUAACGUUAUCCGUUCAUGCCUUCUCUGCAAUUCUUUUUAUUGUGUAGAAAUCCAAUGAAAUCCAUGUACAUUUAGUUUGUGAUAGGCUUUGAGUUAAUUUCAAUUUAAAUGCUGCAAGCAUAUCUAUAUUAAUAAGGUUUCAUAAAGCAAAUUUGAAGGGAAUUUCGGCACUAAAGUAAUAUCACAAGUAAUUUUAAAUCUUUUGAAAUAGAUUCUAUUGAAUUUACUUAUCAUAAUAUAGGUGACUCUCCUAAAAACUGAUACGAAAAAUGGGAAAGAGGACUGGGUUUUUUAAAUAAAAGCAACUAUGCUAAUCUAAUUGAUGCAUUAUAAGAGUAUGGAGUUUUGUGCAUGUUCAUGCAUACAUAGAUAUCUUUGUACGUACUUUUGAUAUCACAAAAACAAAUUCACAAUUUGUGUUUAAUAUCCUAUUAAAUUGGUUAUUGACAGUGAUUUACUAAAGGUAAAGAGAAGUUAGUAAACUAAGGAUGAUCAAUUGCCCAAUUAAAAAAAGCACAUGGCUAUUUUAUAUGGGGAAGAAUUGCUGCGAAUAGUGCCUUCUAGUUGACUAGAUAAGAUUGCCCUUUUAUAGUGGCACAAUAUCCCUGAAGUUGAUCAUGAGGCCUAAGACUCACACAGUACAUUAGCUUUCUCGUCAGUAAAGAGUCUUAGAAAUUUAGGUCGUAGGUCCCACACGCUGGUGUGUGACUUAUCUUCUUCCCCUGAUUUGAGCUUCCAUGGAGAGAGUGCUUUCAAAGAUAAUGGAACUAAGGAUAAACAAUUGUUAAAACUAAGGAUAGUAAUUUACUAACAUGAAAGAGAAUAAUUAAAACUAAGGAUAAACAAUUGCCCAAUUAAAGAAAGCUCACGGCCAUAUUUUAUACCCCCACACACAGUUUUAUUUAAUUAGACAAGAUUGCUCUUUUGUAUUGGCGCGGGCCUAAGGCUCAAGCCAUACGUAGCUUCCCUAUUAAUAAAGAGCGGUGGAGAUAUAACUGGUGGGUUCCGCAAGGUUGUGAUGUCAGAGUGUCUCUUGUUCAACCCAUGCUUUGAGCUCCCACGGACAGAGCUUGCUUUCAAAUAUAAACUAGAUCGGGAAAUUUUGCCUUGUGGCUUUGUUUUUUUUGUCUUUUGUUUUUUUUUUUUGCGUGGUAGUCUUUGAGGCUUUUAAUUUUUUGGGAUUCUAAUUCCUCACAAAAGAGUUACUCUUGCCUUGGUACUUCUUUUUAUUUUUAUAUUUUUUUGUGUAAAACCUAUAUUUGCAAAGAUCCAUGGAUUUAUAAUGAAAUACUUCUUAAAACUGUAAUAAAUCUCCUCCAACAUUAUAAAGCGGCGGUAGCAUACAAAGUAGUAGUUAAGGUUUGUCACGGAUGACAAUAGACUAAUGAACGAGGCACAAAAGUUAAACUUGUUGUAUAGGUGGGAGUGAGGGGUGAUGGCGAGAUAUAUGGAGAUUGAGAGUAACUUGGCAUAUGAAAGCUUUCUUAGAGUUGCAGCGAUGAACUUUCGGAAAAAAAAAAAAAAAAAACUAGUUACUCUUCGCGGAAAAAAGAAGAAGAGUAAAUAAAGCUUUCCAUUGUCAUGGGGACCAUGGGUCUCUUCACCUUUCAGACAUGUUGAUUAAUGAAAUUAUGACGACAAGGAUGACUAAUUAGGAUAGGCCAUAUAUGCAUCCGACUUGAAAGGAAUACUCAAGAUAAUUUACAAAUGAUAGGGAAAAGGAAGUUCAAAUAAUCUCAAGUAAUUUACUAUUUUUCAAGGAUAGUUGGGAUCUCAACCGGUGGUGAUGACUAAUGACUACUAAGUUAUUGUGAUAACCCAAUUGUUGACGUGUCUAAUUUCAUGUUAUUUUGUGGGUAAAUUAGUCCUUUUUUGCCUAAUAAAUUUGGAGAAAUCGAAGACAUCUGAGAAGGAAAAGACAAUAAAAUGCUCAUCUUGUUAGAUUUUAUCAAGGAAGCAGGCAAUAAUAGUGUGUGAAAAGUCCUCCUGACCUAAAUGAGAAUGAUGUCACGUUCAGCUAUCAACUCCCUAUGUCCGUAAGUCACGCUCAUACCAUUGCUCGCCCAAGAUUUAAUUUUUGAGUUAGGCUCAUAACUAGAUGAUAUAUAGUAGGACCAAUCUCACCUGAGACUAAUGGGACAUAAGCUGUGUAUAUCUCCAUCUAAUCGAUAUAAUUUGACAGUUAGAAAAAUAUUUCAUGCAUAAAUUGAUUGUUAUUAGUAACCGGAAUGAGAGCGAAUUCUUGAUGAUUGAAAUUCCUGAUAUUGCUAGUAAAAUACAAACAAAAUCCAAUCAUAAUAGCAUCCCUUUUUAUGUCGUAAAGAAAAGGUAAAGUUCAUUAGUUGUCUUUUAAGUCAUAAAUUAGCUUUUGUUUAUCAUAGAUUUUCAUACGUGUGAAAAUUAUCCUAAAGGUUGUACACUAUCUUGCUUAUAAAUUUCUUCGGCAACCAUUUAUAAUACCUGCUAUAUACGUAAAUUUCCUAACUGUCCUUUGUAAUUGUAAAUGCUAUGUUGAUGGAUUUGUCCGUUACAUUUCAAUCCUGUCCUUGUAGUCCUUGACAAUGGGAGGACUUCCCAAUCCAAAAGAAAUAUGCUAUCAAACUAAUUGUAUGAAAUCCUUAGUUUGUGAUAGGUUAUGAAUUAUCUCAAUUUACAUGUUGCAAGUAUAUUUAUAUCAAUAGGGUUUCAUCAAAACAAAAUGAAGGGAAUUUUGGCAUUAAAGUAAUUCCAUAAGUAAAGUAAUAUAUAAUCUUUUGAAAUAUGUUCCCUUGAAUUUAGUUAUCAAAAUUUAUUAUUAUCCACAAAAUGUAUAAUAUAGGUGACUCUCUUAAAAAACAAUACAAAGAAUGAGGAGGAGGACUGAAUUUUCAAACAAAAGCAGCUACACUAAUCUAAUUGAUGCAUGCCUUUUGUGUAUGGUGUUUAAAUAAGCACUUAAUCAUUGCAUAGGCCCAUAACUAUAAGAGUACAGAAUUUUGUGCAUAGUUUUUUAUAGUAAAAGUAGGCCUUGGCAAUUGUAUGAUUUUCAUUAUGUCACAACAAACUCGUCAUUGCAAAUUCAGAAUUGUUGUUCUUGGAAUUCCUAAGUGAUGUUCACCAUUUCUUUACUCCACACAGCAGAAUUUGAAAUCCCCUGUGGUAAAAUAAAUUAAUGUCUCGCUAUAUAAUUCAUGCGCAAGAUUCACCUUAAAGAUCAUCUUAUUUGGCGAUCACCCUUAGAUGCUCCUUUGGCGAGAUUGGGUCACGUGAAUAAGGCCAUGUCUGUAACAGCAUCAAAUAAUGGAACUUGAUGCCUUAAUGGAUAAUUCAAUAUCUUGAAGUCCAAAAAAAAUUAUAGAGACUUACUUCAUAAGUUUUGACGGGUUUUGUUUUUCAAUUCAGCUACUUAGUAUGUGUUAGUUUAAUUUCCAAAGCUUCAAGUGUUCCAUAUUAUAAUCUUCAAGAAAUUUGUGCCGAAUUUUCAGUUUUCUUAUUGUUGAGUCCAUCCAACUUAGAUUGUAACUUUUAUGUGGCUUCAAUAUUUUAUCAAGAAAAACCAAUGGUUGCCUAGUCUCGCAGGACCAUAUGUGGUCAUUGUGGUUUCUCUCCGCGGCAAUCUACAAAUCUAAAUAUCAAGUCCGUUCAACUAAAUGUCUUUGCACUUGGCUUUCAUAGUAUGUAUAGAUAUAAUUGAAUGCACUUUUAGCAUCAUGAACACAAAUCUACAUAUUUAUGUUUGAUAUCCUAUUAAAUUGGUUAUUGAUAAUGAUUUACUAACAUUAAACUAAGGACAAAAAAUUGCCCGGUUAAGAAAAGCGCACGACGAUUUUGUCCAGCAAAUGUUGAGGCGGCUAUUUUGUUGACCAGAAAAGAUUGCACCUUCGUAAGGGCGAUUAGCGCGAAAGUUGAUGGUGGGGCCCAAAUACUAUUGCAAUGUAUUAAUUUCCCCUUAGUCAGUAGAGGGUCCUGGACCUAUUUGUUGUGGGUCCCAUAAGGCAGUGUGUGUGAGCCUUUAGGUCUUCGCUUUUUCAUAAUCGCCUUAGUCUUUGGGGCUUUUAAGUUUUGUCGUAGUUCUCAUCACCGGCCAUGGAUAUCAAUUGAACUUCUUUUGGGUUGAAAUUUGCGGUGGAAAGUGUUGUUAAGUUUGCUUUAUUACACAGAGAGAUAAAUAAUGCUCCACUCGCUAAUCCAUUUCCGAAUGAGAAAUUCUUCUGAUGGAAUAAAACUAGCUCACUCAUAAGAUUAAGCUCAGUAUCGCAAGUUUUUUUUUUUUUUUGAAGGAAAGACUUGAAAUUAGAAAUGAAGUUAGUAUGGAGAUUUUUUUACUCCAUUUUUCGGUUUUAUUAUUCUUCUUUUUUUCCUUUUGUGCAACUUAAUAAUCCCCCUCUUCCCUUGGCACUCUUCUAUAUUUACAUCUUGAAAGUUCAUGAAUUCGAGAUUUAAAUUAAUUACCAUUUUCAUGAGUAAAUUCCGCAGGUUGCCUUUAAGAGAUUGGAGAAAUUAGAAAUCGAUGGCUUGGCUAACCUCAGGUAUAUAUUUUUCCCAUCCAUGGUUAAAUCUCUCACACAGCUGAAAGAAUUGACUAUAUCGAAUUGUGAGAAGAUGGAGGCGAUCAUUAUGGAGGAAGAAGGGUUGGGAAUGGAAACAUCAGAAAUUUUGGCAUAUCCUAUGUUAAUCGAUUUACGCUUAAAACGAUUGAAAAGUUGGAGGUGCUUUUCUCGUGGAAAGUGUAAGAUAAUUUUUUGUUUUUAUCACUAAAGAUUGUCUUGUAGAUAUAUUCAUCUUUGCAAUACAAAUGGUGAUAUUCUUUUCAUCCAAUGAAAUACCAAUUACAGGUGCACGAGAAAGUCAAAGUCAGGAUUGCGUCAGAUCACGCGCCACUGCACUCUUCAAUCAUGAGGUAUGUGAUUAACAUUAUGUCAAGAUAUGAAAUAUAUCGGAGACCAGCAUAGUCAAGAUAAAAACUAAGGAAGUUACUUAUAAUGUAUAAUUCGGUUAAAAUUUUUUAAUAGAAAAUGAGUGGGUUACAAACAUAAGUGUUCAGAGACAUGUAUGAGUUGCAAUUUCUCACUUUUAAAUUCUCUAGACAUAGUUUCCAUAAAGAUGGUUGAACAUCUCUUAUGGUACCUACACAAAGCAUUAACGGGUAAUACAACUAUUGAAUAGGAUCUCUAAAAGCUUUCCAAUAUUCACAAGAAACUUAAAACUCUGAACAACCUUACAUGUGUGGCUUAGACAUUGCACGCAUGUACAUUGAAAGCAACUGAAAAAAACAAUCAAGAGGAAAGUGAGCUGUAAGGUUCAAGAGGCUGGAGAUGAAGGACCUUCAAGACACUCACUUGAUUUCAUUUGCACUUACAAUAUCUCAUUUUCUCUCCUAGUUGAAGGAAGUUUUACUCUUUCAUACCUACACCAGCAAAGGGAAUCGAAGCCUUCUCCGUCGCCUAACUGAGCAAGACCUCUUGAGUCUUGGGCUUCAGUUAUUACCCCCUCUUAGUUUUUACAUGAACCACAGGACUAUUCUUAUAAAAAUUUUAUUAAAGAAAUAAAAUAAUUUUGCAAAUCAGCCAUUUCAGUUGAGUCAUUUGAAUUGUCAACCACAUAGCGGAAGAAUGUUUCCGUGGAAAAUGAAAUAGAGCAGCGUGUGGGUUGUUUGACUUUGACUAAACUAAAAGCAAUAUAGGCCGUUCACCUAAAAUGUUGUUUAUGCAGCCAAAAUAGGCUGUACAAAUGGGCCCUCCCAUGGGAUUAAUACGUCAACCUUCUUAGAUAUUUGUAAUCUAUUAUAACGAGAUAUUUAGCGCUGUUUUUCUAUAAUUUGACUCGAGAAUAUGUAUAUGAUCUAUCGUUUUCAUAUGAGUAUUGGACCUUCCAGCAUUACCAGAAAAUCAACUUUAAAAGGAAAAUUCAAUCGAUUAAGUAUAAAUAGUCAUUUCAAGUGUGGAAUGAUGCGAGUAGGAUUUGUUCAUUUGACCCAAGCAAUUCUUUUUUUAAUUGCUUUCUCUUAGCCUAACUAUGUAAUUGCUUUAGAGUGAUGUAAUAUUGAUUUGGGGCAUUUGGUAUUAGAUAAAAUCAUACCUCCUACUGUAAGGUACCAUUUGAUGGUUGAUUGAUUGCCUUUUUAAUCUCAGUCUCUCCAUCAUUUUCUUUCUAAUGGCUGAUAUUCUUCUUCAAGCAAUCCCUCAGUUGCAUUCUUCUUUUACUACAUCAAUUCAGUGACUUCUUUAAGGGUGAUUACUGUUUGACUUGCUUCUCGUCUCUUUAAACAAAUUCUUCCUCAUUCUUAAUUAAUUUACAAAGUGGUGCAAUUUCACUGAAGAAUUUCAUCCAUAUUGUAACUUAAAUGACCUUCUCUAAGUGGUUUAACAAUUGCUAUGUAUAGUAGCUAUUUCACUCUUGGGCUAGCAAGAAAAGCACAAAGGGAGAGAUUUUAUUUGAGUUUGGGAUCUAUGAAACAAUAACUCAUUAGAUGAUUGUUACAUGAGCAUAUCCAAAUUACCAUUUUGCCAAUAAACACAUUAUGGUUAGAAUUCCUACUUAGCACUUUUUGUUUUGUCUCUAGUGUACUCCAAUAGCCUUCCCAUUUUAGAGUCAUUGACAUUAGUAGUGAGAUUUUUUUUUUAAAAUUAUUUUCAUUUUAUUCUUUUUUUCUUUCGUGCAACUUAAGAUGGAAUUAUCAAUUCCAUGAAUUCGUAAUUUACAUCUUGGAAGUUCAUGAAUUCGUAAUCUAACUGAAUCAACAAUUCUAUGAGUAUUGCAGGUUACGUUUCCUAACUUGGAGAAUUUAUAUAUCGAGGGUAUGGAGAAUAUCGAGAUGAUAUGGGAUGGUCAAAUUCCUGCGAAUUCUUUCUCUAAACUAAAAUUACUUUCAGUGAAUGAAUGCAACACGCUUGUGAACAUUGUGCCUUCUUUCAUUCUAGGACAGCUUUUGAGCCUAGAAACUUUGAUGGCAAGAGCGUGUGAUUCCCUUGAAGUUGUUUUAAAAUUUCAACCACUAAAUCCUCUAUAUGGUAAUAGUGUUGCUCGUUCUCCAUUAAAAGAGCUAAAGUUAGAUGACUUAUCAAUGCUAAACUGUGUAUGGGAUAAGGAACUCUACCAUCAUAUUAAAUUCCAACGUCUACACUUGUCCUUUCGAGGAUGCACUAGGCUCGCCUGUUUGUUUUCGACCUCAAUAGCCAGAGAUCUAAUCCAACUUGAGGAGUUGGAGAUCAAUCAAUGCAACAUUGUGGAACUCAUUGAGAAGGAAGGACUAGAUGGGCUGAGCAUCAAUGUGGAAGCCAUAGAAGGCCCAAGUCAUGAGCUAAAAGUAGCAUCAUCCUUUCCAAGUUAUUUUCAACAUUUGAAGACUCUAGAUGUGUCACAUUGUCAUGGGCUGUCAAAUAUGUUCACAUCAACAAUGGCUACAAAUUUGGUGGAACUCACAAAAUUGAGGAUUAGUAAAUGUGAAAUGUUGACAGAAGUCAUUAGUAAUGAGGGAGGAAAGGAAGGGCAUGUAGUGGCUUUUAAUCAAUUGAAGUAUAUGGAGCUCGAUGGGUUGACUAGGUUGAGAUGUUUCAGUACAAGUGGAUACACUUUGAUGUUCCCUCUCUUGAAAGAUAUCAUUGUGAGUAGAUGUCCCAAGAUGAAGUUCUUCUACGAGGGACCAAUGGAGGUGCCAAAGAUGGAGAGAGUACAAGUAGGUUCGAAAAAAAGGUAUGGAGUGAAAAAGUGCGAGUAUUUUUGGAAGGGAAACCUCAACAUGACCAUCCAAAAUAUGUUUGAAGAAAUGGUACGCUUCACUAAAUUCUAUGCAAUUUGAUUUUUUUUUAAUCACCGAUAAAGUAAUUGCUUUUUUUUAUAACUAGAAUUUUACAUUUAAUGAUGCAUUUUCUAAUAGGCUACAUUUGCUGGGACUAUGUUUAUGUGGUUGUCUGAGUUCCCGGAGCUGAUUGGAAAAUGGCAUGGUGAACUUAAUCCUGUCACGUCAUCUUGGCAAUUAAAAACACUAGUGGUGGAUAAAUGUCCAUCAUUUGUUAACGCUAUUCCAUCCAGCUUUAUGCUUGUUUUAGAGAGAAUGACAGGAUUGCAAGUGCAUGAUUGCGAGGCUCUGGAAGAAAUAUUCGAUCUUGAAGGGCUUGAGGUUGUGGAUUGCAAUCAGAUGCUACCUCAGCUACAAUAUCUGUACUUGGUCAAUCUACCAAAGUUGAGGCAACUAUGGAAUAGAGAUCUUCAAGGAACGAUGUGUUUCAAUUCUCUAGCGCAUCUUAGCCUUUAUAAAUGUAGCAACUUGAGACAUGCUUUUGUUCCAUCAAUGGCUCGAUGCCUUCCCCAUCUAUGGAAGAUGGAAAUAAAGGACUGUGAUCAAAUGGAAGGAGUGAUCACAGAUGAAGAAGGGCAAGGAAGCGCGGUGGAGGAGAUUACAUUCCCAAAACUUAUGUAUAUAACUUUGGAAUGCUUGCCCAAUUUGACUAGUUUUCUCUUGUGGAAGAAUCAUAUGCUAGAAUGCCCUAAGUUGUCAAUGUUGAGCAUUGCCCAUUGCCCCAAGAUGAGAAGUCUAACUUGGCAAUCUUCGAUGGAGAUCGACAAUGGCACUCCUUCCCUUUUCCCUCCACAGGUCAGUCUCUCAAACAAAUGCAUUUUUGGCAUUUCAUUUGAACAUAUUUGUUUGCGUAUAAUUGGACAAUGCAUGAUGUGUAGACAAAAGUGCUAGAUAUAAUUGUUUGUAAUAUCAAUAAUCAUGCUUUGCUCAAAUUUGACCUGAUCUCAUGUUUCAUACCUUAACAAAGAUGAUCAGAAUAUUUGCCUCACCACAAUAAUCCAUGAUCACAUCCAUAAAAGUAUUAAUGCAAAAAAAUUCAGACAUUGAUAACCAUGUGCGGUUUUAAUAUCAUUUAAUUAUACAGAUCUAUGUACAUAAUCUAGUAAUAUUUACUUAACAGAUUAAAAUUUUUAUAAUCCUCAGCAAAUAUAAGUAUCAAUUGUACAUCUCCAUAUAUCUUUAGAAGUGUUAUUUAUGUAAGCUCAUAAAAUCAUAUUGUGUGUAGUACUUCAAAAUUGAUUAUAGAGGGAUUUUAAAAAAGUUAUGACAAUAAACAUAUGAAAACAUUUACUUUUUGCAAUUUCAACUAUAAAGAACAAAACUGAAAACAUAGAAUAACAUAUAAAAAUGGCAAAAAAAUAUGAAGUAUAGCCCACUUCAUAUUUUCUUACGUAGAAACAAACUGGCGUCGUUCCAUUAAACAUGAAGAAAAGGGGAAGAGAAACUUCAUAAUUAGAAAAGCCUAAUUCACAAAUUGCGUAGCUAUUAUAGCUCAUUGUACCAUGAUCAUCUUCCCACAUCAACAAAACUGGAGGAAUUAGAGAGAAUUGCUCUUUUAAUCGGAGUGCUCUAAACUUCAAUAAUGAUUAGUGCAAUGAACUUUUUUAUAUCUUAAUAAUAUUCAAUCCUCGAACUGGGUCUUGAUAAUAAAAUAAAUAAAAAUAAAAAGGCCAAUAUGCAUGAAGUUGUUCGUCUUCUUUGUUUGCAAAUUGUACUUGAAUCACUAUACUCCAACAACCUAUCAAAUUACGAACUUGUAUCAUAUAAUAAAUAUUAACUCUGGAUUAUCAUAUUGAGUGAGAAUUAGUGUGAUAUUGCGCACAAUUUAUGUUUGGCAAGAGAAAAUGCAGAUUGUUUUUUCCAGAAAAGAAAUGGCAAAAAAAAAGGAAAAAAUAAAAGAGAGAAUAGGACAGCUGGACAAUAAAUAGUAGCAAUUCCGUGGGUGGUUGCCGGCAUUGUGAGUCAUAUUUCAUAACUAGAUGAUAAUAUUUAGUCAAAUGUCCUAGCUAAAAUAAAAAUUAAAAAAUUUCGGAAUAAAUUAUCCAAUCAACAACACUACUGAAGAGAAAAUAUUAGGUGCAUUAAAUACACCAUGUUGGAUCCGUAUUAAAUCAUCUACAAAUGGACAUGUGCUAAAGCUGGGCCCACCUAUCAGUUGAACGAUCAAAAUAUUUGCUCCCCCUCCCUCCCUCCCUCCCUCCCUCUCUCUCUCUCUCUCUCUCUCUCUCUCUCUCUCUCUCUUUCCUUCUUUGGUGGCCUUGGGCUCUGUCUGUUGCAGUGCUGUUACGGUGCGCUCACUAGACAAAGGAAAACAAGAAAAAAGAAAACAAAAAAAGGAAGAAAUUAGACAAAGUCUAUUCGAUGAUUUUAGCUUCUCCCACUCUAAGAAAUGUUCGCUCUGAGUCAUUUCGUUUCACCUUGAUCCUCCUCUUCGCGACGAUGGGAAAAAAGAAAGUGAACCAAAUCUACAGAGUCAAGUAACCAGUAACUCUUCUUUCUCCCCCUCAUCCUCUUACCUUCUGUUUUUUUGGGGCGAUUGAUUGGGUGGUCUGUCCAAUGGUUGAAUCGGAAGCUUCGGAAUCGCUUCUCUAAAGCUCGCCUCCUCUCUGUGCGCGUGCUUCCAUGGGUUCCGAGUGAUUACAUGAACCGGAGCUUGUUGGUUAUGGUGGGUUGAAGUGGAUCUCCGAUGCAGAAGCGAUUUCGGCGUCGAUUUAAAAAAAUCUUAUCUUCAGCCCUCUCUCCCUCCUCCUUCGUCCACAGCUGCCCGACCUCUGCCCCUCCUCUGCUGUCGCCAACGGUGGAGUUACCGGCGCCUUGAUUAGGCUGACCCUCGCUAUGUCCAAGCCGAGCAUGGCCGGCUUCCUCUGUUUUCUCCGUCUCAUCAUUCUACAGAUCUCGAAAUCUGGCCGUCCAUAGUGACGGAGUUGCAGAUCUGGAAAUCGAUCACCGUCGCUCGUAGCCAUGGACGAGCCGCUGUCGCUGUAGCCAUGGUUGCAGAUCUGGAAGUCCUGUCGCGAGUAACGAUGGCUUAUGGACUGCCAUUGUCCCCUCCGUUGACGCCCACAGUCGGCUCGUGGUCGGCCUCGUCCAUGGCCGGUCACAACUGCUCGUGGUCGUUGCCCGUCCUGAUCUGGACUGGAGUCGUGCCUCCAGAUCUGGUUUCGCCCAUGGACGCAAGCCUAGCUCAUCCAUGGCUCACGAGGAGACUCCCGCACAGAUCUGGCGACCACUGCUUGUCCAUGGCUAUGAGCCUUGACGGCGAGUUUGAGAUCUCGACGGCUAUGGACUGCGAGAUCAAACAGCGAAAGAAAAAACAGAGAAACAGAUGUCAGGGAAGAAUGGCCAUGGAUGAGAGGGCCGGAGCUUGAAUGCGGCCAUGGAUGAGCGGCAUCAUGAACGGGCAGACCACAAAGACGACGGAGAGGGUUGGACGCCAAGCAAUGGUCGCCUUGGACGCGGCGCCGGGAACUCCGCCGGUGGCGACGGCGGAGGGAGGCGGGAAGGUUGGGCUCAAUGUGGAUGGAGAUGGAGAUGGAGAAGGAAAGUGAGGUGGAUUGAGAUUUUUAAUAUUUAGUCAAUGUCCUGGCUACAUAAAAAAUUAAAAAUAAUAGGAAUUGAUCAUCCAGUCAACACUUUCAUUCCGUCUCAUGAAGUUCUCCUCAUGUGAAGACUAAACGCAAUGAAUGACAACCUCCUCCCGGCACUUCUCUUUUAUGGGUCGAAUCCUCAGGCACUUGAAAAUGCACGAUGUCGACCCAAAUAUGAUUGUUUUGACCUUCUUCUUUUUUUUAUUACAGCUUCCAUGCAAGUUUUGUUUUGUUUUUUUUUUUUCCUGACGGAGGGAAUUUUUUUUUUUAUUCUCAUAAUUCUGCGCAAUUCUUUCUAUUGUUUUAUGUGAGUAGAAUGUUUAAUUAUAACAAGUAUCUACACAUUUGUUUACUUUUUAAUUGUAAGAAUUAUCAUUAAUUAUUUAUUUAUACUGUCAUUUGCAUGUAUAAGUUAUAUUUUAAUACCAAGCCCCGCAUUCUAAGAAUAUUUCAAAAAGUCAUUAUAACACUCAAUCAACAAUACUAAUAAAUUUGGGAAAGUAUGAAAAUAAUCAUCUAAUCUUUUGGUAGUGAUAAGUUGUAAUAGCGUUAAUUUCAUUUUAAUAUCAAAUAUGAGCUGUCAUAUACUAAUUGAUAGAUUUAAGGAAGUGUGGAAAGUCAAUUCUUUUUUUUUUUUUGGUGACAGGUCAUAAUUGCAUUAAUUAUAUUGUAACCAAAUGAAAAAUAUCAAUACUUACUUUUCAAUGAAUAAUUCAUUGGAGGUCAUGAUGUAUUAAAAAAAAAUCUUGAUUUUCUCCAUACAAACAAAAUGCGAUCAGCGGGUGCACACCCACUUUUUGUCAAGGGGUGGAUCACUCGGUACACUGCAAGGUUCUAUUUUAUUUUUCCACCUCAAAUUUGAAUAAAUAUUAUUUCAAGGAUGUUAUUAAUGGUCCAAUGUAAAACUAGUAAAUUGACCCAACUUGUGUUUGCUGAGAUCAUAACAUUAUGUUAUUUAUUCAAGUCGUUAUGUUGCCCAUGCCUAUUAAGAAAUUAUUUUCUUUCAAUACAAAAAAUUUCCAUGCAUAAAAAAGAAAAAGGUUGUGAACAAUUGAAGUUACUAUAAUUUUUUUUUUUAUAUCGGGUUCGCCAUAUAAAUUUCAUGACUCUUCUCUGCAGUGAAUUGUAUUAAUUUGAAGAUUCAUAAGUACUGUUCGCAAUUUAGUAUGAAUAAUUAGCAGUGCUCAUGGUAAAUAGAGGAAAUAAUGUUGAGCCAAGCAUUAGUUUCAUCCAUUCCUUAUUCAAUACAUACACUGCUUAAGUUCUUCGCACCCACUAUUCAUAUCCUUAGUUGACUAGCUCAUCAUCACCAUGCCCUUGCUUUUUCUCUAAUUGUUAUGCAUGUUCACCUUGAAGCAAACAAAUCUAAAACAUAACUGAUCUUUGCCAACUAACAUAACGGAAAUUUUCAGCUUGUAUCACUGAAUCUAAAUGUUGCUCUUUUCAAUAGUUCUAUCGGACUGCCUAGCAAGCUCCCUAAAAUUUUUGCCAGUCUUCGUGCUUAUUCAUUACAAAAAUACAACUUGUCAUGCCUCCAUGGAACCAACAUUGUUUUGCGGGAUUCAUAUUAUGUUCUUCUUCGUCUUUGUCCUCAUUUAAUUGCAUAGAGAAACAGUUGAGUGAGUUAUCAUUGAUGUUUAGUCAACGGCUCCAUUCAUGCAUUAGCAUAAAUAGGAGGGCUCUCAUUUCUUUCUCUUUCAAUUUUGCAUUGUAGGUUUUCUUAUGCUUUAGAUGCUCUUGCAUUCAACUGGAAAUAGCGCCUCUCUCUCUCUCUGUGAUUGUGACAUAAGAGCUACUAUAAAAAAGAAAAAGAAAAAUGAGGACUUAGGAGGAGGGGGAUUAGGAUGAAGUUGAAAGGUACAGAACCAGUCUUAGCAACCAUUUGAACGAACCCAAGUUCCAUGUGCAUAAGGCCUAUCAGCCUAAUUCCCGGACUUUUAAGUUAUCGCUAUGAUUUGCCAAGUAAUUAAGAAAAGUCAACAUUGUCUGGUCACUCCAAAAUCUUAUAAAUGCAUUUAUAAUUUCAUGUUUGUUGCAAUGCAUUAUCUCUAGCCUUAGUCUUCAAUCAACUUGUAUAAAGGCAUCAAUCAACCCCUCUCUAUUUAUGUCACUAAUGAGAUCUUGACUUCUCAUGAUUUGUGAGAAUGAGGGAAGUCUGGAAAUUUCUUCUUUACGGUCAUAACUCAAUGCAAUCACAUUCAUUGUGUCAUUUUUUUUCUCAAUAUGGCAGGUACAAUUUCCUCAACUUAUGCAGAUGGAUCUUUCCCACAUGGACAAUUUAAGCAAAAUAUGGACUGACGGUCCUCUAGAAACUCUGACUUUUGAUUGUUUAUGGGAAGUGAAGGUUCUGAAUUGUAAGAGCCUUGAAAAUUUGUUUCCAUAUUGGGUGGCUACAAGUUUAACCAAACUUGGAAAACUUCAAGUGGAGUCUUGUGAGAUUGAGGAAAUAGUCGCUAGUGGGGAUGACACUCCACGCUCCAAUACUACUCAAGAUCUUUUCCCAAAACUAACCUCUCUGGUGUUACAUGACAUGCCACGACUCAAGAGCUUUUGUCCUAACUUGCCUUUGAAUUUGCCAUUAUUGAAGGAAUUACAAGUGACUCAUUGUGAAAAACUGAGCAUGUUAUCCUUUGUGGCAUCCAUGAACAGAUGGGCUCAAAGAGAUGAUCAACAAGACCUUUCAGAUCAAGAAGCACACUCUUCAUUUGAGAGGGUAUGAUUAUAGUUGCUCUCCCUUAGUUUCUACUUUGUUCUUUAAAGCAGUCACUAAUAUCAUAUCCAUUGCAUAUCAUGUCGCGUUAUGAUGUUAUAGAAAACAUGAUCUCCCCUACCUAUUAGUUUGUCGACAACAUUAAGAUAUUUCUAAUAUCUUACGUACACUUCCAUUUGUGGACAUGCAUAAGAUAUUCCAUUACCUAGAGUUACAAAAAAAAAUUUACAGUAUUCUAUUGAUAACAGAAUAUAUUCCUAAUCUAACCUAAUGGUGCUCUUGGGCAACAUCAAUAAGGAUUUGACAAGAGGCCCUCUCCAUUAUUGACACGUGUUGCACACUUGAACUUUUCUUCUCUAUUUCAUCUUCUACAAACUCUAAAAAAAUUAAUUCAAACAAUUUUUUUUUAUAACACAAAUAACAUUAGUACCUUAGUGCACUAUUUUCUACUGUAUAUUUUAAUACACUAGUCGUCGUGUUAUCCUGUUAUAAUACUAUAGAAAACUAGAAUCCCUUUCCUAUAAGUUUGCAGACAACAUAAGAUAUUUCUUAUAUCUUAAGCAUACUUCUGAAUUUGUGGACCCCGUAUGUUUUAGUGACAUCUUGAGUGCAUCCCAUUACAUAAGAUUCCAAAGAAGAUAAAUUUUUGUCAACAAGAUAAGAUAUUCCUUACAAAAGAUGAAUUUAGUGAGUGCAGGGAUCUUGAAUUUAGAUUCACUCUAUCCACUUGACCAGACCAACCUCUACAUGAGACUUUUAAAAGCUUGAGUCUUGAACACAAGGUUCUUGAGAUAUAAUGAACUUUAAGAAGAGGACCACCUUCCAUGCGAAUCAUCUUAAUAGGUUUACCUUUUACAGCACAUGAUUUAUUGUCGAAACUUUGUUGAAUUUACUUCUCUUGUUGUAUUGGCAAUUCGACAGGACUUUCCCAACUUGGAGAGACUUUUAUUAGUCAAUAACAAUAUUCAGAUGAUACAAGAUGGAAAUUUUCCGGAUGACAUGUUUAGCAAGCUAGAAGCACUAACACUAGCAUGCUUUCAUGAUAAAAAGGCCGCCUUUCCUUCCAUAUUCCUCCUAGAGAGAUUUCAGAAUUUACAAAGCCUUGAAGUCUUAUGUAGCUCCUUUGAAGAUUUAUUCCCGAACGAAGGGCUUGUUGAAGAAAGGAAACAUCCGGUGCUUGAAAAUUUAAGAGAACUUAAGUUGAACAAGCUACACAACUUAAAGUGUGUGUGGAGAGAAGACUCUUUAGUGUCGAAAAUUCUUCAGAGCAUCGAAACAUUUGAGGUUUGGGAUUGUCCCUGUUUGACAACAAUAUUUCCAACCGAGACAUCCUUCCAGAAUCUGAGAGAUUUAGUGGUGAAGAAUUCCUCUAGAUUGGUACAUCUAGUAACGAUUUCGGCAGUCACAAAUUUGGUACAUCUCAAUUUUAUGACUAUAAUAGGAUGUGAAAGAAUGAAAGAAGUAGUGACCGACGAUGGAAGCAGAGAAGGAAAAGUGAUUUCUUUUGAAAAGCUAAUAUGGUUGACACUUGAACAUCUGCCAAACUUAGAAUGCUUCUCUUCCAUCCCAAGUUGCAUAUUUAGGUUCCCAUCUUUAAGGAGAAUUAAAGUGGAAGAGUGCCCGAAAAUGAAGAUCUUUUCUAAGGGUACACUAAGCACACCAAAACUAAAUUCCGUGACACUAUUCAGAUACAAGUGGAAAGGGAAUUGGGAGAAGGGUGAUGAUCUCAAUACAACCAUACAGAAGUUAUCAGCAUAAAUCAAUGCACAUAGAAUUGGUAAGAUCCAAUAGAUGUCAUUCUCUCAUCCAUUUUUUUUUCUUUAGUCUUUCGGCAGCGCCGCAACUUUUUAAUAUUUUUUUUUUGUGACUUUUCUAUUAUUGAUUUCGUCAAAUCAACGUCACCGUCAACCCUAUCGAUGAUCUCGGCUCAUCCUUAACUGAACAGUAGGAAGCAAAGCGGGUCUCUCCUUCUCCUUCUUGACGCCAAAGGCUCUUUCUCCAUCUUUCUUCUUCUUCUUCCUCCUCCGUGGAGCGAAAUUGGGGGAAGCCUCUGCUGCCUUCACAACGGACGGAGCAAAAAUGAAGCAUCAGGAAUUGCCAGGACUGCGAGAAGCGAAGCUGCAAUUAGCGGAGCGGAGCCAAGUAGAUUCAACCAGACGCUGUCGUUGUCGCCGUCGUCACCGCCGGAGGUGGCACAACCGAGUCUGGACAGUUAGUCGUCCACUCACUUCAUCAAAGAAGAAGAAGAUCACACUCUCUCUCCGCAUCUGUAUCCGACAAAUGGUAAGUUCAUGUUUCUUCCGAUUUCGGUGUAUUAUUGUGCGUGAAUUAGGGCUCUCUUCUUCAAAUUCGUUCCACAUUCGAGUCUAAAAGCAGGAGUUCCUCAAACUAGCAAUUUAUUGCCCUUAAAUCUACAUCUUCUGUGCUGCCCUCCCGAGCAUUGGCGAGAUUUCUGCGUGUUUGACCUCUCAUAGAUGGAGAUGAUAUAUUGUGUUCAAGGUCUCAUGUUGAAAUUUCUUUAGGGAGAGAUAUCUCUGUAACAUCAUAUACAAAUUUCUAUCAGGAAAAAGGGAGAAAUCAUGGAACUUGAAAAUAUUCCGAGAAUUCCAUGCCUUGUCAAAAAUCUGAAAUGUCACUUUUGCGCCUUGAUCGCAAUAUAGUUUGGAUUGUCUGAAGAAUCACCUGUAAUCUUGAUUGGUUAAGUGAUGCUGGAAGGAUAAAUUUAUCUCCAAUUUAUACUAAAAUCUUUUCAUAGCAAGUCAAAUUAAUGAAGUGUACUUAAACUGUCUCUAAAGUUAUCGUUUAAGUACAGGCUGGUCCAAACAUUUGAGCAAAUUGAGGCAUCCUGAGCUGAUUUUUUAAGGUCCCAUGCCCCCAAGGCCUCUCACUUCUUACAUCGGCCAACAAAUUUCAAAUGGAGCAUCCCAAUGGAGCAUCCCUUUUUCAAAGGUGGUGAGGAGGCCCUCUUAUGUUGACUUUGGCUUGGUAUGAUCCCACGCUCAUUGACCCAAACUCGCAUGUCUGAAAAUCAAACAUAUGGAUGCUGUUUAUAUCUUUGCUUAUACUCUAGUGUAUUUCCAAGUUGACUUAAUGCAGUAAACAACAUGACAUGUUAUAUUCCUUGAAUUGUUCAUGGGUAUAUGUUUGAAACCAGGUAUAUGUCUUAACAAUGGAGUAAUUGAAGCAGGGGAAACAAUGAAAGGACGGUUAGUGGGACUUAAACUGGUGGUUGAGGUUUGAAAGAAUAACAUUUGUCCCCUUUUUGUCAAUACACGUGUUGGAAAGCAAUUGCUGAGGCAAGUCCAAAGAAUUAGAAUCCAAUUCCUCUUAUAUGGAGGAACUUGACAAUGUUAUUCAAUGCUGUAAAAGUAGAAUAUAUAUGUAAAUCACACGAGGAGACUAGUUGAUACGGACAAGCAAAUUGCAAAGAAUGUCACUAUCUCCAUAACUAGAGGGAAAGACCUGAAAGAUAAGGGGGUGGCUAGUUAUGGUUCUGAAAUUUCAUUGUAGAUCUAAUGACUGAUAAUUUUGUUUCCAAAUAGGGGAUACUAUUUUAUUUUGUUACAUUAAUCGGAAAUUUGAGAAAAAAAGAUGAGUUUACUCUGUCAAAUUGAUUCAGUAUUUUGAUAAAAUUUGAGUUGCGCUUGAAAUAAUUGAACAGCUUAGAUUAAAAUUUUUCACUUCCAUCCGUGUUCCGGUCAUUGAUGUCUUUGCCUUUUCCCCUGCUCUUGUGGUUUGUGUGGCUUAAAUUCAUCGUUUCAAAUAUAUACGGGACAUGGAAGGCUUUUUCUGGUCAUGUACCCUAUUGCACCUAGGAGCGUAUAUUUUGUCAUUUGACUUUGGGUUGCAGUCUGAGAUUGUCUACUAUCACUAUAAGGUUUAUUGUCAAUUAAAACUCCUAAAAGUAGCAACUACUGCCUUAUAUUCACGCUGUGUGAUUAGAUUCUCUCAUUAGUGUAUGCUUAUGUUUUGGUCUUUCUUCACCAGAAGUUGGUUUUCAACCACAUAAAUGAGGAGACUACUCCUGUUCAAUUCAUCAGGCAACAUAAUCAGGAAAACAAGGUAAUUGCAACUCUCAGGUAUUCAGACAGGUCGUGGACGGUGAAGCUCAGGAGCCGUGGACUUUUUUUUUCGCUGCUUGACACCCAAUUGCUAGAGAAGCUCGUUUGCAUUUAAGAGAUGUUUGUGUGUUUGAGCUCAUUGAUAGGGGGGAUGUGUGUUUAGAGUCUACAUUUCCACUAGUACUGGUAAGGACUUGGUUUACGUUGACAGAAAUGAAUUUUGGAAGUGUCACUUUAGAUAGUCCAAAAUAAAUUCAGUAUUCAUAGUUAUAUCUCUUUGUUUAGUCUUGGUGAAUCAAUGAAGUGUACGUCUUCCAUUCCCAUUGGGUUUGUGAGUUUCACAAUAAUCCAGAUGCACACUCAUUAAUGCUACAUCCCAAGUCUAAAUUAACCAAAAAGAAUGUGCUUCAAUGUCAAAGCGAAAAUUAUAACCUAAACGCUUAGCAUGAGAAUUUAGAGGUGUGACUUGUUGGUUUCUAAGUUGCGCUUUUCUGCACAGUGUUGCAUUCUUUUUCUUGGUCUGUCUCAAAAGUUAUGAAAUUUUCCUGAUAAGAUUUUGUAUAUUGAUGGGUGACAUUACAAUUUAGGAGAUGCCAAGUGUAGCUAAUGUGUUUUGUCUAACGUGAAAAACAUGUAAACGUUAGUAACAUGAUUGGAUGCAUUGAUUUGUAGAUCGUUGUAACUUGACAGAAGAUUUACAGCAGUACCUAUGAAAACUCUCCUUUUUCUUUUGGACCAAACAAUCUAAAUGUCAAGUGAGCCCCCAUGAGCAGUUUUGCAUGGUUCCAUGUUUCUGUGGCCUCCCCUGCUCUUGAAAAAACUAGAAAAUUUGAAUCGAAGUAUCCAUCUCUGAAAUUGGUGAUGCGGCCACUAUUAUCAAGGAUAGAACUGUGGUGUGGCCCCUAUGUCCUUUCAUAAUUGGCAUAGCUCAACCAUGAUGCCUUCUACAUCUUUCCCUUUAGUUGACUCUUUUCCCAAGUCGUUUUAAAUUUUUCAUAGGAAUCACAUUAGAUGUUAUUUUCUUUGGAGUGUUCAUGGCUUUAUCUGUAAAACCGGGGCAGUUUUGAUUUUGAAAUUUUAUUUUUUAAAUUUAUGGAUUCAUAAGAUGACCAAUUCUAAAAUGAAAGAUUCUAUUCUCGUUUUUUUUUUCCAGUAAUCAGUUGUAAAGAAGAUUACAUUAUAUAUAGACUAAGAGGAUGUGGUGGGGACGAUCAGUGUUAGCAACUCUUGAACUUUUGUCAUGAGAGUUAAAAAAUUAUGUACACUACUGUAGAGUCUACAAGCACUGUAUUGUGAAAUCUUAACUUCAAGUUGCAGGUUGGGAUUGAAGACUUCUAUUACCCAGUUAACACUAUUAAUUGAACUCCCUGAAACUAGUAAAUACUAGCAUAAAUUUACAUUUGUUUGCGUUUUCCAUUUAUUAUUUCUUUGUAUUUAUUCUUUUCCUCAUUAUACUACAUUGGUAGUGUUCCUUGUGAAUUCAUAAAGAAACAUUCAGAAGAACUAGCAAAUUGCAACUCUUAGGUAUUUGAACAAAUUAUGGCUGGUGCAGCUCGAGACCUAUCAACUCCAUUAUGUAGCUGGUCGGGCCGCAUUUGUGAAAGAAGCUUGUCUGGAUGAAGGGGAUGUCCGCAUGUUUGAGCUCAUUGAUAGGGACGAUUUUAUGGUCAAUCUCCAUCUCCAAUUAUGCUAGUAAGGACCUCAUUUAGGUUGAUUGAGAUGGACAUUGGAAGUGUCGCCUGCAAGCUAUGACAAAUCAAUUGGAAGUGCACUUACUUUUAGCUUUGCGUCUCUUUCUUGACCUGCUUACAGUCUUACCAGAAUUCUCCUCUUUUUUUUUUCUUUGUGCAGGUCAGAACAGAUAGUCUAAAUGUCCAGUGAGCCCUCUUGAGCAGCCUUUUCAUGGUUUCAAUUGUCCGAGGCCUCUCACUGCCCUUUAGAAUGCUGGAGAAUUCAAGUUAGAGUAUCCCUUUUUCCAGAUGGUGACAUGGCCAUCUUUUCUUAAGAAAGAAAUAAUGGUGAGGCCCAGAUCUCCAUUCAUAACUGGCAUAUCUCAAUUAUGAAUGCCACCUAUUUUAUAUAUGUGCCCUAUUGUGCAAUUUUUUCCUGCAUUAAUUUGCUUUCUAUAGAAACACAGGAUAUAUUAUCUUCCUUGAAGUGGUCAUGGUUAUAUGUUUAAAACAGGCUCCUUAACAACUAAAGGGACUAGGGAAAAACAAUAAGUCAGACAGUAAUCAGGAAAUUACCUAGUGAUAGGUGGGUGUGGAGACAAGGUCAGAGGGUUGAGACAGGCAAUAACAACCAUAAAUUAGGAAUUUAAUGAUUUCUAAUUGAAGUAUAAAUUCUUCCCAAAGAUUACUACUUGGCACUUUCUCUGUCUUCUAGUUUAAGUAUAAAUUCCUUCCAAAAAUGACUACUUGGUACUUUCUUUGGCUGCCUAGGCUUGGGAAGAAGAGGCGACACGAAAUGUCCAGCUUAAGCAAUAGCUAUUGCAACAGGCCUAGGCUUGGCAUGACUAGGCUCACUGCAACAGCACGGCAACACUAAUCGGGAUAUUGCUUCCUGGCAACAAAUGGUUUACAAGAGCUACUAUUGCAAGCAAGUUCAAACUUGCGAUCAGAAAUGAAGUGAAGGUAGUGUGACCCUAGACCUCGAAAAUGAGUCCCACCACCUCCGUAGUAUGAAAAAAAGAAAGGCAGCUAAUUUUUUUUUUUGCCAGGCGAAUGAAGAUCACUUUUUGUGUAUAUGUAUCCAUCUAGGAUGCUAGGCGUAGCUUUUCAUGUUUGUUCAAUGCGUAUCGCAAUGUGAGAUUGGUGACUUGGAAAUCCACCAGAUUUGUGCAUGUCUCUAUAUUGAUCACACAUACUUAGCGUAGAGUCUAAGAGCACAGGAUUGUGAUAUUUUGAUUUCAGAUUGCAAGUUGUGACUAAAGACCAUCUCAUCAAGCCUUUUAGACUGCUAAUACGGAUCUCCAGAAAUUCCAAAUACUAUCAUAAAUGUACAUCUUGUUUGCCUUUUCACUUUAGUGUAUGCUUACAUUUCUUUGUCUUAUCAUACAUUGGCUGGUCAAAUGUCUUCAUGGGCAGAGCGUUCCUUAUAAAUUUAUAGAGACAUGCAGUCAAGAAAACCAGCAAAUUGCUAUUCUUAGGUAUUCAGACACAUUGUGGCUGGUGACCAUCAGGAGCUAUCAGCGCUACGCUGCAGUGAACUUCUCUAUUGGUUGGUCCAAGUUUGUGAGAGAAACUUAGUCUUGAAUGAAGGGCAUAUCUGCAUGUUUGAGCUCCUUGAUAGGGAUGAUUUUUAGGUUGAAUUGGGACGUGAACACUGGAAGUGUCACUUUAGGCCAUAUACUAGUUAGAAGCGAUCUAUGCCUCUUUUCUGUUGUGAUGAACCGGAUAAAAGUCCCUUUUAUUUCUGACUGCUUUUUUCUGAACUAGUUACAAUCUUAUAAUUUCUAGGCCUAGCCACUCCAUUUAUCGGAUAUUGUGAUGAAUAGCCUUGCACACAUUUUUUACUUUGGGUAUUUCUCUUGCGCUUGUAACGCUUUUAUCAUUGCCUUCUUGGAAAGGACCUUAGUUCAGCAUUAUCGUGGUUCUGGUUAUUCGACCUGGUUUCGUAGAACAAAUGAAAUUUAUGCAGUAUGCCAUCAGUCAUGGUCGCUUGAUAGUUUUCAAAAAUGGGAGAGAUAGACUCUAUACUCAUGUAAUUAUAUUUGAUUAAAGUGCUUAUAUAGAUACAUUAUCCCCUCAAGCAGGAUGAAAUAUAAAACCCAGAGGGCGAAUUCCUCUCGAGAAAAUGGGAAGAAUCUAAAGACCUCACAGUCCUUGAAGAUUCAGAGGGUUCCUGGCCAUGUUGGAAGCCAUUGGCUAAACUGCAUUUACCUUCUUAUCUGCCUUCUACGGUGAUGAAUUCGUUUUCAAUUUGUGAGUUUCAAAGUGAUUAAAUUGCACACUCAUUCUUUACCAAAAAAAAAAAAAAAUUGCACACUCAUUGAUGCGAGUUUUCAAAAUAAUAUGCUUGGAACCAAAAAGGACUAAGUUUCGAACGUCAAAGAGUGACAGAAGUUCCAAAUUGUUCCUCAAGAUUUGGAGGAGCGAGCACACGACAUAGUUUUCUUAGUCACUCUUCAAAUUUUUAAAAAUUUGAUGAGAAGCUUUUGGUAUGUUAGUUGAUGGCAUUGAUUUGGGUGUUCGAAGUUGUAGUCAAUCAGUUUUAUCUAAUACGAAGAGCGUGCAAACUUCUGUUUUAUGUUCACAUUCGUUGAUUUCCAAACUAUGCUGGAUCUUUUCAUAGUAAAUCGAAAAAAUUCACAUAUGUGCCCAUGAGAGUUCUUUUUUUAACCGGAGGUCAGACCAAACAGCCUAAAUGCCCAGUGAACCCUGUUGAGCCGGUUUUUCAGUGUUUUACUUGUCCAAGGCCUCUCACUGCACUUGAAAAAGCUUAGAGAAUUUGAGUCAGAAUAUCCCUUUUUCAAAAUGGUGAUAUGGCAAUUUCUUGUCAUGAAAGGAAAAGAACUGUACAUUCCUCAUCUCCAUUCAUCAUUGGCAUACUUCAAAUAUGAGACAACGUGACAUGUUAUUUUCGUUGAAGUGUUUGGGGCCAACCGACCAUCCUAAUGGCCGAGUAAUGGAACUUGGUAAAAUGGCAAUCAAAAUGGUAAUUGUGAUACAACCUUCAUGGUUGUGUGUGUCGAUUCAGAUUAUUAACUAGUUCGUCUACCUUGAAACAAUCUACUUCUCUAGUUGCUCCAUCAAGUUGUCUUUUGCUCCCUUUUUACAAGUGGAAAUCAAGAUGUGGAUUUUUUUAAAUAAUAUUUCAAUAUUUUUUGAAUUUUUUUUAUAAUUUUGUUAUUUUCUUUUCUUCUUUUUUUCUUGCCCUUAGGGUCGGCCUGGAUGUAGGCGCGCAGCACCUCACCCAGACCAAGUGAGGGCUGGUGAGGGUGUGCAAGGAAAAAAAAGCAACUAAAAGAACCAAAAGAAAAAGAAGAUAAAAAAUUCAAAAAAAUUAAAAUAUUAUAAAAUGUCCACAUCACUUUCAGCAGUGUCAUGUCAGCGCCAGCUGAUCAAUAUUAGUAGAAUGGACUUAACUGGCACAAAUGCGAAAAGUUUAGAAUUGUAUUGACAAAAAAAAGAAAGAUUCAAUUAGCACAAUUAUAAUAAGUUUAUGAGUUUUUUGAUAAUUCUCCCGACAUUGUUUUCUUAUUAGUGAAUUUUUUCUCGCAAUUCAAGGUACAAAACGGCAUUGUUCUUCAGAAAAGCUUGAAAACGUAUAUAUAUUAAAAUAAUUUUGUGAGAACGAAAUAUCUUUUUUAUCAAGGAAUAGAAAAGGAAAAGGAAAGAAAAGCAAACAAGAAAAUAAAAAUAAGAAAAAUUACUCUUUGCCAUGCCAACCCUAACCUAAAGGUAACAAACUGUCAACACGAUACAACUUUUAUUUAUAUCACAAGAUUUUAUAUGCUCUUCGUCCAUUUAUUACUUGUCAACUUUUCCGGACUUGAUACAUCAUGACCCUUUUCCUCUUUCUUUCUUGAUUCAACAAUAGGGGAAGAAAAAAACACAUUGGACCCUUUUCUGCAAAGAUGGACUCGCGGUCUUGUCCAAAUAUGAACUAAUCGAUUAAUUGCUCAUUGAAUUCAUGUUGCUCGCAUCUAAUUCUAUAGUCAAAAAACUGAAGCUAUGCUUCGGCAUUGAGCGUGCACAACUCUUUAAUUUGACCACAAGCGAAAUCCAUGCAAGUAGUACGGUCCGACUACCCCAGCACGGUAGCACACUUUCCACGGCCGAAGCAUCUGGCGUUGCUGUAAGAGGCACUGGUGCAUUAGUUGAAUCCCCCGAUCGCGGUGUCAAACCUAAGAUCGGUCAAGACUUGACCCGAAGCUUGUGCAUAAUCGUUCGGGUAUUGCAUGCCGUUGCAUAUCUUGCAUAACUUGUACAUAAGCAUCACAUCCAGGUCACUUCUUACAAGUCAGACCCCCACAGAAGCCCCAUGAACAUAAGUGUGAGUGUAAUGAGGUGGACAAGGUCAUCCUAGAGCCCGUUUCCUCCCGUUUGGUUCUCUUUGGUUUGCCACGAGGAAACACACAACACACAAUUGAGUUUGGCUAUAAAAAGGGUUUGUCUCCAUAGUGCUAUCCAUCAUUUAUUCUUUGUUAUUAGGCUAAGCCAUUACCAAGUUUAGUCAUUUAUGACGUCACAUGGAUUUUAAUUGAUAAAUUUCAGAGCUUUUUCUAUGAAUUAUUUGUUCUUUAGUGUAAUAUGUCGUUGCCGUCCUUGCAAACCCUAAUCUCAUAAUUUUUAAUGAAAUUUCCCCCCUCUCUCUUACUAUGCAUGAAAAAUUUAAAAUUGGGAUCCUUUUAAGUCUACGAAAUAAAUUCACAUUAUGAUAAAUGACUCACUUCUUCUUUGUCUGUCCUCUUUCUCCUCUUAUUUUGCAUAGACUUGUCAGCCUCAUGUACUAGUCUUGAAUAUAUUUCUAUAUGUGACAUUGUAAAUUUUAGGUCAUGUAAUUAAUGGAGUUCAUGAAUUUUUUUUUUUUUGAACAGAGAGUUCAUGAUAGUUAUAUAACCCAAAUAACACAAUACUUCUACUACUGCUAAUACUACUACUAGGAGUGUAUUAAAAAAAGAAAAAAGAAAAAAAAAGUCCGAAAACCCGGAUCGAAUCAUCCAAAUUGGCCUGAUAAAUUUGGGCUCAAAUAGUCUUGGGCCGGCCCACUGGCCUCAAACUAUCCUUGAGUUUGGGACUUGAAUGAUUGCCAAACUAGCCCAAUUCAUAGAUCAGAAACUGUACAUAUAUAUGGCCCCUAUGUCAAUUCCCAUUCCUGCUGGUUGAGUGCUUGACUUCUCUCGUUCUCCCAUCUCCCACGCUGGUUGAGAUCCGGUCACUGUUGAGCUGCCAUUGCCACCACCGUCAAGCCCCAUUUUUGUGGCCAUCAAUCCCCACACUCACCAUAUGCCCUCCGUCCAAGACAUCUCGCUCACUCCGUCAGUCCCUCUUCUGCUUGCUCACGUCUUAGUCUUCCUUACGCUCCCUCACUCUCUACCAGUAGAAAACAAGUACUUACCAGUUACUAGCUUGUUUUGAUGUCUUAAGGUUUUUUUUUUUUUUAAUUUUCGUACAUGCUAUUUGAAUUUUUUAUUUUAAAUUUUAAAAUGAUAGUUAGUCUCUCUUUAAAAAGAUGCAAUUAUCUCACGAUAAACUCUAAACUGGUACACAUGUGAUAAAUUUACAUUCUAUUAAAUUUUAUUAUCAAAUUAUUAAGUUAGAUGACACAUGCUAAUUGAUGGAGAUACCAAUUUGGGGUUUUCUCCUCCAUUUGUUACAAUCGUACUAGUUUGUGAUUUUUUGUAGUAUUAAUCCAUUUUAACGAAAACCAACAAAUAUUAAAUUAUCACAAAUGUAUCAGUUUAUGAUUUUUAAUAGUCAAAAUAUUAAUUUGCGGUAAAUGUGUGAUGUACCAAUUUGGGGUUUUGGUUAGUCAAAAAAUUAACUUGAGAUAAAUUUAUCGCGUGUAUACCAAUUUUAGAUUUUUUGUGACAUUAAUUCUUUAUUAUUAUUUUUUUGUUUAACAGUUUAUUAGUUACAUUUAGAUAGUAGAUGGUAGUGGAAAGUGGCCGUUAAUGACGAUUGGCACUUUUUAAGUGCUAAAUGACGAAAAUCGCCUCUGAAUUCGUCUAAAAUCUAACCCGAGCUAUCAUCAUAAUUUGGUUUUUAAGGCAAUCUAGAUCGAGAUAUCAAAAGAGGAACCUCUCCCUUAAAGAAUCUACAAACGUGGUAAUGCUAUUUUAUAAACCAUAUUCUCUAAUAUCUUUAUGUUCAAAUGAAAAUUUACGUAGAAUAAUAAUCGAGUUGGGAGAAUCAUUACCUACACCCAGUGCAAACUCUAUUCCUCUCACAGCAAGCAUGUAUGAAGGCCUAAUAAGAGUGAAAGUCAAAUUAUUCGUAAGUUGUUCGAGCUUGGGUUGAUGAUCAUUUGAGAAGUAAUAUUUAGUCGAGCUCUAACUCGAGCUACUUGAGUAUCUUGCAGAUUGAAAGCUCGAGCUCAUCAACACUCAGCUCAAUAAACUUUGUAAGCCUGAUUAAAAAAAGCAAUUGUUAAUAAAAUUAAAUAUUAACAUCCUCAUCUGCGCACAUGUAAUAUAUAGUAUAUCAUCUUUUUGUUUGAAUCAAGCUCCAGCAUUAAACUAAUGUUUGGGUGAGCUCAAAUCUUGUUUUAAACAUCGAGUAUGAAGUUGAGUGGAUCUCGAGUUUGGCAUUGUAGUGGCUCGGGUGGCUCAAUCAGAGAUCCCUAGGCCCCAGCCGUGUUGACAUCCAAUUCGAUUAAUAAGAGUCUAUGUGUCCAUUGAAGCAAUUAAGAAUUCUGACGUGCAAAAUUAUCAAGAAAUCUCAUUGCUCAAGAUUGGGUUGUGAUCUUCGUCACGCAAGUUUUAAAUCCCCUAUAAUUUUCAAUCCCUAUAUUAACCAAUAGCUUAGAUGAUAAAAGUAAGUGAACAUUAAUAAAUGUAGGAAAUCUUCAAAAGUCACCUUUCCUAGGUCCUAGCUGUAAUCUCGUGGGGGACGUAGCUUGGCUUAAAAAAUCCUUGCUGCAACUUUUCUCCGACAAAAUGGCACUCCAGUUCUCUCUCCUCAGUUCUAUGUAUUUGUUUGUUUACUGAAAAGAGGGCUUUUGCGGCAAUUUUUGUCUCAAUAUAAUUUAAUUUCGGAUAACCAUUUGACAAUUGAAAAAAUCCCUCGGCCGAUAAGAAAUCUUUAAUUUCAAAUGUCCGCCUUUGCGUUUUUCAUAUAUUAACUUGGAGUGUACAUAGAGAGAUCCUUGAUAAUUUCAACUUUUUGAAUUAAUUGGUAAAUCACUAAGCUCCGUCAUGCUAGUCUCUCUCAACAAGUACUUCUUAUUAUUAAAAAAAAAAAGAUCCAUUUUUAUUUCUCACAACUUCAAAUCUUAAAAAAUAAUUUUUUUAAUUUUCCUAGGUCUUUAAUUGAAAAAUUAACCCAAUUUCAUUCCGAUUAUCAUUAUAUAUCAUCAACAUAAACUAAACAAUCACGAUAAAUGAAUGUCCUCUCCUUGAAGUAAAUAGGGAAUAAUUAAAAAAAUCAACAAUUGUUAACAUCUGAGAAAUUAAAAAGGGAAGAAGAUCCGUCAGGUUUUCCAGUUCCUGCGUUUCUAGCAUUCGGUCACUCUCUGCUUCCUCUCUCUCUCUCUCUCUCUCUCUCCCUCCAACCCUCGAGCCGAGCUGCACCGCCUGAUAGGGGGCCUUCGACCGCUGCCGCCGCAUCUACGCCGCCGGGCCACCUCGGCGUUCGGCAGCAGCGCCGCCCCUCUCUCCGCCUCCUCCGAACACCCCCCCGCCCAAAAAAAAAAAAAAAAAAACCUAGUUUCCUGGCUUCGGUUCUCCGAGAUUGCUCGAAGAUGGACGAGGACCAGGAGAUGGAGAGGUUUGGGAUGGACAGCGAUUACGACGAUGGGCAGUGGAUCGACGGGGAGUUCUACUACCGGCGGCGGAGGGAGAAGCGCGCCCAGACCAAGGGCGACGUGCUCUACGGCGUCUUCACGUCGGGGGACUCCGAUUCGGACUACGACGACUCCUCUAAGAGGAAGCGGAGGAAGAACAGGGACCUCCUAUGUAAGGCCGAUCUGUCGAAGCCCGUGUAUUUCGUGUCCACCAGCACGAUCAUGCCGAACAGAGAGAUUGACGAGAACUCGAAGACAGAGAAUGAGGAUGACGAGUCCGCUGACGUGGAUGAGGAUAGGCCGGGCAUGGGGGUUGGUGCUGGGGUGGGUCUGGGGUUUAAGAAGCGAGACGAUGGUUUCGAUGAGAACGGCGAGGAGGAGGAUGGUUUCUUGCCGACGGCAUUUGGGCGGAAGAUCAAGGAGGGAGCGGAGAGGAGGAGAGAGCAAUCGAAAUUGGAGAAUAAAGCGCAACAAGGUGGGGCUAAGAGGGAUUCUUAUGAAUCGGGGAACGUGGGCGGCUUCGAGAAGUACACCAAGGGAAUUGGAACGAGGUUGCUCGAGAAAAUGGGUUACAAAGGGGGUGGUCUUGGGAAGAACCAGCAGGGGAUUGUGACACCCAUUGAAGCAAAGUUGCGUCCUAAGAACAUAGGUAUGGAUUUCAACGACUUACAAGGCAACUCCUGCAGAGGCACCUGUUGCCUCGUUGGAGCCAGAGGAAAAGAAGCCAUCACCUAAUGUGCCCGGUCAGGAGAAGCUUUGGUCUAAGCAAGCGACGCAGAAAAACAAAGCGAAAUAUAUUACAGUAGAAGAGCUGUUGGCGAAGAAGUAGGAUCAGGGCGUUGAAGUUGUGCAAAAGGUACUCGACAUGCGUGGACCUCAGGUUAGGGUAUUAGCAAACUUGGAGAAUCUGAAUGCGGAAGAGAAGGCGAGGGAGAGUGAUGUUCCUAUGUCUGAGCUCCAGCACAAUAUAAGGUUGACUCUGGACCUGGCUGAGUUGGAUAUUCAGAAGAUCGAUAGGGACCUUAGGAAUGAGAAGGAGAAGGAGAAGUUGCAAGCUGAGGCAAAACUCUAGAAGAAACAACUGAUUAACGUGAAGGAGACAAUGAAUACGCUAGGCCGGGUUGAGGAGGAAAAGUCAAUGGGACGUGCGAAGAAGGCUUCCUGAUGAUUAUAAACUUCGUAACUUAUCCUGCAUUGCUUGCUUAUUUGCACUCCCUCUUUGGAAUUCCACACAUGGGUUGGAAGUUGUUUCACGGUGGAAAUCUCUAUUGCAAGGACAGGAAUGUCUUGAUAUAUGGGAUUUGGGAUCCCCUUAUACCUAGUUAGUUUCAGAAGUUGUCUUGCCUGCUGUGUGAAUAUCAGGCAUUUGAAACUUGGGAGGCAAGGAAUCCGGAGCCAAUGCUUCGAUUUUUUGAAGAUUUAGUGAUUAGUCUUCUCGCAUGUGGGCGCAAAUUCAAGUUUGUCAAUUUCUUCUCAAGUGAAGGGCAUUUGGAAUUCAUUUAUUUAUUUAUUUUCUUCAUAUUAACUGAAUGUUGAUAUGCAUAACAAAAGCAAGUAUACGGGCAUCUUUGCGUCGCUGCGGCACGACUCUUCUUCAGCCUCUCUCUGUCGACAAACACAGCACCUGAGCCUCCGGCAGUGGCUUUUCGUCUUAGAAUCGGCAACAUCCCGGCGCUCUUGAACUCGAACUUGCUCUCCACGCUGGAUGAAGCUCGCUAAUUCUCUCUUUUUAUCUCUCUUCCUUGCGAGAGCUCGAUACCUCAUCCAAAGUGCAAUCAACGGUAAUGGAAAUUUGGAAGAUGGCGAGAGGAUGGGAGAAAAUAAAAGCAAAACGGAAAUCAAACAGACGAAAUUUGGAAUGAAUUGAAGACAAUUCUAGAGUUCAAUCGGAGAUGGAACGUCCCAGUAAUUGUUUUGACUGUUGAUUGAAGAAACUCCGUGGUCAAAUUCCGCUGCCACGGCAGCAAGGCGAGCGGCAUCUUCAAACCGGUAGCAACGCUUUUUGUGCUUCGAUCGGUGCUGGAAGCAACAAUCGUCAGAGAGCUCAGUCUUGAUGAAUAGUUGGUGGGUACUCCAUUCGCGGUUGGAUUCUCUCUCUCCAGAUUUUCUCCGACCAGAUGUUUUUUAGCAUCUAUUCUCUCUCUCGCUCCGGAUUCUCCUUAUUCAUCUCCACCAAUUCAGAUCUAUCUCGCGUCAGAUUCCCACAGUGAACGACACCAUCAGAUUCCAAAUUUUGAGUCGUGGCCACACUAAUUCCACUCUGAUUCUUGUCGUCGCUUUCCUGUCCUUGCACAUGUCUGGACCAGAUCUAUAUGUGGCCGGGCCAUCUCGAGCUCAUGCUGCCAUCGCCGCCAAACCAUCAUCAAGGGUGUUUCAUAUCCAAUUGAACUUCCGAGUCAAAAUUUCGAUUCACUCCAGAAAAUGUUCUGUCGAUUCUUGCUUCUUUCUGUUCGCUCCCACUUCAUGGCCAUCUUUCGAAUUCCUUUGUUUUGCCCAUUUAUGCCUUGCGCAAAGGGAAAGCGGGGUGUGUUCACUGCUUAAAAGAGCUUUAUCUGAUUGCCAAGGGUGAGGUUGGAUGGAUCAUCAUCAUCUGGACAGGAUCCGCCGAUUCAAAGGAUGAGAUUCUUUGGGUUCACUCUCGGCACUCCUGCCGGUCCGACAUAGUUUCAUCAACCAACCGCAACGGAGGGCAAUCUGAGUCAUCAAAAUCAUCCGAAAAGAUACGCCAAGCAUGAAGAUUGGCGGUGGUGAGCACGGAGAGAAAACAAGGAAGAAUAAAAGUCGCGAAGCAGUGGAUGGAGAUGAUUCGAAUUUUGCGUGGGGACUGGGGAAAACGGGGCAAACAAGGUGAAACCGGCGGUGGUUCUUUGGAUGAGAAGGAAGUAAAGUGUUGAAAUUUUUUUUAAAAAAAGAAAUAAAAGAAAAAGAAAUAAAAGACGAAAGGAAAAUAUAGAGAGCCCAUGAGAAAUCGGUCAAAAGGAAGACUUGCACGAAAAAUGUAAUCCGUCAUUAUAUUGAGCACCUUCAUUGCAAACUCGAUCCCUCCUCCACAGUGCAAUCGACGGCAAUGGGAAUUCGGCGAGAUAAUUGGAGAAAAAUGAAAUGAAAUAGAUAUCAAUAGACGUAGUCAAUAUGUAUCAAAAUUAAUUCUAGAGUCGAAUGGGAUAUGAAAUGACCUGGUGGUGAGUACCAAUAUUGACCUGACAGAUAUCAUCAUUGUUACAGAAUGGUCUCAAUCUCGAUUUCUCUUUGGGGCAACUCAACGAACACCUUCCCUAAUGUCCAUCUUCAUUUUUCAGCAAGUCUUCCUCCAUCAGGGUCGUUUCCUAUCCGAAUGAACUUCCGAGUCCAAUUUCGAUUCAUUCCAGUAUACGUUCUAUCGAUUCUUGCUUUCCUUCAUCUCCGCCUUUCGGAUUUCAAAUGCCGUUGCUCGCGUCCUUCGUUUCGUCUCUCUAUGCCGCACACAAUGGGGAUGUCUGGCUGGUGGAUAGGAUCUGCCGAUUCGAAGGAUGAGAUUCUUUGGGUUCACUCUCGGCCCUCCCGCCGCUUCAAGAAGCAGCAAGGACUUGCACAAAAGAUGGAAUAUCUUGAGAGCAAGAUUCAUCCCUAACUCAACCAUCAUUUUCUUUUUCUUUUCCUUGAAAAAGGCCAUCAAAAACUCCAAACGACGCCAUCAAGGACGCCCAUUGCGUCUCUUCGCUUCAAGUGCCUUUAUUGGAUCUCUCCCUCCAUCCCGACGCGCUCCCCGGCUCAGUGAGUUCCGAGUCGCUCCACCAUCACCCUCGCUAUCAACUCGCCUCGUGAUCGAUUCCGUCGCUCGCUGUCUUUAGAAACUCCGGUGAUCCUCUCUCUCUCUCUCUCUCUCUCUCUCUCUCUCUCUUUUCCUGUCCUUCUUCCGGUUCGAAUCAUGCAUUCGUUUUGUGGAUUCUUAGGUGUUUUGACGGAGGUUUGAAUCUGGUGUCCUUGAGUGAUGUUUAAUGCUAUUGUCGUUUUGCUCAUCGAUGGAGUUCAUGUCGGAUUUUUUUUCUUUUUUCCUUGUUUCGAACCGUGAAUCCGAGACCACUUGGAAACGAGCGAUGAUUGAACUGAAAACGUCCUGAGAAAUCGCCGCAGUGAGCGAAAGUUGUGCAGAGUUAAGCUCGGUCGAACAGUGGUUCGGUUUUCCUCUAUUUUUUGGCAUUAUAUAGUCACUUCUGGAUUCAGUUGUGGUGCGAGGGUGACUCGCUAGCCAUUCCUGAUCGGUCCUUCGGUUAACGCUUUUCUCUGUAUAGAUUUCUGAGCGGCUUGGGACUUGGAGAUGGGAGUAGCACCGAUGAGUUAUAACAUAAAAGAGGGGACGCUGGAGAUCGGCAUGGGUGAGCUUUCGGCCCUCUCCGCUUUCCAAAUUUUUUUUUUUUUUUUUUUGGAGCUACGGACAAUAAAGAUCUGCUGGGAUGCUUAAAUCUCGUAAUUAAGUUUUGUCUGUAUUGUGGGGAGUAGCUUUCUCUCCUUGUUCGUGGCUUAUUAUGUCUUUCGCCAUCUAAAUUUCACCGUGCUUGGAAUCAGAACUUUAGUCAUGGGAUAUUGUUGUUUUCGAGGCUUUCCAUAUAGCUUUCUCGUUUCUGAAAAGUUUAUGCUGCCCCUGUUAUGACAACGGUUAAUACAUUUAUUACUUAGAUCUACACAAUCUCUAUCAUUUCAUAUAUAUUGGCUGAGAGGUGAGGAAUGAUUUAGCUCUUGUCUGAGUCAAAUGUUUAGCAUGCCUUAGUCGCUGGGUCUUGUUAUUGGUUGUUCAAACAAUUGCUUCGCUACUUGCAGAGUAUAGGACCGUCUCUGGUGUUGCUGGGCCGUUGGUUACACUCGACAAAGUCAAGGUAAAUUUCACCAGUUAUAAUUUUAUGAGGUUCAGUGGACUCCUAUACUAACAUGUUGGAUUAAUUUUAUUGUAUAUCAGGGACCAAAUUAUCAAGAGAUAGUAAAUAUCCGCUUGGGUGAUGGAACAACUAGACGUGGACAAGUCCUUGAAGUUGAUGGAGAGAAAGUUGCUGUGCAGGUUCAGUCUCAGUUGCCAGCCUCUUCUUUUUUCCUUUAGCUCUCUUGAUACUGCAUUUUUGUUGUUUGGACUGCAAUACUUGGGUCAACUUUGUGUGCAAUACUUUUCAGCUGAUGACCCAGUGAAUUCUCUGUCAUUCAUUGCAAGCAUUAGAAAAAGCAGAACAUGAAGAGUAUUAUCUUAGGUAUAUGUGAUGAAAUGUGAGAACAUCAUAUGGGAUGAUAAUUGAAAUGUGAUAGAAUUUCUUGAGAACAAUGUUAAGAGUCUAAUUAGCAUUCCGUUUAGGCAAUUAUAGAUCCUCUUUGCUCUCGAGUGAUGGAAGUCUAGUCAUGGUGUGGGUUAUUUUGGCUCUGCAAAAGGCUAAUAAUCUUUCCUAUAUGUCUCUAAUUGUUGUCAAACUUCCGUAGGUUCUGUUAUUCACUAGUUUCUUUGUCAGUAAAAUUUAAAUAUAAGUAUUCUACUCAUGCUUGUGUGAUCGGUGGUUGUUCAUCUUAGACUUCCAGUACGUAAAGCUUUCUGGUCAUCCAUGUUUCACUCUCUUGUCGCUAGGUUUAUGAAGGUACUUCUGGGAUUGAAAACAAAUACACCAUUGUGCAAUUCAUUGGUGAGGUAAUUAUGCAUGCUGUUUGUUUUUGUUUUCCUAAUAAAACAAUGUUUCAUCAUUCUGUAGAAAGAAAGAGUUAGAUUUGUUUUUUUCCGUAUUUGGGAACUAAAUGCUCCUACAUGUUGGCAACAAGAUUUCACUUGUAGCAUGAGAAAUAAUUUGGCAUAUGUCUUGGGCUUGGCCUCAUGAAAGGCUGUCAAAAGUGCAUUGUUUUCCUACCUUUACAAAUCUUUUUAGCUGUGUCAGCAUUUACUCUCUUUAAUCUUGGAUAAAUAAAAAAACCUUUAGAAAUUUAUUGUGGAGUUCUCACAUUUUUCUUUUAAUGCAGGUUCUAGAAAGCCCAUUGAUAAUGGCUCUCCAAUUCUGCCAGAGGCUUACCUGGAUAUUUCUGGUGAGUUGUGUCAUUGUGAUAGUAAUUUUGAUUGGCCAUGGAGCCAUUUAUACUUCAUGGCACCUAUGGCAAUCCCAAGAUCCCAGUGAAAGAACCUUCCUGGAAGAGAUGAUACAAACAGGAAUUUCCUCCAUUGAUGUAACGAAUUCCAUAGCUCGUGGACAAAAGAUCCCACCUUUCUUUGCUGCUGGUCUUCCUCAUAACAAAAUAGCUACUCAGAUUUCCGCCAGGCUAGUCUUGUGAAGCGAUUGGAGAAGGCUGAUGGUAUUACCAAGAUAUAUGUUGCAUCUUUGUUGUAUACCAAUGUUAUAAUACCCUGCUCUAUGAGUUUUAUUGCCUCGAUAAUUUAAGGAACUACCAUUAGUUUUACAGAAUUUUCCUACGGUUUUGGAGUUCAGGUUCAGAAUUCACCUACAAUGUAUUUUAUCCUUUGACUAACUAGCUCCACUAUUAUAUGCUAGACUUCUCAAUUGCUAAAUGCAUUCUUUGUGAAGAUUUUUGAUCUUAUUUUAUUUGUUGUUUUUUUGAGAAUUCGAUGUUAUGAGCCUUCAUCUUUCUAUUCCAAACACUCUCUUUCAAUAUCAUUUAUGAAAAUGUGCUGCAAAUUUAUGUAGGAUGACAAAGAGGACAAUUUUGCCAACAAUGUUGCCAUAGUAUUUGCUGCUAUGGGAGUGUACAUGGAAACUGCACAAUAUCUCAAACGUGACUUGGAGGAAAAUGGGUCAAUGGAGAGAGUGGCCCUUUUUCCUUAAUCUGGUAAUAUCUAAUGAGCUAAUAGUUAAUUGUCUCGCAGAUUGUUUCUUUCUGGCAAUUUUUGCAAGUUCGUAGAUUCAGUUCGUGACAUAUAUCCUUGCUGAUUAAAGGGUUGUACGGAUGCCUGUAUUUCAUUUUACGAAGUUUGCUAUUUUCUUUAGGCCAAUGAUCCAACUGUUGAAUGCAUCAUCACUCCACGAGUGGUGGUCACAACUGCUGAGUAUCUGGCUUAAGAAUGUGACACAUCUAUAGUGAUUUUUUUAUUUAUUUAUUGUGAUGUCAGAAUUUCAAAAUUAUAUCCACUAUGGAUGAGGAUAGGCGGGGCUUGGGGGCCUUGGGAAGAACCAGUAGGGGAUUGUGACACCCAUCGAAGCAAAGUUGUGUCCUAAGAAUAUGGGUAUGGGUUUCAACGACUACCAAAGAAACCCCUGCAAAGGCGCCUGCUGCCUCGUUGGAGCCAGAGGAAAAGAAGCCAUCACCUGAUGUGCCUGGUAAGGAGGAGCUUUUGUCUAAGCAAGCGAACAAGACGAUGCUGAAAAACAAAGCGAAACACAUUACAGCAGAAGAGCUGUUGGCGAAGAAGCAGGAACAGGGUGUUGAAGUUGUGCAAAACGUACACAACAUGCGUGGACCUCAGGUUAGGGUAUUAGCAAGCCUGGAGAAUCUGAACGUGGAAGAGAAGGUGAGGGAGAGUGAUAUUCCUAUGUGCGAGCUCCAGCACAAUAUAAGGUCGAUUGUGGACCUAGUUGAGUUGGAUAUUCAGAAGAUCGAUAGGGACCUGAGGAAUGAGAAGGAGAAAGCUCUGAGCUUGCAAGAGGAAAACAGAAGCUACAAGCUGAGGCAGAACUCCAGAAGAAACAAAUGAAUAAUCUAGCAACUAAAUUGUGCACAUGGAACAGCGGAAGCACAAUCACGGUAGAGUCUGAUUCCGUUAGUUUGUACCCCACCUUAUGAUGCCAAAUUGCGCUGAGUUAGCAGCAUGUGAUUGGGGAGGGGUGGCCCAUAGCGCUGGAGGUGUGCAAGAACAUAGCUACAUCCGAGGGAUCGUUGACAACUGUGGACAUCGAGUCGAGGCUCGGCUCGGCUCUACGUCGGUCGAAGAGAGAGUGAUUUGGUAGAGUGAAGAUUGGCGGUUAGGUGGGGGAUGUUGAGCUUGGAAGCAGCGGAUUGAGCCCGUCGGUUUCCUUCUUGCAGUGUCAAUAGGAGCUUCGGUUCUGAGUCGGAAAGGUAGAACUUGAGCACCUUAGCUGUGUAGAAGGGAUUGAGCGGAGCUGCGGUGGCUCAGCAAUGGAUUACCGCUGGAAACAGGAUCACAAACUGCAAAACGAACACAUUUUCCAAUAAGAAAACUAUCACACCAGUCCCUGCGGAUUGGAGAUACACAUACAUAUGCAGGAUAUGCAGACAACUAGUUUGUCAACAUUUAAUUUCAUUAAAACCAUCCAUCUCCUUUUGAUAAGCGUUGACUUUGUUUUACGAUGAAUCGGUGCUUGUACAUCCCAGAAAACAACCCUUGGACCCGACAGAAAAUUCUCUUCAUGCUUUUCCCAUUUCAAUUUGUUCCUGUUCAAUUUGCACCACGCGCUCGCAGAAAUUUCAUGCCUCAGAUGCAAUUUUUUUCAGUAGAAAUCGAUGCCAUUUCCGUCUCUCUGUUCUCGAAGUACUGUAAAACUCCAAGAAACAUCUACCUCUUUCUUUCCCAAGCUAUUUCCCAGUCGAUGUUUCGCAAGUCAUCGAUCUCAUCAUUAGAAAUUCAUCGUCACCGCAAUCUUCCAGAUAUUGUGUUCUCAAAUUUAAACAGCAUCAUCCGUACUUGCGAACAGACCGGGAUGACACAGACAUACCUCGAUGUUGUUGAGGAAAGUAAGCGCGGCGGUGUCGGUGCGAGGCAGUGAUGAGUACGGUGGUGCAAUUGACAAGCUCCUGCAGCCGCAUGUGUGUCAGGUCGAGCUCCUCGCAGGCGGAGACGGCUCUCUUGUUGGGGAAAUCCGAUGUUGCCUUCUUCAAUAGGUCCGUGAGCGUAAGUUCUCCCAUCACUAACCACAGGGAACGAAUCGACGGCAAUCGGCUUCAGCCGAAACCAAUCCCCGAUCAAACUGAAGAGGGGCACCACAAUCGCUUGGCGAGACAAGAAUGAAGGAUCGACAAGAACAGGAAUUCGCACGUAUGCAUAUGAGAUGGAAAUGAGACCAGAGGGAGGAAGGGAAGGAAGUUGAUGCAAUCGAGGUGGCUCCGCGGCCAGUGCGAGCUCGGUUAAGGUGGCGACGGAGACUUAACGGAUCAAAGGCUGUAACUAGUCUCACUAAUGUCUUCGCAAGAAAAUGUUUCAAUAAACUAAUGAUAGCCACGUAAUCAAUACAUUUGUCCAUUCAGUGGACGACAAGUGGCACUAUGGCGGCCCGCUCUAUCAGCAAGUCUGCAAGUCCAUUCUGCACGACAAAAUAAAUGUCGUCCAAGUUUGAGAUAAGAAAUGAAAACCGCAGCAUCAGAAAAGGUCAUCACCAAAGGAUUAAAAUCCAGUCCAAGUUUGGGGCAAUGGCGAUUCUUGCACAGAUUGUAUAUAUGCGAAGAUCAAUGGCGAUUCUGACAGUCCAUUCUUUGCACGCACACACGCAGAUCUCCUGCUCCUUCACAACAAAAUACACAUUCAAAACUCAAUUAUGUUCAUACAGAACACUUUAACUCGAACCAGAGGAAUCAACAAGCCACGAGACAGCAAUUUUCAUGUCAUACGCCGAGCAUACGAGGUGAGAAUACUAACACUAUUUGACAAAUGAGCAUCCUAUUCUGACAAAGUCGGCCAUAAUAAGUAUUCAAAAAGUUGAGAACAAAUCGAAUUUAUGUAAUAUGAUUCUGCGGUUUGAGAAUUGAAUCGAAUUUACAUACUGAUCUAGUUCGAGCAUUUUAUCAAACAAGUAAUGUGCAUUUUAACCAAGGAGCUCAUACGCCAAUGCACAGCAAGGAUUGACUUUCAGAUCAUCACGAAAAUAACAGCACAAGUCCGAGUUGUUAAAUAAAGCUUCAAUCUCAACUGAUUUACUCACAGACAUUAGCUAAAGCUAACCGGCUCUGUUUCGUUCAUGAGCAGCAGAAACAGAGUGCGUGGGAUUUACCUUGAUGAGAGUGAGUUUUUCACUUCGGUCCGUGAUCAGAUCGGAGAAAAGUUACUGGCGCUCUCCACGUCGACGAUUGACCUCUGGCUCGUGCACGUUUGGGCGGCAUGACCAGAAAACAGAGCAGAAGGAGAGGAGGCCUUGCGGCAACGGAACCGGCAAUGGUGGAGCCGCUACGGCAGCGUUUCGACAGUGUCUAAAGGACAAUGGAGAAGGAGAACCGAUGAAGGAUCCUCUAGAAUUCCAAAGAGAGAGAGUUUCUUCGUGAGCUUCGGUGUGUGCGUUCUAUCGUGUCAUCGCUGAGCCUGUGGUGGCCGUCGAUGGUGGUGCGACGGUGGCUGUGGUGAUUGUAGACGGCCGACGGUGGUCUGGGCUUCGCCUUGUGGAUAAGGUCUGGGCUACACGAAUUAAACCAGGCCCAACAAACCGGACCAGGUCCUUUCGAUUAUGAUUUUUUCUUUCUUUCUUUCUUUUCUUUCUUCGUUUGUUAUUUAUUUUUAAUAUUAUUUUUUACUUUUUAUUUAUUUAUAUUUACCCAAAUGCAUGUUCGACUUGUUGGCAAAAAUUCAGGAGUCAAUAGGAGCAAUAUUCCAUCAUUUGGCCUAAGAACAACUUCACACCAAACUCAAUUACAAUUCAUUGUUUGUGCAAUAUUGUGACAUUAUUCCCUUAAAGAUUAGUCCUUGUACUUAACUCUUCCAUCCUUGAGUUGAAUUUGAGCGCUGAUAGCAUGGCUGCACUCGUACUUGAGUUGAUUUCUUGUAGAAUCGAUGCACACAGUACAGUUUGCAUCUCGAAGCGCAUUUUGCACGUUCUGUGCACGCAACACAUCGCGAUGGAAUCAUCAUGCUCCUGUAAUAGUUGUACACAUGACUUGCCAUCUUAAUUUAUCAUCAUAUAGGUGAUGCGUGUACUUUUAAGAUUGCCACUUUAUCUGUGUUCUUAGCACGUAUCUCAGUAUUGAUUUGUGCAAGUGGGUGGCACAUAUUCCGUCCAUGGUCUCCUCUGUUGAAUACUCUUGGCCAAGAGAUUACAAUGUCCUCUUUUGACUAACAUCCUCGUCUGUGCUUUGUCGUAUACGGUUUGUUAGGCAUUUAUACAGGUUAGAUACUUUUUGUGAUCAAGAGCAGUACAUUCCAUCCUAUAACAUCAAUUAUCUUGUGGGAUUGUGACGAACAUCACAUCAGGUCCGUUUUCACGUUCUCGUUCUUUCGCCCUUCGCCCGCCACUUGUAUCCGGCAAACUCAAUAAGAUAGCUCCACCACCCGUCAUUUCUCCGGCCUGCCAGAAUUUCUUCCGAUUUCCGUGUCUUGUUGCGCGCGAAUCAGUUGAAGUCGGAAGACGGUUUCGUAAAAAUCUCCCUUCUCAAUCUUCAUCGUCGUCUUCUUCUUCAGCUAGGGCUUUGUUUUCAAAUUCGUCCCAUGUUCGAGGUUAUCUCAUGUUUUAUUUUUUUGGUUAUGUUUUUCCACUCGCGCUAGUGACUUCAGAUCAUGGUAGGCUACCUUAGAGUGUCAAAAGGAAAAGUUCCGAAACUAGCUGAAAAAGACGAGGAUUGAGAGUGUAUAUAUGGGUCUUUCUUUAUCGAACUGGCUGUUUGAAAAUGCGGAUGAGCAGACCACUCCUUGUGGCUUCAUCAAGAAACAUCUUCAUGACAGCAAAGUAGUUGCCACUCUUCAGGCAUUUAGACAGAUCGCGGCCGGAGAAGUUAAGGAGCUAUGUGCACGUGGCAAUAAUAUCACGUCAAGUGUAGAUGUCUGCGUGUUUUGAGCUCGUCGAUGGAGAUGAUAUCGUGUUCAAAGUCUCAAUUUUCGGCCCUGCUGGUGCGUACCAGAAUUUAUUUGGGCAAAUCAACUGAAUCUUGAUAUGCAUGGCCAAGCAAUUUUCAAUCUAUGCUACAUCUUUUCAUAGUUAGUCAAUUCAAGAAACUUUCACGCCACUGUCUACUAAAUUCCUCAUCAUUUAAUUGGGAGAAAAGGUUAAUCAACUAAAUCUUGACCCUUAUCCCUACCAGUUUUGGAUCUAAGUGCAACUUGGUCUCCUUGUCAUGCAAUCCCCAUCGAUAUUGACGUCCAAGAACCACAUCUGUCGCUAGACGUUAGACGACGUGGGAACGUUAUUGGAGGGGCUUAUGACAUCUCAAAGUUAGAAAUUGGAUGGGAGAGAGGGACUUCAAGAUAAAUAUCCUUGUCCGAAUGAUCAUCACAUUAUACAGUUACUCAAAGUGUUAUUUUCGAGAGUGGGUCGGAUGGUUAAACCAUUGAACGGUACUACGGACAUCCAAUCAACCGAGUUUUAAAAAAGACAGAAAUUGGAGAAAAGGAAGAUAGUUUUAUUAAAUAAAGAGGCAAAGGUUUCGGAAAAUAGCAAAAAGUGGAUAAAAUAGCUAAAGAAGGUCCUACACACGUUCUCUGCCCUAUCGAACGCCAUUGCUCACCUGCUAGCUACAACGGCUACGCGCUUGCACCCUCUCUCUUGGAAAAAUGGGCUCUUGUGGGCACCACAUGCACCCGAGUCCCCAACUAGCCAGGUUGGAAGAGGAAAAAAUAAACAUAAAUGUUUUGAAAAAGCCUUUUUCUUAAAAAUAAUUGAUUAUAUCUCGAAUAGUCAGUCAAAAAAAUGUUUUUAUUACCAAUAACAAUUUAAUCAUUUUCAUUUAUUCAUUUUUGCAAGUGAUAAAAGCAAUUAUUUAUAGAGAAAUAUUUUUCAAAAUGUCAAUUUUUCACGAAACAAAUGAAUCGGUUUUCAUUAUUUUUAUUUAUUUAUUGCCAUCAAGUUCGUCUCACCAUUGACUAAUAAGUCAUAAUCUUACUUGACUCUAUCCUCUGAAACUUGAAAAAAAUACAAUAUUAAUACCCCAAAACUCCGGCAACUUUUUAGAAGCCCACAAACGAUAAUGUUACGAAAGAAAUUGGUAUAGCCUUUUCAUUUCCAGUUUGUUUCAUCUACAACAUUGCGACACCGAAAUCUACUUCCCGAAGUAAAUUGAGAGAUUCACGUGGUCGCAUUGAUGGCAAGCGUGCAGUGUAUCUGAUCCUUUGCGGUUCUUGAACUGCGACAAUUUGGUAUAGUAGAAUGAGGAAUAUUGUCUCUCUAAUAAACAUGAAGAAAAGCAAACCCAAAUAAUAAUCCAUUCAAACCCUAGAGCACCAGAGCAUGUAAUUAACAAAUUGAAUUCGACACGACUGACUAAUUACCCUUGUUGCCAAACGGAAUAACAAUUUAGAGAAUAGCGGUUAAGCUAUACAACAAUAGGUCACCCAUCAAAUUUUAUGAGGGCAAAGAGUGUCAUUGAAUAGCAAAAGCAAUUACUAAUUUACUAUUUCGUAACAAGACGAGCAUGUCCAUAAUCUGCCAAUGAUUGCUUACCCUUUCAAACAAAAUAAGGUAGGAAAAAAGGACGAAGGAGGCGUGAAGCUUUCUAAGGCUAAUACCAAACAUUAGCCUCAGAAAGCUUCACGCAAAUUAUCCACCCCUUGACGACAACGCAUACAAAUAAUGCAACACACUGCAUGUAAAAAUAAGCUGACUGCAAAUCUGAAAAAAGCAGAGGGUGAGGACGAACUUUGGUAGGAGGGACAUAUCGGAUAUGUUAGACAGUUCAUGAGAACCUCUCAUUUUGCACGCCACAGAUGAUUCUCACGUCCGAUAGAUCCUGAGGGUGAUGAGUGAUCUAAUGAGGCAGGAUCCAGUAAAGCUUCCUCUCGGUGGGAUGGCGACGUCUUCACAGGGGUUGGGAGUGUUGGGCACUGAAUCUUGCUACAGCUCUUCUUUAAACUAUAGGGACUGAUAUAUCGCCACAGCCGACACGCAGCGUAGCAAAAUUGAAUGUCGUAAAAUCCAUGACAAACCUGAGGCCAUAGAAAGCAGCGUUGACUUCAACUCCAACGAAACCAGCCUCUGUGAUUGCAGAAUCAACAACCCUCUCAGGUCCAUACUACUAAAAAGAAAAGAAGCUUUAGACACAUUGAAAGACUCUAGGAUCUGCAAACAUUUCCUCAUCAAACGCAGCAUUCAUGGCCUCUCUCACAAUCAUCUCUUUCCCAUAGUAUCAUAACUACGUAAAGGCAUUUCUGCAGCACAACUCUUCCGUGGCCUUUCUCUUGACAACAUAGCAUCCGAGGGCUUUUCGUAUUAGAAUCGAUAACAUCAUGCGCUCUUGAACUCGAACUUGCUCUCUCUCUCUCUCUCUCUCUCGAACGGGUAUCCUUGGAAACAAAGUCCAGCUUCGUCAUUCCAUCGAACACCUUCCUUGCAAACUCGAUUCCCUCCUCCACAGCACAACCAACGGCAAUUGAAUUUCAGAAGACAGCGAGAGAAUUGGGAGAAAAAACAAGAUCGAAACAGAAAUCAACAGACAAAUCUGGAACGAAUCGAAAUUCAUUCUAGAGUUCAACGGGAGACGACGAAUUUCGUCAUCGCUUCAAUGUUACGAGGAACCGGCUGUCUCUGAAGAUCUCUCGAAGCAAUGAUCGUAAGAGAUUCCAGUUGACAGGCUCACUCCCUCAUGGUUUCGUACAGAGAGAAAGAGAGAGAUUCUUCUCUGAAUUUUAGACACCUCGUUCUUUUCUCCUCUCUCUCUCUUUUAUUUUAUUUGCACUCUUGUUAUUUCUUUUUAUUUUGUUUUGUGUCUUUGAUUUGUAUUUUAUAAAUAAAAAAUAUACAAAUAAAAUUCAGCUUCUUCAAUGAAGGAACUGAAUUUUAAUAUUCUAUCCCCUCUUUUCUUUUAUUUGUAUUUUUGUUAUUUAUUUUUUAUUUUUUACAUCUUUAAUUUGCCGGUUAAACUAACGAUACAGUCAAAAAGUUGAAGCUAUGCUCCAAUACUGGAUGAGCAUCACUCUUUAAUUUGGCCAUAAGCGAAAUCCAUGCAAGUAGCACGUACCAACUAUGCCAAUCCAACAAUGCAUGCUCCUUGGCCAAAGCAUUGGACAUCACCAUAAGAACCACCGGCAUAGUGGUCUAAUCAUCGGGUCUCAAUGUCAGAUUUUCAAAAUAUCUUUCAGUUGGGCCCAAUUUAGGAAAUUUGGAUUUUAGUUAAAGCUGAGAUGGCCCAUAUCCGCUUUUUUUGUAAUUUAGAAAUAAUGUCUUAUUUUCCUUCUCACCAAGCCUCUUUCAUUUUCCCCGAUCUCUCGUUCUCUCUUGUCUCAUGAUCAUCGAGUCGUCCAGUCCCCACCAACCCGCCACCGCGCCACCUUCGAGCCCUGAGCUCUGCUUUCUCUCUCUCAGUCUUUCUUCUCGUGUCUCGCCCACAUGUCAGCGAGUUACAAAGCGAGAGAUGGGACGGACUCACUUUUUUGCUCGUGUCAUGGUCUCCCUCCCGCUCCCCCUCUCUCCAGCAAGUGGCAAAACAGGUUUUUACUAGCCUGUUCUGAUGUCUUCAAGGUUUUUGAAUUUAGGACGUGCUAUUUGAAUUUCUCAUGGAGAGUAAAAGCAAAAAAUAAAAUAAAAUAAACACUUUUUUUUUUAAAUAUCGGGCUGUGCCAGACCCUUGGAUCUGGGCCAUAUGGCAUGGCUUCAGUCCGGGCCAGGUCCUCAGUCACACAUUUUUGGACUGACCCUCGAAAUAAGAAAAAGGUUUCGCUCUGGUCCUUUGGCCACGAGGCCUUUAUUGGCUUCCACAGCUAAUAGGUGGUCCAGCGAAUGACCGCAGAGCCGUUGGAUAUGAUAAGGGACGCUAUUCUUCCAUAUCAGCUAACCUCACAAGUUUUCGGAGAACGGUUUGGUUUCGCCUCUUCUCUUUGUGUUUUUCCCCUUUCUGGGGUUCCUUUUUUCUCUCCCCUUUCUCUCAGCAUUGUGUAAUAUCAGCUCAUGCGAGCGAGCCAAUUGUGAGAAUUGCUUGUAAUUUUCUUGUUUUUCGUUUCUUUUCUUGGCAAAUGGAGCAACACCUAAAACUCCAAUCGCAUUUCAUUAAAUUGGGUAUCAUUCAUCCGGCCAAACCUACAACUUGAGGUGAGUUGUUUUCUUUCGUGACAAAAGCAGGAACACUAGCAUCUUACUAGUCAAAAGUUAAAAAGACUUUUAUCAAGAUACGAUAGUUGGAGCUAUAUAAUUCGUGAUAAAAUAUUGUGCUCUUCUAUUUCCUAUUGAUCGAGUGACAUGCAAAGACUAACAUAAUUUCUAAAAUAAAGGGUUUAUUGUUAUUAGCCCGUGAGAAGACCCAGGAAAAGGGCGAAACAAGAAUUGAAAACGUGUCGAAGAGGACAAAGGAAGAGCAAAUUCUUAUCUGGGUGCGGGGAAUCAUGACCAAAGGGGUUCUCAUCGUUGUCGUUAAUCGUUAAACGUGUCGUUAACGGCUCGAUCUCGGGUGCACGAAUCCGGAUCCAAGGCGAAAAGAGGGAAAGGGCCCCGUCCUGAGGAUGAUCGGGCGCGGGAGGAGGGAGGGAACCCGGUAAAAGCGGUAGGGUGGCGGGGCAGGGGAGUGCACCGGCAGACUACUCCUGUUCAAUUUCGAUUGGGUUUGUGAGGUUAAUAAUAAUUCAGACGCACACUCAUUAAUGCCACAUUCCAAGCCUAAAUGAACUGAAAAGGACGUGCUUCUGGAUGUCCUUAUCCUUUCUCGUUAUGUUGUUCUUCAUUUUGAAUUUGAAAUUAAGUGUCAUGACGUAGUUAAAAUUAUGGGUUUUAUUUUUCCCACGGGGAACACCAAAGAGGUUCAUGAGAAAAUGUAAUGAGAAUCUUCCAAUGGCCUGUGGAAUUGGAAAAAAUGUGAUGAGAUGAUUUGGUUAUCAAACGGUUGGGAUGAAUUCGUAGAGCGUUACUCUAUCUGCGAGGGACAAUUUUUGGUCUUCAAAUCUGAAGUGGACUCCAUUUUCCAUGUAAUCAUAUUUGAUAAAAGCAAGUCCAAGAUAGAAUAUCCACCAACAAAUGCCAAUGGUAGGAACCGACCCUCAGCAGUUGGGCAUUUGUCUGGUUGAAAGUGGAAGAUGCCGACGAUUUCCGUGAUGUUUCGGUCAAGCUUGAAGUCUAGGGGGAUGAAUUGCAUUCACCCAAGUGUCCUCGGCUUUGUAAGGCAAUGGAAUCUGAUCGGGUUUGCGAAGUUCAUGACGGUUCCUAUGCACACUCAUCAGCACAGAGUUUGCGAGGAGACGGAAGUUCGAACUACUUAUCAUGAGAUUUUCAAUCCAUUUGAUUGUGUUCUUGUGUUUGAUUCCAAUUCCGUAUUCCGUAUAGGAACUCUCCAUGUGAUUUGGCUAAGAGAGGGAGCGUUAAAGCUAACUCAUUCUUGUAGGGCCCAUUUGGUUCGGCUUUUGGAGAAUGCAUUUGCCAAAAUGCAAAUACCUUUGGGUGAAUAGGGUUUUCCGAAAUGCAAAUAUCGUUUGAUAAAAUUUGCAUUGAGAUAUAACUUUGGCCAAAAUACCGUUUGGUAAAAUUUGCAUCUGUAAAGGACUUUUAUUAAAUUAAAAAAAACAAAAAAAAAACAUUAGUAUUUUUUUUUUUGAAGUCUGGCCAUCGGAUUGCCGGAUCUGGCGGCCGGAUGGUCGGAUCUAGCGGCACGACCCCAGGCGACCUCAUGUGGCCGCUUGGGUCGCGCGACCCAGGCCAUCAAUCGCCUGGGUCACGCGACCCAGGCGUCGCCUGAGGUCUGGCAACGGUCACCGGGGUCGGGCGACCCUCAGGCGGCAGUCACUAGAGCCUCGUCGGCACGCGUGACCCCUUAGCUGAUGACCCGCCGGCCUCCGAUCAGCUUCUUCCGAUGGUGUGCGGUGGUUUUUGAGAAGAUGAACAAUACUGAACUUGCAUUCCAGAGAUGCAACUUCCCAAAAUACCUCCGGAGCUGCAUUAGACUAAAGGCCUUUAGAGCCACUUGGAGAUGCAAUUGCAUCUCGCCAAAGUCACUCAAAAAAACAAAUCAAACACAUUUGCAUUUGACCAAGGGACUUUAGAGUCCCAAAGGGCUUUCCAAAUGCCCAACCAAACAGGGCCGUAGUGUUUAUCUAUCUCUAGCUUUCCCAUGUGUGCAUAUGUAUGUUUUAGGGGAUCUCAUAAAUGUCAAGCCAAUGGAAACAAGCCGAAUGAGUCAUAUCGGAUUUGAUUGUGCUGAAAUUGACAUUGGUGUGCAUAUAGGCCUCGAAAGCUAGACUAUUAGAAAGACCCAGAUCCAUCAAAUUGGGGUUGAUGUGUCCGGAGAUAUGAAUUUCACAUAAUAAGAAUAGCAUAUGCCUAAGCUUUCUUCAUGUUCUAAUUUGUGACUGUUGCAGAUAAACUGAAACAACUGGGUUUGCGCAGAGUUGUCAAAUCAGCCAGCAAAAUUAAACCCGACCACAUUGCGGUGAGGUGAAUAUAUCUAAAGAAAAGCAAUGUGGUAUGAUCCUCAUGACAAUGACAACACUUGAAUUUAAAUCACAGAGUUGCUAGACUAUAUUAGCUCUAGAUUGAUUGUGCAUCAGGUCAUUAAUUUCUGUUUUUAUCCUUGACAUGCUUUGAAAAGGAUCCUCGUACUGUCUUGGUCAGAAAUCGUUGGUUGUCUUCUUCUUUCUGAUGACAAAACUGCAGAAAGUGCACUUGAGUAAAGAGUUCCCGGCCCAUUCCCAAAGAUGCACUUCAAGAAAAGCCUGUGGACUGUGGCUCUCAUAUAUCAGGACAAAUCAUGGCCGGUGAAGCGCAUUAGCCACGAACAUUAUGGAAAGUUAUCUGUUGGUUGGGCUACUUUCUCGAGAGAAACUUCUCUGAAGGAGGGAGGCUUGUGCAUGUUCAAGCUCUAUUAGAAGGGGCAACGUCGUGUUCAGAGUAUACAUCUUCAAGACCACUAGCCAGAGGUAGGUGAAAAAUCCUAUGCAAUAGGACACGGCAAAGGAAGCAUCACUUUAGCUCAGAAUUGCUUGGCUAAAAUCUGCUUCAAAUUUGACAAAUCAGAAAAAAGCAUGAGUUUUAUUCUAAUGAAUGGAAAGAUACCUUUAAUCGAUCCUAGUGUUACAGUCACCACGUGGGGAUGACCGAAUGAGUCAUGAGUCAUGAGACGGAGGAAGCUGAUUGCUUCUAGUACAAGUCACACAGCCUCAUUUCCUUACUCCUCCCAUAGUAGAUUUUCGUCGUCAUCGAACCACUCUCUAUAUUUCAAAACCCAAAAGGAAAUUUAUAUUCAUUUAAGCAAAGAGAGACAAUAAAACGAUGUAAAAGCCGUCCUUCAAGUCUAUAUUAAUCAAAAUAUCCAAUGCUCUCUAGUGAUUAAUACAUAGAUUCUAAUUAUAAUCGGACAUCUACCGAGCACAACCGAAAAAGAGUUCUAUAAGCUAGCAAUGACCUAAAAAAUAGUUCCACAAGAGGGCUCAACCUCCUCGACUUAUUAAAUGAAUCACGAGGCAAGGAAAAGAGAACUUGGGCAAUUAAUGGCAUUAAACGCAAUUAAUGCGAAUCAUGCAGAAAUUAUUAGAAGUAUAGUGAGUUGGGGCUUAGAUGGUGUUCCUUACUCAUGUCAAUUGGCAAUGAUAAAGAAAAGUAACUAACUUGUGUGAAAGUUAUCAAUCAUUUAAAAAUUUAGUGUCACUUUAAAACUUACAAAAUUUAUUAAUCAGAUAAAAAAAUUAAAAAAAAAAUGUACGAUUACAAAUUACUUUCAAUCUGCAGAGCGUUACUUACAAAUUUGAAAAACUCUUUUAUGCAUGUGACACUCCAAAUUCCAUAUGGAUUGGAAGAGGGAUAAUUGACCAAUAGAUAAGUGUGAACACAAACCACCACCGCUAGAUAUUCACCUCCUGAAAAACUUAUUUAGGGGCUUAGAUCAUAACAAAUCGGAUUGUUAAUAUUAGAAAAUUCCAUGCCUAACUUAUAGCUCGAACUUGCACAUUAAUUAAAGAUAUUUAACUUGGUAUUUGGCUCAAAUAAAAGUUGUACUCUACAAUGCUAACCUAAGAAAAGUAUAUAAUUCUCUCAAAUUAAGAUAGGUAAUUUCGCACAAAAAGUGUUAAGCGUGAUUGUGGUUGGUGGAGGAGAAAUACCUAUGUAGAUAAACCAAGAAAGCGAAUCUUUUUAAUACGAAAGUAAGUUAUACUAGCCAUUUAGCUUAAUUCUCCAAAAAAGUAUCAACUUUAUCUGGAGUAUUAAUUCAGGCAUAACCUUUUUUUUGUAACAAAAAAUCAUCAACUUCCAUGCCUAAAUCUGACUCCGAUUAGCUUUCCAUCAACUAAUGGUGUUAAAUGUUUGAUGCAUCAAUUUCACGUCAUUAUCUUUUUCCAAGUCAGAAUUCAUAUAUAUAUGCUGUCUUCUUUUUUCUUUAUUUCUUUUUUCCAUUUCCCUUUUUCUUUCUUCUUCUUCUUCCUUUCACUGGACGAUAACCUGACCACCGUGAGUCAGCCGUACGAUCCAAUCAACGGCCCAGCCCUCCGUCCACCACCACCUCGCCACCUUCCACAACCCCAGCCGUAUUCCUGUUUUUCCCAGCCUCUCGCCACAUAUCUCCACCACCACCGCCUCUACUCUUGGCCGAUGACCCCUGGCUUCCGAUGUCCAGUAGCCUGGCCGUGGCUUGUCCUCGCUGUCGUCGAGCUCGAGCUCGGCCGGCGCUCUCGAGCCUCAAAUUUUGGAUCUAAGCUCAAGCGAGCCCUAGAUUCGAGAUAGGGGGUCAGCUGGACCUCGGACUUGGGUUGAUUAAGGUCGAGCGGGGUCGACGGCAAUCACAACUAGAUUUUUGGAGGUUAAUAUCCGUUCGUCCAUGGCUUUUCAAUCCAAGUCUGUGCAUGUUGAUUAAUUGAAAAUGAGUGAAUCAGCAGAAAGUUUAGAUUUUUUUUGUUCAGAAUAAGAUCACGACCAGUUUCAUUUAAAAUAUAUGCAAUAAAAUAAAAUAAAAUAAAAUAAAAUAAAAUAAAAUGCAAUGACAGAAGAGAAGCAUUGUACAGUUAGUCACUUUGCCUUCAAGAAGCUGAAAAAAAAAGUUGGAAAUGGGCUCUGGAAUACAGAUUUAGCUCAUUCCACUGAAGAGUACAAAGAAAUGUGUGCAGAUGGAGUAGAAGGUCGCCGAGGUAGGAGGUCUGGAUGCUGGGGUUCCAUCCACGGUUGCCGCCGACAAAUGUGGUCGGUGACGGUGGCAGAGGCCGGAGACACUAUGGCGGCUGCAAGGAGGAAGUGGAGGAUGACAGGGUGGGAUGAUGGUGGCCAUGGACGGACAACCUUUAGGUAGCGAAAGGAAGAAGGAAGAUUAUAAAAAGAAUAAGAAAAGGAAAAGCUACAUAUAAUUCUGAUUUGGGAAAAAAGAAUGAGUGGAAUUGACAAAUGAGACGUUUGAGGUUGAUGAUGCUCUUUGGACGGACAAAAAGUUAACAGAGGUCAGAUUUGGAUAUGAAGUCAAAGUUGGUGAUUGUUUAUGAGAUACUAAAGAAAAAAUAUUUGGGGCCAGAAUUGAGAUUUGAACCUAAAUUGGUGCAAUUUUGAGGAAUUAAGCCCUUGCUAUUUUUUUUUUUUUGGACAAUAAGCCCUUGCUAUUUAGAAUCAUCGUUUUCGACUAUGUUUUAAAAAUGGUAGUGUCUAUAACAUGAUAACAACAUGAACAGUAAUAAGCAAGAGAAUGAAUUAGGGCAUAUUUAUUUUCGCGGCAGAAAAUGCUGCAGGCAGAGUCUUUCUAUUGAAGAGAUGAUCCUGCCCCCACGGACGAGGACACUUAACACCUACAAAACACAAACGGGGCGAGGGAGUUUCUAUUGGUGGGUUCCAUCAUCAUUAUAUUUAUCUAUGUGAUGUAGAUGUUUCCGUAAUGGGUUCUCCAUUCUUUUCAUUUUCUUGAGUUUAAGCUUCCAUCACUUAUCUGAAAAUGGAGAAGCUGGACUCAAAAAAAUUUUGAACUACUACCAAAUAAAAAAUUGUUGGAUGAUAAUUAAUAAUGUUUCAUUACUUUAAUAGUUUUGAUGGCUUAAAUCUAUUACCAAAAAAGUCAUAAACUUAUUUUUUUGACUAAUUGAGUCCUAAACCUUUUACAAUUAUUUCCGAUCAGUCCAUUCGGUCAAAAUUGGGUAGUCGGCACUGAUGUGGCUGUGACACCCCUCGACGGCCCCCGAUCCGAUUAGGGUCGUCACAGUUCGCUUACCAUUCACUUUCCUUAUUAACAUAUCACUCUGAUACCAUUUCAAUUGUAGCGGGUCCAUACAACCGUGGGGGUUUACACACAUUUUUUUUUUUGAUAGGUCCCUUGCGCAAUUCAUAUACGGAAGCACAUCUAGCAAACUCCCUUCCUUAUAUUUAGAAAACUAUGCACACCUACUAAACAUCUUAUAUAAGUUAAAGCCGUACACUUUUAUUUACAUAAAGCAGAUGGACAUCUUUAGUCGGUACAUCAAAAUGCCGUAGUUUUCUAUACUCGGCUACACUUCAAAAGAUGACCGACAUCUCCUCCCACAAUCGCAUGCUUAAGGUCCAUCAUCCAGUGUCGGCGUCCAAAGGUUCCCUCCUUUGCUAUCCUUCUCCUCGCGGUCAUAUCCAACCGCUCAAACCAUCUACUAAUCUGAAAUGUUGGUCCCCAAAAGGGGUGAGUACUACCACUCAGCAGAUAAGGAAUCCAAUAACAACUCAAUGCAUCAUGCAAAUCAUACAUGCAUUGCAGGCGUAACUUACCUUGCAGCCAUGCGUAAUACUAUCAUGCAUCAUCAUGCCUUAUCAUCAUGCAUAUCAUAUCAUCAUAUGUCAUCAUCAUAAUCAUCAUCAUGGCAUCAUUAUAUCAUACAUGUCAUCCUUAUCAUGACAUCAUCACAUCACAUAUUAUCAUCAUCAUCAUGCAUAUCAUCAUGCANNNNNNNNNNNNNNNNNNNNNNNNNNNNNNNNNNNNNNNNNNNNNNNNNNNNNNNNNNNNNNNNNNNNNNNNNNNNNNNNNNNNNNNNNNNNNNNNNNNNCAUCACAUAUCAUCACCAUCAUCAUGCAUAUCAUCAUGCAUAUCAUACCAUGGGUGAUCAUUAUAUCACAUCACAUAUCAUCACCAUCAUCAUGCAUAUCAUCAUGCAUAUCAUACCAUGGUUUAAUUUUCAUCUUUAUCUUUCAAUUUUGAUCACCACAUCACCCAUUCAUCAAUCUCAUCAUCAAUUUCAUCCCAUAUUUUACCCUCGCAUCCCAUGCGAGAAAAACCUCCGGGCAUGUAUCCAAGAUACAACCGGGCAUCCGGCCCCCCACAUUCCGGGCAUCUCGCAUCCCAACUAGCAUCACGAGGAACCUCCAGGCAUGUAUCCAAGAUACAACCGGACAUCUGGCCUUUACCCUUCUAGCCAGGCAUCCCGCACCCCAAUCCUGGUGUCGCGAGGAACCUCCGGGCAUGUAUCCAAGAUACAACCGGACUUCCGGCCCCCCACAUUCCAUGCAUCCUGAAUCUCCCAGGGAAUCUCUGGAAUUACGCCACCAGGCCACCAGACAUCAUCAUCCACCACAACCACAUCCUCAUUUACCAUCAUCCACAUAUACCAUUUCUUUAUCUCAAUUUAACAUGGCAAUUGGCAUGGUAUCAAACAAAUCACACUUGACAUGGAAUUCACACUUGCAUCUCAAUUCAUAUGUCAUACACAUGCCAAAACUUUAUCCCAUACACAUCUCAAUUCAAUACAUGUACAAGGACCAUGUCAUACGCAUACCAAGACUUUAUUACAUAUACAUCUCAAUCCAAUACAUGUGCAAAGACCUCAUCACACAUAUGCCACACAAAUAGAAUUGAAUCCAUGGCCAAAUAAAAAUCCAUUUUAUUUUAUUAUUAUUUUAUUUAUUUAUUUUCAUAAAUAAAUAUUAAAUUUAAUAUCUAUGAUUUUCCCAAAAUCAUAGUAUUCAAACAAUCACUAAACAAAUCAAUAGGAUCACAAUUUCAUACAAAAUUCAUAGCCAAAUUGAAUUUCUCAUAAUUUCACAAUUUCCACAAAAUAGCACAUGAUAUUCGGAUAAUGACCAGAAUUGCACAGUUUUCAAAUAAAUUAGAUUAAAAUACUCAUAUGGCCUUCAAAAAUUACGAAAUUUUACAGGGUGAUAGCCAAGACAUUUUCGUGCAACUUUCAUGAAGAACUCUAAGUCAGAUUAUUUUUAUAUUAAUUUAUACAUCCUCACGAAACUUCUGGAACCACUACCGCAUCGUCCAGAAUACACAUCUCCGAAAUAUUAAGGUUUCACCCAUCUAUUCUCUUUCUUUUCCUCUGAAAUUUGAGUAUGUUAUGUAUCAAGGUGUCCUUUACAAGUUUCAUGAAGAGAUCUAGGUCACAUAACCAAAUUAUGGUCACCAUUUAAGUCCAUCAAGUCUCGGGUGUCUCGGAACACAUCACCAGAAUCAUCGUCUCCAAGAUCUAGCCGAUUCACCAAGCUAUACUUGUUCUUUUUGCUUCAAAUUUGAGUAUGUUGUAUUUUAAGGUGUUACCUUCAACUUUCAAGAAGACAACAAAGUGAGAUCUCCAACAGAAAUCAACAUGCAAAUCAAGAAAUCAACAAGAGGUCAGUGAAAAUUUCGCAGAUCUAAAGUCUCCGUACAAUAUAACUUUUGACCCCUCAAAUAUCCAUCGUUUUCUACGAAUUUUUAGUAUGUCAUAGUACAAGACGUUAGCUUCAACUCUCAUGAAGACACCGAAGCCAAAAUCGAACCCCAAACUCACAUGAAACUCGAACAAGCUACUGACUUCAACAAACCGAACAAGAACAGUCACACGGUUUACAAAUAACCAACUCUUACCUCGGUUUUUCGCACAAAUCACACCUAAAAUCUAACAUGCAACCACCACAACAAACAUGCAAGAGAAGUUACGGACUCCACUUGCCUUAAAGGUGAACAAGCAACGACGAACGGCGACGGGACACGGCGAUCGGACGGCGAACGGACGGCACACCCCUCCGGCUCCGCCUCCUCUCCUCUCGGUUUCUCCCUUUCUCUCAAGCUCUCUCUCUCGCACACCCUCUCUUUGGACGAAAAGCAAAGAACCGGCCAUCUCUCUCUCCUCAUCCCUUUUAUAUCCCCUUAAUCCCAUGAUUAGCAAUGAUUACUUUGCCUACAAACCCACCAAUGCAUGCCAUUCCUUCAUGCCACUUGUCACACUAAUUUUGAAUUGAUUUGGGCUUGGGCUUAGGCCCAUCCGGCCACUCCCUUGGGCUGGUCGAAAUCCUCCUCUUCUUGGGCUCUAAUGGGCCGACAAGCUUGGCCCACCAAGCUUUAGGCUAAUGGGUCCAAGGCCCAUUCCAAUUUAACCUAUUUUUCCCUUCUUUUUUUUUUUUUGAAUUCCUUUCUAUAAAUAUUUCCAAAUUCAAAUUUCAUCUUGGCCAAAGUCUUGGGACACUUUGUUUAUUAAGAUUUAAAUUUAAAAUCUCAUGGCCAAUUAUUAAUCUAUAAAUUUAAAUACACAAAUCAUCAAAUUAAAAGUCAAAUUGGCUAAGGCAUAAGCCAAAAGAAAUUCUAUCACCUAAUUAGGAACUUCAACUCACCUUAUGGCUUGUCAUUAAAUUUGGGAUGCCACAGUGGCAGCCGGUCAGCGCUAAGUCUGGUGAGGGGAGCCCUGCCGGAUCUGGUGAGGGAGGCUCGUCGUCGCAUUUGGCGAGGCCCUCCUCACCGGAUCUGGCGAGGUCUCGCCUCGCCCGACGACCGUGAGGCAAGCCCUCACCAAAUCCGGUGAGGGGGCUUGCCCUCGCCAGAUCCGACGGGGGCUUGCCCUACCGUCGCUAGGCGUGAGCUUGCUGACUAGCAAGGCAAGCUCGCCGGAUUGCCUUAGUCUAGUGACCAGCCAACUUGGCCAAUCACUAGAGCCAAAGGAAGGAGGAGGGAGGAGGGAGGAAGAGGGAGAAGGGGAAAAAAAAAACAAAAGAGGAAAAAGGAAAAAGAAAAGAUAAAAAAUUAAUAAAAUAUUUCAAAAAAAAAAAUAUUAUUAAGAAAAGCUCGCUGGCAUUGGCCAAUCAAUUUUAGCAGGAUGGACUAAUCGGAAUAAUUGUAAAAGGUUUAAAACUCAAUUGGUCAAAAAAAUAAGUUAUGACUAAACUAGCACAAUUGCAAUAGGUUUAUGACUUUUUUUAGUAAUUUUCCUCUUAUUUAUCAUAAAUUCUAUUUCUUUGCAAUCAAGAUUAUCUGCGAAGAAUGAUGGAUUGAUGAGAUUUGUGGUUAUGAAGGGUAUUCGCCUACAAAAUUUCUUUCCUUGAACUAAAAGGAGGGUCUGAUCCCUCCGUGCAUAGAGAAAGGUAGAUUUGUGCCCUUGAAUCCAGCGAGGCUUAGUUUUGCUUAUCAUUUUUGUAAAUCCAAUGAGAUUUUGUUAUAUAUAUGGGGUUGCAGAGGAGGUGAUUGAAUAUAUGCAUGAUCAAGUGGCAUAGAUCAUUGUUUACUUAUUUAUCCAUAAAAUCUCACACACACUAAUCGUUUAUCGAACAACAUGCAUGGCAGACUAGAUCAGGCUUUCUGUUGCAUAAUUAUUUCCUAAUUCUCUCCGCUUGACUUUAGACCUAGCAGGAGGGCUUGAGAGAAUGUGAGUGUAUUCAUGCUUAUAAUCAAGUUUACUUAACACGAAUUCAUUGGCUUGAUGGGAUUAUUUGUAUAAGUGUAGUUACUUUAUGGAGAAGCUUGAGUUAUAUAUUAGAGAAGUAUCCGCAUUGUCUACGUGAAAAAUUUUCGAGGCUCCUUCCGUCGUAGCACUAAAUAUCUAAAGUCCAUAUGAAAACAGAAAUCUACUAUAGAAAAAGAUAUCUGCCUCUUUCUACUAGGCUUAAGCUCGUGUCCGGUUUCAUACAUCGGUCCAAAGCCCAAGCACCAAAUGGGUCCGUAGGGUCUAGCCCUCAACAUAAGCUAAGGUGAGCUCGUUCCUAAAACAUCCUAUCUUCUGGUCAUUAUUUGACGAUUUAAAGCCCAAAGGAGCAAUUAAUCCAAAAGGAAGACUUUCCCUGCUUGAGGAGCGAAGCUUCCCGCAUCUCGUAUGCUCUGAAUUUGAUUAUGCUUAUCAUUGUUUGUUGGGUGUAAAAUUUCCUUUCCAGAAAUUAUACUUUACGACACAAAUUAUUAUGCACCAACUCCACGUACAGAAUCAAUUGGAGAAUACAUAUCUACAAAAUUAUACAAUAACAGCUUUUCUCUAAGAUUGAAACACAACACUCUAAUAGCUAGAAAGGACUUCUCCUUGUUUCAAGAAUUAGAUUUGCAACGUUCUCUAGAAAAAAAUACAUAAAUAAUGUGGCCACGUAGGCUCCACCUGAGCUGAUAUUAUGCACUACUGACUAAAUAGAUUACUCAAAUGAGAAUAUUUUUACAUGCACUAAUUCCAAAAAAUCUUGACUAGACCUUAGAAUUUAGAUUGAGGGCAUGUAAAUCGCAAAAUAUGAUGAGUAUUAUAGGAUCAACGGCUGUGAUUCAUCUGAUGAGUCCGUGUAAGUAUUUGUCAUUCCAAGCAGGGAGGACGGACAAUAUUGUGAUCUUACAUGGGGAUUCUGGAAAAGGAAAAAGCGACACGACUGCAUUUUCAAAAAGCAAGAGAGGCUAAGGAUAACUAAGGAUGAAAGUAAAGUAGUGGGGACCAUAACUAUUUGGCAUUGCCUCAAAAAGGUCAAGAGAUCCAUCAAUUAGAUUGGGUUUUGGUGGAUUAUGAGUUGAUUCUAGUGCUUUGAAGCAGUGUGAAUUGGAUUCCAAAUAGAAAGCAAAAGAGGUGGAAAAAAGCAUACGUUGGUUAAAUUGAACAUCGACACCUCAUUCCAUCACUCAUCACUUUUGGAACUUGUGCCUAUGUAAGCUAUUUUGCUUUUUCUUAAAGUAUUAGACACAACAUGACCGCUUUAGCGUCCACAUUGGAACUAGCCAUCUUCUUUAAGAUUAGGAUAUCCAUUAAAAAUGACCAUGAACCUACUUUAAAGAUUCACCCACAUAAAGUCACAAUCCCUUUAUCAACUAAAAUUAAUUUUUUGAAAUUCUUUACCAUGGAGACUACGGGAGUCCGGAGCAAAAGUAAGUGACAAUGGAUGUCGACAUCGAACUUUUUCUAGUGGAAAAUAAAGCAUGCUUUUUUCUUUAUUUUUUGGGUACAGUAUUGCCGAAGGGAUAAGGCAGGUUCGUCAAAUGUAUGGCGCUUGGUCAAUUAGCUAUCCCAAGGUGGAUGUCUCCGUCGCUAAGAUUUGCAAAGCCUCAUUGAUAAUGACUCAAAUGGGCAUAGCUAAGACAGUGAACAGUCGAAAAUUAUUUGGUUACCCACGAACUUUUUAGAUGGUUGUACAAUUCCAUAUUAAAAUUAGAGUGUAAAUGUGACUUCUAUUGGUAAGGUAAGGUUUUAAAGAUUAUGGCAUUUUCACUUAAAUAAGUAUGAAAGCAGAGUACGAAGAUAAAGAGGAUGUUUCAUCUUUCAAUUGAAAAUUAAAACUGUCCAAGCACUAGAAAUCUGACCUUCAACAAGUCAGAGUACCACGGCUGGAAACAACUUAAUCCAGAAAUCGCGCAUCAUGGGGACCUCCAAAAGAAGGAAAAAAAGCACGUUAGAAACAAUUGGUGAAAGCGAAUGAUGAACCGACCGAACAACCUCUACAUAUAUGCAUAUAUUUCCAAAGAAUAACCCCGCAUGAAACAAGAAUCAUUUUCCCAGCUAGAACUAGGGAUGGCAAACAAAUAGAGAAGAUUGUGGAGCAGAUAAGAAAGCUCACAAUGAUUUUUCUUUAUGUGAGGAUUGUAGAAUCGAUAUUUCAUGGGAUUUUAAAUAGACGUGUCUACACGUGCAUACCCCUAAAUUACCAACAAAAAAAAAUGCUUACUUUAGGAAAAUGCUAACUAAAUUUGGUAACUUUUUUAUAUACACUUAUUCCUCAGAAACUAGUAGCUAUUAUGCAAAAGGUCCAUAUGACCUUAAUUUCAAAGAGAAUGUCCCACAUGACUUUAAUUAGUCAUAACAAUUUUCUUUUGUUAAUUAUUAGUCAUAAUUUUUUUCAUGUAGUCAUAAUAAAUAUAAGGAUUUAUGAAUAACAUGACAUCAUAAUUUAACAAUUAUGCUUGGCAAACGAGGUUAAACGACUUCAAUUUUUACUUAUGAAGUGAAUUUCUUCUUCUUUUCUCACUUAUAGGGAUGAUUAUGAGGGGCUCUCUUUCAACAAAUCUGUGAAAAAUUGAAGGACGAUUCAUGAAAAGUCAAAACUUAUUUUCAACUAAUGCUCAACAUUAGCUGGGUAGAGGGCUCCAAGUUGGCUCAAGUUAUAUAUGUCAAUAAAUAGAAUCUCAUCAAAAAUUGCCAUUCAAUAUAUAAAUCAAUAACACGGCCAUUUUACAUUUUAGAGCUAUUUCGAUUUGCAUACCAAUUCAAAAGUAAAACCUCAAUUUUUUUCCCAUUCAAUUAGCUUGAUUAUAAUGUUACUUCUCUAUUUUUUAAUAUGAUUUCAUGCCAACACGAGGAGUGGGCUUAGGAAUAGUACCUAAUCAAUCUCUUUGCCUUCUUUGUCCCUAAUCAUUCUUGCUUUGUUUCGCUCUUCCGUUAUUCUCUCUGUCUCUUUGUUUUUGUUUUUGUUUUUUUUUUUUUCUGGGUUCUUCUCCACUAAAAAAGAAAAUCAAAAAGAAAAAUGUAAAAUCGAUGAUACUGUUGAGGAAAAUGGGAAACAUCACAUUAAAUUCAUCUCAAGAAGUAAAAUUAUUGAUAUAAAGGUCUAAUUUGUGGUUAAAGAGCAAGAGCAAAAAAAAAAAAACACAUUAGAAAAAUCUCAUUUAUAUCAUCAUAGUAGGAGGUCCUUAGCAAGACCUUAAAAGGCUAUGACAUUCGGGAAAGACUGCAUAGAAGCGGGGAUCUAGGCCUCGAAAAACAUUCUAGCCCCAUUGCCAGACCCGGCCAUAACCCCUAUGGGGGUAGGGCUGGCAACUCUGAUCCCCGCGAUGCCUUCCCCUCUGAAACACGGAGGCAUGGUAUAGGGAAAUGAGGGGUCUCCCCUGAAAGGGGGAGGCGCCGGCCGGAAACAUCUCCCCUUUUCGGAGGGAGACCCAUCAUUUUCCUGCACCACGCCCCCAUGUUUCAAGGGGAAGGCGUCGCAGGAAUCAGGGCUGCCAGCCCACUCCCGAAGGGGUUGUAGCUGGGUCUGGCAAUGGGGCAAGUAUAUUUAUCAAGGCCUUGAUUCCAGCCUCUAUCCAGUCUUUUCUGGAUGUUAUAGCCUUUUAAAGUCUUGCUAAGGACCUAUGAGCAAGAGCAAAAAAAAAACAUUAGAAAAAUCUCAUUUAUAUCAUCAAAUGAUAAUUUUUUGAUGAUGUUCUACUUGGAAUAUGAGUGCAUCAACCUCGAACAAUCCACGUCUCUGCUGGCUCCAUCAAUUUGUCUUCUUGACUCCUUUGAAGUCAUGAUGUUGUUUUUUCUUGGAUUGCUACAAAAUUUAACAGUUAAUACUUUUGACAUUUCACACAUAAUCAAUGAUGAUAUGGACAUCCAUCUUCAAUCUUCCAUUGCUGCUUUAUUGCACCGAAAGGUGAAAUUCCCAAGACUAAAAGAGAGAGAUUCCUCUGGUGGGCCUUCCGUUCCACCGAAACCCUUGAAAAAUAGUCAGGAGGAUCUUCUAAAGUCGUUGUGAUGAUUUGGUGUAUACAUGCAUAUUCACACACAUUGCGCGAGGCUAUUCCCGCUCCCAAUUUAGCUUAAAAUCACGUCCUUUUAAGAAAAUUCAAUUAUUGAUAGACCUGCCUUUUAUUUAAAAAUAAACAAAUAUGCCUCUUCCAAUUUCUCUCUCAUCGAUUGUCUGGUCUAUUUUCUUAUUUACUACAGACAGUUGAUAAGAGUUUAUGGUUUCAAUCUUGUCAUCUACUCCUUUGAUUUCAAAGUUUUUUUCAUGUAAGAAUUUACCUAAAAAACGUCUUCAACCUAUGAAUCAUGCAAAAAAAAAAAAAAAAAGAGGCUGAUUUAUUUAAAAGAUUGGAGCAUAAGCACGUUUCGAAAUAUCAAAUUACACGUAUGCUUUCAUCGAGCUUUAGCCAUAAUUUUUUCAAUUUAUUAUGACCAAAUCUUCAAUUCUUCGAUCUAUCAUGUUCAAACUUUCAUUAUUUUGUAGAAGAGAAUAUUUCAACAAGUUAAUUUGGUAUAUUUUAUUUACGAACUUAUAAGUUAGUGACUAAUUGGUCAUAGACAAGGAUUUUGAGACAUUUAAAGUUAUUUUUCUUAUUGAUAAUUGGUUUUUCUGAAUUUAUCAUGCUAGUAAAUUUGGGAGAUCAUUGAGUGAGAGUUUCAUUUUGAGCAAUCUCAAUUUUUUUCACACUGCAUCUCUAGAGUUAUUUCAAAGUGGUGGUGCGGCCGUUUGAUAUGAAGAGAUUCAUGGAAAGGUCCCAAGCUUAAUUCAUUAGGAGCAUGUUUUCAAAUUGAAAAGCUUGCCUCGUAUUUUUAGUUUGUUUUUGAGUUUUGAUUUUGUUUGCUUUAUUCCUUAUACCUGUAGCUAGGACUUGAGAUUAUAUUACAUACCCCAUGAAUAGUUCAAGAGCAUAAAUUUUGAUAGUUUAAGAUUGAUGUCUUUCAGAUUUUGCACCGUAUUAUAUAGUUAAGGUUGCUGAUUAUAAUUCUUGAAACUAACAAAUUGUCGAGUGCUGUGAAAUAUACAUACAUACAUAUAUAUAUAUAUGUAUUGUGUGUUCUCUCAUUCUGUGUACUUGUAUUAUGGUCUUUCAUAUCCAUACGUUGCUUGUUAAAAUAUGCAUGCGGGCAAACAAUUCUCUUUACAUUCUUCAAGGAAUAUAUUCAGGGAAUAAUCAAAUCACAACUCUUAGACAUUUAGACAAAUUGUGCAUAGUGAAGUUGAAGAUCCAUCACAUCUUGUUGAAAAAUGAUGACUAAAUUACAUUUACCUUGUUCCUUGCCAAGAUCGAAUUGCAAUCACAAGAAUUUGGUGGUGUUACUUGUAGUUUGAUAAGCCAUGUUUUUGCUCACAUUGUGUUGUUUUUAAUUGGUAGUUAAAUCACGUCUUUUACAAAUGACAAGUAAUUGAAAUUAUGAGUUCCUACGAAUGAUAAGCAUUACGUGACGAAUGAUUUGAUGAUAGCAUUCGGGGCUCUUAGGUUAAACUUUUGUUUUCUAUUACAAUUUGAUUAAAAUUAUUAUUUUAAAGAAAGCAGCCAUGGAUUCUUACUGGAAUCCCAAUCCCCAUGAUUGAACCAUGCAGUCAAAAAUGGGGUCCAUAUGCCAUUAGAAGAAAGCUAUGCACGUUGCUCAUGCUUGCCUGUGGUCAUUCACUCGUGAAAGGGUUAAUAGUAAGAGAGUGAAUAAAACAGCCAAGAAUUUGCAAUAAUUUGACUAGACAUAAAAUAGUGGGAUGUCCUAUCUCCCCCUUGAGUCUACCUUAGUAUUAAUAUUACAAAAGCAUUGAUUAUUCGUCAAUGGCUUAGUAUAAGGAGCAUCAAACUCCCAAAACUUUUCUUACAAAUCUUAGUUAUUAUUAUUAUUAUUUUUUAAAUCAUAACAUUCAAAUAAUUGAAAAAAAAAAGUUAUGACACUCAAGUUUAUGUUUUUUAGAAGCCAUGGUACUCAAAUAAUUGAAAAAAAAAUGUGACCACUUUACAAAAGUCAUGACACUUCCGGUGUUUUUUAGCUAUUCUUUUUAGGAUUUUCGUCCUAUCGUUUUCUCAAUCUUUCUUUCUCAAAAGAAAAACAUUAACAGAUGCUGCCAUCGAGAAAAAUUCGAAAAAUCACAUUAAACUCAUAUCAAGAAGUAAUUGUUGAUUAAAGGGUCUAAGUUAUGGUUAAAAGAGCAAGGACAAAAGACAUUAGAAAAUUUCCAACCAUAUCAUCAUAUGGUAAUUUUUUACAACGUUCUACUUGGACUAUGAGUGCAUCAACCACGGACUAUCCACUUCUCUAGUGGCUCCAUCAAUUAAUCUUUCGACUCCUCUCUAAAGGGAAAGCCAUGAUGGCUUUUUCUUGGAAUGCUACAAAAUUUAAUUGUAAAUACUUUUUGGCCUUCGACGCAUAAUCAAUGAUGAUAUUGAUAUGCAUCUCCUAUCUUCCGCUGACAAUUGCUUCCUUGAACCGAAAGGUAAAAUUAUCAAGACUAAAGCAACAAGAUUCCUCUGGUUGACAAAUAGCUGUUGGGAUGAUUGGUGUGCACACACAUAUUUGGUGGAGCUAAUUAUGCACCCAUUUUACACGUGAUACUUUGCUAGGGUCAUUCCAAAUUUGUCUCUACGUAAUAUUUCCUUAAGAGAACCCAAGGACAAAAUGCUAGAAUAGCCAACCUCUUAUAUUUCCCCUUAUUUCACAUUUUUAGCUUGCCAUCACCUUUCUUUUGUCUCCUUAAUUUUUCCGUUUUCACAUGUAGUAUCUCUCUGUUGGAAAGAGCUUUGAAUUUGAUUAUGCUUGUCACUGUGUAUUUUGGGUGUAAAAUUUCUUUUUUGAGAAAUUAUACUUUUGAUACAAAAUUAUUCACUAAUUCACGUACAAAAUAAACAUGAGAGUCGAUAUCUAUAUAAUUAUGCAAUAACAGUCUCUUCUCUAUGCCCUGCCUCUAAGGUUGACACAUAGAAUUCUAAAUAGCUAGAAAAGACUUCUCCUUAUUUUAAGAACUGGAUUCUCAACGUUCUCCAUUAAAAAAAUGUGCCCACUUAGACUCCACCUAGGCUAAUAUUUUGCAUUACUAACUAGAUAGAUUAUUCAUAUAUCAUGAUGUACUUAUAGGCACUAAUUCCUUAUUAGCUACGUGAGUUAUACUCAAUCUAAUUACAAGGAGAUUGUCUCUCAUGACUUUAAAUUGUUUCUAUUUAGUCAAAAUGUUUUCAAACGGUCAUAAUUCAUAUAUGGGAUUAGGGGUAAAUUGACAUAUCCAACACAACAAUUUUUUAUGGGCAAGUUUGUCAUGUGAAACUAAUUAAGAGAAUUUCAACCAGCUUAAUAUUCAAAACAGAUCAGAGACCAAUAUUAUGCCUAUCUAUCAUAUGUCACUAUUAUUUUUAACGUUAUACUUAGCAUCUCUAUCUUGCACUUAUUGAAUAUUACUAUAUGAUAAUUUUAUGCUAACUUUGUCAUUUUCUUAAGAAAGGGUUCGGAAUAGAAAAUACACUACUCUUUACUAUAUAAAUUAUGCUUACAUAGCCCCAGAAUUGGAGCAAUUGGUUGGGUCAUUAGGGAUUUCCAACUUAGGAACUAGGGAUCGCUAGUUCGAAUCCCACAAACUACAUGCAAACUACUUUGGGUUGUAGUCACCUAAAUAGACCAAAGAUUUGAGUUUAACCGGUUCAUGGAAUUGGCAUGAUAUUUCAUGAGCUUCUAGGUAAAUGGCUCUCCACACUCCUACCCCUAUAUUACACACGCGUGUGCACACACAGAUUCACUUUAGGAGAAUGCUAACUUUACAUGGUAUGGCACUUACUUUAGGAGAAUGCUAAUUUUACAUGGGAUUUUUUAUAUGCACUUAUUCCUCAUAAACUAGGUAAUCAUUAUGCAUAAGAUCUAUGUCAACUUAAUUGCAAGGAGAACAUUCCUCAUGACUUUGAGGAAUAUUACCCAUCGAUCCUAAACAUAUUGUACAAAUGCCAAUUUAGUUCUAAACUUUUCGAUUUUACCAAUUUAGAGAUAAACAUUUGCACAAAAUUCCAAUAUAGUCCUUUUGGCCAAUUUCUGUUGUUGAAAUGGUUGUGUUACUUAGAAUUGUCAGUGAUUACUGGACUGCCAAAUCAAUAAUUUCAGGCAAAAAUUCAUCAAAAGGGUUUUCUUGGAAUUUUCCGUAAAUGUGUAAAACUAAAUUGACAAAAAAAAAAUUGAAAUGAUUUAAACUGAAUUAGCAUAUGUAUAAUAGAUUUUGGGACUGCUUAGAUAAUUUUCCCCAUGACUUUAAUUAGUCAUAAUAUUUUUUUUUAUAAAUUAGUCAUAACCUCCUUAAAUAGGCAAUACAAAUAUAAGGUUUAUGAGGUAAUUUGAUAUUCUAAUCUAACAAUUAUGGGUGAGUUUGAGAAAAGGAGCGAGGAUGUUAAGCAGCCACCCGGUGUUCCGGUUGAGCAAGCCAGCGAAGAAGACGCGUGAGUUUACUUUUUGCUUUUGUCCGAGUAUACGAGUAGUUAAAGAAAAUCAAUGUCGGAAUGCACUCAUUCGAGGAGCUAUGCGUAAUGACUCAGCAAGUUGCAUAUAAAGGAAACGCCUUCAUAGUUAGUGAUAUAUCCCCUUUCAACGAGAUUCACGUGGCACUCGGCAUAACAAUUUGUCAUUGUCCGAUAUGAUUGUCAUGAAAUGGGAAUACGCAAGAGUGAUUUUGAAAAAAUUCCACGAGUUCCAUAGUCACUUUGGUCGACAUCUAGUUCUAUUUGCUUACGCUUAAAUAUAUAUAUAAAAAAAAAAUUCUGCAUUUUGCUCUCCCUUGAGAAAAUUAAAAAUGGGGAAAAAUAGGUUUCAUAAAUUAUGAAAAACCAUAUAAUAACUCUACUUGUAAAUAAAUGUAUAUUUUUGAAAAUUUUAAAAAUCAACAUUUUAAAAAUAAAUUUGAAAAGGAAAAGCUCCAGACAGAACCAAACAUUUGGGAAGAAAAAAAAAGAAAAGAGGGUUUUUUUUUGGGGAGGUGGGGGGGAUGCCGGAGACUUCAAUAUGAAUGAGAGCCCACGGAGCAAAGUUAAUCCUGGCUGGCAAUAAUUUUGCAUGUUGAUUUUGUCAUGUAAAGAGUAGCAAUGGUCGCUAUGAUUUUGCGUUUUAAUAUUAUCAUCUAAAGAGUAGUAGUGUUCAAGAUAGUAAAUUAGUUUAAAAUGUUAAGAGGAUAGCAAAAAUUUAAUUUCCUCAGAAGUUCUAAUCUAACAAUUACAACUGCAGUUAUAUCUAACCUAACAAUCAUAAUUGGCUUUAUAAUCUAACAAUCAGCCUAAUUAUUAUGUUAAUUCUAAAUUUUUAACGUGAUUUCAUGGACCAGCACAAUGAGCUGGGAAGCACUAUUACCUAACCAAUGUUUGCCCAUUGGACGUGGAGGAAAAACUAGAUGCUUAAAUUAUGUUUGUCGAAAGCGGUGAAGGAAAGGAUGGAUAUCUAAUCAAUGUUUGUCCAUUGGCAUUGGAGGAAAGGAUGGUGAUUUCGACAUUGGUGUUGGUGACCUGCUCCAUGUAUUAAUAGAUUAUUUAUUAGAUUACCAUCAUUGUCUUGAUUGACGCGACCGACAACAAUCGUUUUUAAGUUUUUUUUACUUUUGGCCGGUGGAGGCUCUAAGGACUUGGAACCCUUUGCUCCCAACUUUUUAGCUUCCGAAGGAAUUGAGUGGAGUUUAUUAAAAGUCUUAACUGAGGUUAGAUUACCGAGAUCCAUAGUCCAUACACAUCCCAUCUUUCUUCCUCGUGAUUUGGGCCUUUGUUAAGAUUUUAAAUCAUUGGAACACUAGUAGUAACAUCUCAAUCGGUGUUGAUCAAAUAUUCCAGCAAAAAGUUACCAUGUCUCUUUCUCCAUUGAUUGCUCUUUGACGCCCCCCCUUCCUUCAUCUUUUCUCGCACUCGAAUUUCUUCGCCUUUUCCUCUUUCAUCAUUCUUGCUCUGUUUCACUUUUUCUUCUCCUUGCUAUGGCCCUACUCCGCCUCUUUUUCUGAAGUAUCUACGACUCUUUUUCAUCGUUCUCUCUCUCCCUCUCUUUUUCUCUCAACUUUUCCUUUUGAGGGGUUUUUAUCCGAACGUUUUCUCGCUCUUUCUUUUUUGGAAAAAAAAAAUCAAAGAAAAUGUCAGAUUGAUGCCGCUGUUGAGAAAAAUGGAAAAUUAUAUUAAACUCAAAUCAAUAAAUAAUUAUUGAUACAAAUGUUAAGAGUGCGUAACAAAAGUUUAAUCCCUUUAAUCGGAGAGGUUAUCAAGAGAAAGCUCAAGUUUGAGCUCAUUAACAUAUUCAAUUGACCCAUCUUAACUAAAAAAAAUGAGCUAAAAAGUUAUUGAUCAAUUAUGAUAUAUUAAUUGUUUAAUACGACAUCAAUUCUCCAUUGUGAAACUUUUCUAACCCAACUCAUACAUUCAUCUUAACAUUCGCCUCUCGCGUGUUGGCUUAGUAUUAUGCAUGCUUUCCCUUAAUUCAAGUAUCAUUCUCCAUUUACAUGACUCAAUUAGAAUCUCUGCUUUGGUGCGUGUGCUAACAAAAAUAACAAUAACGCCCAUCUUCAUCCCUAGUCUCUUUCUCCAAACCGAAUCAUGAAGGUUACCAUCAAGAUCACAUUUCUACACAACAACGCCCACCUUCAUUCCAAGUCUCUUUUGCUAGAUCGAACUAUGAAGGUUGCCCAAAAACUGCGUUGAUCACGAGAUUCCUUUCCUCAGAUAUUCUCCAAACAUUGGUAUACAUUGGGAUUGGCCAUUAGCUAUCAAUCAUCGGCUCUGGCAUCAUUUCUUAGGAGUGUCUAGUAGAAAUUUGAUACCGUUAACCAGAGAGAUCGCCAAAGAAAAGCCCAUGUUCGAGCUGGCCAAUAUGUUUUAUUGAAGCCAAGUUCACUCAAAAACUAGGAUAUAUUAAUUGCUGCAUACCAUACCAAUUAUCCGGUAUAAGACUUUCUAACAUAAGUCACGUGUAUAUCUCAAUAAGAAGGAUCUAACUAAUGGUUAAAAGAGUGAGAACGGAGAGAUAUUAGACAAACCCCAACCACAUCAUCAUAUGGCAAUUUUUUAUAACGUUCCACGCGGAGUAUGAAUGUGUCUACCUCAAAUCAUUCAUUUCUGUAGUGGUUCCAUCAAUUUGUCAUUUGACUCCAUUUUUUAGUGGAAGUCAUACUGAGGUUUUCUUGGAUGCUACAAACUUUAACAGUAAAUGCUUUUAGCCUCUAGCGCAUGAUCAAUGUUGAUAUUGAUAUGCAACUCCAAUUUUCCAACGAGAAUUGCUUCAUCAAAUGACUAGUGUGGCUGGUAAAAAAAAAAAGUGACUAGUGUGGGAUGUUAACAAAGAAGAGUUCCGCUAUAGCGUAACUGCACUAUCCUUUCCAAUAGCGACGGCGCAAAUGGGACCACGAGUUCUAUUAUGCUGGUAAUGCGCAACCGGAUUACAACUUUAAAAUGGGAAAUCUUUACGAGUAUCCUUAAAAUUUGUAUCCCUUUCUGAAUGAAAUGUCAGUCAAAAUGCCCUCCCUCCAAAUUGAGCACCAAGUAAAGUCAUCAAUCAUUUCUUUUCGUUUCUCUUGAAAGCAUAAAACAUUCAAUAUUAAUAUUAGUGUGCAACUAGCUUAUAACCGCACACAAUCUUGUCAUAACUAUAUACGUAUGUAUGUAUGCAAGCACACAUGAAUAUGUCUAAAAGUAUAUGCUUUUAAUUACCUCUUAUUUAGUUAGAUGUACAUCAUUAUCACAAAAAACUUUUUUUUUUCAAAGAAUUGGCAACCGGAUGAGUUUUGAAAUGACUUGCAUUUGCACUUCUGCGUUCUCUUUCAAAUGUUUUUUUUUUAAACUUUAUUAACAAAGAAAAAGCUUCACCACGUAUUGUUGCAACUGUUUCUUCCUACUUCCUCGUUAAUUGAAGAAUUAUUGUGUACAGCGGACUUAAAUAACAACGGCUCUAUACUUGGUUACCACGAAAUACUAUACAGCCUAUUAACAUAUCGUAAAAUAAAAAUAAAAAUCACCUUUAACCUCUUUCGGUUAAUUAAUCUAGUAAAAAUAAAAUGGGGGAUAUCCAAUCAUUGCAAAAUAACGUAAUAUAAGGUGUUGACUUGCAUAUUGAUUUUUUCUUUUUUGAGAAACCCCUUUUCAGAUAGGUGAAGUUCAUAUUAAAGGUAAAGUGAUUGAUGAAAAUAAUGCCAAUACCAAAACGAGACCAAAAAUAUGAUAGAGAAGGACUUUUAACACCAAAAGAAAUGGAAGUUGGGUUGUAUCGAAUAAGUAUGUAGCUUUUUUCUUUUUUUCACUAAACAGAGAGGAGAAUCAAAGUACCUAUCAUGGGCAGGGGUGUGGAGUUUAACUCUUAUAAGGAGGCUUAUGAAUUUUAUAACAAUUAUGAUAAAUAAGUAAGAUUUUGUAGUAGAGUUUCAAAAUUGUAGAAAAGGAAGAGUAGAGAGGAAAAGUGAGGCACAGUUUUUUGGGGCUAGCUCCAAAAAAAUAAAGCACCAACUUUAGUUUAAGAGACAAAUCUGACCGAAACUUUUUUUUUUUUUUUUGUCUUGUAAAAAAGCACAAAUUUUAGGUUAAGGGACAAAUCCAGCCUAAACUGUUUUUUUUGUCUCGUAAAAAAAUGUCAAUUUUCGGUUAAGUGACAAUUCUAGCUCAAGUUUUUUUUUUUCUCGUAAAAAAUUACAAACUUUCACCAUUAUUCAACUUUCUAUUUGAAGUUAACCUUGUUUCAAGAAAAAAAGGUUCUAGCCAUGAGCUUGGCGGAUCUUGUUCAUGGGGUCUCUCGAUGGGCGGUGGUCCAUAGCUUCAUUUUAAGACAAAAUGACAAAGUCUAGCCAGACUAAUUCAAUUUAGAGAUUUUUUGACUUGCUAGUGAAGUGUAGGAGAUGAUGAAUAAUUUACCGUUAUUCUCCAAGCUAUGGCUCAAACAAGAAGAUAAUGAAUAGUGUUUUAAAUCCGGCCAGCAAGUGCACAUGGAUUUAUCACUAAAAACAAUCAAUGGAUCUAAAUUAAAGGGGGCUAAAUUUAGGAUUUAAGUGAAAACUAGUGAUUUUUUUUAGACAAAAAAAGUUAGGAUCAUAAUUGUCACUCAUCCCAAAGUUAGUGUUCUUUAUGUGACAAAAAAAAAAGUUUGAGCCAAAUUUGUCACUUGACUUAAAAUUAGUGCUUUUUUACGAGACAAAAAAUAGUUUGGUUUAGAUUUGUUCAUUAACCUAAAGUUUGUGCUUAUUUUUGGAAUUAGCCUCAGUUUUUUUGCUGCAUUUGUCAAAGGCUCAAGAAAAAAAAAAUGGGUCAGUUAAGUCGAUUCAUUUGAAAAGGUUAGAAUUCAAUAUAUUUUUUUUAAUUACUCAAGCACAAAGAAUGAGAAGCCCCAAAAAUGUACAAAAAUAUCUUUAUUAGUCUAAAAACAACGGUUCUGGUGUUUUUCUUUUCUAUUUUAGAAAUAUAAGUCAUAUUUAUAAUAAAAUUAAUAAUCUCUUUUUAGUGAUAAUUUUCGUACUUGUGAUUCUUAUAUUGUAGCAUUCAAUUUCCUUCAAGUCAUUUUUCCCUUGCUUUCGUAAGGAUGGAAAUUCAAGAAAUUAAUUGGUGUUUAGUUGAGGCCUUAAUCAAGGUUAGGUUAUAGACAAGAAAAUCGAACAUGCACUCUAUUUUAGCUAAAUUUCCAUAUUGGUUAUGUCCAUAUUUUUAACCCACCAAUCAAAGAAUUGGUAAGGAUGGAAAUAAAUAAACUCUGACUUAAUAUAAACUCGCAUACAUUAAGGAAGCCAUUGCUCUCAAUUAACAAAGAAAUCCAAUGAGAUGUAAAUACUGAAUCAUUCCAAAGCAUGAGAAGAAAAUGUAACCUUAUCACUGCUGCGUCAAAUAAAUUUGUCCUUGUCUCUUUCACUUUUCCCAACCUAUAACAAUUGAAACGAGUAAUCUAAUAUCCGCCAACCUUUGUAUCACUUAUAUUAUGUUUGUGUAUAUGGGGCAGCGCACUAUCAUUUAGAUAUAGGAAAUGUGUGAUUACCUCUAUUUAAAAUCAAUUAAAUGGGAUUCCUAUCCAUGUCAAUAGUAUGCGAAUCAACCACCAAAAGAAGCAAAUCCAGACCAUGUAACUAGAGACAAUUUUUUUUUUUUUAAGAACUUCUGCGGAAUGCAAAAUACACUUGUACUUUACAAGAAAAAAAAUUAUGCUUACUUAACAUCACCAUCUUGCAAUUAUCAGACAUCAAUAAUAUUAUAAUUUUAUGUUAACACAGUCAUUUUCAAAAUGAUAUAGAAUGCAAAAUACACUCAUUCUUUAGAAUAAAAAGAAAAAAAAAAACAUGCUUACUAAAUCCCAGGAGUGACAUAGCUGAUUGGGAUGCUAGGGGAUUUCCAACUCAGGAAUAGGAGGUUGCUUGUUAGGAUCCCACAAACUGCUUUAGGUUUGAGCCAACUACACAGGCCAAAGCCCUGAGCUUAACCAAUUCAUAAAGCCUACAGGAUAUUUCAUAGAAUUAUGGGUAGAGAGGUCUCCAUACACAUGCCCCCAUAUCAUAAGAAAAAUUAUAUGCUUACAUUAAGAGUAUCCCAAAUUUAUAUGGUACUCUUUUUAUAUGCACUUAUUUCUCAUAAACUAGGUAGUUAUUAUGCAAAAGGUCCUGAUCAUAUUAAUUACAAAUAGAACUUCCCUCAUGACUUUAAUUAGUCAUCACAUUUUUUUGUUAAAAAAUUAGUCAUAAUAGUUAUAAAUAUAUGGACUUAGGCCUAAUUUGAAAUUCUAAUCUACCAAUUAUGUUGGUAAAAAGGAAACAACUUCAAUUUUUUUUUUCUUUAAAACAGAGUUCUUUUUCCCUUAAACGGAUGAUUCAAGGGGCUUUCUGUCAACAAAUAUGUGAAAAUUUUGAAUACUACAUAAAGACUCAAGAAUUAUUUUCAUCCAAUGGGCAAUAUCAAUUAGAUAUGAGGGUCUAAAUUAGCCCAAGUCUAUUUUGUCAAUACGUAGAAAACUUACAAAAAAUUGCAAUUCAACUUAUAAGUGAAUAUCAAUAAUAUAAUAAUUUUACAUUAAAAUUGUCAGUUCUUAAAAAUGAUAGAUAAUACAAAAUAUACUUAAUCUUUACAAUAAAAAUUUAUGCCUACUUAACCCCAGGAUUGGUUCAGCUAGUUGGGAUGUUAUGGGAUUUUCAGCUCAAGAACUGAAGAUCCAUUAGAACCCCACAAAUUGCGAGCAAACUACUCUAAGUUACAGCCUCUUACAUAGGUCAAAAGCCUAAGCUUAACUGAUUCAAGGAUUAUAUGAUAUUUUCUAGGCUUCUAAAUAGAUAGGUUUCUAUGCCUAUGCACUUAGAUUAUUAAAAGAAAAUGCUUACUUUGGGAGGAUGCUAAUUUUAUAUGAGAAAUUUUUCAUGUGCACUUAUUCCUCAUAAACUAGGUAGUUUUUAUGAGAAAAGGUCGUUAUCAACUUAAUUACAAAGAAUAUGUCCCUCAUCAUUUUAAAUAGUUAUAACCUUUUUUUUUGUUAGACAUUAGUCAUGGUUGGCAAAACAAUUAAACAACUUCAAUUUUUUUUCCUAUGAACUGAGGUUUUUUAUUUUAUUAUUAUUAUAAAUUUAAGACAUGAUUUGAGGGGCUUUCUGUCAGCAAAUUUAUGAAAAUUUGAAAGAUAACACAUGAAAUUAAGACUCAUUUUCAACUAAUGUUCAACAUCAAUUAGAUAUUAUGGUCUAAGUCAGCCCGAUUCUAAUAUGUCAUUAAGUAGAACAUUAUCAAAAAUUGAUCUUCAAUAUAUAAAUCAAUAACGCAGCCGGUGAAUCCAUUUUUGUGUUUAGCCGUGGAGGAAAGGAUGGUCCCUAAUGAAUGUCCAUGAGCGGCGGAGGAAAGGAUGGAGACAUAGACGUUGGUGUGGUGGCCGGUCAAUUAAUUAAAAAAUCAUCCAUUUCUCUUUAUAUAAAUGUUUUUAAAAAUAUAUAUAUAGUUCAGCCAUUUCUUUAUAUUGCUCGAUUGUUUCAUUCAUAGUUCAUUGCCUGACUGACAAGAGGACUAUGCAAGAGUCUUGGCAGUUGGGUAUUCCUUCCCAGUAAAAAUUAAUUCAUAAAAUGACAAAUAAAUUCUUAUUAAUUAUUGAUAUGACGAGUGAUGACUCUUGCAGCCUCUCAUAUCUCUUUAAAAAUAAUCUUAUAAAUGAACCAAAUGUCUGAGGAUUAGCCGACAUCCAAUAUCAUCAAUCAUGUUAGAAACUAUCAUCGAUAAAUUGUAUUAUACAUUUGGCUGAACAAAAUCGUGUUCUAUAAUUAAAAUACUAUUUUUGUACAAUCUUUGUUGGAACAUUUAUGGUACAGAAAAUUAUAUAAAAACUGCCGAUUAGUAAGGAUUUACACAUUGAAUGAUAUAUUUCCCUCUACUUUUUUGUAUGGUUGCCAGUAUAGAAAGUAAAGUUUAUUUAAGUAUCUCAGUUGGCUAAAUUCUCAUCAUGAAAGCACAAGGUCAUCAUAAUGUUUCGUGUGUUACUUGACUUUCACUGUUAUAAUGACUAAAAUGCUUAGUAGCCUGCAACAACUAAUUUCAUAUAUGUAUAUGUGUAGGCUAACCUCUUCCUGUGGAAGGUUAUAAAAGUGAAAAAAAAUUAGGGUUAUAAAUUAUCAAAAGCCACAUGACUUUAUUUGUCAAUAAUUGUAUAUUUUUGAAUAUUUUAGAACCGAUUUGUGAUAAUUGCAAUAUUUAAAAAAAACAUUAAAUGUAAAAUACUCCAAACAGACCCAAGCAUUUGAAAGAAAGGGGGGAAACUUCAAUAGGAACAAGAGAGACGCAAAAUAAUGUUAGCGGUGACUCGGGAUCGUUCCCCGUAUUAAUUUUAUCUUGGAAAGAGUAGCACUACUCAAGAAAAUAAAUUGAUUUAAAAUGUUAAUAAAGAAUGGCAAAAGUUUAAUUUACUUAGAAGUUUUGAUCUACAAUUCCAAUUCAAGUUACGUCUAAGGUAACAAUUACAAUUGACAUUAUAAUCUAACAAUUUGCUUAAUUACAAUGUUACUUCUGCAUUUUAAAUAUGAUUUCAUUGAUUCGCACAAGGAGCGACUUUAGGACUAGUACUUGAUCAAUGUUUGUCCAUUAAUGGUGGAGCUAAAGGAUGCGGAAACUUACCCAUUGGUGAUGAUGAUUGGUCAAGUUAAGAAACAAGAAAACCAUUUCUAUUACCAUAUUCAACUUUUAAUCAAAAAGUAUUGGGGGACACUGAAAGGAGAUAUCACCCAUGAUAGUAGUAAUAAUUUAUUUGCUUAUUUUGCUAGACUCACUAUGGGUUGAAAAUGAGUCUGGUGCAGACCCACGUAGGCUCACGUGGAAUUGGUGAUGCUUUUUUCAUAUCAUUUCAACUGGCUUAAAAAUUUCAAGUGUCGCACCAAAAUUUUGAUAAUGGGUUUCAGAUACAUACUGCCACCUCUAGAUGAAACUACAUGUCUUGUGGGUUUUGAUCCGUCCUCGUCCUUUUGUUCUCUUUAUUAAUUACAUUUGCUAUAGCGAAGAGUGACAAACUACAUAAAGUACCUAUUAUACAUGAGUGAUGAUUCAAAUCCAAUCAUUUUAAUAAUUGCGUUUUGAUCGAAGGUGUUAUAUACGAUUCGGAUUCUAAUCGUCACUCCAUGUUGAUUCACAAAAGUGCCCACAUACAAAUAUUGAUGAAAAUAUUAAUAUUAUGAACAAGAUUAAGGGAUAAUAUUACGAAAAAUCUUAAACUGAUACACAUGCGACAAAUUUACUUCGCAUUAAUUUUUUUAUCACAAAAAACCCCCAAACUGAUUCAAUUAUGAUAAAUUUAUUACAAACUAAUUUUUUAACCAUGAAAAAUCUCUAACUAGUACACAUGUGAUAAAUUUACUCAAAACUAAUUUUUUUACCGUCAAAAACCAUAAAUUGAUACAUUUAUGACAAAUAUACCCCCGUUAAAUUAUAUUAAUACUAGAAAAAAUUACAAAACCGAUACACUGUGACAAAUAGAGAGUAAAAUCUCAAAUUGGUAUACUUGCCAACUACCACAUGUCAUCUAAAUCAACAAUCUAACUUGAAAAUUUAACGAAAACUAACAGAUAGUAAAUUUCUCAUAGAUUUAUCAAUUCAGAGUUUUUUAUAGUUAAAAGAUUAUUUUUUUGUAAAUUUAUUAUAAGUGUACAGAUUUAAGAUUUUUUGUAGUCAAAAAAUUAAUUUGUGAUUAAUUUAUCAUGCGUACCAUAUUAAAGAUGAUAUUUGUCAAGUGCAUGGGUUGGUGUGGCCUCUCCUUAUCAAGUGGGCGCCAUUUAUUUUGCUAUUUGUUGCUCUUUCUUAAUUACAUUUUAUUAUAUCAAUCUGACACGGUAUAAAGUAUUCAUAUAAUUCUAGUCAAAUUAUUUUGUUACUUUAGAAGUUGGUAAUCAUUUGUAUUUUAUUUUUUUAAUCCACUUCAAUGAGCGUGCAAUUCAAAUAAUGCAAAGAAAUCAAUUUACUCCACAAUUGUGACGCAACGAACAACUGCCGUAAUUAAGGUACAUAUUGGUGUUUAGUUAUGGCCUCAACUAAGAUUAGAUUUUUCUAAGAUCUAAAGUCUGUUGUCCACGUGACUAGUGGAUCAUGCAUGAGUCUUGUGAGUUGGGUUUUCCUUCCCAAUGAAAAACUACUUCACAAAAUGAUAUAUGAACUCAUAUUUUUUAUUGAUAUAAAAAGGAAUGACUCUUGCAGCUUCUCAUAUAUUUUCAAAAAUCAAUUUUAUAAAAUGAACCGUGUAUCAUCAAUCAUUUUAGAAUUAUCAUCCACAGAUUGUAUCGUUGUUUAACUCAUAAAUGGAUUCCAACCUGAGUAGUGAACUAUCUUCAACCAAAAGAUAUAUCUUUUAUUUUUAUGAAAGGGGUUCAGUGGCGAUUUUAAACAUGAGUUGCAAUUGGCAUGAUAAUGAAGAUGAACAACGAAUUUAAAGGUAAAAGGUGAUAGUAAAUGUUGGAAAUUAACAUGACAUUAAAACUGAUAAAAGUACAUCAAAAAAUAUUCGGAAUCAUGAUGAUCCUUGCAAUAAUUAUAUGUUGCCAUUUUAUACUCCGCCAAUCAUAACCGCUUAUUAAGACUUAACCAUACUAGAUGCAGUUGUAACUGCAUUCCCGAGAUUUUAGGACUCCUAUCUACACAUCGAUCCUAUCCACAAGUUGUUACGACUCUUUAAGUGUCACUAGGUUAACCAUUGCUUGGUGCCCUUAUAUUUAGUCGACAUUUUCACUAUCUCCUUUCUUCUUAGUUGAUAAUUGUCGACCAGUCAUCGUGGUACAUCGACAAUGGUAUCUCUCAAUCGUCAAUAAUUACUGUCCAUUGUCAUUGAUAUGUGCUUCUAUUGUCCUUAACUUACCAAAAACCAUAUAAGUUGUCACAAACUAUAUACCCACUUAUAUCAACAUUAUGUCAUUCACAAAAACUUUAUCAUUUUUCAGUGUAAACAAUUAUACAUCUAGCUAAAGAAAAUCUAAUUAAGCGACUAUCAUGUGAUUUAAAUACAAUCUUUAUUCUAACAAUUAUGGUACAACAAAUUACAUAAAAUGUACAACCAAUCAUAUGGGAUUUACACAUUGAAUGAUAUGCUCCUGGCUACUUAUUUGUGUGGUUGCCAAUUUAGAAAGUUAACUUUACAUGAGUAUAUCCGUUGGCUAAAUUCUCAACAUGAAAGCACAAGGUCAUGGACUCAAUUUUGUAUUGCAUGCUACUCAACUUUCACUACUAUAAUGACUAAAAUGCUUAGUAUCCUGCAACAACUAAGUUCAUUUACAUAUUUACAUAAGCCAAACUCUCGUCAUGGAAGGUUGUAGACCUAUCAUGCAUUGCAUGUUGUGAUGCUACUUGACUUAUGCACCAUAUUUAUAGUGUCAUUAAUAAUUAUGUAUUUAGUCAUAUUUACUUAUGAAAAUACAUACCUGCGUAAUAUAACCCUCUUUAUAAUUUUCAUUCUAUAGAAAUUUUGUAACAAGGGAUAGUUUUUUCUCCUAUUGAUUUGCUAUCAGUUGUUUCUUUUACUUUUUAAAAUUUAUUGCAAAGCAUGUACUGUAAUUUCGUUUUUAUGAUGAUAGAUAAUUUUUUGAAUUCUCUAAUAUCAUAUAUUUGUCAAAUAUAGACAAUCAUGGACUAAAAGAUGUUUCUACAUUAAGCAUCUUAUUUAUCACAUACAUGAUAAAUAUUUAUAUUGUCGAUUUGUUAUAUAUAUUGACUAUCACAUCACGUAAUUUUUCUAAAAGUUUGUCAAUGAUAUACCUGAAGAAGGGGUGCCCAACGUCGAACGAGCGAUCAAAAAAGAUUCCGAAGCAUCUUCAUAGCACGACCCAGCAAUCAUGUUCUUUGGGGGUCCUCAGGCUAUAAAGCCGAUUUCCUUCCUUUUGGUCCGUCUGUAAAAGGCAACCAUACAUUUAUUUAAUUAUAAAAUUCGAAAGUUACUGUACACUUAGUUAUAUCUUAUUUUUGAAAUAUCUAAAGUCACGUAGUGAAUCCUAUAUAUAUAAAGUGGGUAUCCAUGCAUUAUUGAACUCCUUCGAGAGCUUGUCAAAAUUUGUAAAUCAAAAUAUUAACAGGGAUAUGUUAAAGUGGUCUUCAAAACCAAUUUGUUAAAGUGCAAAAUAGAACUGAUAUUCAAAUAAACAACAUAUGUUUAGGAAUUUGGGAUUUGUUAAAGUGACCAUUGAUAUCAAAUUGUUGAAUAAAGUUUACACGUGAUUGUGCUGGCUCAACUCUCAAGAGAGUUUUACCAUAUAUAUAUAUAGAGAUAUAUAUAUACAUAUAUAUAGAUGCUUUUCUAGUCAAAUCAAUUUAUUAAAACGACUCAAUUUGUCUACCAUUUAAAUACAAUGAGGAAAAACACAUUAAUUUAUCCAGGUCAAUCACAUGUUUUGAACAUUACCAGUCUCACAUAUGACUGAAAUAAUUUGUUAGUGAGAUUUGGUAAGUCCAAGCAAAAAGGAUUUUACCAUCCUUUAGGAAAGAGAUAUUAUCCGGUAGAGAGUAUUACUGUACUGCAUAUUAGUCGGGAAAAAGUUGUUUUCCGGGACAUUUUUCCUGACAUUCAAAGCUUACCGAAGGCUAGCUAAAAAAAAAAAAAAAAGCUUACCGAAUUACCAUCGGACAAUCCUCUAAAAAAAAAACCUUUAGGAGGACUUAUUCUGAGAAAGAAUAUAGAUGCCGUUUUCAUGUAUUUUUCUGAAGUACUCUGGAAGUUCCGAGGGACCACUUGUGCUUUUCUGCCUUGGCCAUAUGGUCCGCAUUAAAAAUUGAGUUGAUGGCAUACUGUAAAGUCACGUGGGUGCGGCCAGUCCUUGUCCAUUCAUUUUCUUAAAUCAUUACCUUUUAUUAUAUCAGUGCUGACACACUGUUUAAGUCGACUCAUUUGUUUACUGCUACUUGGACAGCUGAUGAUCAUCUCUUUCUUCCUCGAUUCAUCGCUAUUCGACGCUCCCCUUCCUUCGUCCUUCUUUCGCGCUCGAAUCUCUUCGCCUUGUUUGUCUCUCGCUUUGUUUCACUCUUUCUUCUCUUCAGCACAAUCAUUCUUCCUAUUCCUCCUCUUCUUCAGUAUCUUCUCCUUCUUUUCAUCAUUCUCUCUCUGUGUCUCUCUUUCUUUCUUGGGAAAAAAAAAUCAAAGAAAAAAUGUCGGUCGAUUCUGUCGUUUCUAUUGCGUAUGAUGUCUUCAAGAGCUAUGUAGUUGAUCCCGUCAAGCGUCGAUUCAGAUACGUGAUCUCCUCCAAGAAUUUCGCCGACGAUCUUCGGGUGGAAGUCCGGAACCUGGAGAACGAGGCUCAGAGGGUCCACAUUUUGGCAGAAGUGGCCCGAAACAACCUUCGGAAUUUCUAUGGUUACUUCCCAGAGUGGCAGCAAAGUACUGACAAGGCCUUGGAGGAGGCGGGAGACCUGUUGGGCGACAUGGGUGAGGCGAGCAAGACUUGCUGCCACGGGACUCUUCCCGACGCCAAAUGUCGCUAUCAGUUCAGCAGGAAGGCCGAGGACAAGAUCAAGGUCAUUAAGCAACUCGCUCAAAAAGGCAGCGGAUUCAAGGAAUUGAACGACAUCUCCUUCACUGAUCCUGCUCCGGGAAAUGUCACUGCUACGAAUCCAGCCAGGAGAGAAGGCGAAGAAUUCGUCCAGCCGACCCCUGCAACGGCCUCCGCUUCUUCUGCCUCGACGUCAAAUGAGCUUAGUAAGGAUGGCGUCUUCGAAUCCAGAACUGCGAUCAUAAGGGACGUAAUGGGCGCUCUUGCCGAUAACAGCAAUAGUGUGGUCGGGGUUCACGGGAUGGGUGGGGUCGGCAAGUCCACCCUUUUGGACGACGUGGUAAGCAGAAUAAGAGAAGAGAAGCGGUUCGAUCUGGUCGCCAAGGCCGACGUGUCACAAAAUCCUGACAUCAAGAGAAUUCAAAGUGUGAUUGCCCAUGCGUUGGGCCUGGACAUGAAAGAUUAUGAGUAUGAGAGCAUGCGAGCGGAUCGUCUGCGCGAGAGGUUGGGAAAUGAGGAAAAGAAGGUCCUCAUAAUACUGGACAACCUAUGGAAAGGGCUUGACUUGAAAUCUGUUGGAAUUCCUUGCGGGCAUGACAACAAAGUCAUGGGAUGCAAGUUGUUAUUGACGUCGAGAGACCGAAAUGUUUUGCAAAGGGAAAUGGGCUGCGACAAGGACUUCUUUCUUGAUAGGCUGGAGGAGAAAGAGGCAAAUAUAUUGUUUGAGAGGAUGGUGGGAGAUAAAGUUCAUAAUGAUGAGUUCAGACCCAUGGUGAAUGAAGCACUCCGCAAAUGUGCAGGUUUGCCUUUGUUAAUUGUCACAAUGGCGAAACAUUUGAAAUACGGUCGUUUGCCUGAAUGGAGGAAUGCUCUAAAUCAAAUUGAGCGGUGUUCAAACAAAGGGUUAAGUGCAGCGAUCAAUACGAUGUUGCAAUUAAGUUAUGAUCAUUUAGAAAGCGAGGAAGCGAAAAAUUUGUUACAACUCUGUGUUGCUGUUGACGUCUCUAAUCCCUCUGUUGAAGACUUGGUGAGGUAUGGCUAUGGUUUAGGGAUAUUUCAAAGAGAUAGUAGCAUAAAAGAAGCUAGAGAUGAAGUGAGUACACUCAUCCACACUCUUCAAGCCUCCUCCCUUCUGUUGGACAAUAGAGAUGACAAUGCUUUCAAGAUACAUGACUUGGUUCGUGACUUUGUUGCUCAGUUCAUUUUAAAAGAUCGGCCUCUUCUCGUGUUGGAAAAUGAAGAAAUGUUGGCAACACAAUUGUGGAGGGAGAGGCUCGAAAGUUGUAUGGCGAUAUGCUUUCCCUAUAUUGACAUGAAGGGCCUUCCCAAAGAAUUAGAUUGCCCCGAAUUGCACAUCUUUUUGCUUUUCGCCCGUAGUGGAUUUCUUGAGGUUCAAGAUUCAUAUUUCAACUCUAUGAGGAAACUUACAGUCCUAGAUCUUUCCGGAAUACAUCUCACUCAUUCACCAACCCCAUUGCAAUUCUUGGAGAACUUACAUACUCUAUGUCUUAGUAGUUGUUCACUAGAGGAUGUGGCCAUUCUCGGCAAGCUGAAAGGCCUUCAAAUUCUCAGCUUUGUGUACUCGAGAGUUGAACGAUUGCCAAAAGAAAUUGGGCAACUAGUAGAGCUGAGGUUGUUGGACUUGAACUAUUGUUCACAUCUUCAGAUAAUUGAACCGGGUGUGCUUGGAAGAUUGAUCAAAUUGGAGGAGUUGUAUAUGGAGAAUAGUUUUGAUCAAUGGAAUCCUGUGGAGCAAACUCAACCAACUAAUGCGAGUUUGAUUGAGUUGAAUCACCUGAAGAAUCUUUGCAUUCUACAUGUCUCCAUUCCCAAUCCAAGUGUGCUCCCUGAGGACCUAGAUGUCAAGAAAUUAACCAAGUACAAAAUCCGAAUAGGUUAUGCAACACGUUGGAGCAAGGACCUAGGAUCGAGGAUUUUGGACCUCAAGUUGGAUCCAACAAGUGAUGUUCUUCGAAAAGGAUGCAUACAAAGUCUCCUAAGCAAAACAGACAAUCUGUUUUUGGCCAAGUUGAACGGAAGCAAGCAAAGUAUUUGCGGAUUAUCUCAAGAAGGCUUUCCAGAAUUAAAGCAUCUGCUGGUCAUGUAUGGUUCCUCUAUCCAAUACAUCCUCCAGUGGCGUUCUGUUAGUACUUUUGAGAUGUUGGAGUCAUUAUUUCUCAUAGAGCUCAACAACUUGACAAAGAUAUGCUACAGCCAUAUUUCCUCCUCCAAGUCCUUCGGUAAAUUAAAAGUAAUUCAAGUCAAACGUUGUGACAAGAUGGAAGUUUUGUUUCCUCUUUCAUUACUGAGAGGACUUCCACAAUUAGAAGAGAUUGAAGUUGUCUAUUGCAAGUUAAUGCAUGGGAUUGUAGAUGUUGAUGAUUGUGGCAAGGUGGAGUUGCAAAAUUUGCGUAUAAUGAAAUUGCACCACUUACCAAAUAUCAAGAAUUGUUUCACCGGCGGAUCAACUCUUUCGAGCAAUACAUCAGACGACCAAGUUGGAACUCAAAUUGCAUUCUUCAAUGGGCAACGGGUAAUUUUCUAUCAAAAAAAUAUAAUUUUUAUUACUUUUUCCUACCUUGCUAAUUAGAUGCACAACAUAUCAUGUUGCUUAUUCAUUUUGUUAUUUUUAGUUUACUUCUUUCCUAAUAACCUUAUCCGUUCAUUCCUUCUUUGCAAUUAGAUAAAUCAGUCUUCAGUUUCCCUUCAUUGUGUAGAAAUCCAACUAAUUGUAUGAUAUCCAUGUAAAUUUAGUUUGUGGUAGGUUCUGAGUUAUUUUCAAUUUAAAUGCUACUAGUAUAUCUAUGUUAAUAGGGUUUAUUAAAGAAAAACUAAAGAGAAUUUCGGCACUAAAGUAAUUCCAUAAGUAAUUUUAAAUCUUUUGAUAUGGAUUUGAUUGAAUUUACUUAUCAAACUUUGUUAUUAUUCACAAAAUGGGAAGGAGGACUAGGUUUUUUCUUCUUCUUCUUCUUCUUUUAUAAAUAAAAGCAACUAGGCUAAUGUAAUUGAUGCAUGUCUUCUAUGUAUUGUGUUUAAAUAAGAAGUUAGUCAUUGUAUAGAUCCCAUAAUUAUAAGAGUACAUAGUUUUGUGCAUGUUCAUGCAUGUACAUUGUAUACAUAGAUACCUUAAUACGUACUUUUGGCAUCACAAAAACAAAUUCACAAUUUGUAUUUAAUAUCCUAUUAAAUUGGUUAUUGAUAGUGAUUUGCUAACAUUAAAGAGAAGUUAGUAAAGCAAGGAUGAUCAAUUGCUCAACUAAGAAAAGCACAUGGCUAUUUUACACGGGGAAAAUAUUGCUACGAGUGGGACCUUUUAAUUGACUAGAUAAGAUAGCCCUUUAAUAGUGGCCCAAUUAUCACUGAAGUUGAUCAUUGGCCAUGAGACUCACAAAAUAGAUUAGUUUCCCUGUCAGCAAAAAGCGGUGGAAAUUUAAGUCGUGGGUCCCACACGCUAGUGUGUGACUUCUCUUCUUCCCCUGCUUUGAGCUUCCAUGGAGAGAACGCUUUCAAAGAUAAUGGAACUACAUCAGAAAUUUUUUACAAAAAGCCUUUAUGGCUUUGCUUCUUUUUCUUUUUUACAUCAUAAUCUUGUACAGUAGAUCCUCUUAGUAUAAUCUUUACACCAAGCUUAAAGAAGAUGACAAAUCAUUCAAGCUCAACAAGGGUGAGAAAUUACAAAGUUGAUAAAGUAGUUUUGCACAAAAACAAUUAAUUGCAUUCAAUUGAAAUUGAAGGCGAUUAUUUGUAGUCUAUUCAAUUCUAGACUAGUAGGUGGAAAUAUAGUUAACAGUUAAACUAGCUUUAGUGAUAAUAUUUUAUAGGAGAUCCUUUUCCUAUAAUAUCUACACCAAGUUUAUAGAAGAUGACAAAUCAUGCAAUUUUAAAAAUGGAAGCAAUUACAGGUGAAAAUCUUUUGUUAUUUGUUUUUCAAAGAAAAUGAUGUUAGGCCACUGUAGAUAUAUUUUAUGGUCCUAUUUGCACUUAUACGGAUAAUAAUUUACUAACAUGAAAGAGAAUUAGUAAAUUAAGGAUAAACAAUGCCCUCUAUUAAGGAAAGCUCACGGCUAUAUUAUAUGGGUGAAAACUACCGCAAUUAGGGGGUUUUAUUUGAUUAGAUAAGAUAGCUCCCUUAUAGGAGCGCGGGCCCAAGGCUGGUGCCAUACGCAGUUUCCCUUGUAAGAAAGAGCGAUGGAGAUAUAAGUGGCGGGUCCCACAAGGCUGUGAUGUGAAAGUGUGACCUUUCAUCAACCCUUGCUUUUAAUAGAAACUAGAUCGCGAAAUUUUGCUUUGUAGAUUUGCCUCUUUUUUUUUUUUGGCGGUAUUCUUUGGGGCUUUUAACUUUGUGUGAUUCUAAUUCUUCAAAAAAGAGUUACUGAUGCUUUAGUACUUCUUUUUAUUUUUACUUUUGUGUAAAAUCUAGAUAUGCAAAGAUUCAUGGGUUUAUAAUGAAAUACUUCUUAAAAUUGUAAUAAGUCUCCUCCGACAUUAUAAAGUGGUGGUAGCAUACAAAGUAGUAGUUAAGGUUUGUCAAGAAUAACAAUAGACUAAUGAACGAGACACAAAAGUUAAACUUGUUGUAUAGGUGGGAGUGAGGGGUGAUGGCGAGAUACAUGGGAGUUUGAGAGUAACUUGGCAGAUGAAAGCUUUCUUAGAGUUGUAGCAAUGAACUUUCGGAAAAAAACUAGUUACUCUUUGCAGAAAAAAAAAGGAAAAGAAGAGAAUAAAUAAAGCUUUCCAUUGUCAUGGCGACCAUGGGUCUCUUCACCUUUCAGACAUGUUGAUUAACAAAAUUACAACAACAAGGAUAAUUAAUUAGGAUGGGCCACAUAUGCAUCCGACUUGAAAGGAAUACUCGAGGUAAUUUACAAAUGAUAGGGAAAAAGACGUUCAAAUAAUCUCAAGUUAUUUACUCUUUUUCAAGGAUAGUUGGGAUCUCAACCCAUGGUGAUGACUAAUGACUACUAAGUUGUUGUGAUAACCCAAUUGCUGACGUGUCUAAUUUCAUGUUGUUUGCGGGUAAAUUAGUCCUUUUUUGCCUAAUAAAUUUGGAGAAAUCAAAGACAUUUGAAAAGGAAAAGACAAUAAAAUGCCGUCUUGUUGGAUUUUAUCAAGGAAGCAGGCAAUAACAGUGUGUGAGAAGUCCUCUUGACCUAAAUGAGAAUGAGGUCACAUUCAGCUAUCAACUCCCUGUGUCCGUAGGUCACACUCAUAUACCAUUGCAAUCCCAAGGUUUAAUUUCUGAGUUGGGCUCAUAACUAGAUGAUAUAUAAUAGGCCCAAUCUUACCUGAGACCAAUGGGACAUAAGCGGCAUAUAUCUCCAUCUAAUUGUCAAAUAAUUGAUAUAAUUUGACAAUUAGAAAAAUAUUUCAUGCAGAAAUUGAUUGUUAUUAGUAACCGGAAUGAGAGCGAAUUCUUGAUGAUUGCAAUUCCUGAUAUUGCUAGUAAAAUACAAACAAAAUCCAAUUGUAAUAGUAUCCCUUUUUAUGUCGUAAAGAAAAGGUCAAGUUCAUUAGUUGUCUUUUAAGGUCAUAAAUUAGCUUUUGUUUAUCAUAGAUUUUCAUACGUGUGAAAAUUAUCCUAAAGGCUGUACAUUAUCUUGCUUAUAAAUUUCUUUGGCAACCAUUUAUAAUACCUGCUAUAUACGUAAAUUUCCUAACUGUCUUUUGUAAUUGUAAAUGCUAUGUUGAUGGAUUUGUCUGUUACAUUUCAAUCCCGUCCUUGUGGUCCUUGACAAUGGAAGGACUUCCCAAUCCAAAAGAAAUAUGUUAUCAAACUAAUUGUAUAAAAUCCUUGCAAAUUUAGUUUGUGAUAGGUUCUGAAUUAUCUCAACAUUGCAAGUAUAUUUAUAUUAAUAGGGUUUCAUCAAAACAAAAUGAAGGGAAUUAUUGGUAUUAAAGUAAUUCCAUAAGUAAAGUAAUUUAUAAUCUUUUGAAAUAUGUUCCCUUGAAUUUAGUUAUAAAAAUUUGUUAAUAUCCACAAAAUGUUUAAUAUAGGUGACUCUUAAAAAGCAAUACGAAGAAUGAGAAGGAGGACUGAAUUUUCAAAUAAAAGCAGCUACGCUAAUCUAAUUGAUGCAUGCCUUUUGUGUAUCAUGUUUAAAUAAAGCCCUUAAUCAUUGCAUAGACCCCAUAAUUGUAAGAGUACAGAAUUUUGUGCAUAGUUUUUUUUUUUUUUAUAGUAAAAGUAGGCCUUGGCAAUUGUAUGAUUUUCAUUAUGUCACAACAAACUCGUCAUUUCAAAUUCAGAAUUCUUGUUCUUGGAAUUCCUAAGUGGUAUUCAGAAUUCUUGUUAUUGGAAUUCCUAAGUGAUGUUCACCAUUUCUUUACUCCACACAGCAGAAUUUGAAAUCCCCUGUGGUAAAAGAAAUUAAUGUCUUGCUAAAUAAUUCAUGAGUAAGAUUCACCUUAAAGAUCAUCUUAUUUGGUGAUCACCCUUAGAUACUCCUUUGGUGAGAUUGGGACACAUGAAUAAGGCCGCGUCUGUAACAAUAUCAAAUAAUGGAACUUGAUACCUUAAUGGAAAAUUCAAUAUCGUGAAGUCCAGAAAAUUUUAUAGACUUACUUCAUAAGUUUCAACGGGUCUUGUAUUUCAAUUCAGCUACUUAGUAUGUGUUAGUUUAAUUUCCGAAGCUUCAAGUGUUUGACAUUAUAAUCUUCAAGAAAUUUGUGCCAAAAUUUUAGUUUUUAUUUUUUAUUUUUUUAUUGUUGAGUCCAUCCAACUUAGAUUGUAAAUUUUAUGUGGCUUCAAUAUUUUAUCAAGAAAUGGUUGCCUAGUCUCGUAGGACCAUAUGUGGUUAUUGCGGUUUCUCUUCAUGGCGAUCUACAAAUCUAAAUACCAAGUCCUUUCAACUAAGUGUCUUUGCAUUUGGCCUUUAUAGUAUUAUAGAUAUAAUUGAAUGCACUUUUGGCAUCAUGAACACAAAUUGACAUAUUUAUGUUUGAUAUCCUGUUAAAUUGGUUAUUAAUAAUGAUUUGCUAACAUUAAACUAAGGACAAAAAAUUGCCUGGUUAAGAAAAACGCACGACGAUUUUGUCCAGCAAAUGUUGAGGCGGCUACUUAGUUGACCAGAAAAGAUUGCACCCUCAUAGUGGCGAUUAGCGCUAAAGUUGAUGGCGGGGCCCAAGACUCCUGUGAUGUAUUAAUUUCCCCUCGGUCAGUAAAGGGUGCUGGACAUAUUUGUUGCGGGUCCCGCAAGGCAGUGUGUGUGAGUCUUUACGUAUUUGCUUUUUCUUAAUCGUCGUAGUCUUUAGAGCUUUUGACUUUAGCCAUAGUUCUUGGUGGACACUGGCAAUGGAUAUGAGUUGAACUCUUUUUGGGCCGAAAUUUGAGGUUGAAAGUGUUGUUGGGUUUUGCUUUAUUGUACAUAGAGAGAUGAGCAAUGCUCCACUCGCUUGUCCAUUUCCGAAGGAGAGAUUCUUCGAACGAAAUAAAACUAGCUCACUAAUCAAACUAAGCUCAGCAUUGCAAGUUAUUUAGCGAAGGAAAGAGUGGAAUUAGAAACGGCAUUAAUAUAGAGAUUUUUUUACUCCGUUUUUCUUAUUCUCUUUUUUCUUUUCCUUUGGAGCUACCUUAAUGAUCCCCCUCUCCCCUUGGCACUCGUAUGUAUUUACAUUUUGAAAGUUCAUGAAUUCAAGAUUUAAAUUAAUUGUCAAUUUCGUGAGCAAAUUCUGCAGGUUGCCUUUCAAAGAUUGGAGACAUUAGAAAUCAAUGACUUGGAUAACAUCAAAUUUAUAUUUUUCCCAUCCAUGGUUGAAUCUCUCACACAACUAAAAAAGCUGACCAUAUCGAAUUGCGAGAAGAUGGAGGCGAUCAUUAUGAAGGAAGAAGGGUUGGGAAUGGAAACAUCAGAAAUUUUGACAUUCCCGAUGUUAACCAAUUUAUGCUUAGAACGAUUGAAAAGUUUGACAUGCUUCUCUUGUGGAAAGGGUAGGAUUGAUUUUUUUGUUUUUAUCGCUAAUAAUUGUCUUGUAGAUAUGUUCUUCCCUACAAUACAAAUGGUGAUAUUCUUUUCAUCCAAUGAAAUACCAAUGACAGGUGCACGAGAGAGUCAAAAUCAAGAUCGCGUCAGAUCACGCGCCACUACUCUCUUCAAUCAAGAGGUACAUGAUUGACACUAUGUUAAAAUAUUAAAUAUAUCGGACAUAAGCAUAGCCAAGAUAAAAAUUAAGUUACUUAUAAUGUAUAUUUUGGUUAAAAUAUUUUAACAGAAAACGAGUGUCGUACAAGCUUAAGUGUUCACGGUUAUUGACAUGUAUGAGUUACAACUUCUUACUUUUAAUUUCUCUACAAAUAGUUCCCAUAAAGAUGGUUGAACAUCUCUUAUCGUACCUGCACGAAGCAUGAACAGGUAACACAAUUGCCAAAUAGGAUCUCUAAAUGCGUCUGAUGUUCCCAAAAAACUUAAAAACUCUCAUCAGCCUCACAUGUAAAUUUCCUAACCGUCCUUCAUAAUUGUAAAUGCUCUGUCAAUGGGUUUGUCCGUUAGAACAAAAUCCCAUCCUUGUCCUUGAUAAUGGAAGGACUUCCCAAUCCAAAAGAAAUAUGUCGUCAAGCUAACUGUAUAAAAUCCUUGCAAAUUUAAUUUGUGAUAGGUUCUGAGUUACCUCAAUUUAUUUAGUUUGUGAUAGGUUUUGAGUUAUCUCAAUUUACGCGUCGCAAGUAUAUCUAUAUUUAUGGGGUUUCAUCAAGACAAAUUGAAGGGAAUGUUGGCAUUGAAGUAAUUCCAUAAGUAAUUUAUAAUCUUUUGAAAUGUGUUCCAUUAAAUUUAGUAAUCAAAAUUUGUUAUUAUCCACAAAACGUAUAAUAUGGGUGACUCUCUUAGAAACCAAUACGAAGAAUGGGAAGUAGGACUAAAUUUUCAAAUAAAAGCACCUAUGCCAAUCUAAUUGAUGCAUGCCUUUCGUGUACCAUGUUUAAAUAAGCACUUAAUCAUUGCAUAUGCCCAAUAAUUGUAAGAGUAUAGAAUUUUAUAAGUUUUUUAGCAAAGGGAAGACUGGAAUUAUGGAGAUUUUUUUACUCCGUUUUUUUUAAUUAUUAUUUUCUUUGUUCUUUUCCUUUUGGGCUACUCAAUAAUCCCCCUCUCCCCUUGGCACUCACCUGUAUUUACAUCUUGAAAGUUCAUGAAUUUGAGAUUUAAAUUAACUACCGAUUCCGUGAGUGAAUUCUGCAGGUUGCCUUUCAAAGAUUGGAGACAUUAGAAAUUAGUGACUUGGAUAACAUUGGGUUUAUAUUUUUCCCAUCCAUGAUUGAAUCCCUCACACAACUAAAAAAGCUGACUGUAUCGAAUUGCAAGAAGAUGGAGGCGAUCAUUAUGGAGGAAGAAGGGUUGGGAAUGGAAACAUCAGAAUUUUUGGCAUUCCAGAUGCUAAUUGAUUUACGCUUAAAACAAUUGAACAGCUUGACAUGCUUCUCUCGUGGAAAGUGUAAGAUUGAUUUUUCAUUUUUAUUGCUAAAAAUUGUCUUGUAGAUAUAUUCAUCCCUAUAGUACAAAUGGUGGUAAUGACAGGUGUACGAGAAAGUCAAAGUCAGGAUUGCAUUAGAUCACAUGCCACAACACUAUUCAAUCAAGAGGUAUGUAAUUAACAUUAAUCAAAUUAUUAAACAUACCGGAGACAAGCAUAGCCAAGAUAAAAACUAAGUAAGUCAUUUAUUAUAUAUAUUUUGGUUAAAAAAUUUAACGGAUGAUGAGUGGUGUACAAGCAUAAUUGUUCAGAGUUGCCGAUAUGUAUGAUUUGCAAUUUCUCGCUAUUAAUUUCUCUAGAAAUAAUUUCCAUAAAGAUGGUUGAACAUCUCUUAUGGUAUAUACACAAAGCAUGAAUGAGUAAUACAAUUGCCAAAUAGGAUCUCUAAAAGCUUUCCGAUAUUACCAGUAACUUAAAACUCUCAACAACCUCACUUGUAUGGCUUAGACAUUGCAUGCAUGUACAUUGAAAGCAGUUGACAAAACAAUCGAGAGGAAAGUGAGCUAUAAGUUUCAAGAGGCUGGAGAUGAAGGGCCUUUUAAGACACUCACUUGACUUCAUUUGCACUAACAAGAUCUUCUUCUUUUUUCCUAGUUAAAGGAAGCUUUACUCUCUCUUAAUUGCAUUAGCAAAGGGAAUCGAAGCCUUCUCCGUCGCCAAACUGAGCGAGACCUCUCGGGUCUUGGGCUUCAGAUAUCACCCCUCUUAUUUUUUCCAUGAAUGGCAAGACCAUUAUUAUGGAACUUUUAUUAAAGAAAUAAAAUACAUUUUGCAAAAGCAACCAUUUUUGUUGAGUCAUUUGAAUUGUCGAGCGCAUAGCGAAAAAUGUUCCUGUGGAGAAUGAAAUAGAGCAAUGUACAGACCAGUUGACUUUGACUAAACUAAAAGCAAUAUAGGCCGUUCACCUAAAAUGUUGUCUAUGCAGCCAAAAUAGGCUGUACAAAUGGGCCCUCCCAUGGGAUUAAUACGUUGACCUUCUUAGAUAUUUUUAAUAUAUUAUAAUGAGAUAUUUAACACCAUUUUCUAUAAUUUGACUCCAGUUUAUGUAUAUGAUCUAUCGUUUGCAUAUAACUAUUAGACCUUCUAGCAUUAAUAGAAAAUCAAUUUUAAAGGAAAAUUCAAUUGAUUUAAGUAUAUAGCAGUUUGAAGUGUGGAAUGAUGUGAGUAGGAUUUGUUCAUUUGACCCAAGCGAUUCCUAUUUUAAUUGCUUUCUCGUAGCCUAACUAUGUAAUUGCUUUAUAGUGAUCUAAUAUUGAUUAGUGGCAUUCGGUAUUAGAUAAAAUCAUAUCUCUUACUGUAGUGCACCAUUUGAUGGUUGAUCUAUCACCUUUUUAAUUUCAAUCUCUCCAUCAUUUUCUUUCUAAUGCCUAAUGUUCUUCCUCAAGCGAUCCCUCAACUGCAUUCUCUAACGGUGAUUACCCAAUUGACUUGCUUUUUGUUUCUUUAACUAAAUUCUUCCUCAUACUUAAUUAAUUUACGAAAUGGUGCAGAUUCAUUGAAGAAUUUCAUCCAUAUUGUAACUAAUGUCAUUAGGUUAUUGUUAUAUGAGCGUAUUCAAAUUACCAUUUUGCCCAUAUUUAACACAUUCUGGUUAGAAUCCCUACAUAGAACUUUUUGUUUUGUCUCCGGUACAUUUCAAUAGCCUUCCCAUUCUAGAGUCAUCGACAUUGGUAUGGAGAUUUUUUUUUUUUUUUACUAUUUUCAUUUUAUUCUUUUUCUCUUUUGUGCAACUUAAGAUAGAAUUACCAAUUCCGUAAAUUUGUAAUUUACAUCUUGGCACUCUUCUUAUUUACAAUUUGAAAGUUCAUGAAUUUGUAAUUUAACUAAAUCACCAAUGCUGUGAAUACUGCAGGUUGUGUUUCCUAACUUGGAGAAAUUAUUUAUCGAGGGCAUGGAUAAAAUCGAGACAAUAUGGGAUGAUCAAAUUCCUACGAAUUCUUUCUCUAAGCUAAGAUUGCUUUCAAUGAAUGAAUGCAAAAAGCUUGUGCACGUUGUACCUUCUUUCAUUUUAGGACAGCUCUUGAGCCUGGAAAUUUUGAAGGCAAAAGCAUGUGCUUCCCUUGAAGUUAUUUUUAAACUCCAGCCACUAACUCCUCUAGAUGGAAAUAGUGUUGCUCGUUCUCCAUUAAAAGAGCUGAAGUUAAAUGAAUUAUCAAAGCUAAACUGUGUAUGGGAUAAGGAACUCUACCAUCAUAUUAAAUUCCAGUGCCUACGUUUGGUUACCCUUCAGGGAUGCACUAGGCUCACCUCUUUGUUUUCAGCCUCAAUAGCCAGAGAUCUAAUCCAACUUGGGAAUUUGGAGAUCAAUCAAUGCGGCAUUGUGGAACUCAUUGAGAAGGAAGGACCCGAUGAGUUGAGCAUCAAUGUGGAAGCCAUAGAAGGCCCAAGUCAUGGGCUAAAAGUAGCAUCAUCCUUUCCAAGUUAUUUUCAGCAUUUGAAGACUCUAGAUGUGUCAUGUUGUCAUGGGUUGUCAAAUAUGUUCACACCGACAAUGGCUAUGAAUUUGGUGGAACUCACAAGAUUGAGAAUUAGUAGAUGUGAAAUAUUAACAGAAGUCAUUAGUGAUGAGGAAGGUGGGGAGGGGCAUGUGGUGGCUUUCAAUCAAUUGAAGUAUAUGGAGCUUGAUGAGUUGACUAGGUUGAGAUAUUUUAGCUCAGGUGGAUACACUUUGACGUUCCCUCUCUUAGAAGAUAUCAUUGUGAAUAGAUGUCCUGACAUGAAGUUCUUCUUCGAGGGACCAAUGGAGGCCCCAAAGCUAGAGAGAGUACAAGUACGUUUGAAUGCAAGGUAUGAAGCAAUAAAGUACCAAUAUUUUUGGAAGGGAAACCUCAACAUGACCAUCCAAAAUAUGUUUGAAGAAAUGGUAUGCUUCAGUUGCUAAAUUCUAUGCAAUUUGAUUUUUUUUAUUAUGACCAAUAAAGUAAUUGUUUUAUUUAUUUAUUUAUAUGAUAACUAGAAUUUUAUGUUUAAUGAUGCAUCUUCUUAUAGGCUACAUUUGCUGGGAGUAAGUUUAUGCGGUUGUUGGACUUCCCGAAGCUGAUAGUAAAAUGGCACAAUGAACCUAAUCCCAUCACAUCAUCUUGGCAACCAAAAUCGCUAGUGGUGGAUAAAUGUCCAUCAUUUAUUAAUGCUAUUCCAUCUAGUUUGAUGCUUGUUUUAGACAAAUUGAGCUUUUUGCAAGUCCGUGAUUGUGAGUUGCUUGAAGAAAUAUUUGAUUUGGAAGGUUUGGAGGCUAUGGAGAGCACUAGAGUACUACCUCAGCUACAAGAAUUGAACUUGGCCAAUCUACCAAAAUUGAGGCGACUAUGGAACAAAGAUCUUCAACAAUCGAUAUGCUUCAAUUCUCUAGGUAGUCUCAUCCUUUAUAAUUGCAACAACUUGGGACAUGCUUUCGCUCCAUCGAUGGCUCGGUGCCUUGCCAAUCUUCAAAAUAUAAAAAUAAAGGAGUGUGGUCAGAUGGAGGGAGUGAUCGCAGAGGAAGAGGGGCAAGGAAGUGUAGUGGAGAAUAUUACAUUCCUAAACCUUUUGCGGAUGGAACUGAAAUGCUUGCCCAAUUUGACUUGUUUCCUAUUGGGAAAAAAUCAUAAGCUGGAAUGCCCCAAAUUACAAACGUUGAGCAUUGCCUAUUGCCCUAAGAUGAGAACUCUGAUUGGGCAGUCUUGGAUGGAGAAUGACCACAACGCCCUUUCACUUUUCACUCCCCAGGUCAGUCUUUCAAACAAAUGCAUUUUUGGCAUUUCAUUUGGAACAUAUUCUCAUAGUAUUGGACAAUGCACGGUACAAUGCAAAUUUUUUUCUUUGCGCGGGUUUAUGUACAUAAUCUUCUAAUAUUUAAUACGAAAACUAAAAAUAUUCUAAUCCUCAAUAAAUAUUACUAUUAUAUGUACAUCUCUAUAUCCUAUUAGAAGCGUUAAGUUGGUGUAAGUUCAUGCAAUCAUAUCAUGCGCAGUACUUUAGAAUUAGUUAGUGAGGUUCCUAAAAAAAGUUAUCACAAUAAAAAAAAUUAUUUUCUGCAACUUCAAUUAUAAUGAACUAAAUAGCAAAAAUAGAAUAACAUCUAAAAAUGGCAAAAAAAUAUGAAGUAUCGCCCACUUCAGAUUUUCUUGCACAGAAGCAAAUUGGCGUCAUUCUAUUAAAAAAUGAAGAAAAUGGGAAAAAGAAAACUUCAUAAUUAUAAAGCCUAGUUCACAAAUUGCUUAGCUAUUAUGAGCAUAAUCAUCUCCCCAAUCAAUGAAAUUGGAGGAAUUAGAGAGAAGUGCUCUUUCAAUUGGAGUGCUCUAAACUUCGAUAAUGAUCAGUUAGUCAACUUUUUUAUAUAUUAAUAAUCACCAAUGCUUGCACUGGGUUUUGAUUAUAAAAUAAAUAAAAAUGGAAAGGCCAAUAUGCAUGAAGUCAUUUGUCUUUUUUGUUCGUAAAUCAUACUCAAUCGCUGUACUCCAACAACCUAUCAUAUUACGUACGUGUAUUAUACAAUAAAUAUUAACUCUAAACUAUCAUAUUGAGUGAUAAUUAGUAUGAUAUUGCACACAAUCUAUGUUUAACAAGAGAAAAUACAGAUUACCUUUUUCAGAAAAAGAAAUGGCGAAAAAAAGGAAAAAAUAAAAGAGACAAAAGGAUAGCUGGAUAAUAAAUAGUAGCAAUUCUUUGGCGGUUGCCAACAUUGCAAGUCUUAUUUCGUAACUAGAUGACAAUAUUUAGUCAAUGUCCUGACUAAAAUAAAAUUAAAAAUCGGAAUAAAUUAUCCAACCAACGCCACCACAGAAGGGAAAAUAUUAGGAUUCGUAUUGAAUCAUCCGCAGAUUGACACGUGGCAACGCCGGACCCACUGCUCUCCUCUUCCUGUUAUGGCUCUGCUCCCUCACUCUCUUUCCUCAGCGAAGGUGCAUCUAUACGUGAACCACACCACCGCCUUGGCCUCCAUCAGUUGCGGUGAAAAUAGAAAAAGGAAGAAAUUAGAUCAAGUCUAUUGGGUGUUUUAGACUUUUCCCCCCUUAAGAAUUGUUCUCUCUCAGCCAUUUCGGUUCACCUUGAUCCUCCUUUUCGCAACGAGGAAAAAAAAAAGUUGAACCAAAUCUACACAGUCAAAGUAACAAUAACUCUUCUUUCUUCCCCUCGCCCCCCUUCCUCUACUUUCUUUUUUUGGGGCGAUUGAUUGGGUGGUCCGUCCAAUGGUUGAAUCGGAAGCUUCGGAAUCGCUUCUCUGAAACUCCCCUCCUCUCUGUGCGCGUGCUUCCAUGGGUUCCGAGUGAUUACGCGAACCGGAGCUUGUUGGUUAUGGUGGGUCGAAGUGGGUCUCCGAAGCGGAAGCGAUUUCGGCGAUGAUUCGGUCGGGGCGUUGAUUCUGGCGAAGAAAAAUUAAAAAAAUCUUCUCUUCAGCCCUCUCUUCCUCCUCCUUCGUCCCACAGCCGCCCGACCUCCGCCCCUCCUCCCCUAUCGCCAACGGCGGAGUCACCGGUGCCUUGAUUAGGCUGACCCCCGCUAUGUCCAAGCCGCGUAUGGCCGGCUUCCUCUGUUUUGUCCGUCUCAUCAUUCUACAGAUCUCGAAAUCUGGCCGUCCAUAGCGACGGAGUUGCAGAUCUGGAAGUUGACCACCGCCGCUCGCAGCCAUGGACGAGCCGCUGUUGCUAGAAACAUGGUUGCAGAUCUAGAAGUCCCGUCGCGAGCAACGACGGCUUAUGGACUGCCAUUGUCCCCUCCGUCGUCGCCCGCGAUUGGCUCGUGGUCGUCGCCCGUCCAGAUCUGGGCUGGAGUCGUGCCUCCAGAUCUUGCAGAUCUAGAAGUCCCGUCGCGAGCAACGACGGCUUAUGGACUGCCAUUGUCCCCUCCGUCGUCGCCCGCGAUUGGCUCGUGGUCGUCGCCCGUCCAGAUCUGGGCUGGAGUCGUGCCUCCAGAUCUAGUAUCGUCCAUGGACGCAAGCCUAGCUCGUCCAUGGCUCGCCAGGAGGCUCCUCCACAGAUCUGGCGACCGCAGCUUGUCCAUGGCCAUGAGUCUUGACGGCGAGUUUGAGAUCCCUUCGUCCAUGGACUGCGAGGUCAAACGGCGAAAGAGAGAACAGAGAAAUAGAUGUCAGGGAAGAGCGGCCAUGGACGAGAGGCGUCAUGAAUGAGUAGACCACAGAGACGAUGUAGAGGGUUGGACGCUCGGCAAUGGUCGCCUUGGACGCGACGCCGGCAACUCCGCCGGUGGCGAUGGCUGGGGGACGCGGGAAGGUUGGGCUCAAUGUGGCUGGAGAUGGAGGAGAAAGCGUAGAUGGAGAAGGAAAGUGAGGGGAAUUGAGAUUUUUUAUAUUGAGUCAUCUGACCAAAAAACAGUCAAUAUUUAGUUAAUGUUGUAGCUACAUAAAAAAAUUAAAAAAAAAAUGGACUCAAUCAUCCAGUCAACACUUCCUUUCCGUCUCAUGAAGUUCUCCUCAUGUGAAGACUAAACGCAGUAAAUGACGACCUCCUCCGGCACUUCUUUUUUUGGGUCGAAACUGAGGCACUUGAAAAUGCGCGAUAUCAUUUUUUUAUUACAGAUUCUAUACAAGUUUUUUUUUUCCCCUAACACACGAAAUCCUUUUUUUUUCCUUAUUCUAAUACUUUUGCGCAAUUCUUUCUAUCGUUUUAUACUAGUAGAAUAGAAUGUUUAAUUAUAACAAGUAUCUACACAUCUGUUUACUUUUUAAUUGUAAGAAUUAUCACUAAUUAUUUAUUUAUAAUGCCAUUUGCAUGGAUAAGUUAUUAUAUAAUACCUAGCCCCACAUUCUAAGAAUAUUUCAAAAAGUCAUUAUAACACUCAAUCAACGAUACUAAUAAAUUUGGGGAAGUAUGAAAAUAGUCACCUGAUCUUUUGGUAGUGACAAGUUGUGAUAGAAUUGUUUUCAUUUUAGUGUCAAAUAUGAGCUGUCAUAUAAUAAUUGAUUUCUCCCACAUUAUUAGAUAAUUUAAAAAACUCAUAAAAAUCCUCAAUUAAGAAUAUUGAUAGAUUUAAGGAAGUGUGGAAAGUCUUUUUUUUUUUUUUUUGUGACAAGUCGUAAUUGCAUUAAAUAUAUUUUAACCAAAUGAAAAAUAUCAAUACUUACUUUUAAAUGGACAAUUCGUCGAGGUCAUGAUGUAGCAAAAAGAAAAAAAGAAAAAAAAGCACUCUUGAUUUUCUCCAUACAAACAAAAUGCAAUCAGUGGGUGCACACCCACUUUUUGCCAAAGGGUGGACCACUCGUACGCCACAAGAUUCUAUUUUUUUUUUUCACCUCAAAUUUGAAUAAAAUAUUAUUUCAAGGAUGUUAUUAAAGGUCCAAUGUAAAACUAGUAAAUUGUCCCAACUUGCUUUUGCUGAGAUCAUAACAUUAUGUUAUUUAUUCAAGUCGUUAUGUUGCCCAUGCCUAUUAAGAAAUUAUUUUCUUUUAGUACAAAAUUUUUCCAUGCAUAAAAAAGAAAAAGGUUGUGAACAAUUGAAGUUACUAUAUUUAUUUUUUUAUAUCCGGUUCGCCAUAUCCUUGACCUUAGCCAUCAGUCAACUUGUAUAAAAGCAUCAAUCAACCUCUCCCUAUUUAUGUCCCCAACAAAAUCUUGAGUUCUCAUGAUUUGUGAGAACAAGGGAAGUCUGGAAAUUCCUUCUUUAAGGUCAUAACUCAAUGUAAUCACAUUCAUUGUGUCAUUUUUUUUCUCACUAUGGCAGGUACAAUUUCCUGAACUUAGGUCGAUGGAUCUCUCCCACAUGAACAAUUUAAGCAAAAUAUGGACUGACACUCCUCAAGAAACUCUUACUUUUGAUUGUCUAAGGAAAGUGGAGGUUCGGAAUUGUAAGGGCCUUGAAAAUUUGUUUCCGUAUUGGGUGGCUACAAGUUUAACCCACCUUGAAAAACUUCAAGUGGAGUCUUGUGAGAUCGAGGAAAUAGUCGCUAAUGGGGGUGACACUCCAAGCUCCAAUACUACUCAAGAUCUUUUCCCAGUACUAACCUCUUUGGUGUUACGUGACAUGCCACGACUCAAGAGUUUCUAUCCUAACUUGCCCACUUUGCAUUGGCCAUUAUUGGAGGAAUUACGAGUGAUUCACUGUGACAAACUGAACAUGUUAUCCUUUACGGCAUCCAUGAACAGUUGGGCUCAAAAAUAUGAUCAACAAGACCUUUCAAAUCAAGAAGCACACUCUUCAUUCGAGAGGGUAUGAUUGUAGCUACUCUCCAUUAGUUUCUACUUUGUUCUUUAAAGCAGUCAUUAAUAUCAUAUCCAUUGCAUAUCAUGUCGCGUUAUAAUGUUAUAGAAAACAUGAUCUCCCUUACUUAUUAGUUUGUCGACAACAUUAAGAUAUUUCUAAUAUCUUAAGUAUACUUUCAUUUGUGGACAUGCAUAAGAUAUUCCAUUACCUAGAGUUACAAAAAUAUUUAUAGUAUUCUAUUGACAACAGAAUAUAUUCCUAAUCUAACUGAAUGGUGCUCCUUGGUGACAUCAAUAAGAAUUUGACAAGAGGUCCUCUCAAUUAUUGACAUGUGUCGCACAUUUGAACUUUUCUUCUCUAUUUCAUCUUCUACAAACUCUAAAAAAACACCAAUUGAAACUUUUUUUUUAAACAAAAAUAACAUCAGUAUUUAGUGCACCAUUUUCUAAUGUAUUUUUUAAUACACUGCACAGUCAAGUCAUCGUGUUGUAACAUUAGUAACAUUAGUACCUUAGUGCAUUGCAUAGUCGUCUUGUUGUCCUAUUAUAAUAUUAUAGAAAACUAGAACCCCUUUCCUAUAAGUUUGCGGACAACAUAAGGUAUUUCUUAUAUCUUAAGCACACUUCUAAAUUUGUGGACCCCAUAUGUUUUAGUAACAUCAUGAGCGCAUCUCAUUACAUAAGAUUCCAAAGAAGAUAUAUUUUUGUUGACAAGAUAUUCCUAACAAAAGAUGAAUUUAGUGAUUGUAUGGGUCUUGAAUUUAGAUUCACAUUAUCCACUUGACCUGACCAACCUUCCAUGCAAAUCAUCUAAAUAGGUUUACUUUUAACAACACAUGAUUUAUUGCCAAAACUUCGUAGAAUUUACUUCUCUUAUUGUAUUGGCUAUUUGACAGGACUUUCCCAACUUUGAGAGACUUUUAUUAGUCAAUAACAAUAUUCAGAUGAUACAAGAUGGAAAAUUUCCCGAUGACAUCUUUAGCAAACCAAAAGCACUAACACUGGCAUGCUUUCAUGAUGAAAAGGCCGUUUUUCCUUCUAUAUUCCUCUUAGAAAGAUUUCAGAAUCUACAAAGUCUUGAGGUAUUCUGUAGCUCAUUUGAAGAUAUAUUCCCGGACGAAGGGUUUGUUGAAGAGGGGAAACAUCUGGAGCUUGAAAAUUUAAGAGAAAUUAAGUUAAACAAGCUAUGCAACCUGAAGCGUGUGUGGAGAGAAGACUCUUUAGUGUCGAAAAUUCUUCAGAGCAUCAAAACAUUUGAGAUUUGGGAUUGUCCCUGUUUGACGACAAUAUUUCCAACUGUGGCAUCCUUCCAAAAUUUGACGAAGUUAGUGGUGAAGAAUUCCUCUGGAUUGGUACAUCUAGUAACAGUUUCAACGGUCACAAAUUUGAUGCAUCUGGAGAGGAUGACUAUAAUAGAAUGUGAAAGAGUGAAAGAAGUAGUGGCCAAUGAUGGAAACGGAGAAGGAAAAGUGAUUUCUUUUGGAAAUCUAAACUUUUUGACACUCCAAGAUCUGCCAAACCUAGAAUGCUUCUCCUCCAUCUCGAGUUGCACCUUCAAGUUCCCAUACUUAUUGAGGAUUAUAGUGGAAGAGUGUCCGAAAAUGAAGACCUUUUCUAAGGGUACGCUAAGCACACCACAACUAUUUAUGUUGGCUAAUGCGGUGAGCCUAUUCAGAUACAAGUGGAAAGGGAAUUGGGAGGAGGGCGAUGAUCUCAAUACGACCAUACAAAAGUUAUGGGCAUAAACAAAUGCACAUAGAAUUGGUAAAUAUUCAAUUGAUGUCAUUCUCUCAUCCAUUCGUAUUUUUCUUCUUAUUUUUUGGUAGCACGGUAAGUUUUUAAAUUUUUCUUUUUGUAACUUUUCUAUUAUUGAUACCGUCGGAUCAAAGCAUCAUCAACCCUUUUCUAUCGAUCGAUCGAUCUCGCCUCCUUCACUGAACAGUAGGAAACGAAGCAAGGCUCUCCUUCUCCUUCUUAACGCCAGAGGCUCUCUCUACUGCGUUCACGGAGGACGGAGCGAAAAGUAAGCGUCGGGAAUUGCCAGGACUUGAGAGAAGAUGGCAUUGCCAAGUCUGGACAGUCAGUCCUCCACUCACUUCAUCAAAGAAGAACAUCAUUCCCUCUCCGCAUCUAUAUUCGACGAAUCGUAAGUUCACGCUUCUGCUCACAUCAUUUCUCUCGUCUGCUAGAAUUUCUUCCCGAUUUUCGUGUCUUAUUGCACGUAAUUUUCUUCCGGUGUUCGUAGAGACCUUUCCUCAAUCGUCGUCGUCUUCUUCAGCUAGGGCUCUGCUUUUUAAAUUCGUUCCGUGUAAAUUUCUCAGUCCGCUACUUCAGAUCAUGGACCAAUAGAGGUCCUUCACUGACAUCAUCAAAGAAGAAGAUCAGUCUCUCUCUCUCUCUCUCGCUCUAUCGCUCUCUCUCGCACUUGAACCCGGCAAACUCGUAAGUUCACUUUUCUCCCAAUUUUGUUGUCUUAUUGCGCAUCAAUUAGGUUGAAGUCGGAAGCUGGUUUCGUAGAGACCUUCCUCAAUCCUCGCCUUCUGCUUCAGCAAAGGGCUCUGUUCUUCAAAAUUCAUUCCACAUUAGAGUCUAAAAGGAUAGCAAUUUUAUCUUAACAAUGGAGUAAUUGAAAUAGGGAAAAGAAUGAAAGGACUAUUAUUGGGACAUAAGCUAGUGGUUGGAGGUUCGAAAAUAUAACAAUCGUCUCCUUAUUUAGUGGAUAGAUGCGUUGGAAAAGCAAUUCCUAAGGAGUCUUAGAAUUAGAAUCCAAGUCCUCUUAUAUGGAGAAAUUUGACAAUGUGAUUCAAUGUCGGAGAAGUAGAAUAUAUAUGUUAAUCGCACAAAGAGAGUAUGUUCAUAUGGACAAGCAAAUUGCAAAGAAUGUUGCUUCCUCCAUAACUAAAGAGAAAGACCUAAUUGAUAAGGGGCUGGCUUGUUGUGAUUAUGAAAUUUCGUUCUAGAUGUAAUGACUGAUAAUUUUGUUUUUAAAUUGGAGAUGCUGUUGUAUUUUAUUAUAUUAAUCAGAUUUAGGGAAAAAGAAAAGAUUUUACUUCGUCAAAUUGAACCAAUAGUUGAUAAAACGNNNNNNNNNNNNNNNNNNNNNNNNNNNNNNNNNNNNNNNNNNNNNNNNNNNNNNNNNNNNNNNNNNNNNNNNNNNNNNNNNNNNNNNNNNNNNNNNNNNNGAUUCUUUUUCGCUGGUCGGCCCAAAUUUGGAAGAGAAGGUCAUCUGCAUGUAGAAACUCAUUGAUAGGGAUGAUUUUCUGUUCAGAGUCCACAUAUUCACUAGUGCUGGUUAGGACUUGAUUUACAUUGAUCUAGAUGAACUCUGGAAGUGUCACUUUCACUGGUCCAAAAUGAAUUCAGUAUUCCAAAUAAUAACUCCUUUAUAUAGUCUUGAGGAAUCAAGGAAGUGUACUUCUACGCCGAUUGGGUUUUAUGAGGUUGAUCACAAUCCAGAUGCACACUCAUUAAUGCCACAUUCUAAAUCUAAAUGAACUGAAAAGUAUGUGCUUCAAGACAUCCUUUUUGGUUUAUGCAUUCUUCAUUUUGAAUUUAAAAACAAGUCUCAUAGGCUUAUUAAAAAGGUUCAAGAGGAUGCUUUUGAGAGAAUGGUGCAAUUAUUUGGCCUGUAGAAUUGGAAAAAUGUGAUGAGAUGGUUUGGUUAGCAAAUGGUUUGAAUGAAUAUGCAGAGCAUUACUCUAUCUGUAAGGUUCAAUUUUUGGUCUUCUAAUAUGAAGGGGACUCCAUUUCCCGUGUCACCAUAAUUGAUGAAGGGAUGUCCACGACAGAAUAUCCACCAAUCAAUGUUGAUAUGAGGAACCAAGCCUCAGCAAUUAUGGAAUUGUCUUGCUCAAAGUGGAAGAUGCCUUCGAUUGCCAUGACGUUUCAGUCAAGCUUCAACUCUGGGGGGAUAAUUUGCAUUCAACCAAGUGUCCUCGAUUUUGUAUGGAAAUCGAAUUUGAUCAGGUUUGCAAAGUUCAUGGCGGUUCCUAUGCACAUUCAUCAGCAGAGUUUGGGAGGGACAAAAGUUACAACUGCUCAUCACAAGAUCUUCCAGGUGUGAUUCUUAAUAUUAGCUAAUUCUUCCAUUGAUUGUGUGUGUGUGUUGAGACUAAGUGUGCCGGCGAUUGCUGUGAUGUUUCGGUUGAGCUCGAAGUCUCCAUUGAUUGUGUUGUUUCUCAUGUUUGAUUCAAAUACUGUACAGGAACUGUCCAUUUCGUUUGGCUAAGAGAAACUGCAUUAGAGUUAAUGCUAAGAGAAACUGUGUUAGAGCUAACUCAUUCUCUUAAUGUUUCUGUGUGUGUGUGUGUGUGUGUGUGUGUGUUUUUCUGUGUGUGCGUGUGUGCAUGUGUGCGUGCGCGCGCGCGCGCGUGUGUUGAGACUAAGUGUGCCAGCAAUUGCUGUUUCGGUUGAGCUGUGUGUGUGUGUGUGUGUGUUGAGACUAAGUGCGCGUGCGUGCGCGUGCGUGCGUGCAUGCACGUGCGCGCGCGCGCGCGCUUGUGUGUGUUGAGACUAAGUGUGCUGGCGAUUGCUGUGAUGUUUUGGUUGAGCUUGAAGUCUUGGGGGAUUAAUUGCAUUCAGCUUUGCAUGGCAAUGGAAUUUGAUUAGGUUUGCAAAGUUCAUUGAAAUUCCCAUGCACAUUCAUUAGCAAAAAGUUUGGGGAGGGACAAAGUUCAAACUGCUCAUCACGAGAUUUUCUGAGAGUGAAUCUUAAUAUAUUAGCAAAUUCUCCCCUUGACUGUGUUGUUCCCAUAUUUGAUUCGAAUAUCAGGUAGGAACUCUCCACGUCGUUAGGCUAAGAGAAACUGUGUUAAAGCUAAUUCAUUAUUGUAAUGUUUCUUUGUCUAUAGCUCUCCCGCCUGUACAUAUGUAUGUGUUUGGGGAUCUCAUAAAUAAUGGAAACAAAGCAAGCCAGUCAUAUCAGAUUUCAUUGUGAUGAGAAUGGAUUUGUGUGCAUAUAGGCCUCAGGAAGAUAGAACAUUAGUAAGACUCAGAUCUAUUGAUUUAGGGUUGCCGUGUCGGUAGAUAUGGGUUUUACAUAACAAGAAUAGAAUAUGCCUAAAACGCUAAAGCUUUUUUCAUGUUCUGUUUGUGGCUGCUGUAGGUAAGCUGAGAGAGUCAGGCUUGUGAAGAGCUCUCGAACUAGCCAGCAAAUUUGUACUCGAUUAUCCUUUCUUCCAAAUUGCGGUGAGGUGAAUAUAUCUGAAGAAAAGCAAUAUGGUAAGAUCCUCAUGACAAUGACAACUCUUGGAUUUAAAUCACAUAGAGUUGCUAGACUAUGUUAGAUCUAGAUAUUUAAUCACGUGGCCAAAAAAAAAAAAAAAAUUGGGUCCUUUACAUGCUUUGAAAAGGAUAUUCAUACUGUCUUCCUCAGAAAUCGUUGGUUGUUUUCUUCUUUCGGAUGACAAAAUUGCGAAUUGUCUCCUUGAGCAGAGAGUUUCUGGUUCAUUCCUAAAGACGCAUGUUAAGAAAAGCCCGCAGACCAUGGCUCUCAUAUUGCAAGACAGCAUGGCGUUGAAGCUCACCAGCCGUGAACAUUAUGGAAAGCUAUUUGCCUACAGGGCUGCAUUCAUGAGAGAAACUUCUCUGAAGGCGGAAGACGCGUUAUGUGUUUGAGCUCUACUGAUAUGGACAAUAUCAUGUUUGGACCAUCCAACUUCAGAACCAUUGAUAAGACUUGGCUGAAUGAUAAUACUAUGCAAUACGAUAUAGCAGAGGAAGUUUCGGCUUAGCUCACUUUUGGUGAGAAUGUGGCUUUCAGAAUGGCUAGGCUAAAUUCUGCUUCCAAUUCGGCAAAAUGGAUAAAAGCAUGAGUCUUGUUCCAAUGGAUGAAAUGGUCCUGAAUGUGUACAAUGCCUUUCUUUGAUCCUAGACUUAAUAAUCACCAUGAGGGCACGAGUUGUGAGUCGGAGGAAGCUGAUUCCUACUUUUGACUUUGUAACUUCCAUUUCAGGAGACAAUCCCUCAAAUCUGGGGCUUCUUCAAGGUUUCUAGUGGCACAACCUGACCUUUAGAAUUGUAGAGGGUAGUAACAUCGGAUACACUUCCCCUAAGCCAUAUACCAAGUCUAAAUUUCAAGGUGUAACCAUGACUUUACAAGCUCUGAUGAACUUAAUCAGAUUCUGUUCAUUGUCUCUUUUUGAUUUUUUCAGGAUUUCGUGAUCAGUCUUUUCGCAUGAGAGAAGUUCGUUAGUUUCUUCUCAUAUGGAAAGCAUUCAGAAUUUAUUCUGUCAAAUUAACUGAGUAAUGAUAUGUAUAGCAAAGCAAUUUCCAAUCUAUGCUGCAUCUUUUCAUGGUUAGUCAAUUGAGGAAAUUUUCACAUUAAUAUCUACUAAAAUUCCUCAUUGUUCAACUGUGGAAAAAAGGAUUUCUAGUCACCCACCUUUCUACCCUCGGCCAUGCCGCCAAAUGAAAUGAUAUCAUAGGAUUUAUAUAAAGAAGUACCCCAGAGUGGAAGGAAUAGCUUCACUAUUUCUAUUUUUAUAGAAAUGGGAAGUAGUCUAUAUGUAGAUUGAGCCAUUCUGAGUUGGUUUUUCCUGGUCUUACACUUCCUAGAGCUCUCAUUACACGCCUAAAUUAGCUUGCAAAUUCGGUUUAUAGAUGUCCUUUUUCAAAAUAGUGAUCCCGCAUUUUAUAUGAAUAGUUUAGUAAGAUCUUGAGCUUAAUUCGUCACCAAUACCUAAAGCUUAAUUAUGAUUGCUAGUGCCUACAAUAUGACGACCGUUCUAGCAAUUGAUGUCCACUUGUUGGAGUAUUUUUUUCCCCAUUUAUACAGCAUUUAUAAUUGAAGCCAAUAGAACGCUAGAACAACAUUCACUAAUAACACGUAAUAAAAAAGAAUGUUAGCUAGAAAUAUCUUUUAAUCCUUUAGCACUUUCAAAAGGAUAAAUUAAUCCUUAAAUUUCCUCGACCUCAAAUUAUUACCUUCUUGUUUUUUGCCCUCCAAUUUUAUCCUUUGAUUUCUCAUUCCACAUAACAAUUGCAUAGCUUGGUUGUUCAAACAUGUAGAUUAUUAUCAUAUUUCGGGUGGAUUCAUUAAGCAACAUAUUCGAAAAAAAAAGCAAAGAGCAACUCUUAGGUAUUCUGGCAGUGAAGCUCGUCGGGAGCUAUAGACUUGUAAGAGGGGCUUGGUCUCUAUAUUUUUCUUCUGGUUGACAUGCAUUUCCGAGAGAAACUCACACGCAUGUAGGAGACGGUUUGCCUAUUUGAGCUAAUUGAUAGGGAUGAUGGUAUUUGAAGACUCCAUUUUGAGUUUGCAUGUUUCAGCUAGUUGACAGGGAUGAUGGUGUUUGAGACUUCAUUGUAUGAAAUGAGUACUCCCAUGUUUAGUCGUGCUGCAUCACUGACAAGUAAAUUUCCUUUUCUUUGUUAAUUGAAAAUAAACUCAAAAAGAUUUUAUGAAGACUUUGGUGCCUCGAUUUGUAACACAACGAUUUAGGCAGGAAUUCUAGGUAGUUAUAUUUUCAUGAAUUUCCACUUCUUCUUAAUGUUCACAAGAGUUACCACCUUAGUAGAAGACAAUGACAAUAUCAAAAUGGAUGAGUCAUUUAUCCAGGUUAGAGUCAGGACAACUAAACUGAACUCUAUCAUUAGGUCCCUCAUAAAUGAAUGGACUAAGAUGAUCACCUAAAUGCUUGCAUUCUUUGCAGCAACAGCUUCUCAUUACUAUAUGCUUAUCACAACUUGCGACUCAGAUACCUCUAUGUAAUGACAUGCUUUUCCUUCUCCCCAACGUGGUGUCAUAGAAUCCACAAAGAAUCCUUUUUAGAUCUUCAUGAUUUUUAUUUCUAGGGAGUUUUUGUGUUGAUCCGCUGUCACAUAACACGUGUAUAAUCAACGUCAACAUUGCUUAGGAGUGAGCUUUAGGAGGUCACCAAUUCUCUACACCGCUUUGUAACAGAACGAAACAACAUAUAAUAUUGAUACUAAUAACCAGAAAGCAAAGCAGACCCAUAUAAAAUUUCAUUGAACCCCUAAAACACCAGAGCACAUAAUUAACAAAUUUGAUGGGAUCAUCGACUAAUUUAAAGAACAGCGGUUAAGCUAUGCAACAACAGGUUACCUAUAGUAUAGGUCCUAUACGAGGGUUAGGAGUGUCAUUGAAUAGCAAAAGCAAAUUACUACUUCGAAAAGAGACGAGCAUGUCCAGACUCCAGAAUCUGCCAAUGGUUGCUUACCCUUUCGAACAAAGUAAGGCAGGAAAAUAGGACGCGGGAGACGUGGAGCUUUCUCGAUCCUUCUUCUUCUUCCUCGGGAGCGAAACUGGGGGAACCUCUGCUUCACUCCAUGGAGGACGGAACGAAAACGAAGCGUCGGAAAUUGCGAGGACUGAGAGAAGCGAAGCUGCACUUAGCGGAGCGGAGUGAAGUAGAGGGGGGAGAGAGAGGGAGACUCAACCAGAUGGAGUGUUACUGUCGCCGCCGUCGCCGCCGCCGCCGCCGCCGCCAGAGAGAAGACGAAAGUGCGACGCCGGAGAUGGCAUAACCGAGUCUGGAUGGACAGUCCCCCACUCACUUCAUCAAAGAAGAAGAUCAUACUCUCUCUCUCUCUGACGAAUCGUAAGUUCAAUGCUUCUGCACCCACCAUUUCUCCCGUCCGCCAGAAUUUCUUCCGAUUUUCGUUUCUUAUCGUGCGUAAUUUUCUUCUGAUUUGCGGAAAACCUUUCCUCAAUCGUUGUCGUGUUCUUCAGCAAGGUCUCUGCUUUCAAAAUUCGUUCCACAGUCGAGUCUUGUCCAUGUAAAUUUCUCAACCCACUGCUUCAGAUCGUGGACCAAUAGAGGUCCUCAAUCGUCGUCGUCGACAUCUCGCGUGCUUCUCUUGUGAGUAUGUGUAUGGUUUUUCUUUAUCAUACUGGCUGCUUUGGAAGUGUGCAUGGAGCAUUUAGUCAGAUCAUGGCCAGCGAAGAAAAGGAGCUAAUCCGCACAAGCAUGUGGCGUUCUUCUCUGCCAAUACGCAAGCAUUUGUGAUAGAAUCACGUAUGUGUAGGAGAUUUCUUACGUGUGUGAGCUCAUUAUGGAGAUGAUAUAAGGAGUCGCUUUUAUGCUUUGUUCUUAAUAAACUUCAGAGUGCUCAUCGUCAUGAGAAUUUGGAGGGAUGACUUGCGGUUUAACAUAUUGAGUUUCUGUUGUAUAACUCUCUUUCCGUCGCUCUUUGCAAAUUCUAGAAAAGUUUCUAAGAAGCUCUUGUUUGAAUCUUGAUUGAUUACGUCAUGAUUUGUACAUAAACUAUCACUAAAGUUAUCAUUUUUCAAGUACAGGGAGGACCAAACAGUUAGAAGAUUUGAGGCACCCGGAGCUGGUUUUUUAUGGUCCCACACACCCAAGACCUCUCACUGGUCUUUAAUUGGCCAACAAAUUUCAAACGGAGAAUCCCUUCUUCAAGGUGGUGAUGAGGCCAUCUUCUGUUAACUAUGGCAUGGUAAGAUCCCAAGCUUAUUUACUCAAACUGGCAUGACUGAAAAUCGAAUAUAUCAAUGCUGUUUAUAUCUUUGCCCAUACUCUAAUGUAAUUCCAAGUUCACCUCAUUAAACCACGACAUGUUCUUUUCCCUGAAGUGUUCAUGAGUAUAUGUUUAAAACCAGGUAUACAUCUUAAUGAUGGAGUAAUCAAAGCAGGAAAAAGAAUGAAAGGAUAGUUAUGGGGACAUAAGCUGGUGGUUGGAGGUUCGGAAAGAAAACAGUCGUCUUCUUUUUUUUUUUGGAUAGAUGUGUUAGAAAAGCAAAUGCCGAGGCAAGUCUUAAGAAUUAGAAUUUGAGUUAUAUGUUAAUCACACAAGGAGACUAUGACAUGAACAGGCAAAUUGCAAAGAAUGUUGCUGUCUCCAUAAACUCUGGACUGCUCAUUAUCAUGGGAAUUUGGAGGGGUGUUGCGGUUUAACAUGUCUUGUUUCUGCUUGCCUAACUCUCUUUCUCUUGUUCUCUUCAAAUUCUAGAAGAGGUUUUUUAAGAAGCUCUGGUUUUAAUCUUGAUUGAUUACGUAAUGAUGUGGGAAUAACUUCCAACCCAUGCUAUAUUUUUUCAUGGCAAGUCCAAUUAAUGAAGUGUAAACAAACUGUUGCUAAAGUUGUCAUUUUCCAAGCACAGGAAGGACCAAACAGUUAGCAGAUUGAGGCAUCCUGAGCUGGUUAUUUUAUGGUCCCACACACCCAAGGCUUGUCACUACUCAUAAAUCGGCCAACAAAUUUCAAAUGGAACAUCCCUUUUUCAAAGUGGUGAUGAGGCCGUCUUAUGUUAAGUAUGGCUUGGUAAGAUCCCAAGCUUAUAUCCUGAGACUGGCAUGUCUGAAAAUCAAAUAUAUUCAUGCCGUUUAUAUCUUUGCCUAUACUCUAGUGUAUUUUUCCAAGUUUACUUAAUUGUAUAGUAAACCAUAUGAUAUGUUAUAUUCCUUGAAGUGUCCAUGGGUAUAUGUUUAAAAUCAGGUAUAUAUCAUAACAAUGGAGUAAUUGAAGCAGGGAAAAGAACGAAAGGACAGUUAUUGGGACAUAAGCUAGUGGUUGGAGUUUCAGAAAGAUAGUGAUUAUCUUCUUUUUUUGUGGAUAGAUGUGAUGCAAAAGCAAUUGCUGAGGUGUCUUAAGAAUUAGAAUCCAAGUUCUCUUAUAUGGAGAAAUUUGACAAUGGAGAAAUCAGGUAUAUGUAAAUCGCACAAGGAAACUAUGUGGAUAUGGACAAGCAAAUUGCAAAGAAUGUUGCUGCUUCCAUAACUAAAGAGAAAGACCUAAGAAAUGAGGGGGUGGCAUUUUAUGAUUCUGAAAUUUUGUUGUAGAUCUAAUGACUGAUAAUUUUGUUGUCAACUAGGAUAUACUGUUGUAUUUUGUUAUAUUAAUCAAAUUUGGGGAAAAAAGAAGAUGAUUUUACUUUGUCAAAUUGAACCAAUAGUUUGAUAAAACCUUAUUUGAGCUGCGCUUGGAAGAAUCGAACAGCUUAAGUUUGACAUUUGACAUAUAUGUGCCAGUCAUCGAUGUAUUUGCUUUUUCCCUGUGAUUGUGGUCUGUGUAGCUGAAAUUCGUAUAUAUAGGACAUGGAAGGCUUCUUCUGAAUGUUUCCCUAUUGCACUCUAGGAGCAUAGAUAUUGAUAUUUGACUUUGGAUUGAUGACUUGCAUCAUAUGGUUUAUAUUAAAACUCACGUUGUGCGUGAUUUGAUUCUCUCAUUAGAGUAUGCUUAUAUUUUGGUCUGUUUUUCACCAUAUGUUGGUCUUUCAACCAUGUUUAGGGGCAGUCUGCUCCUAUUCAAUUCAUCAUGCAACAUAUUUAGGAAAUCAUGUGAAUUGCGACUUUCAGGUAUUCAGUCAGAUCAUGGAGGGUGAAGCUAAGGAGCUAUGGAGACGCAAUAUUGGGGCGGGGGGUUGUUUUUUUCUAUUGGUUGGCCCACAUUUGCAAGAAAAAGUCAUCUGCGUGUAGAAAUUCAUUGAUAGGAUAAUGUGGUGUUCAGAGUCUAUGUAUCCACUAGUGCUACUUAGGACUAUAUUUACAUCAAUCGAGAUGAACUCUGGAAAGGUCACUUUGGCUGGUACAAAAUGAAUUCAGUAUUCCAAAUAAUAACUGCUUCAGAUAGUCUUGAUGGACCAAGGAAGUGUACUUCUACGUUGAUUUUGUUUAUGAGGUUGAUAAUAAUCCAAAUGCACACUCAUUAAUGCCACAUUCCAAAUCUGAAUGAACUGAAAAGGAUGUGCUUCAAGAUGUCCUUUUUGGUUUAUGCAUUCUUGUUAUAUUGUUCUUCAUUCUGAAUAUGAAAUCAAGUCUCAUAGGCUUAUGAAGAUUAUACAUUUUAUUUUUUCCCACAGGGAAUACCAAAGAGGUUCAUGAAAAUAUGGUGACAAUCUCUCGAAAGGAUGAUUUCUGAGAGAUUGGUUUGGCCUGUGGAAUUGGAAAAAUGUGAUGAGAUGGUUUGGCUAUCAAAGGGUUGGAAUGAAUUUGCAGAGCAUUGCUAUAUCUGUGAGAGUGUGAGGGCCAAUUUUUCGUCUCAAAUCUGAAGAGGACUCCAUUUACCAUGUAAUCAUUUUUGAUAAAAGCAUGUCCGAGAUAGAAUAACUGCCAAUCAAUGUCAAUAUGAGGAACCGAGCCUCAGCAAUUGUGGAAUUAUCUUGUUAAAAGUGGAAGAUGCCUGCAAUUGCCAUGAUGUUGCAGUUGAGCUUGAAGUCUUAGGAGAUGAAGCCAAGUGUCCUUGGCUUUGUAUGACGAUGGAAUUUGAUCAGUUUUGCGAAGUUCAUGGCAGUUCCUAUGCAUGUUCAUCAGCACGGAGUUUGGGGAGGGACAGAAGUUUGAACAGCUCAUCAUGAGAUUUUCCAAGUAUGAAUCUUUUUAUAUUAGCUAAUUCUCCCAUUGAUUGCGUUCUCUCAUUUGAUUCGAAUUCCAUACUGGAACUCUCUAGAGCUAAAUUCAUUCUUAUAGUGUUUCUUUGUCUCUGGUUCUCCCAUGUGUGCAUAUGUAUGUGUUGGGGCUUCUUGUAAAUUCAAGCGAAUGGAAACAAGCCAAACUGGUCAUAUCGGAUUUGAUUAUGCUGAGAAUUGUAUUGGCAUGCAAAUUGGCCUCAGGAAGCUACACUGUUAGUAAGACUCAGAACUAUUGAUUUAGGGUUGCUAUGUUGGCAGAUAUGAGUUUCACAUAACUAGAAUAGACUAUGCCUAGAAAGCAAAAAAUUUCUUCAUGUUCUUUUGUGACUGCUGCAGGUGUAAGCUGAGAGAGCCGGGCUUGUGCAGCGCUCUUGAACCGGCCAACAAAUUUAAACCUGAGUAUCCUUUGUCCGAAAUUGCAGUGAGGUGAAUACAUCUUAAAAAAAGACAAUGUGGCAAGAUACUCAUGACAAUGACAACUCUUGGGUUUAAAUCACAGAGUCGCUAGACUAUGUUAGCACUAGGUUAAUCGCGCAUCAUGUCAAUAGUUUCUGUUGUUAUCCUUCACAUGCUUUGAAAAGGAUCCUCCCACUAUCUUCCUCAGAAAUCAUUGGUUGUUUUCUUGUUUCUGAUGACAAAAUUGCAAAAUGUCUGUACUUGAGUAGAGAGUUCCUGGUUAAUUCCCAAAGACGCAUAUUAAGGAAAGCUCAUAGAUCACUGGUUUCAUAUUUCAAGACAAAUCAUGGCCAUUGAAGCUCAUCAGCCACGACCAUUAUGGAAACUUAUCUGCUCGUUGGGCUGCAUUCAGGAGAGAAACUCCUCUGCAGGUGGAAGACGUCUGUGCGUUCGAGCUUUAUCGGAAGGGACAAUAUCGUGUUCAAAGUAUCCAUCUUCAGAACCACUGAUAAGAUUUGCGUGAAUAACAAUACUAUGCAAAUACGAUGCAGCAGAGGCAGCAUCGGUUUUAGCUCACUUUUAGUGAGAACUAAACAGACAGAAUUGCUAGGCUGAAUUCUGCUUCUAGUUCGGCAAAAUAGAUAAAAGCAUGAGUUUUGUUCCAAUGAAUGAAAUGGUCCUGAACGUGUACGAUACCUUUCCUUGACCCUAGACUUAAUGAUCACCAUGUGGGCGGGAGUCGUGAGUUGGAGGGAGCUGAUAACUAAUGUCAGUUCUGUAAUGUCCAUUUCUGGAGACAAUCUUUCAAACUUGGUGCUUCUUUAAGGUUUCCGGUGGCUCGAUAUGACCUUUAGAAUUGUAAAUGGUAGUAACGUCGAAAACACUUCCCUUGAGCCAUAUACCAGGUCUGAAUUUCAAGGUGCGACCAUGAGUUUACAAGCUUCGGUGGACUUACAUCAGAUUCUUUUCAUCGUCUCUUUCUGAUUUCUUGAAGAUUUCGUGAUCAGUCUUUUAGCACGUGGGCGCCAAUUGAAGUUUGUUGAAGGGCUUUCGGAAUUUUUUAUUUUUUAUUUUUCAUAUUAGCUGAAUGUUGAUAUGCAUGACAAAGCAAAUAUGCUGGCGUCUUUGGGUCGCUGCGGCACGACUCUUCCGCAUACUCUCUCGACAGAUACAGCAUCCGAGCCUCCAGCAGUGGCUUUUCGUCUUAGAAUCGGCGCUCUCAGAACUCGCUCUCGCCGCCGGAUAAAGCUCGCCGAUUCUCUCUCUCUCUCUUCCUUACAAGAACUCGAUACCUCCUCCAAAGCACAACCGACGGCAAUGGAAAUUUGGGAGACAGCAAGAGGAUGGGAGAAAACAAAAGCGAAACAUCCUGGAGAUGCAACGUCCCGGCAAUUGCGAUUGUUGAUCAAGGAAACUCCGUGGUCAAUUUCGCUGUCGUGGCAGCAAGGCGACUGUUAUCUUCGAACCGGUAGCCACACUGUUUGUGCUUCAGUCGCUGCUGGAAGCAACAAUCGUUAGAGAAUUCAAUCUCGAUGAAUCGCUGGCGGGUGCUCCGUUCGCGAUUGGACUUUCUCUCCAGAUUUUCUCCGACUAGAUUUUUUUUUUUUUGCAACUUCUCUCUCUCUCUCUCUCUCUCUCUCUGGCUCUGGAUUCCCCUGAUUCAUCUCCACCAAUUCAGAUCAUGCCCACGGUGAAGCACACCAUCGGAUUCCAUAUUCGAGUCGUGACCACUCCGAUUCGAGUCGUUGCUUUUCCUGUCCUUACCCAUGUCUGUCGCCGGGCCAUCUCAAGCUCACGUGGCCAUCGCCACCGAACCAUCAUCAGGGCCGUUUCAUGUCCGAUUGAACUUCCAAGUCAAAUUCCGAUUCACUCCAAAAUACGUUCUGUUGACUCUUGCUUCGUUCUGUCCCGCUCCCACUUCAUCGCCGUCUUUCAAUUCCAUUGUUUCGCCCAUCCAUGCCACACGCAAAGGGGAUGCGGAGUGGUUUGUUCACUGUUUACAAGAGUUUUAUCCGAUUGCCAAGGCUGAGGUUGGAUGGAUGAUCAUCAUCUGGAUACAAUCCACCGAUUCGAAGGAUGAGAUUCUUCGGGUUUCGCUCUCAGCUCCCCUGCCGGUCCGGCCUCGCUUCAUCAACCGCGGCAGCCGAGGCCAAUCUGGGUCGUCAUUAUCAUCCGAGACGAUAUGCCAAGCGUGAAGAUUGGCGGCGGUGAGCACGAAGAGAAAACAACGAAGAACAAAAAGGAGCGAAGCAGCGGAUGGUGGUUCUUUGGCUGAGAAGGAAAUAAAGUGCUGAAAAAAAAAAAAAAAGAGACGAAGGGAAAAAAUAGAGUGCCCACGAGAAAUCGAUCAAAAGGAAGACUUGCAGAAGAGAUGUAAUUCGUCAUUCCAUCGAGCACCUUCCUUGCAAACUCGAUCCCUCCUCCACAGUGCGACCGACGGCAAUGGAUCUUUGGAAACAGAUAUCAACGGACGAAGUCAAAACAUGUCAAAAUUAAUUCUAGAAUCGAAUCGAAGAUGAAAUGACCUGGUGAUAAGUACGACCGUCGAUCUGACAUAUAUCAUGAUCGCCCGAAUGUUAGCGAGGAACCGGCUGUCCAUGGAUAUUUCUUAUGGUGCGAUCUUCGUUCCUCCGUCUGUUGUUACAGAAUCGUUUCACUUUCUCUGUCUCUCUAAGCGCAAUUCAACGAACACCUUCUGCUCAGAGGACGCAGCACUCAAUGACCAGGAAACUCCGUCUGUCAAGUUCUUCGCCAUGCAUCGUUUUCUCUUUGUCCAUCUUCAUUCUUCACUAAGCCUUCCUCCAUCAGGGUCGUUUCCUAUCCGAUUGAACUUCCAAGCCCAGUUUCGAUUCAUUCCAGAAUACGUUUUGUCGAUUCUUGCUUCGUUCUAUUCUCUCCCACUUCAUCCCCGCCUUUCGGUUUCCAAAUGCCGUCGCUCGCGUCCUUCGUUUCGCCCGUCUAAGCCGCGCACAAAGGGGAUGUCGGGCUGGUGUAUAGGAUCCACUGAUUUGAAGGAUGAGAUUCUUCGGGUUCACUAUCGGCCCUCCUGCCGGUCCAAGAAGCCCGUUGAAAGGAAGACUUGCACAAAAGAUGGAAUUCCUUGAGAGGAAGAUUCAUCCCACGACUCAAGCCAUCAUUUUCAUUUUCUUUUCCUUAGAAAAAGGCAUCAAAAACUCCAAACGACGCCAUUGCUGCGUCUCUUCGUUUCACAUACCUUUGUCGGAUCUCUCCCUCCAUCUCGAUGCCCUCCCCCGCUCAGUGAAUUCCGAGUCGCUCCACCAUCACCCUCACUGUCUACUGCUGCCUUGAAACCGAGUUGCACUCACCUAUUUCCAGUGUGAGCCUUGUGAUUGAUUCCGUCCCUUGCCGUCUUUAGAAACUUUCGGUGAUAAUUUUUUUUUUUUUUUCCUUCUUCCGGUUUAAAUAGCGUUUUCGUAUUGUGGAUUCUUACAUGUUUUGACAGAGGCUUCAAUCUGGUGGCCUCGAGCCAUGUUUAAUGCUCUUGUCAUUUUGCUCGUCAAUGGAGUUCAUGUCAGAUUUUUUUUUUUCCUUUUUUCCUUGUUUACAAUCGUGAAUCCGAGACCACUUGGAAACGAGCGAACAUUGAACUGAAAAUGUCGUGAGAAAUCGCCACAGCGAGCAAGGGUUGUGCAGAGUUAAGCUCAGUCAAACAAUGGUUCCGUUUUCCUCUGUUUUUUGGCAUCCUAUCCUAUAGUUACUUCUGGAUUUAGUUGUGGUGCAAGGGUGACUUACUAGCCAUUCCUGAUCAGUCCUUCGGUUAAUGCUUUUCUCUAAAUCUCGACUUGAGGAAACCUCGGAACAUAAGUUUUUGCAUUUCCUCAAAUAAUUUCAGUAGUUUGUCUCAAUAUUUUCUGUGCUAAGCUAGCUUGACAUUCUAUAUGGAAUCCAUCUACAAUGUUAUAAUCUCUUCUGCUAUAUGUGAGAAUACCCUAGAGUUGUGUAAUGCGGUCGAUGGUAUGAAAAGUGCUAGGUAUAAACAAUCGGUCUACCAACUUGGUGUGCAAAUGAGAUUUUUCCCAUCAUGUAGUCUUUUUGUACAAUCAAGUUACUAAACUUUGAUUUCAAUUGCCUGAUGCACUAACAUUAUUUUCCCCCCUAUCCAAUCAAUGCAUUACGAAGACUUUUCGAACAAUUUUUCUACGCAUUAUUGACGUGGUGUCUUACAUAUCUGAUUGGAGAUGCUAUUACAACGACAUGAUGCCAUAUGGGUCUCAAUUAAGAAAAAAGCCAAAAACAAAAAGUUUAAAAAAAGAUAGGGUUACGUGGCCCUUGUGUUACGAGGGGAGGUUCUCAAGGUGUAAGCCGAUCAGGAGGAAGCUAAAGUGAUCAUAAGUAUCUAAAUCUUUUUUUAUCCCCAUUAGAUUUUCUAAAGAUUUCUUUAAUUGAGUCCAUAAUUACUAUUUUCAUUUCAAUUUGCCCCGCAAAUUGAUGAAGGUCAAUAAGCGAUUUUAGAGUCAUGAAAAAUCUAGUUGCUAGAAGCAAGCCAAACCAACACAAUGGUAAUUUCGUCACAUAUUUUUACCGACACAAUCGUAAUUUCAUCACAUAUUUUUACGCUCAAGGGCAUUGGUUUAUUUACUAAAAUAAUCAUUACUUAUUGAAGUUUGCCUCCACUAAGAAAAAUCUCUAGAUGCAUCCAUGGAUCAACCAUAAUUUGGUCGGGUUUCGAUUAAGUUACAAUUUCUGAAGUUCAUUCCGCGAUUGAAAUGAGAAUUUAAUGAUUGAUUGCAAAAAUGCGCUAUAUAAUUCAGUCAUCACAAUUGAUUUACCCUAAAUAAGUAGGUCUUAUAUUUUGAAGGUCAGUCUUAGUGCGUUUAAUAUUGUUCUUUAAGUAAGUAAUAGUAAUAUUUGUGUUCUUUUGGAUAUAUAACGCAAUUCCAACACAAGUCCACACUUUAACUUCUGGCCUAGCCUCAUCCGAUCAAACUUUCGCAAAAUUCCCAUCAAUCAAUCUCAUUUUCCUCUUCAACCGAGAGGCCACUCGUAGCCACAAUCACCGCCUUCUCCCCAUCUUCAGUUGAAUGAAAACCUGCUGAAUGAGCGUCAUGCGAUCUUUUGCGGCCAUUUUGGCUCAGUCUUUGAAAGUUGAGCUGAAAACUUUUGGGGAAUAAAUAUCUGAAAUCAUUUGAUAUAGGACUACACACUCUGCUUCUGCUUUGGAAUCGUAGGUAAGUGUUAGUUUUUGAAUUUGUAUGUCAGAGAGAUGAACUACACACGUAUCCAUAUUCAACUGUUGAAGUUUCUGCUGUAGGCAAAGGUGAAAUCAAGACUUGAUUACGUGCAAAUGUUCUGCCUGGGUUUUCUCAUGUGAAACCAAACAACCUCAGUGUAAGCUGUGAUUUCUCCUAUAAUAGGUCCAGAAGAAAAUAGAAGAAAUGAUAGCGUAAAAUAUAAAUACUUUUUUUCUUUUGGGCGUUCCGAGAAAUUACUCGAAAGAGCUCUAUCUUUUGACAGGUGGCUAAAAAUCUGUUGUUUUAACCUGGGCCAGAUUUUUAACUAGUGCCAAUAUACAGGAUGCGGUGGCUUCUCAAAGAAGGUGUUGUAGCACUUUUUUGUGUUCUCAUUUUGACAUCUGUCAAGCUAAAAUAGAAUGUGAUGAAUGGAAAUUCACUAGCAUAUCUACAAUUUUCUUUUUCUUUCUAUAACAUUUCAAACUCCUUCGUUUAUGAUUGUUUUCUGUGAUUAUGUUUGUCUCCCAGUUACUGAUUAAUGUCUCUUUUUAUGUUACAUGGACUGCUGUGAACGGACUCUUUUUGUUUUCUCUUCCUAUUUUGGCUAGAUUGAAAAGUCUUCUACUGUGUUGAUACAGCUGUAGUGUUGCAUGCUCCAAUAUUUUCGGACUUGCUGAACGGUAGUUCUUCAAUUUAUAGCAUCGCCUCACUUCUUGCAUUGUAUCAAAUUAGGUGCUUUGAUGGUGGGUAUCUACUAUUCAUAACUAUCAAUUUAGUAAACAUCAAUUUUGUCGCAAGAAGCGUACUAUGUAUGCUAGUGCUUCAUUCUCUCUUUCUUUGGUUCUUGUAGGUAUUGGUGGCUGCUACUAUUGGUGCCUUUUACUUUGCAUAAACAAAAGGGAUACACGCUUACUUACUUCGAUUAGCUCCCACCUGAAGUAUCCGUCUCCCUCUGCACUCCCACCCUGUUCUUUGCUUAUCUUCCUAUUUUAUCAGUUUCUCAAUUAAGAGUAUUUGAAACUGAGCAAGAAUAGACUUGUGGUCACUCUUGAUGGUGAUAUUUUGUCUAAUCCAUGUCGUACCACAUCAUUAGUACGCUCAGUACUUCGUCAUGAAGCAACCAAAAACAGCAUGUAAAAGGGACAUCCUAAUUAAAGAAGGAACCACAAGGGCACUUCAAGGCUAGUAUCGCUAGUGCCUGCACAGCAAAAGGAAGAGAACUAUAGAGGGUAUAUCUAGGAAAUGUUCCAAUAUUCAAUGAGGUAAACCCAAUAUAGCUAAGAAGUUCACCCAGACUGCAAACCUAGAACAUCUGAAAAGCAAUGAAUGAUAUAUGUAUCCAGCCUCUGUAGUAUGUAGCGUUCAGCAGGAAAGCUAUGUCUAGAAAUGAAAAGCAUGUAGAAAACUACGUUAAUGAACAUGCCUCAGAUGGACAGCAAAGCUGAAUGAUUGCUUAGUUGAGCAGAACAUGCCUAUGUGAUUUAAUAACUUGCACAAUACCAUGUUAGGAGGGUAAAGAACCCAUGCAUGCACAGAAGUUAUAUGCCCUAUACACUUAAAACAUUUAGUGGACUGGUGAACCUCCCCGUUUGUCAUGAUUCUGAUCUUUUUUUUUAAAAAAUAUGAUCUGCGUGUGGAAUGAGCUACGAAACAAUUCUCGUUCAAUUGAUCUUACUGGAGAAUUAUCUGAUACUUCGGUUUGGCAAUGAUCUUGAUGCAAAAUCCUGCUGCAAUAUCAUCACCAUUUAAAAGAAAGGAAAAAUGAUAUAAAUAUAAUGGAUUGAAUCUAGCAUCAAUUGAAAGUCAAUCAACAAAUGUCCAAUUCCACGACCUCAAUUUCACCUCAGAAGCAGCUAAGAAAACUUAUAGGAAGAGGAGGGAGGAGCUGUGCAGUGAAAAGAGGAGGAACAGCUUGCUGUAGGAACUACAGUGGCAUUGCCAUGGUGGUAAUCAAUCCUCAGGUACAUUGGAGGUCGCACUUCCACCUUGUUCUUUGCUUCAUUUUUCUUUCAAUUUAUAUCAGUUUCUCAAGUAAGAGUAUUUGACACUGAGCAAGAACAGACCUGUGAGCAUGAACAAAAUGAUAACCCAUGGGGUGGUCACUCUUGCUGGUGAUAUUUGUAAAAUCCACGUCAUACCUACAUUGUUAGUACACUCAGUACUUCCUCAUGAAGCAGCCAAAAAGCUACAUAUGAAAGAGACUUCCUUAAAAUAUAAAAGAAACCACACGGGAACUUCGAGGCCGGUAUCAUUAUGCCUGCAAAGCAGAAGGAAGAGAAUUAUGGAAGAUACAUCUAGGAAAUGCUGCAAUAUUCAAUGAGGUAAACCCAACGUGGCUAAGAAGCUCACCGAAACUACAAACCUACAAAAUAUGAGAAGCCAUGGAGGAUACAUAACCAAGCCUCCGUAAUAUGUAGCGUUCAAUAGGAAAGCUACGCCUAGAAAUGAGAGAAUUUGCUCUAAGGAUUGGAAGCACAUAGAAAAGUGCUUUUCCAGACGCACCUCAGAUGGACAUCAAGUUGAAUGAUUAGCUUAGUUGAACACCCCUCUGUGAUUAAAUUCCAAUCAAACUGGUCAAAACACAUUAAUAACUUCCACAAUGCAACGUUAGGAGGGUAAGGAACCCAUGCAUGCACAGGAGAUAGAUGUUCAAUGCAUACAUUUAAAACGUUUAGUGGACCAUGUGAACCACCCUAUUUAUCAUGAUUUUGAUCUGACUACAUCAGCAAUCGAACAAACAUUAACAUAUAAGUGAACAAGAUUACAUGAUACAACCUCUUGGUUGAAGUGAUUCAUGCAGAACCAAAACAUACCCUCCAAGUUCUCAGUCUGUUCCUGUUUGUAAUGCCUAGCAUGGCAAUCACAAAAAUGGUGACUACAUUCCCACCAAACACUACGACUGUGGACACCAUUAAGGAGAAGCCAAUCCAAGAAUAGUGAAACUGCCAUACUAUUCCAUUUAAACUAGAAAAGACAAUGUAUCAAAUUUAAAUGAUAUAUAUUACUAAAGCACUCGAAAAAUCUAUUUUCAUCCUACACCUGAAAAGCCACAAACAGAGCUGCUCAAUCAAAAUCCCCUAAAACAACAUAUGCUCCAUUAACUAGUUAACGAACAAAUGAAACUACUUAAACACUAAUCAUCAUAUUACUUACUUCCAUAGAGAAUGGGCCAUAGGGACAAGAGAGAAGUGUGCGGUGAAAGCUUGUUUAAGUGCUGUGAUCAUUAUUUUUCUCUAUAGUUGUAGCGGAACUUAGCACUUGUGGAUAUAUAUUAAAACCAGUCACUGUGAGAGACAGCUCAAUGAUCACCGAGUCGAACUAAAAGGGCUUAACCAAAAAUUUGAAAGGCAAGAGCAUCACAUGAUCUGUUCUAAAUUUAGCAUCAAAAGUCAUUGCAUCCAACACAUAUCUAAAUAUACAAAAAUUACAUAUUGAGAAAAGAUUCAUUGAUGAAAAUAUGUAGAUUGAAGCCCCGAUCAAGAUAAUGACAAAAGAUCAGAAACACCACAAGCGCAAGCCGAAAGUGAUUCGUCAAAAAAGCUAUGGUUUGCAAGUAAAGCGAUUGGAAUGAGCUACGGAACAAUUAUCAUUCAACUGAUCUUGUCGGAAGAGUUUUUCAAUACUCCGAUUUGGCAGUGACCCUAAUGCAGAAACUUGCUGCGAUAUCAUCACCAAUUAAAAGAUGCAAAGGAAAAAAUGAUAUCAAUAUAACGGACUGAAUCUAGCCAUCAUCAAAAUUCAAUCAACAAACGCCAAAUUCCAAGACCUCAAUUUCGCCUUAGAAGCAACUAAACGAAAAAAAAAAAAAAACCUACGGGUUGGGGAAGGGGGAGGAGCCACGUGGUGCUAAGAGGAGGAACGGGCCACCCUAGGGACUACGGUGGCGAUGCCAUGGUGGCUCUCGAUCCUCAAAUACAUCGGAGAUCGGACAUCACAAUGACGGCGACGACUUGGUGUGAGACAGAGCAGAGGAAGAAAUGGAGGAGUUUCCAAGAAGUGCAGCAGAAGGGAUCGGAGAACAUGAAAUUGAAAAGGAAAAAAGUAAUCCUGAUUCAUUUGGGACUUUUUUUUCUUACCCAAUAACAAAUUUCAAACAAAAUUGCUUCAAUUUAAAUCGCUAGAAAAUGUCCAUUGCAAUGAAUAUUGACCAGUUGGCGAGUUUGAAUUCUUAUUUGAUAUUGACGUGAUCAUUCCACACUCUUAUUUACAACAAAAUCCGCUCUAAACUAGUUUUUUUUAGAAAAAAGAUGAUCUCGUUUUAGAUUUUUAUUUGAAAUUUUUCUUAAAUUAUGUAAUGGCUAUUUUAGGGAGAAAUGCUGACUCAUGCGGUCCUCAAACAUGAAAAUGAGAAGGGUGAGGGGGAUUCUGAGGGUGGGCCCCACCAUCAUCAGGAAGCUUGACAAUAUAAAAAUGGAAGAGCUGGACUUCAAAGAUUUGCAUAAAGGCUUGUUCGGUGAUGGUUAUUGAUGUUUCGUUAUUUCAAUUUUUGAUGACUUGGCGUGAGAGGAAGGAGAUGAAGCGAUGGAGGAGUUUCUAAGGAGUGCAACGGAAGGGACUGGGAAGAGGAAACUGGAAAGAAGACUUAAUCCCAGAAUUUUCUUUAAUUUUGUUGUAUUAUAAAUUUCAAACAAAAUUACCUCAUUAAAAUAGUGAGAAUGUCCAUUGCAUUACAAUGAAAAUUUGACCCAUGGACGAACUCGAAUCCAUAUUUAAUAAUUUCUUUUCAUUAAAGGUCUUUGUUUGAUAUUAAUUGGAUCAUUUCAUGUUUUUAUUUAAAAUGAAAUCUAUUUUGCAUUUUUUUUAUAAAUAAAUGACUUGAUUUCAGCUCUCUAUUUGGAAUUUUUCUUAAAUUGUGUAAUCGCUAUUUUUAGCACCGGAAAAUGCUGGCACCGGGGGGGGGGGGUUCCCGAUGGUGGGCCCAUCAUUAUCGUCUAUCCACGUGAGGUGAAACUCUCCGUACAUUUCUUUUUCUUGAUUUUAAACUUCCUUGGAAAAUAGUUUUCCAAAAAAAAAAAAAACUUGGAAAAUAGAGGAGCUAGUUUGACUCUUGGACUUCGACUUGGAAAAGCUUUUGGACUAUUAUCAAAGAAAAAAUUGUUGGAUGAUGAUUAUCGAUCUUUUGUUAUUUCCAUUUGGAAGGGUUUUGAUACUUUAUAAUCUUAUUUAUGUUGAAGUCUUCUUCUUUUCAACUAGAAUUAUCUACAUGAAAUGAUGAUUUUAAAAGAUACACAAUUUUUAAAAGGCAUUUGCUUAUAAAAUUUCUUGCCUUAAAUCAAAAGGAAGGUUAAUGCAAUCCAUUCGUCCCCUCAAGGCUCAAAUCCAACAAGAGGAGGGGGAGGAGCCGUGUGGUGGAAAGGGGAGGAACAGGUUGCUGUUGUGGCUACGGUGGUGUUGCUGCAUGGCUGCCAAUCCUUAGGUACAUCAGAGAUCGGACUUUUCAAUAGUGGCGACACGCUGGUGUCAAGGGCGAUAGCAAUGACUUGGCGCAGAAGGGAGGAGGGGAAGAAAUAGAGGGAUCAGAAAACAUGAAAUUGGGCCACAAGCUUAGACUUUUAUUUGAGGUUAAUUUGGCAACUUUAUAUCCGAACUUAUGAAGCAAAAUCGACACUUUUCUUUUUCUUGCUUUUAAGCUUCCUCUAUAUGAAAAUGGAGGAACGACUUGAACGAUUUGCAGAAAGAUUUCUCGACUUUGACCUAGAAAAACUUGUGGACUAUUAUCACAAGAAAAUUUAUUAGAUGAUGAUUAUUGAUCUUUCGUUAUUUCAAUUUUGAAGAGCAUCGAUGCUUUAGGAUCUUGUUUCUUUUGAGUUCUUCUUUACAACCACAAUUGUUUGCAAAGAGCAUUCAUAUGAUACGCAUGGCAAAACAAUUACCAAUCAAUGUUAUAUUUAUUCAUGAUUAGUCAAUUAAACAAUUUUUACACAAUUUCUAUUAAGGCUUUGUUCAUUUCGCGAAAAAUAUCCCGUUUCUAAAAAGUGUUUUCCAAGAAACCUUUUUUUAGAAAAAUGAUUUUUUUUUUGUAUUUGUUUGAAACUUGAUCAUGAACUAGAAAAUAUUUUCCGUUGUUCGGUUUGGAAAAUUCAAUUUUUUUUUGGUCGAUGGAAAAUUCAAUUUGAUUUCCCUUUGUUCAUUCAUUUUAACAAAUUUUUUAUUUUCUUAAAAAAUCUUUUUUUUUGUUUUUAUUUUUCUUUCUAUUUUUUUUCUUUUUUCUCUUUUCUUUUCCUCCUCCUUUCCUCCUCCUUCUCAAGUCAAUCGCCAUGGCCACGGCAAUGGCCGGUGAGCUCCAGGUCUCGAGCCUUGCCAAAUCAACAAGCGAGAGGCUCACACUCGUCGACUUGGCAAGGCCCAAGCUUGAGGGCUUGGGUCUCACUAAAUCGGCAACCGAGUGAGUUGCUCACCAUAGGCUUGCUCGAUUGGCGAGUGGUGAGCCUAACUCGUUGAUCUGGUGAGGCCUGAGGUCAGCAAACUAGGGACUUGCCUAUGGCUGGUACAAAAGAAACAGAAAAAAAAAAUUAAUUAGAAAAUAAUUAAAAAAAGAAAGAUAGAAAGGAUAACAUGGGUGUGAGAUAAGAGAGAGUGAGUGAGAAAAAUAUUUUCCCAAACUUAAAAGGUAAAAAAUAUUUUCCCUAUUAUAGAAGACCUUUUUUUCAUUGAUAAAAAAUAUUUCCCAGUUUAGUUCAUUUUCUGGAAGUUGUUCUUUACGAAAUAAAUGAAACUUAAAUUCCUCAUUGUUCCAUUGUGGAAAAUGGAUUUCAAGUCACGCCCCUUACCCUCGGCCAUGCUGCCAAAUGAUAUCAUAUCGUAAGAAAGUCCCCCAAUGUGGAAGGAGCAGCUUUACUAUUUCUAUUAUUGUAGAAAUGGGAAGUAGUCUAUGCAGAUCGAGCCAUUCUGAGUUGGUUUUUCAUGGUCUUCUACUUCAAAGACCUCUCAUUACUCCUAAAUUAGCCCACAAAUAAUUUUAUAACUAUCCUUUUUCAAAAUGGUGAUCCCGCAUCUUUUAUGAGUUAUCUGGUAAGAUCUUGAGCUUAAAUCGCCAUUGGUAUACCUAGAGCUCGACUAUGAUUGCUAGCGCUUACAGUACCAUGACCGUUUUAGUAGUUGAUGUCCACUCAUUGGAGAUUUUUUUUCAUCUAUAUUGUGUUUAUAAAUAAUCCAAUAGAAAACUAAGAUGAUACUCAUUAAUAACAUAUAUUAGAAAAUGAUGUUAGCUAUUAAUAUCUUUCAUCCUCGAGCACUUUCAAAUAGAUAAUCCUUGGAUUUCUUUGACUUCAAAUCAUCACCUUCUUGCUCUUUGCCCUCUUAUUUUAUCUUUUGAUUUCUCAUUUCACUUAUAUAAUUUCAUAGCUUGGUUGUUCAAACAUGUAAAUGUGCAGAGUAUUCCUGAUGUAUUCAUUAAGCAACAUAUUCAGGAAAAGCAAAGAGCAACUCUUAGGUUCCGACAUUGAAGUUCAUCAGGAGCUAUAGACUCAUCAGAGGGGCUCUGUCUCUGUCCUUUUGUUCCAGUUGAUGUGCAUUUCAGAGAGAAACUCAUCUGCGUGCAGGCAAUGUCUGCAUGAACGAAUGAACAAAGAUAAUCACCUGAAAGCCUGCAUUACUCGUUACUUGGGUACCUCCACGUAACAAUGUGCUUUUUCUUCUCGACAUUUAUCAAAAAUCCACAAAGACACUUCCUCAUAUCUCUAUGUUUUGUAUUUCCAGAGUCUUUAUGCUAAUUUGCGAUCAUAAGAUACAUGUAUACAAAAACAAAUGCAGCAAUUGGCCUAUCAUCAACAGAGAAGUUGCCUAGCUCACUAAUUUCCUACCCCCCACCCCUUUUUUAGGAUAGAAUGAAACAACACAUAAUAUUGAUACUAAUAACCAUGAAGCAACGCAGACUAAAUUAAUCCAACCCCUAGAAUAGCAGAGCACGUAAUCAACAAAUUGAAUUCAACAAGACUGAAUCAUAGACUAAUUACCCUCAUUAUCAAAUGGAACAACAAUUUAGAGAACAGCAAUUAAGCUAUGCAACAAUAGAUCACCCAUCAAAGUUAUGAGGGCAAAGAGACAUCGAAUAGCAAAAGCAAUUACUACUUCAGAGCAGGACGAGCAUGUCCAGAAUGUGUGAAUGGUUGCUUACCCUUUCGAACAAAAGAAGUAGACAUGAAAAUUUCUGAGGCUAAAACCAAAAAUUACAAGCUGAGUUAAUCAGAGCAAUAAUGAUGGUCCCAUCUUGCGUCAACGAUGUUAUCAUGGGUAUAUGUGCCAUGUAUUAUCUCAUUUUUCUGUGCUUAUGUUGAUCCCGUCAUAAAACUAAUAUCAACUGAAAAGGAGACUUCGAGUAAACACCGAUUGAAUUUGCGACCACGCAUAAUAUUCACGCCUUGACAACAACGCAUUCAAAUAAUGCAACUAAACAGUCUGUGUUAAGAAAUUAGUGACUGCCAAUCUGAAAAAACCAGAGGAUGAGGAAGCACUUUGGUUGGAGGGACAUACCAGAAAUGUUGCACGGAUCAUGAGCAACUCUCAUUUUGCACACCCUGGGCCAUUCUCGCAUCUGAUAGAGUCAGAGAGUGAUGAGCGAUCUAACGAGGUCAGAUCCAGUAAAGCUUCCUCUAGAUGGGAUGGCGACAUCUUCACGAGGCUUGGGAAUGAUGGGCACUGACUCCUGCUGCAGCUCCUCUUGAAACUAUAGGGACUGAUGUAUUGCCAGCCGACAUGUAGUUCAUCUUUUCAGCAGAAUUUAUAACUUGUUCAACUGCCUACAUAGCGAAAUUGAAUGUCAUAAACUCCACAACAGGCCUGAGACCAUAGAAAGCAGCGCCGAAUUCAACUCCAGCAAAACCAGCCUCUGUGAUCAACAACCCUCUCAGGUCCAUACUUCUGCCAAAAAAAAAGAACCUUUAGACACAUCAAAAGACUCUAGGAUCUGCAGACAUUUCCCCAUCAAACGCAGCAUUCAGAGCCUCCCUCACAGUCAUCUCUUUCCCCGCAGUAGCAUUACUACGUAAGGGCAUUUCUGCGGCACAUCAUGCACUCUCGAACUCGAACUUGCUCGCACGCCAGAUAGAGCUCGCUGAUUCUCUCUCUCUCUCUCUCUCUCUCUCUCUCUCUCCUUGGAAACAGAGUCCAGCUUUGUCAUUCCAUCAAACACCUUCCUUGCAAACUCGACAGAUUUUUCUCCGACCAGAUUUCUUUUUCGCAUCUCUCUCUCUCUCUAUACAUAUACAUAUAUCCAUAUAUGUAUAUGUAUAUCAUCCCCACGGUGAACAACACCAUCAGAUUCCAUACUCGAGUCGCGGCCACUCUGAUUCAAGCCGUCGCUUUCCUAUCCGUGUCCAUGUCUGGACCAGAUUUAUCUUUGGCCGGGCCAUCCCGGGCUCACGCCGCCGUCACCACUGAACCAUUAUCAGGGCCGUUUCAUUUCCAAGACGAAUUUCGAUUCACUCCAGAACAUGUGCUGUCAACUCUUGCUUCGUUCUGUUCGCUCCCACUUCAUCGCCGGUUUCCACCGUUUCGCCCGUGCACGCCACGCGCAAAUGGGGAUGCGGGGUGGCGUUCGCUGUUUACAAGAGCCUUUUAUCCGAUUGCCAAGGCUGAGGUUGGAUGGAUCAUCAUCAUCAUCAUCAUCUGGAUACGAUCCGCCGAUUCGAGGGAUGAGAUUCUUUGGGUUUCGCUCUCAGCACCUCCAACGGUCCCGCGUCGCUUCGUCAACCGCAGCAGCCGAGGCCAAUCUGAGUCGUCGUCGUCGUCAUCCGAGACGAUACGCCGAGCUUGAAGAUUGGCGGGGGCGAGCAUGAACAGAAAAGCAAAGGAGAAUUAAAAAAGACGCCGGUGGUUGUUCUUUGGAUGAUUAAGGAAUUGAGUUUGAAAAUAAAAUAAAAUAAAAUAAAAGGGCAAAAAGAAACCCACCGUCCUUUUCGGAAAAGCCGGCAAAAAAUGUCAAAUUAUAUUCAGUUUUCGUCGUGCUGAUUUUUCUUUUUGUUAUGUCAAAAGCUCAAAAUUAUAUCCCUCUAAAUUUUUUUCUUCGUGUCAAAAAUCCUAAAUUUAUAUUAAUAUGACACAUUAAACUUCUAUCAAAAUUUCGUUUGAUAAUUUUCUAUAUUUUUUUUUGGUCGAAGUUGUUCUUAUUCAAUUUUACGUCAAUAUCAUUUACCUUCAAUUUUCUAACAAUACUUAUUGAUAGAGAACAAACGUGUCACAUAAGUAUAAUUUGAAAUCUUUGAUGAUACAAAAAAAAAUGAGAUAUAUGUGUUAAAGUGAGCAUAGUUUUGGAUAUUUGAUGGCUUUUGCCCUUUUUUUCUCAGCUUCAUGAACAAUCAGUCAUAACUCAGAACCAAGAAAACAUUAAUCUCUCUCAUGAAAGCAAGCAUUAACUUGUCGCCUGCCUGGCGAGUUGUUCUUGUCCCUUUUACCGUUAGGAAGGCGUUUUUUCUUUAGAUUUGCUCAUACGAUGAAUUUGCAGCUUAAAAUCUGCUUAUGUAAAUCGCACAAGUCUAUCAACCGCAACUUGUUCUCACUUGAAUAAGCAGUGUUUUAAUGUCACUUGUGAAAAGAAAAUUCCACUUUUAUCUCUCGAACUUCAAUUGAGUAGAAAUAUAUUUAAUGCCGAUAGCUAAUUCGACUUAAGAUUUCUAUUUAAAUUCCUUCUUAUUGAAAAAUUGACCCAAUGUUAUUGCUUGUUAAGGGCGGACAACGACCAAUGGCGUCGGAAAUGAUUGGAUUCCAAGAUUUCAAGAAAUCUUCGACUGGGAAUGGAUCGUCGUUUUAUUACCAUAUAGGGUGGGCUAGAGAAGCCGAUUGGGCUUGAUGGACCUGACGAAAUUUUAUCUCGUGAGAACUAUGUGAAUUGGGCCACGAACCAGAAAAGCCUCCAUUUUGAAACCCCAUUAUAUUCUAAAUGUUUUUUUGGUUUCUAAAUUUGUUUAUUCUUUAUUUGUUUUUUUAUCUAUUCUUUUUUCGCUCUCUUUUGUUGUUUUUGCUAUUUUCUAUUUUUGUACUUUCAUAGGAAUAACUGCUUGAAUUGUUGACAAAAAUUCAGGUGUUAACAACAUGCGUGAUAACACUAAGGUCAGUGCCAUGGAAAGCUCGGUAUUUUCAUAAAUUGAUUGAUUAACAAGUGCCUUUUGCAUUGACUAGCACAUUCCCCAAAAAUAUUUUCUGCAAAACCAAAAAUCUUAAAGAGGGCGGGAAGAAAAAGCUCCUCCCUCCUAAAAAUAAGCCAAAUUUAAGAGUAUAAGAAUCAAAAUUAAAUUCUAUAUCGGCAUUACCAACAAUUUUUAUUAAAUUGUUACUCCCCCAUCUCCUUGCGGACUCAACUCUAGCUCUGAUACACAUGAAGUAAUUUGAAUGUGAUAAUUCUUAUUUUUGGACCCAAGAUCUACCAUUAUUUAAAAUGGAGGAGUAUCAGAGAAAGCUUCUCUUGCUAGUGCAAAAAUGUGAGCAAAAUCAUGAGAUAGGGCUUCGCUUCUGAGCCAAAAGAGGGUCGGCUAGCAAGUCCAAGUUGAAGAUCGGUAGCAUGGAGCUUCUUCCGUCAACAAAGCCCUAAAUCCAAAAUGUUCAAGCACCACACUGUCAAUUUAUGGGGAAAUUUGAAGAGAUAAGGCUUCUUGAAUAUUCUAUCUGCGUUGCUUCAACUGAUUAAGUAUAGAUAGAUUCUCCAAUUUUUCUUCGAACAAAGGAUUUUACCAAUCUUCUCUUUCUGAUGGUAACAACUAGAGGUGUCAAUGAGGUUGGUUUUCAAUGGGCUUGUUGUCAAUGCAUAUUGUAAAUCUUGCUAUGAGAAUGAGUAAUUUGCUUUUGAUGCUUGAUUGUGCAUUGCUUCCCGAAAAGACCUAAUGCAAAGAUACUUAAUGUUUUAUAAGAGAUGAUUGUGGAUUUAUUCGAAUAGAAGGAGAAGGUUUGACUGAUAGAGGCUAGAGAAAAAGUGAGAUCUUGAGAGGAUAACAAAUCUUGAAGAGAAGAUUUGGAAGAACAAAGUUUUUUGAAGAGGAUAUAUCUAGAGGGAAAUCUUGCUUCUUAUCAACAUGAGUCAGGGAUGGAAUGACUACGUGAUUGGAAUUUGGUUUGAGUUGGAGAUGUCAAAGAGAGAAUCAAAGGAGAGGACUCGUGUUGGAAAGAUAGUUUUACUUGUGACGUUUAUACUAACAAUCCUAAGUGUUGAAGUAAAAAUAAAAAGUUGUUUGACAAUCACUAAAUAUUUGGAAUUCCUUUCCAAACAUAGAACUAUGAUCAUAACCAGUAGGCCAUAAUCAUACAAUUGGGAAAUUCUAAUUAUUAUCAAUUGUUUGAAAGGUCUUGUGUUGAUUGCUUACUGGUUAGGUGGUGUUUUACGGCUUUGCUCUAGGAUUGGCAAACGGUUUGGCUCGGCUUGAGCACAACACGGCCCUCAGUAGCCAUUUGGUUGGCUCCGAAUAAUUAAAAAUGGCCCAAAGGGCCAGGCCCUUGGAGCAAAGAAUUUUUUUUUUUAAAUGCUGGCAUGAAAUGAGCACUUUAGUUUAGUCAUUUAGAAGUCUGGACAUGAUUUGAGCAAAAAAGUCAUGAAUACUUAGAAAAAAUGGAAGAGUCUAAUCUAAUGUAAAGGAACUUCUACGCACUCCUUUAUUAUCUUAGCACUAAAUAAUUCAUGAGCAUUUAAAAAAAUGUUUUAUCAUAGAUAUUACUUUAAAUUAUAUUGUAUUGGACAAAUCAUAAUAUUCAGGUAUACACAUAAUUGAGCAGUACAAAUAUAAUGAGUAGGCUAAACUCAUCCAUGAAAUGUAUGCUGACUCAACAUAAAUUUGGAUACAUUGCACUCAUGAAUUAUUGCUAAAAAAAAAAAUUGAUAACAGCAGAUGCACUAAACCACUUGACUUUGUCUGGGAGCACAUGAGAUUUGCCACAUAGUUAGUCAUAUUAAUUACACUAAAUGUUUCAUAAGAUCCAUAUAAUUUCAUAAUUUAAUACUACAUAACUUUAUUAUGUCUUUAGCUCAUUCAAAGAGAAUCAACAAAGUGAAUUAGACUAUGGGCGUGCAUGGAAACGUUUCUAAGAAACGUUUUCGGCACACUUCUGUACGGAAAGUGUGCCCGGGAACAAAAAAGGAACAGAAACGCGUUUGGUUGCGUUUCUGUUUCUUUUUUGUUUUUUUGUUUCUGAAACGAAAUAAGAACAAAAAAAAAAGAAACAAAAAAAAGUUGUUUCUUUUGAAAAGAAACACUUCUUCAACGGAACAAAAGAACAAAAACCAAAGAAGCAAAAGAACAAAAUCGGAACAAAGGCGACGAACUCUUCUCCUUCGUGCGUGCUCGUCGCUCCUCUCGUCGGCUGAAGCUUCAUUCUUCCUUUUCCGGCGUCUCUCCCAUCUCUCCGGCGGCUCCCACUCGGCUGACUCUCCGGCGAUUCCUCACUCCGGCGACUCCAGGUACGUUUCCGGUCAGCGUUGCUCCCCGUUCGGCCCUCCUCCUCCGGUCAGUGUCACUUCCCGUUCGGCCCUCCUCCUCCGGUCAGCGUCGCUCCCCCUUCGGCGCUCCUUCUCCGGUCGGCACUGCUCCCCCUUCGGCGCGGCAAGCCGUCCCUCGAGCGAGCGUUGCUCGCCCAGAUCUGCCGCGCCGAAGGGGAGCAACGCUCACUCGAGCUGCAGCUCGAUCUGCAGCUCGUCGAGCUCGCCCUUCGCUCGCUCGAGCUCCAGCUGGUGCGAGCUCACUCGAGCUCAAGCUCCAGCUGCUGCGAGCUCGAGCUGCAGCUCGAUCUACUGCGAGCUCGCUCGAGCUCGAGCUGCAGCUCGAUCUGCUGCGAGCUCCAGCUGCUGCGAGCUCGCUCAAGCUCGAGCUCCAGCUGGUGCGAGCUCGCUCGAGCUCGAGCUGCAGCUCAAUCUGCUGCGAGCUCGCUCGAGCUUGAGCUGCAGCUCGAUCUGCUGCGAGCUCGAGCUGCUGCGAGCUCGCUCGAGCUCGAGCUGCUGCGAGCUCGCUCGAGCUGGAGCGAGAGCUGCUGCGAGCUGCUCGAGCGAGAGCUGCUGCGAGCUGCUCGAGCGAGCAGCAGCAGCUCGAGCUGCAGCUGCUGCUCCAGCAGCUCCUCCAGCAGCUGCAGCAGCUCCAGCUCCAGCUGCAGCUGCAGCAGCAGCUCGAGCUGCUCGAGCGGCAGCAGCAGCUCGCCUGAGCUGCAGCUGCAGCUGCUGCAGCAGCUCGAGCUGCUCGAGCAGCAGCUGAUGCAGCUGCUCACUCGUGCAGUUGCAGGAGCAGCUCGCUCGAGCUGCUCGUGCAGCUGCAGGAGCAGCUCGUGCAGCUGCAGCAGCAGCUCGCUCGAGCUGCUUGUGCAGCUGCUGCAGCAGCUCGAGCUACUCCAUUCUCAAUCUCAUGUUGAAUGAGUCUAACUGUCGUUCCUCCUGCGUCAUCAUUUUGAUGCUCUCCGAUGCAGUCGCUUUCGCCUGCUCAUUUUCCCGACUCGAGCUUGAGCCCAUCUGAAAAUUCUAACUUUCUCGCCCUGCCGUUUUCAGGGUGCCCUGUCUGAAGCGGGGCGGCAUCAGGUUCACGAUCAACGGCUUCCGAUACUUCAACCUGGUGCUGAUCUCCAACGUGGCGGGCGCAGGGGACAUCGUGAGGGUGAGCGUCAAGGGUUCGCGCACGGGAUGGAUGAGCAUGAGCCGCAACUGGGGCCAGAACUGGCAGUCCAACGCCGUCCUCGUCGGCCAGUUCCUAUCGUUCUGGGUCACCGGCAGAGACCGCCGCACCUCCACCUCCUGGAACAUCGUCCCCGUUGGCUGGCAGUUUGGCCAGACCUUCACCCACAAGAACUUCAGGGUUUGACUCCAGCGUUGACCGGGGCUCAUUUUAUCAAGAUUUUUAUUUAAGGGAGACAACAUUAGGGUCCGAGACUGAUGGUUUUCUGAUUAUUGUAAGGCAAGUGAGGUAUAGAAAUGUAGCUGAAGUGGCCGCACGAACGCAUUGUAGCCCGCAGCUUAUGAUAGUGAUAGAGGGUGUGAUAUAUUUAUACUUUUGAUAUGGGUGUAUAAGUCUCGAUGACCCUAUUAUAAAUUAUAAUCAUAUGAUUUGAGAAAGUUUGUGUUUUCGUGGUCUACGUUUGGUAUUUGGAAUGGUGUUAUCUUGCUUAAGAUUGAAGGUUGGACUAGCUUAAAAAAUGUAUUUUAGUUGACUGAAAAGUGAAUAAUGUCCAUCAUGUGUUUGCAAAGUGCACCGUGUCUAUGCGAGAUAAUUACUAAAAAAAACAAAAUCCUAAAUUCAUAAUGCAUAUGUCAAAGUAAUCCUAAACUUUAUUAAUUUAGUCAAUUUAACUAUAAAUUUUUUUUUAUGAUUUAUCAAUGUAGUCAUUUCAGUUAAUUUUGGUUGAAAAUCAAAGGCGUGGACAAAAUAAAAUUAAUGAGCAUUUUAUAAGAAUGACAAUUCAAUAUCAAUUUUAAAUUUAUUAAAAAAAUAAUAAAUAAAAAAAACAGAAAUUUUUUUGUCGUUACCAAACGUGUUUCUGUUCUUUUUCUAUUCUAGGAACAAAAAUUGACUGCAGUUAUCAAACAUGUUUCUGUUCUUUUUUUAUUCCAAGAACAGUUUUUUUUUACACUUACCAAACGCGUUCUUUUGUUCAGAAAUUGUUCCCCGGAACAGAAACACUUUUUUUUGUUUCUGUUCCCAGGAACAAAAAAGAAACAGAAUUGUUUCCAUGCGCAGCCUAUAUCUCCUGGAUGAAAACUGGCCUUAAGUUCUCUUGGGAAGCAACUUCCACAUGUCGCUUCUUGGUGGCCUGUGUUCCUCGAACCACUAUCAAUCCUUUUUUCGCUUCUUUUUAGGGUUUUACUGUCAAGCAUCUUUGCCUCGAUCACCGCGUAAUCUAUUUGUCCUUUUUUCAGACUAUAAUGUUAUGAAUAUCUUCAUAGGAUUCCCAAUCGAUAAAGCUCUGUCAUUGGAAAAAAACCAUGCGCGUUGCUCGGGUCCACAAGAUGCAAUAAUUUGACUAGUUAUUAGAUAUAUGGGGUGUCCCUACUCCCUCUCGAGUCCACAUUCAUAUAGUUAAGGUUGUGAAUGUACAUAUUAUUGUGUUCUCUCAUUCUAUGUGCUUAUAUUAUGGUCUUUCAUACUUAUAUGUUACUUGUUCAAAUAUGCAUGUGGAUAGACAAUUCUCUUUGUAUUCUUCAAGGGAUAUAUUGAGGGAAAUAAUUGAAUCACAACUUUGAGUCAUUUAGACAUCAUGCACGAUGAGAUUGAGGAUUCAUCCCAUCUUAUCAAAAAGAUGAGGACUAAAUUACAUUUUCAUUUUUCUUUGUUACAUUCAACUGCAAUCACAAGAGUUUGGUAAAGUUGCUUGUAGUUUUAUAAGUCCUUUUUUCCUUCAUAUUGCCAUCUUUUAAUUGUUGUUUAAUUAAAUCACAUCUUUUAUAAAUAGCAAGUACUUGAAAAUAUGAAUUCCUAUCAACAAUAAGCAUUGCAUGGUGAACGAUUUGAUUAUUAAAGUUACUGUUUUCAAGAAGGCAGCGAUGCAUUAUUACCACCGUCCCAUGAUUGUACCAUGCUUGCAAAAGUGAGGUCCAUACGUACUCUUUUGUCUAAUAGAGCUUUGUGGUUGGAAAAUAGCUUUGCUCGUUCCUCGAACCCCUCAUCACUCCUUUUGUCACUUCACUUUAGUGACGCAUGGUCAACCAUCUUUGCCUCUGUCACCGAGCAAUCUGUUUGUCCUUUCUUGGACUUUAAUGAUAUGAAUAUCUUCAAAGGAUUCGCAAUUGAUUGUCCUGAACCAAUCGUAAUGAAGUAUACUAUACAUGAUUCAAGUUUCCACAACAUCCUUUCAACCAUUAUCUACUAUUCUUGAAAGGAAGAGUAGUCGCACGGAUACAAAGAUUUAAACCACAAAAAUUAAUGCAACAAAGUAAUGGGCUCAAAGUUACUUGUAUGAUCUCAGCCAUUGAAUGAAAAAAAAAUUGACAUCGAUUGUUGGAUUUGGCAUGACCAUUUUGUCCUACCAAACCCUGCAGCGCGUAUCUGACGCCAAAAGUAGUAAGCUACGUUAUAUCACCAUUAUGCUAAUUCAAUUUGUGAACCAUAGUUUGGGUUCUCUAGCUUUAACCUUCUGAAAUGAGGCAACUACAACUAAAAUUCAAUGCACAGCACACUGCUUAUGAAAAUUGAUAUUAUCAAGUUGCAGAAUUUAAAACUCCAUAGUUUUCUUCCUCUCUUUUUUCUGCACUUUGGUUUGACUAUGAGUUAUUGUAUAAUAAAGAAUUAAUUGAAAAAAGUUUCUUGAGAAGCUGUGGAAAUGAUCUCUCCAACUCAAUGCUUUUCAAGGCUCUGGUCAGUUCAACCGGGACUGUAAAACUAGAAAAGCAAAACAAUAACAUCUUCUUAUUGUGGAAAGGGUGUCCGGGAUUUACGGAGCAUUACUCCAUUGGUCAUGUUCAUCUCAUAGUUUUCAAAUAUAAAGGGAACUCCUCUUUUCACCUAAUAUUAUUCAACGAGAGUGUGUAGAGAUAUUAUGAUGAUAUACAGCUGCACAAAAACGCAACUAAUUUAAACUAAGCGUGCAAUUCAGUGAUAUUGUGAACAUUCUCAUGGCUACUUAAUACGUGCAUGAGUUCAAUCAAACAUCGGCAUGGCUUUGGCGAUUUAUUAAAUGAGAUUAGCAUAGAUUGACAUGUAGCUCCAAAAUUAUGGCACCCCAUCAUUCAAUUUCACUUCCUACAAGGUCAUAUUAGUAUAUAAAAAAUAGCAAUAUGGACUAGUCACAUAAUGAUAUGAAAAAAAUUAAUUGAAAUAUGAAGAACAAAAAAAUGUCGUAACAAUUAGCCUUGUCCUGGUCACGGAUCAGGCUCUGUCCAGUUGUGACUCAUCUAGUCUAGUGAUGUCCAUGAUAUGAAGGAAGUUCUUAAUCUCUACGCGCAAAAACUAAUCGAUAAAAGAUAAGUCUUCGAUCUCCAAAGGAUGCGAAAACAUGAGUUAGACUUUAAAUUUUAUUAUUGGUCGAAAGCUAGACUUUAAGUUAAUGAUGAUUUGAAAGAUUUAAACAAUAAUUUAUCUAGAACGAGCGACUGAUCUGAAGAUAUCAUCUAGAAUAAGACGCGAAAAGGCUCCAAAUCCUCCUCAGAUCGAUUGUGCGGCUCCCUUUUUCCUCUCGAUGUGUCUUUUCCCCCUUGGCUUUUCUCGGAUUCCCUUUCUAUUUCGGUGUCUGCAUAAGGCCGGUCGCGUCUCCCUAAGUGAAGAGGUUGAUUAGUCUAUUCAUGCUAGGAUCUCUGCCUUCAUUUCCUUGAAAUGGACGAGAGAUCUUUUGAAUCCCUUGCACGCGGAGCUGAAUGGUGCUUCUUACAAUUGCCAAUAAGUACGUUCCGCGUAUAGUAAAUAAUUAAUGGAAAAUCAGGAUAGUCCGCUGAACACAGUUUUUUUUUUUUUUUUUGGUGCUUCGAGAAAACGUGAAGGCUUCAUUCUUUUUUUCUCUUUUUGCCAGAGAUCCCCGGCUCUCCCUUCAAUUUUAGUCAAACCUCUUACUCAUUCUUCCCCUUUGUCAAUUGCAUGAAAGUUACUCCCUUCCUUUGUCAAUUUCAGCAUCCCCACGUCCCACAAAUGCCUUGAUUCAAACUCUGCUUAAGCGAGGAAUCAUGCCCAAGUAUGGUAUGAUUCCUUGCCAAUAUGAUUCCACAUUAAUCCGUACCAUAAUGACUUAAAAUUCUUGCUUGAAAUUUUGAGUUUAUUCUUACAACUAUUGUUGGCAAAAAGAAAAAAAAAAAUGAAAAAUGAAACAACUUCAAAUUUUCCUUAUAAACCAAGUUUUCCUUCUAUUUAAAAGCGUGAUUUGAGGGGUUCUUCGUCAAAUAUGUGAAAAUUGGAGAGACAAUACAUGAAAAGUCAAGAAAGGGUUUAAUUAGUCCAAGUCAAAUAUGUCAAUAGGUAGAACACUAUCAAAAUUCAAUAAAUAUAAAAUAUAUAUAUAUAUAUAUAUAUGCAUAUAACAUGGCCAUUUUAUGUUUUAUUAAGUGUUUUCUUUAUUUUUGAUUUAGAAUUUUAUGUUCUUUUGAAAUAAAAAGUCUAACAACAGAAGUUUCCAAUCGAUUAUAGCAUUAGGAAAAGAAUAUCAAGCAAUGUCUAAUUUAUGACAUGUAGCAGCUCUCUAUAUGGUGGUGGGAUUAUUACCAGAAUAGUAUGGAACCUAUUGCAAUUAUGUGAAUCAAUUCUAAACUUUUUUUUUUUUUGAUAAAUUCAGUCCCAAACUUUUUGAAUUUGUGCCACUUCAAUAUAUCCAAGCAAUUUUAGCCGACCGACACCGACAUGAACUUUCUUAAAUAAUUGUUUAAUAAUUUUUUUUAUAUUUUUAUAUUUUCUUUUCUUAAAAUUUCCCCCCUUUCCCUUAAGGCCAUGACAGCCUUGCUCACCUAGACUGGGUGAGGGUUGGGACGCCCUCGUCCAAUGCUAGUGAGUGCAUCUCGGCCAUCACCUGCUGACCCUUGCUGGCCCUAAGCUAUGUAGCACGGACACUCUCCGGAAAGUUUCGUGUUGUGUCCGACACUCCGACACAUGUCCGACACGCUCCGACACGUGGUCAAUGAGUGUCGAAAAAUCCAACAUGUCGUCAACUCUCUCCAACACACUCUGACAUGCGAGUCCAUAAUUCCGACACUCGAUUCCGACACGCACGGGGUUAAUUUUAAAAAAAUUAAUACUUGAGGGGUCAAAAUAUAAAUAUACACAAAAUAAGUAAUAAAAUUGCUAUAAAUAUACACGCAUGAGGUCAAUUUUUUUUUCAGUUUUUUUUAGAAUUUUUUAUUUUUUUAAAAGUCUUUUACUAUGAAAGAAGUAAUAAAAAAUGCUAUAUGUGAUAAAUAAAUAAAUUUAAAAAUAUCAUUUCAGCAUUUUUCUUUAAACAAUAUUUUUUCCUCUAAGUUUUGUGUAUUAUUGUAACAAAUUAAAAUAAUGAAUGAUAUUAUUUGAUAUUUUUCGUGUAAAUUAAUUCUAGGCUGUUAUUAUUAUUAUUAUUAUUAUUAUUAUUAUUAUUAUUAUUAUUAUUAUUAUUAUUAUUAUUAUUAUUAUUAUUAUUUAUGUAUUUAUAUAUAAAAAUAUAUUUAAUAUAUAAUGUGUUGGCGUGUCGUGUCGUGUCUUGUUAUGUGUCGCAUGUCCAUGUCGGUGCUACAUAGGCCCUAAGUGAAAGGGGAAAAAAUUAAAGAAAAGAAAAAUGAUAAAAGAAAAUUCAAAAUUUAUUAAAAUAUUAUUUAAAAAAGUCUACGUCAGCGCUGUCAAUGCCAUGUCAGCACCAGUUACCAAAAUUGGCUAAAUGGAUUAAACUGGCACAAAUGCAAAAAAAAAUUGGGAUUAAAUUGACUAAAAAAGAAUUUAUGAUUGAAUUGACAUAAUUGCAAGAGGUUUAUAAAUUUUUUUUUUAUAGUUUUCUCUAUAUAAUAUAUAGUAGAAACUAAAGGCAUGUAUGACAAAAUUUUUGGAACAAAAAUCAAUUUUUUGCCAGAAAUUGAUUUCUCAAUUUAUAUUCCCUGGACAAGUUUCUAAGUAGAAAAACACGCUUGAUAAUGAUUCAAAAUUUCUAUUUCUAGAACAUAAAUUCGUUUGAUGACAUAAUAAAAUUUCUAUUUCUAGGGGACGAUGAUAGGCAUUUGGUAGUGGGCAGUUGGUAGCUAGCGUCUGGCCCGGCAACUGGGGAUGGGCGUCUAAUGAUCAACGUUCGGCGUCAAGCAAUCCGGAGUCAAGCAAUCCAACGUUUUGAGGCGGCCGGAUGGUCAGCGACGAGCUUCCUGCACUCCACGGGCGGCGGGUGAAUGUUAAGCAGUAACGAGAGUGAAUGAUGAAAAGAGUUUUCAUUUCUCAUUUUUGUUCUAGAAAUAGAAUAGUUAAAAAAAUUUAGCUUUUGAUUUAUGCUCCAUAUCUAUUUAUGAAAUAAAAAUCAGUUCAAAAAAUCGAAAAAUGAAGUUACAUUAACAAAUGAAUUUCUAUUCUAAAACUAUUUCGAGUAAUAGAAAAACAAAGAAAUAGAGAAAUGGAAAUAUUGUCAUGUAUUUGAUGAUGCUUGUUCCUUAUGUAGGCAAUGGUAUGAUGAUAGCAUUCGAAACUCUUACUCUAUACUUUCGUUUCCUAUGAUAUUCUUUUCUAAAUUAUUAUUUCCAAGAAACUAGCCAUGCAUUAUUAACCGAAUCCCAUGAUUAAACCAUUCAUGCAAAACUGGAGUCCACAUGUAUUCUAUUGUCAGAUGGACUUUGUCAUUGGAAAAAUGCUAUAUGUGUUGCUCAAGUCCAGGAGAUGCAAUAAUUUGUCUAGAUGUUAAGUAAAUGGGGGUGUCCCCAUUCCCUCUCAUAUCCCCAUUUAAUGAAGAUGGUGCUGGAUCUAUUACUACCUCAUUCAUUAGUAAUUUGACUUGAGAUUAUAUUAUGUGCCAAAUGUAUAGCCCAAGAGCACAAAUUUUGAAAGUCUAAGAUAGAUGACUUUCAUAUUAUGCACCCUAUCAUAUAGUUAAGGCUGUGAAUUAUAACUCUUGAAAGUAGCAAAUAUUGUUAAGUGUCGUGAAUAUAUAUAUGUAUGUAUGUAUGUAUGUAUGUAUGUAUGUAUGUAUGUAUUGUUGUGUUCUCUCAUUCUACGUGCUCAUAUUAUGGGCUUUCGUAUUCAUACAUUGCUUGUUCAAAUAUGCAUGCAUACAAUUCUCUUCGCAUUUUUCAAAGGAUAUAUUGAGAAAUAAUCGAAUUGCAACUCUUAGGCAUUUAGGUAAAUCGUGCAAGGUGAAGUCGUAGAUACACUACAUCUUGUAAAAAAAAUGAGGACUAAAUUGCAUUUACAUUGUUCUCUAUUAAGUCCGAACAAUCACAAAAGUUUAGUAGUGUUGCCUAUAGUUUUAUAAGCCAUGCAUUUUAAUUGGUGUUUCAUUAAAUCACAUCUUUUACAAAUGGUAAAAGAUGGUAGCAUUCAGUAUUUUUAGUCUAUACUUUUGUUUUCUAUGACAUCAUUAUUAAAGUUAUUAUUUCCCAUAAGGCAGCCAUUCAUUUGUUACCACAAUCCCAUGAUUGAACCACGCAUGCAAAAGUGGGGUCCAUAAGUACUCUUUUCUCUGAUAGAGCUCUCUUGUUGGAAAAUAGCUAGGCAAGUUGCUCAAGUCCAGAUAAAGUAAUAAUGUAACUAGACAUUAAGGGCGCCAAUAGUAAUCAUUAUAUUCUAGAAAUAAGUUUUUAUUCCAGAAAUAGAUUUUCCUAUUUCUACUCUCCGAAUGAAUUUUAAGCACAAAUAUGCAUUUGAUAACAUGAAAUUUCUAUUUUCAAAAUGAAAAUUCGUUUGAUAUCGAUACAACAUUUUUCCUUCUUAAUUGGCAGUAGCGAAGGACAAACGUCAAACGGCGGACAGCAGCGACAUCCAGUAGAUGUCGAAUGGCGGACGGUCAUCAACAGACGAAGACCAACGACUUGCAGAUGGCAGUGGUGCGACCAACAAUUGGUAGCGGCAAACAAUGACUGGUGGUGGUGGACAACGAGCAGCGAUAGGCAGGCCGCUAUCUAGUAGCAAUGAGGAGCGAUAAGAAUAAUUUUUAUUUUUCAUUUUUAUUCUAGAAUUAAAAAAGUAGAAAAUUUUUAUUUUUCAUUUCUAUUCCAAACUUAUUUCUAGGCUAAAAAUUUGUUUUAGAAAUAGAAAAAAAAAGGAAAUUAUGUUACCAAACGGAUGGUUAUUAUACGCAUCCUAAAUCGUGGUAUGUCCGAUCUCCUCUUGAGUCCAAGAUGCUUUUUGAAAAUGCUAAAUAGACGAAAGUGGAGCAUCAAACACGAGAUUUUGGCUACAAUGUGGAAAUAAAUUAAUAAAUUAAUGAUAAGCCAAGAUGGUUAUAACGAGAUCUUUGGCGGCAAAAUGUGCAGUGAAAUCAUGAAAGUUUGAUUGUUAGGUCCAAGCACGCCUCAUGUAGCAAGCAACCACUCAGACCCUAUCAACUUUUUCCAGUAAAAAGUAGGUAUGUUUUGACGCCGCCCUUCCUUCUUCGUCUCUCUUCGUCCUUGCUCUAUUUCACUCGUUCUUCUUCUCGGCACAACUAUUCUUCCUCCUCCUUCCUUCUUUCUCUUCUGCAUCUGCUCCUCCUUCCUCCUAUUGUCCCAAUGGCACGAUAGACAUAUGACGCGGGCACAUUUCGCACUAGACAAUCUACAGUCCUAUGUAUAUGGUCCACAUCAUCAUCAACUCCAUUUACAUGUUUGACAAAAAGGAUUUGAAAGAAUUAAGUAAAUAUAUAUAAUAUAGGUACGCAAUUGGAAGAAAAAAAAGUUCAAAGACCUACUGAUAAUUUUGGCAAAAAGUUCAAUUACUACUAUGCCUAAAUCCCUUAUUAAGUAUCAAAUACUGCUUCAAAAUUAGUUCGAGCAAUCAUCUAUUUUUUUGAAAAAUGUAAUUAAGACAACUAUUUCUUUUAUAUAAAAUAUGCAUUGCAGCUCACAAGAUAUUACCAUCGUUUGAGGUACACUCGUUUUGGUGAUGAAGUGUCCAGAAUAGCUUUAUUUAACAUGUUGCCUUAUUGAUUCGUGCCCAAUGCGCAGAGUCUGCAAAGUACUACUUUGCGGGCCAAUGCCGACACAUGUCCCUCUAACCUCCGUUGAUGUACCAUCAAGUUCCUAUCAAUCUUCACCAAAGAAGAUGAGUUUGCCCGAGAAUCCUCAAAAGGUGCGCCCAUGAGAGGGCAUUGAGUAUAUUCAAAGGAUCAAUAAUAUGAUUCUAGCGGAUCCAUCGGUAGAGACUUUUGAAGAGUGUGAAAUGGAAUAGCUCGUCAAAAUAUUUAAAAGAGAAAAGGACAAAAGUUUUGACAGCUCGACGGGUACUUCGAGUGAACACCAACACCACAUUGUGUGUACCGUGCAAGGCUUCUUGCACGGUGCCUUAGAAGCCUAUUUUAUUGAGUCCACUAUGCAUUAUUGGCGUGAGAGUUGCUCUCUUUCUCUGAAGAAAAAUCAAAGAAAAUUGGCCAUCGAUGUUGCUGUUCCAGAAUAAUAGGAAAAAUUACAUUAAACUCAUAUCAAUGACUAAUUUUUGAAAUAGCAAUAACAAAGAGACAUUAACAAAAUUCCAACCAUAUCAUCGUAUGGUAAUUUUAUGAUAUUUAUUUCACAUUCUAAUAUGAUAAUUAUGGUUCGCCUAAGAAUUAAAUAACUUCAAUUUGAUUUUGUCAAUUGAGUUUUUUUUUUCAAGUAAAGAGAAGCCUAGAGGGCCUUUCUAUCAACAAAUCUGCGAAAGAUUAUACAUGAAAAGUCAAGAUUUAUUUCCAACUAACGGUUAAUAUUAUUAGACAUAAGGAUCUAAGUUAGCCCAAGUCUAAUGUGUCAAUCACAAGAACAUUAUCAAAACCUGCUAUUCAAUGUAUAAUCUCCACAAUGGCAAAUCAUCGAGAGCAACUCAUCUCUUAAACUCUUAAGGGGACAUCACAUAUCCUCACACAACAAGGGUUAAUUAAAGUGAAGGGAAAGCUUGUUCAUUUGGGCCUCAUCAAGAGAGUUGUAAGUUUUAGCUUGAUAAUUGGUGACUCUUUUGCUUAAUGGAUCAGUGAUUCAUUGCCCUGCGAGGAGAGAAGUGGGAAAGCAAUGUUUCUUGACAGUAAAAGGACAGAGGCCAGACAAGUGAAGGCACCCGAUCAGUUCAUGCAUUUACAAAUACUUAGAUGUUUGUCUGGUAGUUGUGGACGAAAGGACAUGAAGGUAAACAUUGGUGAUGGUGACUGGUCGAGUAAAGGAACAGUAAAAUGCAAAAAUCCAUCGCAGCCUCUACAACUACUCUCUCUGUAUCCCUCUCCCACCACUAACCCUAAUUAAACCAAUCUUUUGUAUAUUUAGACAGUUGUCCAUGAGCAGUGGAAGAAAGGACAUGUAGACUUGGACACUAGUGAUGGUGACUAAUCAGGAAACAGUAAAAUGCAAAAAAAAAAUCGUCCAUUUUUCCAUAUAUAUGCUUUUUAUGAGUCAUCUAUUUCUAUCACUGAAUCUUUUAUCGGUCUAUUAUCUUUCUUGUCUCGAUGAAGUGACUGACAUAUGGUGGCCUUUUUGUAUUUUUAUUUUUGGCCAGUGACGACGUGGGGGUAGUCUGCUCAUCACUCUACUUCCCAAGUGGAAGCUCUGUCCAUACCCUAUCUCCUCUUUCCUCCUUGGGUUUUUGUAAGGUUGAUCGGUUCCUGGUUCAGUCCGGUUCCAAGGUGGAAUUGGGAACCGGACCGGAAGAAUCGGUUCCCAAUUUUGGGAACCGUAGACCGGACCGUUGGUCUUAGGACCGAGAACCGGACCGGACCAUCGGUUCCGGUCCGGUCCAGUCCGGUCCAAAAGAAUUGACACUUUAUUUUUUCACUAAGGAAUGAUCAUUUACUAAAGAAUAAUCAUACUCCGGACCGAUCAAUCAAAUUCGGUUUCCGAGCAAUCUAAUAAAACUACUCACACAUGUUUCCACGUGCAAAAUAUUCAAACUUCACUUGUGUGAAUAUUAAUCAUAGUUUAUGUGUUUCAUGCUUAAUUUUAAGCAUAAAACCCAUAAACAAUCUGAUUAAAGGUUGUGUUUGGUUUAGGUUUUAUAGGCAAUCUCUUUUCUAUAUUUCGAAUGUUUAGUCAAUAUGAGACUUUUUAAGGUUUGAAGUGCCUUGUCGUUUGCAAGUGAAGGGAGCAAGAGAGAGAGAGAGAGUGAGCAUGAGGAGAGUUUUAUCUAUAAAUAAAGAGUAACAACAAGAGUUUUGGUAGUCUCUUGGCCACAUAAGAGGUUGUUACAUAAAUUGCAAUUCCGAUUGCAAUAAGUUUUAUAUAUAAUAUUAAUAUAUUAUAUGUGUUUAUAUAUUAUAUGAAUAUAAAUUAUAUAUAAAAAAAUUUGGUCCGGUCCAGUUGGUCCGGUUCCCACCUUGGAACUAGGAACCAGACCAACCGGCCGCCGGUUCCAAGAUUAGGAACCGGGAACCGGACCACCGACCAUGGGAACCGCCCAAAACCGACCGGUCCGGUCCGGUUCGGUCCAGUUCCGGUUCGGGCGGUUUCCGUUGCACACCCCUAGGUUUUUGAUUCAUUCCCAAAUUUUCAAAUAGCUGGAUAGCUAGUAUUAAAACUCAGCCAUUUAUUAUAAAUUGUCCCAGCAAAAUGUUGCUGUUUUUAGACGCUACCAAUCCUUCAAAAAAAUUAAAAGUGAAAGAAAAAUUAAGUUUAUAAAUUAUGAAAACCCACAUAACUUUACUUGGCAAUAAAUGUAUGUUUUUGAAAGUUUUUAAAACCAAUUUGUGAUUACUGCAAUAUUUAAAAAAUACAUGUUAAAAGUGUAAGACUUGCCACAUAUCCCAAACAUCUAAGAGAAAAGAGGGAAACUCUAAGAAUGAGAGACCACAAAACAAUGUUAGUGAUCACUCGAAUUGUUUCCUAUAUUAAUUGUGUUGUAAAGAGUAGCAUUAUUAAAAAAAAGUAAACUGAUUUAAAUUGUUUAAUCUACUUAUAAAUUUUGAUCUAACAAUUCUAAACGAAGAUGCAAUAAUUUAACUAGACAUAUGAUAACGGUGCCUCCACUCCAUCUCAAGUCCACUUUUACCAAAGAUGUUCUAAAAGAAAAGCCAAAAAGACGAAAGCAUUGAUUUUUCAAUAAUGACUUUGCAUGAGGAGCAUCACACAUGAGAGACUUUGGCUACAAUGUGGAUUUGAUAGUUAUACUUGUUUUUUCUACUUUUGCUAUGAAACCUUUUCAUAAAAAAUGAUUCGGCAUUUAUCUGUUGAUUAGCGACUAUUCCUGCAAAAAAAGUUGCUAUGCGAUUAUUUUUCGACACUAGCUUUCCUUCAUCCACUUCUCUACUGGCUCCAUGAAUUUGUCUUGGAUGCUUCACUGAGAAUUGCUUCAUUAAACUGAAAGCAAAAAUUCACAAGGCUAUAAGAGAUAUAUUCCUCUCGUGAGCCUUCCUUCCCACCAGAACCUUUGAAAAAUAGUGAGGAAAAUCUUCUAAAGUCAACUAUAUAUAUAUAUAUAUAUAUAUAUAUAUAUAUAUAUAUAUAUAUAUAUAUAUAUAUAUAUAUAUAUAUAUAUAUAUAUAUAUAUGGACACACAUUUCUCACCCCAAUUUAGUUUAAAUCACAUCCCUUUACGUAAGCUGGCCAAAAUAUCCUCCACACGCAGGUGUAUCCUCAAGCAUUAACAGAUCCGCCUUAUUUUUUUUCAAAAAAUAAAUUUGCCUUUUUCAUUUUCUCUCAAAUCUAUUGUCUUGUAUCUUUUCUUAUUUACUGUAGAGAUUCUGAUUUAAAUCUUCUCACUUACUCUUCUGAUUUAAGAAUUUUUUUUAUAUAAUAAUUUAUCUAAAAAACAUCUUCUGCCUAUUAAUCACAAAAAAAAUGGCUGAUUUAUUUCAAAGAUUGGAGCAUAAGCAUGUUCCGGAUUAUCAAAUUGCAUUUACGCUUUUGUUGAACUUUUGCUAUAAUUUUUCAUAAACAUCACGACCAAAUCUUCGGUUCUUAGAUUCUUCACAUUUGAAGUUUCAUCAUUUUGUAGAAGAGGUCGCCUCAACUAGUUAACUUUGUGGGAGAUUUGCUUUAUAUGAGUUUAUAGGUUGGUGAAUUUAAGAUAAUUCUCUUCAUUCAAAUGGUUAUGGCCAAUGGUAUUGAGACAUUUAAAAUUUACUUAAUUUUUAUAGCUAAUUGAUUAUUUUACGUUUUAAUGCUAGAAAAUUUGGGAGAUCAUUGGAUGAGUGUUUCAUUUUGAGGAUUUUUUAUUUUAAGUUUGGUUUCUCUGCAUCUCUACGGUUAUUUUAAGAACGAUAGUUGUUGCUAAACAUAAGAAACACGGAAGCUCGUUGUUUCAUUCAACUUGUUGACUAUCUAAAAUACAAUUUCGUGUUGAGUAAAAGAAAUCAACAGUUUAUAAAAUAUGGAUUUUAUAUUGAAAAACUAAUGGCCACCUAGGCUCCACCUAAACUAAUAUUGUGCACUCCUGAUUAGACAGGUUACUUAUAUAACAUAAUAUUCUAUUUACUCCAUAUUACUUUUUUUAAUAACGGGUAUCGAUGCAUUGGGGAUAAAGUGACUAUCAUAAUCAAAUUGCUUUUAGAUUGCGUUUUCUUUUAGAUAAAACAUAUAAAAAAAAGAUAAAAAGAAAAGGAUAAAAAAAUCUCAUUUGUGUCUAUAGUAGGAUUACUUUUAGGGAUUAAUUUGAUGGAUGUUUUCGUCUUUAAUAUGCUAGAGAAUUUUUUAGUAGAUAAUUUUCUUUAGCCGAAAUUAGAUUUUGGCUUUUAUUUUUAGCUCACAAGAUAUUCAUGUCUCGCGGUUUAAUAUCGAUGAAAAUGUUAAUAUUAUAAGAAAGAAUAGAGAUGCCUUCUCAUGUAUUUUCCAAGGUGCCACUUGUGCUUUUCUGCCGUCGUAUGUGGGGCGCAUUAAAAAUUGAGUUAAUGGCAGACCGUGUAAAGUUACAUGUCACGUGUUCAAUUUGUCAAAAGGCAAAAUGUGGUAAAAGUUAGAACUCCGUGUCACGUGGGUGUGGCCAGUCCUCGUCCAUUGAUUUUAUUUAUUCCGAGGGCGAUGGUUUGAGUGGAAUCAUUUGUUUACAACUUCAACAGCUGAUAAUCAUCUCCUUCUUUCUCCAUUCGUUGCUAUUCGACGCGCUCCUUCCUUCAACCUGCUUUCGCGCUCAAUCUCUUCGCCUUGUUUGUCUCUCGCUCCGUUUCGAUCUUUCUUCACCUCGGCUCAACCAUUCCUCAUCCUGCUCCUCCUCUUCUUCUUCUUCAGUAUCUGUUGCUCUUUUUCAUCAUUCUCUCUCUGGCUCUCUAUUUUCUCGCUCUUUCUUUCUCAAAAAAACAAAAAAUCAAAUAAAAAUGUCGGCCGAUUCUGUCGUUUCUAUUGUAUGGGAUGUCUUGAAGAUGGUAGUUGUUCCCAUCAAGCGUCAAUUCGGAUACGUGAUCUCAUCCGAGAACUUCGCUGAGGGUCUUAGGAAGGAAAGCCAGAAUCUGGAGAACAAGGCUGAGAGGCUCCACAAUGCCUCGGAAGUGGCCAGAAACAAUCUCCGGAAUUUCUACAGGGAGUUCACGGAGUGGGAGGCAAGUGCUGAGGAGGCUUUGAAGGAGGCAGGAAUCCUAUUGGACGACUUCGAAAAGGCUACCAAGACCUUGCUACGGGACUCUUCCCGACCCCUAUUGGCGCUAUCAGUUCAGCAGGAAGGCCAAGGGCAAGAUCGAGGUCAUUAAACAACUCACUCAAAAAUGCAGUGAAUUCAAGGAAUCGAACAUCUCCUUCACCGAGCCUGCUCCGGGGAAUUUCACUGCUCUGACAUCUCCUUCAAUGUCGAUUAAUUUUAGGGACGAUGCCAUCUUCGAAUCCAGAGCUCAAAUCAUAAGGGACAUCAAGGAGGCUCUUGCCGAAAAUAGCAAUAGCGUGGUUGGGGUUCAUGGGAUGGGUGGGCUCGGCAAGUCCACCCUUUUAGAGGAAGUCAGAAGGAUAAUAAGCAAAGAGAAGUCGUUUGACUGGGUCGCUAAGGCCGACGUGUCGAAAAAUCCAGACAUCAAGAGGAUUCAAGGAGAGAUUGCGGACGCGUUGGGCCUUACUGACAUAAAGAGUAAAGAGUCCCUUACCGGGCGAGCGGAACUUCUGCACAGUAGGUUAAAAAAGGAGGAGAGGGAGAAAAAGAAGGUGCUCAUAAUACUGGAUAACCUGUGGAAGGAGCUUGACUUGAAAUCAGUCGGCAUUCCUUGCAGACAUGACAACAAAGUCACAGGAUGCAAGUUAUUGUUGACGUCGAGAGAUCAAAAAGUUUUGCAAGACAUGCACAGUGACGAGGACUUUCGCCUUCUGGGACUGUGGGAGAAAGAGGCAAAAAGAUUGUUUGAGGGAAUAGUGGGAGACGAAGUUCAUGAGGACGAGUUCAAACCCUGGGUGGAAGUAGCACUCAACAAAUGUGCAGGUGUGCCUUUCCUAAUUGUCGCAAUGGCAAAACGCCUUAAAAAUGCUGCUUUAUAUGAAUGGAAAGACACUUUGAAAAAUAUCAAGAAGUUUCAAGAUAAAAAAAUCAAUGACUUGAUAGAUCAGAUGUUGCAAUGGAGUUAUGAUCAAUUAAAAGAGGAGGUGAAGUCAUUAUUACGACUUUGUGUUGUUUAUCAUAUCUCCAAGCCUUCUCUUGAAAACUUGGUGAGGUUUUGCGUUGGGUUGAGGUUAUUUAAAGAAAUUGACAGCAUGGAAGAUGCUAGAAAUAGGUUGAGAUCACAUAUCUAUACUCUUCGAGCCUCCUCCCUUUUGUUAGACAGUGAAGAUGUUGAUGGUUUCAAGAUACAUGACUUGGUUUGUGAGUUUGUUACCUCAGUCUCUUCAAGAGAUCACCCUCUUCUCAUGUUGAAAGAUAAAGUCAAGUCAGUAACAGAGUUGUUGAAGGACAAGCCCAAUAAUUAUAGGGCAAUGUGCUUUCCCUUCGUUGACAUGGAGGAGCUUCCCCAGGAGUUAGAUUGCCCUGAAUUGCAGGUUUUUUUGUUGUUCACAAACAAUAAAUCUCUUCAUGUUCCAGAUUCAUUAUUUUACUCUAUGAAGAAAGUCAUGGUCUUAAAUCUUACUGGAAUACGUCUCACUUGCUCCCCUUCACCGUUUCAAUUAUUGAAAAACUUAUACACUUUGUGUCUUGACAAUUGUUCAAUAGAUAAUGUAUCCAUUCUUGGCGAGCUAAAAGGGUUACAAGUUCUUAGCUGUGUGAACUCCAACCUUAAAAAAUUGCCGAAAGAAAUUGGGCAACUGACAGAGCUAAGGUUGUUGGACUUGAACCAUUGUUCACAUCUUCAAAUAAUUGAACCGGGUGUGCUUGAAAGAUUGAUCAAAUUGGAGGACUUGUAUAUGGAGAAUAGCUUUAAACAAUGGAAUGCCAUGGAGCAAACUCAACCAACUAAUGCCAGUUUGAUUGAGUUGAAUUGCAUGAAAAAUCUUUUCACUCUACAUGUCUCCAUUCCCAAUCCGAGUAUGCUCCCAAAUGACCUAGAUGUUGAGAAAUUAGAAAAGCACAAAAUCCAAAUAGGAAAUGCAAGGCGCUGGUGGAAGCACAAAGGAUUGAGGAUUUUGGACCUCAAGUUGGAUCCAAAAAGCAAUGUUCUUCGAAAAGGAUGCAUACAAAGUAUCUUAAGAAAAAUUGACGAUUUGUUUUUGGACAAGUUGAAUGAAAUUGAGCAAAGUAUUUGCGCAUUAUCUCAAGAUGGUUUUCCGAAAUUAAAGCAUCUACUAGUCCAAGAUAGUCCCUCUAUCCUUUACAUCCUCCGAUGGCAUUCCUUUGGUGCUUUUGAGAUGUUGGAGUCUUUACUUCUCAUAAAUCUCAUCAACUUGGAGAAGAUAUGCUAUAGCCAUAUUUCCUCCUCCAAGUCCUUAGGUAAAUUAAAAGUAAUUCAAGUCAAAAGUUGUGACAAGAUGGAAGUUUUAUUUCCUCUUUCGUUACUAAGAGGACUUCCACAACUAGAAGAGAUCAAACUCGUUGAUUGCAAGUUAAUGCGCAGCAUUGUGGAAGUUGAUGAUUGUGGCAAAGUGGAAUUGCAUAAUUUGCAUGUAUUGGAAUUGCAUGGCUUGCCAAAUAUCAAGAAUUUUUUCAUAGCCCGGACAACUCCUUCAAGUAGUACAUUAGACGACCAAGUUGGCACUCAAAUUGCAUUCUUCAAUGGGCAACAGGUAACUUUCUAUCAAAAGAAUAUAAACUGUAUUAUUUUUUCCUACCUUUGCUAAUUAGAUGCAACACAUCUCAUGUUACUUAUUCAUUUUGUUAUUUCCAGUUCAUUUUAAUCCUAAUUACCUUAUCCGUUCAUGCCAUCUCUGCAAUUAGAUAAAUCAAUCUUCUGGUUCUCUCCAUUGUGUAGAAAUCCAACCAAUUGUAUGAAAUCCAUGUAAGCUUAUUUUGUGAUAGGUUUUGAGUUAUUUUCAAUUUAAAUGCUGCAAGUGUAUCUAUAUUAAUAAGGUUUCAUAAAGCAAAACCGAAGGGAAUUUCGGCACUAAAGUAAUUCCAUAAGCAAUUUAAAAUCUUUUGAUAUGGAUUAAUUGAAUUUAUUUAUCCAACUUUGUUAUUAUCCACAAAGUAUAUAAUAUAGGUGACUCUCCUAAAAACCAAUACGAAUAAUGGGAAUGAGGACUGGGUUUUUUAAUAAAAGCAACAUGCUAAUUUGAUUGAUGCAUGUGUUUUGUGUAUUGUGUUUAAAUAAAUGGUUUGUCAUUCCAUAGAACCCAUAAUUAUAAGAGUACAGAGUUUUUUGCAUGUUUAUGCAUGCAUGUUGUAUAUAUACUUUGUACGUACUUUUGGCAUCACAAGCACAAAUCCAUAAUAUGUGUAUAUCUUGUUAAAUUGGUUAUUGAUAGUGAUUUACUAACAUUAAAGAGAAGUUCGCAAACUAAGGAUGAUCGAUUGCCCAACUAAGAAAAGCACAUGGCUACUUUGCACGGGGGAAAAUUUUGCUGCAAGUGGAGCCUUUUUGUUGACUAGAUAAGAUGGCCUUUUGUAGUGGCACAAUUAUCACUGGAGUUGAUCAUGGGCCCAAGACCCAAAAAUAGAUUAGCUCCUGUCAGUAAAGAGUGGAAGUAAUUUAAGUUGAGGGUCCGACACACUAGUGUGGGACUCAUCUUCUUCCCCUUCUUUGAGCUUCCAUGGAGAGAAACCUUUCAAAGAUAAUGGAACGACAUCGGGGAAAUUUUAAAAGAGCCUUUGUGGCUUUGCCUUUUUUUUUUUUUUUUUAAUAUUGUAAUCUUGUAUAUUAGAUCCUUUUGAUAUAACCUUUAUACCAAGUUUUAAGAUGACGACAAAUCAUUCAAGUUCAACAAUGGGAAGCAAUUAAUCAUUAGGGUUUGUUUAGUGGUCACCCUUCCUACAUGGAAAUGGGGAGAUGGGAGGGUCAAAUCCCUACUUUCUUAUUGGAAUUGAGGUGUGGAUGUUUUAAUUUUAUCUGUGGGUUUCAACUUCUACACCCUACAAGGAGGGCAAAAGUUUAAGAGUGAAUGUUAGAGUAGGAAUAUAGUAGUAUCGAUUAAAAAAAAAAGUAGUGCAAUUACAAUGUUGAUAAAUUAGAUUGUCACGACAAAAACUAAUGGCAUUCGAUUGAAAUUGAGGUCGAUUAUUUAUAGUAUAUUAAAUUCUAGACUCGUAGUGGAGGAAACAUAGCUAACGGUUUAAGUAGCUUUAGUAAUAACAUUUAAUAGGAGAUCCUUUUGGUAUAAUCUUUACACCAAGUUUAAAGAAGAUGAAAAAUCAUGCAAGUUCAAAAAGGGGAGCAAUUACAGGCGAAAUUUCCUUUCUUAUUUGUUUUUAUCAAUAAAAAUGACGUUAGGCUGCUGUAGAUAUAUGUUAUGGUCCGAUCUGCACUUCUACGGAUGGUAAUUUACUAAAAUGAAAGAGAAUUAGUAAAUUAAGGAUAAACAAUGGCCCCAAUUAAGGAAAAGCUCGCGGCUAUAUUUUAUAUGGGGGAAAACUACUGAAAGUAGAGGGUUUUGUUUGAUUAGACAAGGUUGCUCUUUUAUAGUGGCGCGGGCCCGUGGCUCAUGCCAUAUGUUAGUUUCCCUGUUGAUAAAGAGCGGUGGAGAUAUAAGUGGUGGGUCCCACAAAUUGUGAUGUUAGAGUGCGACUUUUCUUCAACGCAUGCUUUGAGCUCCCAUAUAGAGAGCUUCCUUUCAAAUAUAAUGGAACUAGAUCAGGAAAUUUUGCAACGAGCCUUUGUGGCUUAGCCCCUUCCUUCUUUUUUUUUUUUUUUUGGGCGGUAGUCUUUGGGGCUUUUAACUUUCUAGGAUUCUAAUUCUUCAUAAAAGAGUUACUCUUGCCUUAGUACUUCUUUUUAUUUUUAUUUUUUUUGCAUAAAACCUAAGUAUGCAAUGCUCCAUGGGUUUAUAAUGAAAUGUUACAUAAAACUUAAUAAAUCUCCUCCGACAUUAUAAAGCAGUAGCAGCCUACAAAAGUAGUAGCCUAAGAUUGGCUUGUCGGGGAUGACAAUAACCUAAUGAACGAAAGACAAAAAAUUUAAACUUGUUUUAUGGGUGGGAGCGAGAGGUGAUGAUGAGAUAGCGCAAGCAACUUUGCAAAUGAAUAAUUUCUUAGAGUUAUAGCAAUGAACUUUUGGGGAAAAAAAGAAGAAGAAAAUAAAGAAAAUAAAGUUUUACAUUGUCAUCAGAUACAAUUGGAUCCCUUCAAGCUCAAAUGUUAUGGUUUCAAACAUGUUCACUGUGGAUUUAGACUCACCUUAAAGAAAUUACGACAACGAGGACUAUCAAUUAAGAUAGGCUACACAUGCACCUGAAUUUAAAGGAACACUAGAGGUAGUUUACAAGGUAUAGGAAAAAAGAAGUCCAAAUAAUCUUAAGUGAUUUACUAAUUUUCGAGGAAAGUUGGGAUCUUAGCUAGUAACUAUGACUAAUGAGUACUUAGUUAUCGCGAUACCACAGCUGCUGACGUUUUCCAACCAAAAAAAAAGACCGCUAACAUGUCCAAUUUCAUGUUAUUUCGGGCAAAGUAGUCCCAUUUUGCCUAAUCAAAUCGGAGAAAUUGAAGACACUUAAGACGAAAAAGACAAAGAAAUGCCCGUUUUGUAGGAUUUUAUCAAGAAGCAGACAAUUUCAGUGUGUGACAAGUCAUCUUGACCUUGCGAACCAAAAAAAAAAAAAAAGAGUCCUCUUGACCUAAAUGGAUGAGGAAUGAUGUCAUGUCCGGCUAUCAACUCCCUACGGUCAUAACUCUUAUUCAUAUACCAUCAUUUGUCUAAGGUUUAAUUUUUGAGUUGUGCCUGUAACAAGAUGAUAUAUAGAUAUAGAAGGCUUGAUCUCGUCGAGAUUAAGGGGACAUGAGCUGUAUAUAUCUCCAUCAAAUUGAUAUAAUUAGAUAGAUAUUUUGUGCAUCAAUUGAUUGUCAUUAGUAACCGAAAUGAGUGCUAAUUCUUGAUGAUUGCAAUUCCUGAUUUUUGCUAGUAAAAUGCGAGCAAAAUUUAAUCGUAACAGCAUCCCUUGUAAUAUCGUAACUAAAAGGUAAAAUUCAUUAGUUGUCUUUUGAGGUCAUAAAUUAGAUUUUGUUUAUGAUGGAUUUCCUUACAUGCAAAAGGUAUCGUACAGGUUGCAUAUUAUCUUGCUUGUAAAUUUCCUUUAGCAAACAUUUAUAAUACCUGCUAUAUCGCGUAAAUUUCCCUAUUGUCCUUUGUAAUUGUAAAUGCUAUUUUUGAUGGAUUUGUCUAUCAGAUCUCAAUCCCAUCCUUGGAGUCAUUGACAAUGAAAGAACUUCCUAAUAUGGAAGAGAUAUGGAGCAAUGAAUCUCCACCGGAGCUGAGCAAUCUCCGAUCUCUCCAAGUGAUGCUAUGCAAAUCUCUCUCGAAGGUUAUCAACUUUGGGUCGCUAGUAAAACUACACAAGUUGCACUAUUUAUGUAUAAGAGAUUGCAAUUCGGUGCAAGAAAUUUUUGAUCUUGACAGACCAAAUGCUAAUGGAGACGUUAAGACUUUGUCUUCGGAGUUAACCACCUUGGAAUUAUAUAACUUGGGGAGCUUGAGGUGCAUAUGGAAUAAGAAUCAUUGCGGAAGAGUGAGUUUCCUUCAUUUAGAGAGGUUGGAGGCGCAUGUUUGUCCCAACCUCAAGUUUAUGUUUUUCCCAUCCAUGGUUAAAUCUCUCGGACAAUUGAGAGAUCUAUCAGUAAAACAUUGCAAUAAGAUGGAGGCAAUCAUUAUGGAGGAGUUGGGAUUGGAAACAUCAAAAACUAUGGUAUUCCCAAUGCUAACAAACUUAAAUUUACAACAUUUGGAAAGUUUGAUGUGCUUCUCUCGUGGAAAGCGUAAGAUUGAUUUUUUUUGUUUUCGUCAUUAAAGAUCUUCUUAUAGAUAGAUUUCAGCCUUGCAAUACAAAUGGUGACAUUCUUUUCAUCCAAUGAAAAACUGAUGACAGGUUCACGAGAAGCUCGAAGUCAAGACCACAUCAAAUCAAGCUCCAAUGCGCUCUUUUGUCAACAGGUACAUGAUUUACGUUAUGUCAAAAUAACAAAUAUAACAAAAGUAUUAAAUAUGCGGGAGAUCAAGCAUAGCCAAAAUAUUUUAAAAGCAAACGAGUAGCAUACAUGCAUUAAGUGUUCAUAGUUGCCAGCAUAUAUGAGUUGCAAUGUCUUAUUUUUAAUUUCUAUGGAAAUAGUUUUCAUAAAGGUUGUUGAGCAUCUCUCAUGUUACAUGCACAAAGAAUGAUGGCCAAUACAACUGCCAAGCAAGAUCUCUCAGAGCUUUUUAAGAUUCAAAAGAAUCUUAGAUCUCUCAUGAGUCUCACAUGUACGGCUUAGCCAUUGCAUACAAGUACAUUGAAAAAACAAUCGAGAGGAAAGUGAGCAGUAAGGUUUGAGAGGUUGGAGACGAAGGGCCUUUGAAACACUCACUUGACUUCAUUUGCACUUACAAGAUCUCUCUCUCUCUUUUAACUGCACCAGCAAAAGGAAUCUGAGCCUUCUCAGUCGCCAAACUAAGCAAGAUCUCUAGGGUCCAAGGCUUUAGAAAUCACAAUUUUAAUUUUUACAUGAACCACAAGACCAUUCUAAUGAAAUUCUUGUUAAAGAAAUAAAAUACACUUUGCAAAUUAUCCAUUUCAGUUGAACCAUCUGACUUGUAGAGUGAAUAUCGGAAGAACGCUUGAGUGGAAAAUGAAAUAGACUAAUUUACGAGGGUUCACUUUGACUAAACUAAAAGCAAUAUAGGCCGUUCACCUAAAAUGAUGUUUUUGCUGCCAAAGAGGCUUUGAAAAUGUGCCCUCCCACAAGAUUAAUACGUCGACUUUCUUAAAUAAUUUUACUUUUCUAUAAUGAGAUAUUCAUGAAAAUCUUUGACUAUUUGAUUCGAGUAUAUGUAAAAUCUGUUGUUGGCAUCUAACUAUUGGAUUUUCACUGAAUUUUAAAAGGAAAAUUCAAUCGAUUAAGUAUAUUGGAUUCUUUGAAGUGGAGAAUGAUGUGAGUAAGAUUUGGUCGUCUAACACAAGCGAUUCCUUUUUCAAUUGCUUUUUCUUAGCCUCACUUUUUAAUUGAUUUAAAGUGAUAUAAUAUUGAUUAGAGCCAUUCUGUAUUAGAUAAAAUCACACCUGCUACUAUAGUGCACCUUUUGAUGGCUGAUUGGUGAGCUUUUUAAUCUCAAUCUCUCUGUCAUUUUCUUUCUAAUUCUAAUAUUCUUCCUCAGGCCAUCCUCAGCUUCAUUUUUCGUUCACUACAUCAAUUUAGUGACUUCUAAGUUCUAAUGUUAAUUACCCUUUUGACGUGGUUCUUGUUUCUUUAAAUAAAUUCUUCCUCAUCUCUAAGAGAUUUAACUAUUGCUACAUAUACUAGCUAAUCCAUUAUUUUAGGGAAGUAACUAAAUUGAAGAGGGAGAGAUUUUAUUUAAAUUCGGGUUCUAUGGGAAACUAUUGUGAUUAUAAUUUUUUUUUUUUAUGAGCAUAUCCAAAUUAAAAUUUUGUCCAUUGUCAAUAGAAUCUGGUCAGAAUAGAAUUCCUACUUUUUUAUUUGUCUCCAAUAAUUCCAAUAGCCUGCUCACCAUAGAGUCAUCGACAAUAGUAUGAAGAUUUUUUUUACUACCUUUUUUUUUUUCCUUUUGUGGAACUUAAGACAUAAUCGACAGUUCCACAAAUUCAUAAUUUACAUCUUGGAAGUUCCUAAUUAACUGAAUUACUAAUUCUGUGAUCGAAUAUCGUAGGUUGUGCUUCCUAGCUUGGAGACAUUAAAUAUCACUGGCUUGGACAACAUUGAGAUGAUAUGGGACAAUCAAGUUGCUGCAAAUUCUUUCCCCAAGCUAAAAUCGCUUUUUGUGGAUAAAUGCAAUAAGGUUGUGACAGUUGUUCCUUCUUCCAUUUUGGGACAGCUCUUGUGCCUAGAAAGUUUAAAGGCAAACACAUGUGGUUCAUUGGAAGUUGUUUUUGAACUUCGGCCACUAAAUUCUAUAGAUGGACCUCAAGUUGCUGUUCCGUUAAAAAAGCUGAUGGUAUCAAGAUUACCAAAGCUAAAGUGUGUAUGGAAAAAAGAACUCACCCAUCAAGUUAACUUCCAAUGCCUACAUUCUAUUAGCGUUUUCGAUUGCAAGAGCCUCACCUCUCUAUUUCCAGCCUCAAUAGCCAAAGAUCUAGUCCAACUUGAGGAGUUAGAGAUCAAUGGAUGUGGCAUUAUGGAACUCAUUGAAAAGGAAGAAGGACUAGUUCCCACGUUUGAUUUCCCAAAGUUAACCUCCCUCAAGCUUAAGCAUCUGACAGAGUUGAAGUGCAUCUACACCGAAACACAUGUUUUACAUUGGCCAACAUUGAAGACCUUGCAAGUCUAUGACUGUAACAAAUUGGAGAUCUUUGCUUUGCAACUUGAGAAUGAGAUGCUACUUCAUAAACAACCCCUCUUGCUGAUAGAAAAGGUAAGACCUGAGAUUAUCUGUGUUUGCUUUGAUGGUGAAUAUUUGAAGUGAUGAUUAGCGUCAACCAAGCAUCUCAUACAAGCAGCUCUUACAUGCGAAGAUGUAAAUUGUACGACUCUCCUUGAAUCCAUAGAAAUAUUACAACAUUGAAACGUCAUAUGUUCUUCAAGUAUUAACUGAAAAUUCUUGUCAAUGUCUAAUGUACCGAAGGAAUACUCGUUGAACCCCUUUCAAAAAAGAUUUAGGCUAAUUUCGAUGGUUCUCUCUCCUAAAUGCCACAAAGAUUGAAAAAACGUGGCAUAUGUCGUGAUAUUAACAUGGUACAAGUGUAUUUGAAUCGUAAGAGAUUAAUGAUAUUAUGCUAAAAAGGGAAAGAUGGGACAUUAUUGUUAACAUUAUUGUUAUUAUUCACAAAAUGUAUAAUAUAGGCAACUCUCUUAAAAACCAACAUGAAGAAUGGAAAGGAGGACCAUGUUUAAAAAAAAAAAAAAUACUAUGCUAAUCUAAUUGACGCAUGCCUUUUGUAUAUCAUCUUUAAACAAGCAAUUAGUCAUUACAUAGACCUCAUAAUUAUAAGAGCACGGAAUUUUGUAAUAUGUUCAUGCGUGCAUGUAGUAUGCAUAGAUAUAUUUGUACGUAUUUUUGGCAACACAAACACAAAUCCACAAUGGCUGCUCGAUAUCUUAUUAAAUUUGUUAUUGAUAGCGAUUUACUAACAUUAAAGAGAAGUUUGUAAGCUAAGGACAAACAAUUGCCUGGAUAAGAAAAACGCACGACUGUUUUGUCCAACGAAAGUUGACGCGGCGGGAGAGUGGGGGGGGGGGGUGGUGGGGGGCGGCGCGGGGGGGAGGGGCGCAAGACUCCCUCAAUAUGUUAAUUUUUCCUCUGGGUCUGGGACAUAUUUGUUAUGAGUCCCACGAAGGUGUGUGUGUGCCUUUGCGUUUUCGCUUUUUCUUAACCGCCUCUUUGGGGCUUUUAAUUUUUGCCAUUGUUCUCAUUGGACACUAGCAAUAGAUAUCAGUUGAACUUUUUUUUGGGCUGAAAUUUGAGGUUGAAAGUGUUGUCAAGUUUGCUUCAUUAUACAGAGAGAGAUAACUAGUGCUCCACUCGCUAAUCCAUUUUUGAAGGAGAAAUUAUUGGUAUGGAAUAAAACUAGCUCAUCAUCAAAUUAAGCUCAGCAUUGCAAGUUUUUUUUAGCUAAGAAAAGACUGAAAAUCAGAAACAACGUUAGUAUGGAGAUUUUUUUUACUCUGUUUUAUUGUUUUAUUCUCUCUUAUUUUUUUCCCUUUUGUGCAACUUAAUAAUUUCUCUCUCCCCUUGGCACUCGUGUAUAUUUACAUCUUGAAAGUUUAUGAUUCAAGAUUUAAUUAAUCACUAAUUUCAUGAGCAAAUUCUAUAGGUUGGCUUUCAGAGACUGGGGACAUUAGAAAUCAGUGGCUUGGAUAAUCUCAAGUUUUUAUUUUUCCCAUCCAUGGUUAAAUCUCUUGCACAACUGAAAAAGCUGACCAUAUCAAAUUGUGAGAAGAUGGAGGCAAUCUUUAUGGAGGAAGAAGGGUUGGGAAUGAAAACAUCAGAAUUUUUGGCAUUCCAGAUGUUAAUCAUUUUACACUUAGAACAAUUGAACAGUUUGACUAAACUAAAAGCAAUAUAGGCCUUUUACCUAAAUCGUUGUUUAUGCACCCAAAGAGGCUGUGGAAACGGGCCCUCCCACAAAAUAAAUACAUCGACUUUCUUAAAUAAUUUUAAUUCCUAUAAUGGGAUAUUCGGGAAAACCUUCGAUUAUUUGACUUGGGUAUAAGUAUGAUCUAUCCUUGAUAUCUAACUAUUGGAUCCUCCAGCAUGGAUAAAAAAAUCAUUGAAUUUUAAAAGGAAAAUUCAAUCGAUUAAGUAUAUUUAGUUCUUUCAAGUGGGGAAUGAAGUAAGUGAGAUUUGUUCGUUUGGCCCAUUCAAUUCCUUUUUUAAUGGCUUUCUCUUAGCCUCACUCUUUAAUUGCUUUAGAGUGAUAUAAUAUUGAUUUGAGGCAUUUGGUAUCGGAAAAAAUUACACGCCUUAAUGUAUUGCACCUUUUGAUGGAUGAUUGGUUGGCUUUUUAAUCUCAAUCUCUCCAUCAUUUUAUUUCUAAUUGCUAAUAUUCUUCCUCGAGCGAUCCACUGCAAUUUUCUUUUACUACAUCAAUUCCCUAACUUCUAACGUUGAUCACCCUUUUGACAUGGUUUUUGUUUCUUUAACUCAAUUCUUCCUUGUCUGUAAGUGAUUUAAAGUACGAUCCAAUAUUAUUUGUUUUGCUUUGAUGGUGAAUAUUUAAAGUGAUGGUUAAACCAAGCAUCUCAUACAAGAUGCUUGUACAAGCGAAGAUAUAAACUGUACACCUCUCCUUGAAUCCAUAGACAUAUUGCAACAUUGAAACAUCAUAUGUUCUUUGAGUAUUGAUUGAACAUUCUUGUCAAUGUUUGAUGUGACAAAUGCAUACUCAUUGAUCCCCUUAAAAAAGAGGCUAAUUCCAAUCAUUUAGCUCUCUUUUAAGUACCACAAAGAUUAAAAAAACACGUGGUAUGUGGUGUGAUCUUACCAUGGCACAAGUGUGUUGUCUAAUUUGAACCCUAUAAAAAGUGUUGAUCUUAUGCUAACAAAGAAAAGAUGGACAUUAUUGUUGACAUUAACGAUUGAAAUUAGUGCAAUUGUGACUAUAAUUGAUGCAGGAGUUAUUUUCACAAGGCAUAUAUCUUUAGAAAUGUGAAUUUAAGGAGUUAAUCAAGUUCAAAUAUGGAUACAAGUCAAAUAUAAAAUAUCAGCGAUAAUGUUUGUUUCAUGAGGGCACAUUUCUUUCCAUUGAAUCACGAGACUCGACAUUUUAAAAUGCAAUUAUUGUGCUCGAUAUGCAGGAUUCAAGAUAUAUUCAACAUCUGCAAACUCUAGAUGUGUCACAUUGUGAUGGGUUAUUAAAUAUGUUCACACCGAUAAUUGCUGAAAAUUUGGUGGCACUUACAAAAUUGAGGAUAAGUAAUUGUAGAAUAUUGACAGAAGUCAUUAAUGAUGAGAAAGGUGGGGAUGUCCGUGUGGUGGCUUUCAAUCAAUUGAAGUAUAUGGAGCUUGAUGGGUUGAUAGGGUUGAGAAGUUUCAGUUCGGGUGGAUACACUUUGAUGUUCCCGCUCUUGGAAGAUAUCAUUGUGACUAGAUGUCCCAACAUGAAGUUUUUCUCUUAAGGACCGAUGGAGGCAUCAAAGUUAAAGAGAGUUCAAGUAUCAAAGGAAGUGUGGUUUUGGGCAAGAAACCUCAACAUCACCAUCCAGAAUAUGUUUGAAGAAAUGGUACGCACUAGUUACCAAAUUCCAUGUAUUUUGAUGGUUUUGAUCACUAGAUGAAUAAUAGCUUUUUGCUAGCUAGAAGUUUAUGCUUAACGAUGCAUUUUUUUCAUAGGGCACGUUUGCUGGAGUAGAGAAAAUGUUGCUAUCUGAGUUCCCUGGGUUGAUUGGAAAAUGGCACAACGAACUUAAUCCCAUCAAGUCGUAUUGGCAACUAAAAUCAGUGGUGGUAGAUAAAUGUCCAUUUAUUAACGCUGUUCCAUCCAGAUUAAUGCUUGUCUUAGACAAUUUGAGCUAUUUGCAAGUGCGUGAUUGUGAGUUGCUUGAAGAAAUAUUUGAUUUGGAAGGGCUGGAGGUUGUGGAAAGCACUCGAGUACUGCCUCAGCUACGGGAAUUGAACUUGGUCAAUCUACCAAAAUUAAGGCGACUGUGGAACAAAGAUCUUCAAGAAUCGCUAUGCUUCAAUUCUCUAAAAAGUCUCAUCCUUUAUAAUUGCAGCAACUUGGGACAUGCUUUAUCUCCAUCAAUGGCUCAAUGCCUUGCCAAUCUUGAAGUAAUGGAAAUAAAGGAGUGUGGUCAAAUGGAAGGAGUGAUCGUAGAGGAAGAAGCAAAGGGAAGCGCAAUGAAGAAGAUUACAUUCCCAAAGCUCCAGUGGAUGAUGAUGGAAUACUUGCCCAAUUUGACUUGUUUCCUCUUGGGAAAAAAUCAUAUACUGGAAUGCCCCAAAUUACAAAAGAUGAUAAUUGCCCAUUGCCCCAAGAUGGAAAGUUUGAUUAGGCAAUCUCAGAUGGAGGAUGACCACAGCACCCCUUCAUUUUUCACUUCCCAGGUCAGUCUUUCAAAUAAAUGCGUCUUUGGUGUUUCAUUGGGACUUGUUCUCGUAGUAUUGGACAAUGCACGAUAUGAUGCAAAUUUUGUGCUUGUGCCAAUUUAUAUACAUAAUCUUCUAAUAUUUAAGAUGAAGAUUAAAAAUAUUCUAAUCCUCAAUAAAUAUUACUAUUAUAUGUACAUCUCCAUAUCCUAUUAGAAGUGUUAAGUUGGUGUAAGUUUAUGAAAUCAUAUCAUAUGCAGUACUUUAGAAUUAAUCAGCGAGGUUCCUAAAAAAGUUAUCACAAUAACCAUAUAAAAACAUUUGCUUUUUGCAAUUUCAAUUAUAAAGAACUAAAACAGAAAACAUAGAAUGGCAUCUAAAAAUGGCAUAAAAAAUAUUAAGUAUCGCCCCUUCAUAUUUAUUUGCGUGGAAGCAAACUAUUGUCAUUCUAUUAAACAUGAAGAAAAGGGAAAAGUAAAACUUCAUAAUUGUAAAAGCCAAUUUCACAAAUUGUUUAACUAUUACAGCUCAUUAUACCAUAAUUAGUGGAGCCAACUUUUGUAUUUCUUAAUAAUCAUCUAUGCUUGAGCAAGGUCUUGAUAAUAAAAAAAAAAAUAAAAAUAAAAAAGGUCAAUAUGCAUGAAGUGGUUUGCCUUCCUUGUUCGUAAAUCAUAUUUGAAUAGCUAUACUCCAACAACCUAUCAAAUUAUGCACCUGUAUUAUACAAUAAAUUUUAACUUUGGUUUAUCAUAUUGAGUGAUAAUUAGUGUGAUAUUAUGCACAAUCUAUAUUUAGUAGGAGAAAAUGCAGAUUACUUUUUCCGGAAAAAGAAAUGGCUUAAAAAAGGAAAAAAUAAAAGAGAAAAAAGGACAUCUGGAUAAAUAGUAGCAAUUCCAAGGGCGGUUGCUGACAUUGCAAGUCUUAUUUCAUAACUAGAUGACAAUAUUUAGUCAAUGUCCUAGUUAAAAUGAAAAUAUUAUAAAUCAGAAUAAAUUAUCCGACCAACAACACCACCCAAGGGAAAAUAUUAGGGGCAUUAAAUACACUGCAUAGGAUUCGUAUUGAAUCAUCCGCAGACUGACACGUGGCAACGCCGGACCCACUUGUCAGUUGAGCGAUUAAAAUUUUUGCUCCCCCUUUCUCUUCAAUAACAGCCCAUCAUAGGGGAAGCUCUGCUCUCCGCAACAACUUGGGCGAAAUGAGGUUCUACCGGGAAACCAUGGAUUUUUUAGUUUUCGCCAUUGGUUACUGGUCUGCUCUCCUCCUCCUGGUAUGGCUCUGCUCCCUCUCUCUUUCCUCCGCGAAGGUGCAUCUCUAUGCGUGAACCACACCACAGCCUUGGCCUCCAUUAGUUGCUGUGCGCUCACUGGACAGAGGAAAAAAAAAAACCAGAAAAAGGAAAAAAUUAGACAAAGUCUAUUUGGUGUUUUAGACUUCUCCCCCCUUAAGAAUUGUUCUGUCUCAGCCAUUUCGGUUCACCUUGAUCCUCUUUUUCGCAACAAGGAAAAAAAAAGUGAACCAAAUCUUAGAGUCAAGUAACAGUAACUCUUCUUUCUUCCCCUCGCUCCCCUUCCUCUACUUUCUUUUUUUGGGAAGAUUAAUUGGGUGGUCCGUCCAAUGGUUGAAUCGGAAGCUUCGGAAUCGCUUCUCUAAAGCUCGCCUCCUCUCUGCGCGCGUGCAUGCGUGGGUUCCGAGCGAUUACGCGAACCGAAGCUUGUUGGUUAUGGUGGUGGAUCGAGGUGGAUCUCCGAUGCGGAAGCGAUUGCGGCGUCAAUUUUGUCGGGGCGUUGAUUCCCGGCAAAGAAAAAUUAAAAAAAAUCUUCUCUUCAGCCCUCUCUUCCUCCUCCUUCGUCCACAGCUGUCCGACCUUCGCUCCUCCUCCGCCGUCGCCAACGGCGGAGUCACCAGCACCUUGAUUAGGCUGACCCUUGCUGUGUCCAAGCCGAGCAUGGCCGUCUUCCUCUGUUUUGUCCGCCUCAUCGUUCUAUAGAUCUCGAAAUCUGGCCGUCCAUAGCGACGGAGUUGCAGAUCUGGAAAUCAACCACCGUCGCUUGUAGCCAUGGACGAGCCGCUGUCGCUGUAGCCAUGGUUGCAGAUCUGGAAGUCCCGUCGCGAGUAACGACGGCUUAUGGACUGCCAUUGUCCCCUCCGUCGACGCCCACGGUCGGCUCGUGGUCGGCCCCGUCCAUGGCCGAGCCACCCCUCCAUCGUCACAACUGCUCGUGGUCGUUGCCCGUUCUGAUCUGGACUGGAGUCGUGCCUCCAGAUCUGGUUUCAUCCAUGGACGCAAGCCUAGCUCGUCCAUGGCUCGCGAGGAGGCUCCCCCACAAAUCUGGCGACCACUGCUUGUCCAUGGCCAUGAGCCUUGACGGCGAGUUUGAGAUCUCGACGGCUAUGGACUGCGAGAUCAAACAGCGAAAGAAAAAAUAGAGAAACAGAUGUCAGGGAAGAAUGGCCAUGGAUGAGAGGGCCGGAGCUUGAACGCGGCCAUGGACGAGCGGCGUCAUGAACGGGCAGACCACAAAGACGACGGAGAGGGUUGGAUGCCAAGCAAUGGUCGCCUUGGACGCGGCGCCGGGAACUCCGCCGGUGGCGACGGCAGAGGGAGGCGGGAAGGUUGGGCUUAAUGUGGAUGGAGAUGGAGAUGGAGAAGGAAAGUGAGGUGGAUUGAGAUUUUUAAUGUUUAGUCAAUGUCCUGGCUACAUAAAAAAUUAAAAAUAAUAGGAAUUGAUCAUCCAGUCAACACUUUCAUUCCGUCUCAUGAAGUUCUUCUCCUCAUGUGAAGACUAAACGCAAUAAAUGACAACCUCCUCCGGCACUUCUCUUUUUUGGGUCGAAUCCUCAGGCACUUGAAAAUGCGCGAUGUCGACCCAAAUUUGAUUGUUUUGACCUUUUUUUUUUUAUUACAGAUUCCAUGCAAGUUUUGUUUUGUUUUUUUUUUCCCUGAUGGAGGAAUUUUUUUUAUUCUCAUAAUUCUGCGCAAUUCUUUCAAUUGUUUUAUGUGAGUAGAAUGUUUAAUUAUAACAAGUAUCUACACAUUUGUUUACUUUUUAAUUGUAAGAAUUAUCACUAAUUAUUUAUUUAUACUGUCAUUUGCAUGUAUAAGUUAUAUAAUACCCAGCCCCGCAUUCUAAGAAUAUUUCAAAAAGUCAUUAUAACACUCAAUCAACAAUACUAAUAAAUUUGGGAAAGUAUGAAAAUAGUCAUCUAAUCUUUUGGUAGUGAUAAGUUGUAAUAGCGCUAAUUUCAUUUUUAUAUCAAAUAUGAGCUGUCAUAUACUAAUUGAUAGAUUUAAGGAAGUGUGGAAAGUCAAUUCUUUUUUUUUUGGUGACAGAUCGUAAUUGCAUUAAUUAUAUUGUAACCAAAUGAAAAAUAUCAAUACUUACUUUUCAAUGAAUAAUUCAUUGGAGGUCAUGAUGUAGUAAAAAAAAAAUCUUGAUUUUCUCCAUACAAACAAAAUACGAUCAGCGGAUGCACACCCACUUUUUGCCAAGGGGUGGAUCACUCGGUACACUGCAAGAUUCUAUUUUAUUUUUCCACCUUAAAUUUUAAUAAAUAUUAUUUCAAGGAUGUUAUUAAUGGUCCAAUGUAAAACUAGUAAAUUGACCCAACUUGUUUUUGCUGAGAUCAUAACAUUAUGUUAUUUAUUCAAGUCGUUAUGUUACCCAUGCCUAUUAAGAAAUUAUUUUCUUUCAAUACAAAAAAUUUCCAUGCAUAAAAAAGAAAAAGGUUGUGAACAAUUGAAGUUACUAUAAUUUUUUUUUUUAUAUCCGGUUUGCCAUAUAAAUUUCAUGACUCUUCUCUGCAGUGAAUUUUAUUAAUUUGAGGAUUCAUAAGUACUGUUCGCAAUUUAGUAUGAAUAAUUAGCAGUGCUCAUGGUAAAUAAAGGAAAUAAUGUUGAGCCAAGCAUUAGUUUCAUCCAUUCCUUAUUCAAUACAUACACUACUUAAGUUCUUCACACCCACUAUUCAUAUCCUUAGUUGACUAGCUCAUCAACACCAUGCCCUUGCUUUUUCUCUAAUUGUUAUGCAUGUUCACCUUGAAGCAAACAAAUCUAAAACAUAACCGAUCUUUGCCGACUAACAUAACGGAAAUUUUCAGCUUGUAUCACUGAAUCUAAAUGUUGCUCUUUUCAAUAGUUCUAUCGGACUGCCUAGCAAGCUCCCUAAACUUUUUGCCAAUCUUCGUGCUUAUUCAUUACAAAAAUACAACUUGUCAUGCCUCCAUGGAACCAACAUUGUUUUGCGGGAUUCAUAUUCUGUUCUUCUUCGUCUUUGUCCUCAUUUAAUUGCAUAGAGAAACAAUUGAGUGAGCUAUCAUUGAUGUUUAGUCAACGGCUCCAUUCAUGCAUUAGCAUAAAUAGGAGGGCUCUCAUUUCUCUCUCUUUCAAUUUUGCAUUGUAGGUUUUCUUAUGCUUUAGAUGCUCUUGCAUCCAACUGGAAAAUAGCGUCUCUCUCUCUGUGAUUGUGACAUAAGAGCUACUAUAAAAAAAAAAAUGAGGACUUAGGAGGAGGGGGAUUAGGAUGAAGUUGAAAGGUACAGAACCAGUCUUAGCAACCAUUUGAAUGAACCCAAGUUCCAUGUCCAUAAGGCCUAUCAACCUAAUUCCCAGACUUUUAAGUUAUCGCUAUGAUUUGCCGAGUAAUUAAGAAAAGUCAACAUUGUCUGGUCACUCCAAAAUCUUAUAAAUGCAUUUAUAAUUUCAUGUUUGUUGCAAUGCAUUAUCUCUAGCCUUAGUCUUCAAUCAACUUGUAUAAAGGCAUCAAUCAACCCCUCUCUAUUUAUGUCACUAAUGAGAUCUUGACUUCUCAUGAUUUGUGAGAAUGAGGGAAGUCUGGAAAUUUCUUCUUUAAGGUCAUAACUCAAUGCAAUCACAUUCAUUGUGUCAUUUUUUUUCUCAAUAUGGCAGGUACAAUUUCCUCAACUUAUACGGAUGGAUCUUUCCCACAUGGGCAAUUUAAGCAAAAUAUGGACUGACGGUCCUCUAGAAACUCUGACUUUUGAUUGCUUACGGGAAGUGAAGGUUCUUAAUUGUAAGAGCCUUGCAAAUUUGUUUCCAUAUUGGGUGGCUACAAGUUUAACCCAACUUGGAAAACUUCAAGUGGAGUCUUGUGAGAUUGAGGAAAUAGUCGCUAGUGGGGAUGACACUCCAUGCUCCAAUACUACUCAAGAUCUUUUCCCAGAACUAACCUCUCUGGUGUUACAUGACAUGCCACGACUCAAGAGCUUUUGUCCUAACUUGCCUUUGAAUUUGCCAUUAUUGAAGCAAUUACGAGUGACUCAUUGUGAAAAACUAAGCAUGUUAUCCUUUGUGGCAUCCAUGAACAGAUGGGUUCAAAGAGAUGAUCAACAAGACCUUUCAGAUCAAGAAGCACACUCUUCAUUUGAGAGGGUAUGAUUAUAGUUGCUCUCCCUUAGUUUCCACUUUGUUCUUUAAAGCAGUCACUAAUAUCAUAUCCAUUGCAUAUCAUGUCGCGUUAUGAUGUUAUAGAAAACAUGAUCUCCCCUACCUAUUAGUUUGUCGACAACAUUAAGAUAUUUCUAAUAUCUUACGUACACUUCCAUUUGUGGACAUGCAUAAGAUAUUCCAUUACCGAGAGUUACAAAAAAAAAUUAUAGUAUUCUAUUGAUAACAGAAUAUAUUCCUAAUCUAACCUAAUGGUGCUCUUGGGCGACAUCAAUAAGGAUUUGCCAAGAGGUCCUCUCCAUUAUUGACACGUGUUGCACACUUGAACUUUUCUUCUCUAUUUCAUUUUCUACAAACUCUAAAAAAAUCAAUUCAAACAAUUUUUUUUAUAACAAAAAUAACAUUAGUACCUUAGUGCACUAUUUUCUACUGUAUUUUUUAAUACACUAGUCGUCGUGUUAUCCUGUUAUAAUACUAUAGAAAACUAGAAUCCCUUUCCUAUAAGUUUGCAGACAACAUAAGAUAUUUCUUAUAUCUUAAGCAUACUUCUGAAUUUAUGGACCCCAUAUGUUUUAGUGACAUCUUGAGUGCAUCCCGUUACAUAAGAUUCCAAAGAAGAUAAAUUUUUGUCAACAAGAUAAGAUAUUCCUUACAAAAGAUGAAUUUAGUGAGUGCAGGGAUCUUGAAUUUAGAUUCACUCUAUCCACUUGACCAGACCAACCUCUACAUGAGACUUUUAAAAGCUUGAGUCUUGAACACAAGGUUCUUGAGAUAUAAUGAACUUUAAGAAGAGGACCACCUUCCAUGCGAAUCAUCUUAAUAGGUUUACCUUUUACAGCACGUGAUUUAUUAUCGAAACUUUGUUGAAUUUACUUCUCUUGUUGUAUUGGCAAUUCGACAGGACUUUCCCAACUUGGAGAGACUUUUAUUAGUCAAUAACAAUAUUCAAAUGAUACAAGAUGGAAAUUUUUCGGAUGACAUGUUUAGCAAGCUAAAAGCACUAACACUAGCAUACUUUCAUGAUAAAAAGGCUGCCUUUCCUUCCAUAUUCCUCCUAGAGAGAUUUCAGAAUUUACAAAGCCUUGAAGUCUUCUGUAGCUCAUUUGAAGAUUUAUUCUCGAACGAAGGGCUUGUUGAAGAAAGAAAACAUCCGGUGCUUGAAAAUUUAAGAGAACUUAAGUUGAACAAGCUACACAACUUAAAGUGUGUGUGGAGAGAAGACUCUUUAGUGUCGAAAAUUCUUCAGAGCAUCGAAACAUUUGAGGUUUGGGAUUGUCCCUGUUUGACAACAAUAUUUCCAACCGAGACAUCCUUCCAGAAUCUAACAGAUUUAGUGGUGAAGAAUUCCUCUGGAUUGGUACAUCUAGUAACGACUUCAGCAGUCACAAAUUUGGUACAUCUCACUUAUAUGACUAUAAUAGGAUGUGAAAGAAUGAAAGAAGUAGUGGCCGACGAUGGAAACAGAGAAGAAAAAGUGAUUUCUUUUGAAAAGCUAAUAUGGUUGACACUUGAACAUCUGCUAAACUUAGAAUGCUUCUCUUCUAUCCCAAGUUGCAUCUUUAGGUUCCCAUCCUUAUGGAAUAUUAAAGUGGAAGAGUGUCCAAAAAUGAAGACCUUUUCUAAGGGUAUACUAAACACACCAGAACUAGAACAUGCGUCAUUGUUCAGAUACAAGUGGGAAGGGAAUUGGGAGAAGGGUGAUGAUCUCAAUACAACCAUACAGAAGUUAGCAGCAUAAAUCAAUGCACAUAGAAUUGGAAAAUUCAAUUGAUGUCAUUCUCUCAUCCAUUUUUUUUUUCUUUAGUCUUUCGGCAGCGCCGCAACUUUUUAAAAUUUUUCUUUUUGUGACUUUUCUAUUAUUGAUUUCGUCAAAUCAACAUGACCGUCAACCCUAUCGAUGGAUCUCGGCUCAUCCUUAACUGAACAGAAGGAAGCAAAGCGGGUCUCUCCUUCUCCUUCUCCUUCUUGACGCCAAAGGCUCUUUCUCCAUCUUUCUUCUUCUUCUUCCUCCUCUGUGGAGCGAAAUUGGGGGAAGCCUCUGCUGCCUUCACAAAGGACGGAGCAAAAAUGAAGCAUCAGGAAUUGCCAGGACUGCCAGAAGCGAAGCUGCAAUUAGCCGAGCGGAGCCAAGUAGAUUCAACCAGACGCUGUCGUUGUCGCCGUCGUCACCGCCGGAGGUGGCACAACCGAGUGUGGACAGUUAGUCGUCCACUCACUUCAUCAAAGAAGAAGAAGAUCACACUCUCUCUCCGCAUCUGUAUCCGACAAAUCGUAAGUUCAUGUUUCUUCCGAUUUUGGUGUCUUAUUGCGCGUGAAUUAGGGCUCUAUUCUUCAAAUUCAUUCCACAUUCGAGUCUAAAAACAGGAGUUACUCAAACAAGCAAUAUAUUGCCCUUAAAUCUACAUCUUCUGUACUUCCCUCCCGAGCAUUGGCGAGAUUUCUGCGUGUUUGAGCUCUCAUAGAUGGAGAUGAUAUAUUGUGUUCAAGGUCUCAUGUUGAAAUUUCUUUAGGUAGAGAUAUCUCUGUAACAUCAGGUACAAAUUUCUACCAGGAAAAAGGGAGAAAUCAUGGAACUUGAAAAUAUUCCGAGAAUUGCAUGCCUUGUCAAAAAUCUGAAAAGUCACUUUUACGCCUUGAUCGUAAUAUAGUCUGGACCGUCUGAGGAAUCACUUGUAAUCUUGAUUGGUUAAGUGAUGCUGGAAGGAUAAAAUUUAUUUCCAAUUUAUGCUAAAAUCUUUUUCAUAGCAAGUCAAACUAAUGAAGUGUACUUAAACUAUCUCUAAAGUUGUCGUUUUUUAAGUACAGGCAGGUCCAAACAUUCGAGCAGAUUGAGGCAUCCUGAGCUGGUUUUUUAUGGUCCCAUGCGCCCAAGGCCUCUCACUGCUUUUACAUCGGCCAACAAAUUUCAAAUGGAGCAUCCCUUUUCCAAAGGUGGUGAUGAGGCCUUCUUAUGUUAAGUUUGGCUUGGUAUGAUCCCAUGCUUGUUGAGUCGAGCUCAUGUCUGAAAAUCAAACAUAUCUUAGCUUAUACUCUGGUUUAUAUGCAAGUUGACUUAAUGUAAUAAACCACAUGACAUGUUAUUUUCCUUGAAUUGUUCAUGGGUGUAUGUUUCAAACCAGGUAUAUAUCUUAACAACAAAGUAGUUGAAGUAGGGAAAAGAAUGAAAGGACGGUUAUCGGGACAUAAGCUGGUGGUCAAGGUUUGAAAAGAUAACAAUUAUCUCCUUUUUUGUGGAUAGAUGUUUUGGAAAGCAAUUGCUGGAGCAAGUGUUAAGAAUUAGAAUCCAAGUACUCUUAUAUGGAGAAAUUUGACAAUGUUAUUCAAUGCUGUAAAAGUAGUAAUUAUAUAAAUCAUACAAGGGGACCAGUUGAUACAGACAAUCAAAUUGCAAAGAAUGUUGCUCCCUCCGUGGCUCAAGGGAAAGACCUAAAAGAUAAAAGGGUGGCUAGUUAUGAUUCUGAAGUUUGAUCGUAGAUCUUGAUGACUCUUAUUAUUAAUGUCAAACAGGAGAUACUGUUUUAUUCUGUUAUAUUAAUAAGAUAUUUGAGGAAAAAAAUAGAUGAGUUUACUUUGUCGAAUUGAAUCUGUAGUUUGAUAAAAUUCGAGCUGCAGUUGAAAGAAUUGAACAGCUUAGAUUGAAAUUUUCACUUCCAUCCAUGUUCCAGUCAUCGAUGUCUUUGCCUUUUCCCCUGCACUUGUGGUUUGUGUGGCUGAAAUUCACGGUCUCAAAUAUACAUAGGACAUGGAAGGCCUUUUCUAGUUAUGUACGCGAUCGCACUCCAGGGGCAUAUAUCUUGACAUUUGACCUUGGGUUGCAAGUUGAGAUUGUUUACUCGUAUUAUAUGGUUUAUUUUCAAUUAAAACUCCUGAAACUAGCAACUACUGCCUUAAAUUCGUAUUGUGUGAUUAGAUUCUCUCAUUAGUGUAUGCUUAUGUUUUGGUCUUUCUUCACCAUAAAUUGGUUUUUGACCAUGUAAAUGGGGACUCUGCUCCUGUUCAAUUCAUCAGGCAACAUAAUCUGGAAAAAAUGUAAAUUGCAACUCUCAGCUAUUCAGACAAGUCAUGGACGUUGAAACUCAGGAGCCAUGGACGUGGACACAGGGGGGCCUUUUUUUCUGCUGGUUGGCCCACAUUUGCUAGAGAAGCUCAUCUGCAUGUAGGAGAUGUUUGUAUUUUUGAGCUAAUUGAUAGUGAGGAUGUGUGUUCAGAGUCUACAUUUCCACUAGAGCUGGUAAGGACUUGGUUUACAUUGAUUGAAAUGAACUAUGGAAGUGUCAUUUUCGCUCAUCCAAAAUAAAUCCUGUAUUCAUCGUCAUUUCUUCUUUGGUGGUCUUGGUGAAUCAAUGAAGUAUACUUCUUCCAUUCCCGUUGUGUUUGUGAGGUUCGCAAUAAUCCAGAUGCUCACUUAUUAAUCUGCAUCCCAAAUCUAAAUGAACCAAAAAGGAUGUGAUUCAAGAUUAGAGCAAAAGUUAAAGCCUGAAACGCUCGUCAUGAGAAUUUAGAGAGGCGUGACUUGUUGGUUUCUAAGUUAUGUUUAUGUGAACAACGACACAUUCUUUUUCUUAUUCUCUCUCAAAAUUUGUGAAAUUCUCCUAAUAAGCUUUUUGUAUAUUGAUUUUGUGGCAUUAUGAUUUAGGAGGUGCUAAGGGUAGUAAUCAAUUAUGUCUAAAAUGCAGAACAUGUAGACAUUAGUACCAUGAUCACAAGUACUGAUGUUUAGAUCAUUGUAACUCAAUACAAUGUCGACAGUGGUACCUGCGAGAAUUUUCUUUUUUCUUUUGUGCCUAUCGAUCUGAACAGUCUAAAUGUCAUGUAGCCCUCCUGAGCAGGUUUUGUAUGGUUCCACGUGUCCAUGGCUGGCCACUGCUCUUGAAAAAACUAGAGAAUUUGAAUUUGAGCAUCCACUUUUGAAAUUGGUGAUUUGGCCACUUUUAUUAAAAAGAGAAUUGCAGUAAGGGCCUAUUUCCUUUCAUAAUUGGCAUAUCCCAACCGUGAUGCCAUCUACAUCUCGCCCUGUAGUCUACUAUUUUCCCAAGUGGUUUUGCUUUUUAUUGGAGAUGUUGUUUUCUUUGAAAUGUGUAUGGCUUUAUGUGUAAAACUAGGGCAGUUUUGAUUUUGAAUUUUUUUUUUUUUUUUUAAUUAUGGAUUCAGAAGAUUACAGAUUCUUAAAUAAUAGAUUGUACUUUCCUCACUACUCAGGUGUAAAGAAGAUUGCUUUUGUUCAUUGACUAAGAGGAUGUGGUGAGACAAUCAGUGUUAGCACACCUGAAGCGUUAUCAUGAGAGUUCAAAAAUAGUGUACACUAUUGUAGAGUCUAUGAGCACUGUAUCGUGACAUUUUAACAUCAAAUUGCAAGUUGGGAUUGAAGACUUCUAUUUGUCAGUUAACACUGUUAAUUGAAUUUACUGAAACUAGUAAAUACUAGCAUAUAUUAACAUUUUGUUUGCCUUGUCUUUUUAUUGUUUGUUUGUAUUUAAUCUUUUCCUCAUCAUGCUACAUUGGCGGAGUGUUCCUUGUGAAUUCAUCAAGAAGUACAUUCAGAAGAACCAUUAGAUUGCUACUCUUAGGUAUUUGAACAAAUCAUGACCAGUGCAACUCAAGACCUAUCAACACCAUUUUUUAGCAAACAUCUCUGUGGUUGGCCCAUGUUUGUGAGACAAGCUUAUCUGGAUGAAGGGGAUGUCUUCGUGUUUGAGCUCAUUGAUAUGGAUGAUUUUAUGGUCAAAGGCUCCAUCUCCAAUUAUGCUUGUAAGGACCUCAUUUAGGUCGAUUGAGAUGAACAUUGGACGCAUCACUUGAGGCUGUAUAUUAGUGAAGCAAUUCCUGCCUCACUUAUUCAGUUGCGACAAAUCAAUUGAAAGUGCGCUUACUUUUGGCUUUGCUUCUCUCUCUUGACCUACUUAUAGUCUUAUCAGAAUUCUCUUUUUUCUUUUGUCCAGGUCAGAACAGACAAGUCUGAAUGUCCAGUGAGCCCCUCCUAAGCAAUUUUUUCAUGAUUCCAAGUGUUCGAGGCCUCUCACUGCCCUUGAGAAAGCUAGAGAAUUCAAAUUGGAGUAUCCCUUUUCCAGACAGUGAUGUGGCCAUCUUUUCUUAAGAAAGAAGUGGUGGUAAGGCCCAGAUCUCCAUUCAUAACUGACGUCUCAAUUAUGCAUGCCACCUAUUCUAUAUAUGCGCCCCACUGUGCAAAUUUUUCCCACGUUAAUUUGGUUUUUAUAGAAACACAGGACAUGUUAUCUUCUGUGAAGUGAUCAUGGUUAUAUGUUUUAAACAGGAAUCUUAACAACUGAGUAAAGGGACUAGGAAAAACAAUAAGUUGGGACAGUAAUCAGGAAAUAACCUAAUGACAGGGGGUGCGGAGACAGGAUCAGAGGGUUGGGAAAGGCAAUAACAACCAUAAGUUAGCAAUUUAAUAGUUUCUAAUUGAAGUAUAAGUUCCUCCCAAAGAUGACUACUUGGUACUUUCUCAGGCUGCCUAGGCUUGGGAAGAAGAGGUGACACGAAAUGUCCAGCUUAAGCCAUAGCUACUGCAACAGGCCUAGGCUUGGCAUGACUGAGCUCACUGCAACAGCAUGGCAACACUAGUCAGAUAUUGCUCACUGGCAACAAAUGGUUUACAAGAGCUACCAUUGCAAGCAGGUUCAAACUUGCAAUCGAAAAUGAAGGGAAGCCAAUGUGGCCUAGACCUCAAAAAUUAGUGCCACCAACUCGAUGGUAUGAAACGAAGAAAAGAAGCUCACUUCUUUUUGGCCAGGCAAAAGAAGAUCACUUACUUUCUGUGCUUGUGUGUCCAUUUAGGUCCCUAUGUGUAGCUUUUCAUGUUUAUUCGAUGCAUAUUGCAAUGUAAGAUUGGUGACUCAGAUAUUCACCAGAUUCAACUUGUCUCUAUAUUGAUUACACGUACUUAGUGUAGAAUCUAAGAGCACAGGAUUGUGAUAUUUUGAUUUCAGAUUGCAAGUUGUGAUUAAAGGCGAUCUCAUCAUGUCUUUUAGACUGCUAAUAUGGACUUUGGAAACUAACAACUACUAGCAUAAAUGUACGUUUUGUUUGCCUUUUCGCUUUAGUGUAUGCUUACAUUCCUAUGUGUUAUCAUAUAUUGGCUGGUCAAAUGUCUUCAUGGGUAGAGUGUUCUUAUGAAUUCAUAAAUACAUGCAUUCAAGAAAACCAGCGAAUUGUGACUCCUGGGUGCUCGGACACAUUGUGGCGGUGACCAUAAGGACCUAUCGAUGUUGUAGUGAACUUCUGUGUUGGUUGGUCCAAGUUUGUGAGUCAAAGUUGUCUUGAGUGAAGGGGAUGUCUACGUGUUUGAGCUCACUAAUAGGGACAAUGUUUAGGUUGAAUUGGGAUGUAUUUUGGAAGUCACUUUACUAGUUGAAAGCAAUUUCUGCCACUAUUCUGUUGUGAUGAAACCGGAUAAAAGUGCACUUAUAUUUGUAACCGUGCUCUGUUCAGGUCUAGUUACGAUCUUAUCAUUUCUAGGCUUAAACACAUUUUCUACCUUAGGUAUCUCUCUUGAGCUUGUCGCGCUUUUAUCAUCGCCUUUUUGGAAAGGAUCUCUGGUUCAGCACUCGCCCUGGUUACUGAACCUGGUUUUGUAUUACAAGAGAAUGUCAAAAGUGACGUGCUUUAGUUCUAGAAAGGAUGUGGAAAUUUAUGCAGCAUACCAUGAUGCAGCAUACCAUCCCUCAUGGUCACUUGUUAGUUUUCAAAUAUGGGAAAGACAGCCUCUAUACUCAUGUAAUUAUAUUUGAUAAAAGUGUUUAAAUAGAUACAUUAUCCCCAAGUAGUGAUGAAAUUGAAAACCCAGAGAGUGAAUUCCAUAUACAUCUUGCCCUAUAGUCCGCUGUUUUCCCAAAUUGUUUUGGUUAGUCAUUGGAAUCACAUGGAUAUUAUUUUCCUUUAAGUGUAAAUGGCUACAUGUGUAAAAUUUUGGUUUUGAAAUUGCAUUUUGUUAAUUUAUGGAUUCUUAAGAUUACCAAUUUUAAAAUAAAAGAUCGUAUUUUGUUUUAAUACUAAUCAAUUGUAAAGAAGAUCACUAUUAUUCAUAGGCUAAGAGGACGUGGUUGAGAGGAUCAGUGUUAGCAACUCCUGAAGUGUUAUCAUGAGAGUUCAAAUAUAGUAUAUACAAUUGUAGAGUCUAUGAGCUCUGUCCUAUGACAUUUUGACUUCAGAUUGCCGGUUGAGGAUCAGUUAAGACUGUCGAUUGAAACUCUUGAAGCUAGUAAAUACAAGCAUUUAUUUGCAUUUUGUUUGCCUUUUUCUCUUUAUUGUUUGUUUGUAUUUAUUCUUUUCCUCAUCAUAUAUUGGUUCACAAAUAUCUACCUCGCCAAGAGUGUUCUUUGCCAAUUCAUAAAGAGAUACAUCUAGAAGAACCAGCAAAUUGUGACUUAGGUAUUUAAACAAAUCAUGGUUGGCGCAGCUCAAGACAUCUGUUAUCCAGCAAACAUCUCUGGUGGUUUUGCCCACGUUUGUGAGAGAAGCUUGUCUGAAUGAAGGGGUUUUCGUGUGUUUGAGCUCAUUGAUAGCGACAAUUUUAUGGUCAACUCUUUAAUUUGACCGUAAGUGAAAUCUCCGCAAGCAAUGCAAUGCGACUGUGCCAGCCACGCUCCCUGGUCGAAACUGGUGCAGUAGUUAAAUCCCCAGGUUGUAGUGUUAAGACCUCACAUUAGUCAAGACUUGAUCCAAGCGUAAUCAUCUGUGAACCGGACGCCGUUGCAUAUCUUGGACAUAAGCGUCACGUCCGGGUUGCUUCUUACAAGACUUGGACCCCCACAGAAGCCCAGUGAACAUAAGGGUGAGCGCAUGUGAUGUGGCCAUGGUCAUCCUAGAGCCCUUUUUUCCUCCUUUUGGCUCUCUUUGGUUUGCUACAGAGAGACACACAAUUGAGUUUGGCUAUGAUAAGGGUUCGUCUUCAUGGCGCACUCCAUUUAUUUGUUGCUCUUGGGCUAAGUCAGUCCCAAUUUUAGUCAUUUAUGACGUCACGUAAUUUUUUUUUAAUCAUUUAUGACGUCACAUAUUUUUUUUUUUUUUAAUAACUUCAACGGUUGUUUCUCCGGAAUUUUUUUUUUGUCAGUCCUACUCUAAUCUUACUCUACGCUCAUUCUCAGACUUUUGUCCUGCCUCUUGCAGGGCGUGGAAGUCGAAACCCACUCCUAAAACUCACGCAUCCCCACCCCAUCCCCUCCUGAGAAAGUGGAGAUUUGAACCCCUCACCUCCCCCUUCCAUGUUGGAAGGGUGGCCACUGGGGGCUGUUUCUAUGGAUUACUCACCCAUUAAUGUACUUUGUUGUUGCCAUCCUCACAAACCAUAAUCUCAUAAUUUUCAAAGAAAUAUUUCCCUCUCUCUCUCUGACUAUGCAUGAAAAUUCAAAAUUGAGAUCCUCUAAGUUUAGGAAAUAAAUUUACGCUACGAUAAGGGAGUGAAUAAUAAUCAUUUUGUUCUAGAAUUCGAUUUUUUGUCAUUCCUUGGACGAAUUUAUGAACAAAAAUAUGCAUUUGAUAACGACAUAAAGUUUCUGUUAUUGAAAUAGAAAUUCGUUUAACAUAAAAUUUCUCCCUCCUAAGCAACUAGCAGGUGGCGGCCCUAAACAAACCAUUUCACUUUUAUUUUUUAUUUUUAUUUUUUUUCAAAAAUAGAGAAGUAUAAAAUUUUUACUUCUCAUUUAGUAUUUCUAAGCUAACAAUUUGUUUUGGAAUUUGAAAAAUGAAAUUACAUUAUCAAACAAAUUUUUGUUCCGAACUCGUUCCUAUAUCAGAAAAAUAACAAAAUAGAAAAACAAAAUUGUUGUCAUGCGAGUACCCUAAAUGACCCACUUCACUAUUAUUUUCUUCUUUCUUCUCCUAUUUUGCACACACGUGUUUGCUUCACAUAUGAGUCUCGAAUAUAUUUCUACAUGUAACAUUGUAAGCUUAGGUCAGGUAAUUAAUGGAGUUUGUAAUACUUUUAUAAUCCAAAUAACACCAUACUUUUGUUGCUGCUAACACUACUACUAAGAGUAUUAAAAAAGAAAAAAAAGAAGCCCAAACACCUGGAUUGAACCACCCGAACUAGCCUGAUAAUUUUGGGCUCAAAUAGUCUCCGGCCCGGCCACUAGGCCUCAAACUAUCCAUGAGUUUGGGACCUGAAUGAUUGCCAAAACCAACCCGAUUCAUAGAUCGGAAACUGUACAUAUGUAUGUCCCCCUAUGUCAAUUCCCUUUCACCUGUUGAGGGCUCAACUUCUCUCAUUCGCUCAUUUCUCACGUUGAUCGAGAUCUGGCUGCCACCAAGCUGCCAUCGUCGCCACGGUCAAGCCCCAGCACUCGCCAUAUGGCCUCCGUCUAAUAUGUUUCACUCACUCCCUUAGUCCCUUUUAUGCUUGUUCGCAUCUUGAUCUCCCUUGCGCUCCCUCGCUCUCUACUAGUAGAAAACUGGCCUUACUAGCUUGUUUUGAUGUCUUAUGGUUUUUUAUUUUUGUACAUGCUAUUUGAAAUUUUUAUUUGAAAUUUUUAAAUAAUAGAUAGUCCCUCUUUAAAAAGAUGCAAUUACCUUUUUAUUAUUUUUGUUUCACAAUUAAUUAGUUACGUUUAGAUUGUGGAGAGAAGUAGAGAGUGGCCAUAACUGACGAUUUUCAUUUUUUAAUUACAAAAUGACGAGAAUCGCCCCCGAAUUCAUUUAAAAUUUAAUUGGAGUUAUUAUGAUAAUAGGGUUUUUGAGUUAAUUUAAAUUGAGAGACAUAAGAGGAACCUCUCCGUUAAAGAAUUGACAAAUUUGUUGAUGUUUUAACAAAUCAUAGCCAACUAGUGUUAGCACAAGAUAUGAUCCCUCAUCGAGCUAAUUGAGUUGGGAAAAUUGUUACUUUCACCUGGUGCAUACUCUAUUCAAGAAUUGUUUGAACUCGGGUUGAUGAUUUUUCGAGAAUUAAUAUCUAGUCAAGCUCUAACUCAAGCUACUUGAGGAUCUUGCAAAUUGAAAGCUUAAGUUCGCCACUACUCGGCUCUUAAAAUUUUGUAAGCCUAAUUCAAAAUAUUUGAUUGGUAUGUAAUUAUACAUAGACAUCCUCAUCCACACACAAGUAUAUUUAGUGUAUCGACUUUUCGUAUGAAUCAAGCUCUAGCAUAAGCAUGAAGUUAAUACUUGGUCAAGCUCAAAUCAAACACUGAGUAAGGAGUUGAGCCAGUUUCGAGUUUGGCACUGUGGUGGCUUGAUUAGACCCCUAGGUGCUAGCCGUUUUGACAUCCAAUUCGAUUAAUAGAAGCCAACGUGUUCAUUAAAGCGAUUAAGAACUCUGACGUGCAAAAUUCGAGUGCAAGGUUAUUGUUGGGAAAUCUCAUUAUUCAAGAUGCACUCAUGAUUUUCGCAAGUUUCAAUCCCACUAUAAUUUUCAAUCCCUAUAUUAACCGAUAGGUCAAAUGAUAAAAGUAAGUGAACAUUAAUAAAUGUAUGAAAUCUUCAAAAGUCACUUUUCCGAAGUCCUAGCUGUAUUAUCCAUGGGACGUAGCUUGGCUUCACAAAUCCUUGUUGUAACUUCUAUCCGAUAAAAUGGCACUCAAGUUCCAUUUACUUGGUAAUGUUUAUUGAAAACUGGACUUUUGCUGCAAUUUUUGUCACAAUUUCCCUUUAAUUUUCAAUAACCAUUUGACAAUAGCAAAAUUCCUCGACCAAUAAGAAAUUUUAAAUAUCAAAUAUCCUCUUGUUUAUUUUUCAUAAAUUAACUCAAAAUGUACAUAAAAAGAUCCUUGAUAAUUUUAACUUUUGAAAUUAUUUGGGAAAUCAUUAAAUUUGCGUUGCGUCAUUUCCUCUUUUAACAAAAACUUCCUAUUGUUGAAAGGAAAGUUUCGCUAUUAUUUUUUGCAACUUAAAAUCCUAACAAUUUUUUAAUUUUCCCAAGUUUUUAGCCGAAAAAUCAAAUUUCAUUCCCAAUUAUCAAUAUAUAUCAUCAACAUAAACUUAAAAAAAAAAAACAUGAUAAAUGAAUUUCCUCUCCUUGAAGUAAAUAGGGAAAAAUAAAUAAAAUAUCAACAAUUCUUUACAUCUGAGAAAUUAGAAAGGGCAGAAGAAGAAGAUCCCCUAGGCUUUCCAGUUUUGCGCUUCAAGCAUUCGAUCCCCCUCUGCCUUCUCUCUCUCCCCCCAACCCUUAGGCCGAGCUGCACCGCCGUGUCGCGGCCUCGGACCCCCCGAGCUUCACCCCCGGGGGCCCCCCUGGGGGUGGGGGGGGGGGGCCCCCCUUUUUUGGGCUUUUUUUCCCCCCUCCCCCCCCCCCCCCCCCCCCCCCCCCCCCCCAAAAGAAAAAACCUAGGUCCCUCGCUUCGGUUCUCCGGGAUUGCUCGAAGAUGGACGAGGACCAGGAGAUGGAGAGGCUCGGGGUGGACAACGAUUACGACGACGGGGAGUUCUACUACCGCAGCGGAGGGAGAAGCGCGCGCAGACCAAGGACGACGCACUCUACGGCGUCUUCGCGUCGGGGGACUCCGAUUCGGACUACGACGACUCCUCCAAGAGGAAGCAGAGGAAGAACAGGGACCUCCAUGGUAAGGCCGAUCUGUCGAAGCCCGUGAAUUUCGUGUCCACCGGCAUGGUCAUGCCGAACAGAGAGAUUGAUGAGAACUCGAAGACGGAGAAUGAGGAUGACGAGUCCGCUGACGUGGAUGAGGAUAGGCCGGGCUUGGGGGUUGGUGCUGGGGUGGGUUUGGGGUUUAAUAAGCGAGACGAUGGUUUUGAUGAGAACGGCGAGGAGGAGGAUGGUUUCUUGCCGACGGCAUUUGGGCGGAAGAUCAAGGAGGGAGCGGAGAGGAGGAGAGAGCAAUCGAAAUUGGAGAAGAAAGCGCAGCAAGGUGGGGCUAAAAGGGAUUCUUAUGAAUCGGGAAACGUGGGUGGCUUCGAGAAGUACACCAAGGGAAUUGGAAUGAAGUUGCUCGAGAAAAUGGGUUACAAAGGGGGUGGUCUUGGGAAGAAUCAGCAGGGGGGAUUGUGACACCCAUUGAAGCAAAGUUGCGUCCUAAGAAUAUGGGUAUGGGUUUCAACGACUACAAAAGAAAUUCCUGCAAAGGCGCCUGUUGCCUCGUUGGAGCCAGAGGAAAAAAAGCCAUCACCUGAUGUGCCCGGUCAGGAGAAGCUUUGGUCUAAGCAAGUGAAGAAGGCGAUGCUGAAAAACAAAGCAAAAUAUAUUACAUCAGAAGAGCUGUUGGCGAAGAAGUAGGAUCAGGGUGUUGAAGUUGUGCAAGAGGUACUCGACAUGCGUGGACCUCUAAGGUUAGGGUGCUAGCUAACUUGGAGAAUCUGAACGUGGAAGAGAAGGCGAGGGAGAGCGAUGUUCCUAUGCCCGAGCUCCGGCAUGAUGUAAGGUCGAUUGUGGACCUGGCUGAGUUGGAUAUUCAGUAGAUCAUUACGGACCUGAGGAAUGAGAAGGAGAAGUUGCAAGCUGAGGCAGAACACCAGAAGAAACAACUAAAUUACGUGGAGAUAAUGAAUACACUAGACCGGAUUGAGGAGCAAAAGUCGAUGGGAACAUUGACGUUAGACUUGCUAGCCAAGUCUUUUGGUGACAUGCUAAGAAGGUUUCCUGAUGAUUAUAAACUUUGCAACUUAUCCUGCAUUGCUUGCUCAUUUGCACUCCCUCUGUUUAUCAGAGUAUUUAAGGGAUGGGAUCCUCUUCGGAAUCCCUCACAUGGGUUGGAAGUUGUUUCACGGUGGAAAUCUCGAUUGCAAGGACAUGAAUGUCUUGAUAUAUGGGAUUUGAGAUCCCCCUGAUACCCAGUUGGUUACAGAAUUUGUCUUGCCUGCUGUGUGAAUAUCAGGCAUUGACACUUGGGAGGCAGGGAAUCCGAAGCCAAUGCUUUGAUUUCUUGAAGAUUUUGUGAUCAGUCUUCUCGCAUGUGGGCGUAAAUUCAAGUUUAUCAGUUUCUUCUCAAGUGAAGAGCAUUUGGAAUUCAUUUAUUUAUGUUUUCAUAUUAACUGAAUGUUGAUAUUAAUGACAAAAGCAAGUAUGCUGGCAUCUUUUGCGUCGCUGUGGCAUGACUCUUCUGCAGUCUCUAUCUCUCUCUCUCUCUCUCUCUCGACAAACACAGCAGCCGAGCCUCCGGCAGUGGCUUUUUGUCUUACAAUCGGCAACAUCCCGGCGCUCUUGAACUCGAACUUGCUCUCCCCGCUGGAUAAAGCUCGCUGAUUCUCUCUUUUUAUCUCUCUUCCUUGCGAGAGCUCGAUACCUCAUCCAAAGUGUAAUCAACGGCAAUGAAAAUUUGGAAGAUGGCGAGAGGAUGGGAGAAAAUGAAAGCAAAACGGAAAUCAAACAGACGAAAUUUGGAAUGAAUCAAAGACAAUUUUAGAGUUCGAGAUGGAACGUCCCGGUAUUUGUUGACUGUUGAUUAAGGAAACUCCGUGGUCGAGUUCUGCUGCCACGGCAGCGAGGCGAGCGGCAUCUUCAAACCGGUAGCGACACUUUUUGUGCUUCGGUCAGUGCUGGAAGCAACAAUCGUCAGAGAGCUCAGUCUCGAUGAAUAGUUGGUGGGUACUCCGUUCGCGGUUGGAUUCCCUCUCUCUCUCCAGAUUUUCUCCGGCCAGAUGUUCUUUUGCAUAUUUUCUCUCUCUCACUCCGGAUUCUCCUUAUUCAUCUCCACCAAUUCAGAUCUAUCUCGCUUCAGAUUCGCACAGUGAACGACACCAUCAGAUUCCACAUUUUGAGUCGUGGCCACACUAAUUCCACUCUGAUUUUGUGUCAUCGCUUUCGUGUCCUUGCGCGUGUCUGGACCAGAUUUAUAUGUGGCCGGGCCAUCUCGAGCUCAUGCCGCCAUCGCUGCCAAACCAUCGUCAAGGGUGUUUCAUAUCCAAUUGAACUUCUGAGUCAAAAUUUCGAUUCACUCCAAAAUAUGUUCUGUCGAUUCUUGCUUCUUUCUGUUCACUCCCACUUCAUCGCAAUCUUUCGAAUUCCUUUGUUUCGCCCAUCUACGCCUCGUGCAAAGGGAAAGCGGGGUGGUGUUCACUGCUUAAAAGAGCUUUAUCCUAUUGCCAAGGCUGAGGUUGGAUGGAUCAUCAUCAUCUGGACAGGAUCUGCCGAUUCGAAGGAUGAGAUUCUUCGGGUUCACUCCCGGCACUCCUGCCGGUCCGAGGUCGUUUCAUCAACCAACCGCAACAGAGGGCAAUCUGAGUCAUCAAAAUCAUCCGAAAAGAUACGCCAAGCAUGAAGAUUGGCGGUGGUGAGCACGGAGAGAAAACAAGGAAGAAUAAAAAGUCUCGAAGCGAAGCGAAGCAGUGGAUGGAGAUGAUUCGGAUUUUGCGUGGGGACUGUGGGGAAAACGGGGCAAACAAGGUGAAGCCGGCGGUGGUUCUUUGGAUGAGAAGGAAGUAAAGUGUUGAAAUUAAAAAAAAAAAAGAAAUAAAAGAAAUAAAAGACGAAAGGAAAAUAUAGAGAGCCCAUGAGAAAUCGGUCAAAAGGAAGACUUGCACGAAAAAUGUAAUUCGACAUUAUAUCGAGCACCUUCAUUGCAAACUCGAUCCCUCCUCCACAGUGCAAUCGACGGCAAUGGGAAUUUGGAAGACGGCGAGAUAAUUGGAGAAAAAUGAAAUGAAAUAGAUAUCAAUAGACGUAGUGAGUAUGGAUCGAAAUUAAUUCUAGAGUCGAAUGGGAGAUGAAAUGACCUGGUGGUGAGUACGAAUAUUGACCUGACAGAUAUCAUCAUUGUUACAGAAUCGUCUCACUCUCGAUUUCUCUUUGGGGCAGCUCAACGAACACCUUCCCUAAUGUCCAUCUUCAUAUUUCAGCAAGUCUUCCUCCAUCAGGGUCGUUUCCUAUCCGAUUGAACUUCCGAGUCCAAUUUCGAUUCAUUCCGGUAUACGUUCUGUCGAUUCUUGCUUUCCUUCAUCUCCGCCUUUCGGAUUUCAAAUGACGUUGCUCGCGUCCUUCGUUUCGUCUCUCUAUGCCGCACACAAUGGGGAUGUCUGGCUGGUGGAUAGGAUCUGCCGAUUCGAAUGAUGAGAUUCUUUGGGCUCACUCUCGGCCCUCCCGCCGCUUCAAGAAGCAGCAAAGACUUGCACAAAAGAUGGAAUAUCUUGAGAGGAAGAUUCAUCCCAUAACUCAGCCAUCAUUUUCUUUUUCUUUUCCUUGAAAAAGGCAUCAAAAACUCCAAACGACGCCAUCAAGGACGCCCAUUGCGUCUCUUCGCUUCAAGUACCUUUAUUGGAUCUCUCCCUCCAUCCCGACGCGCUCCCCGGCUCAGUGAGUUCCGAGUCGCUCCACCAUCACCCUCGCUAUCUACUCGCCUCGUGAUCGAUUCCGUCGCUCGCUGUCUUUAGAAACUCCGGUGAUCCUCUCUCUCUCUCUCUCUCUCUCUCUCUCUCUCUCUCUCUCUCUCUCUCUCUCUUUUCCUGUCCUUCUUCCGGUUGGAAUCAUGCAUUCGUUUUGUGGAUUCUUAGGUGUUUUGACAGAGGUUUGAAUCUGGUGUCCUUGAGUGAUGUUUAAUGCUAUUGUCGUUUUGCUCAUCAAUGGAGUUCAUGUCGGAUUUUUUUUUUCUUUUUUUCCUUGUUUCCGACCGUGAAUCCGAGACCACUUGGAAACGAGCGAUGAUUGAACUGAAAACGUCCUGAGAAAUCGCCGCAGUGAGCGAAAGUUGUGCAAAGUUAAGCUCGGUCGAACAGUGGUUCGGUUUUCCUCUAUUUUUUGGCAUUAUAUAAUCACUUCUGGAUUCAGUUGUGGUGCGAGGGUGACUCGCUAGCCAUUCCUGAUCGGUCCUUCGGUUAACGCUUUUCUCUGUAUAGAUUUCCGAGUGGCUUGGGACUUGGAGAUGGGAGUAGCACCGAUGAGUUAUGACAUGGAAGAGGGGACGCUGGAGAUCGGCAUGGGUGAGCUUUCGGCCCUCUCCGCUUUCCAAAUUUUUUUUUUUUUUUUGGAGCUACGGACAAUAAAAAUCUGCUGGGAUGCUUAAAUCUCGUAAUUAAGUUUUGUCUGUAUUGUGGGGAGUAGCUUUGUCUCCUUGUUCGUGGCUUAUUAUGUCUUUCGCCAUCUAAAUUUCACCGUGCUUGGAAUCAGAACUUUAGUCAUAGGAUAUUGUUGUUUUCUAGGCUUUCCAUAUAGCUUUCUCGUUUCUGAAAAGUUUAUGCUGCCCCUGUUAUGACAACGGUUAAUACAUUUAUUACUUAGAUCUACACAAUCUCUAUCAUUUCGUAUAUAUUGGCUGAGAGGUGAGGAAUGAUUUAGCUCUUGUCCGAGUCAAAUGUUUAGCAUGCCUUAGUCGCUGGGUCUUAGUUAUCAGUUGUUCAAACAAUUGCUUUGCUGCUUGCAGAGGAUAGGACCGUCUCUGGUGUUGCUGGGCCGUUGGUUACACUCGACAAAGUCAAGGUAAAUUUCACUGGUUAUAAUUUUACGAGGUUGAGUGAACUCCUAUAUGGACAUGUUGGAUUAAUUUUAUUGUAUAUCAGGGACCAAAGUAUCAAGAGAUGGUAAAUAUCCGCUUGGGUGAUGGAACGACUAGAUGUGGGCAAGUCCUUGAAGUUGAUGGAGAGAAAGUUGCUGUGCAGUUUCAGUCUCAGUUGCCAGCCUCUUCUUUUUUCCUUUAGCUCUCUUGAUACUGCAUUUUUGUUGUUUGGACUGCAAUACUUGGGUCAACUUUGUGUGCAAUACUUUUCAGCUGAUGACCCAGUGAAUUCUCUGUCAUUCAUUGCAAGCAUUAGAAAAAGCAGAACAUGAAGAGUAUUAUCUUAGGUAUAUGUGAUGAAAUGUGAGAACAUCAUAUGGGAUGAUAAUUGAAAUGUGAUUGAAUUUCUUGAGAACAAUGUUAAGAGUCUAAUUAGCAUUCCGUUUAGGCAAUUAUAGAUCCUCUCUGCUCUCGAGUGAUGGAAGUCUAGUCAUGGUGUGACACCCAUCGAAGCAACCAGCAGGGGAUUGUGACACCCAUCGAAGCAAAGUUGUGUCCUAAGAAUAUGGGUAUGGGUAUGGGUUUCAACGACUACCAAAGAAACCCCUGCAAAGGCGCCUGCUGCCUCAUUGGAGCCAGAGGAAAAGAAGCCAUCACCUGAUGUGCCUGGUAAGGAGAAGCUUUUGUCUAAGCAAGCGAACAAGAUGAUGCUGAAAAACAAAGUGAAACACAUUACAGCAGAAGAGCUGUUGGCGAAGAAGCAGGAACAGGGUGUUGAAGUUGUGCAAAACGUACACGACAUGCGUGGACCUCAGGUUAGGGUAUUAGCCAGCCUGGAGAAUCUGAACGUGGAAGAGAAGGUGAGGGAGAGUGAUGUUCCUAUGCACGAGCUCCAGCACAAUAUAAGGUCGAUUGUGGACCUAGUUGAGUUGGAUAUUCAGAAGAUCGAUAGGGACCUGAGGAAUGAGAAGGAGAAAGCUCUGAGCUUGCAAGAGGAAAACAGAAGCUGCAAGCUGAGGCAGAACUCCAUAAGAAACAACUGAAUAAUCUAGCAACUAAAUUGUGCACAUGGAACAGCGGAAGCACAAUCACGGUAGAGUCUGAUUCCGUUAGUCUGUACCCCACCUGAUGACGCCAAAUUGCGCUGAGUUAGCAGCAUGCGAUUGGGGAGGGGUGACCCAUAGCGCCGGAGGUGUGCAAGAACAUAGCUACAUCCGAGGGAUCAUUGACAACUGUGGACAUCGAGUCGAGGCUCGGCUCGGCUCUACGUUGGUCGAAGAGAGUGAUUUUGGUAUCGGCAAAGUGAAGAUUGGCGGUUAGGUGGGGGAUGUUGAGCUUGGAAGCAGCGGAUUGAGCCCGUCGGUUUCCUUCUUGCAGUGUCAAUAGGAGCUUCGGUUCUGAGUCGGAAAGGUAGAACUCGAGCACCUUAGCUAUGUAGAAGGGAUUGAGCGGAGCUACAGUGGCUCGGCAAUGGAUUACCGCUGGAAAUAGGAUCACAAACUGCAAAACGAACACAUUUUCCAAUAAGAAAACUAUCACACCAGUCCCUGCGGAUUGGAGAUACACACACAUAUGCAGGAUAUGCAGACAACUAGUUUGUCAACGUUUAAUUCAUUAAAACAAUCCAUCUCCUUUUGAAAAGCGUUGACUUUGUUUUACGAUGAAUCGGUGCUUGUACGUCCCAGAAAACAACCCUUGGACCCGACAGAAAAUUCUCUUCAUGCUUUUCCCAUUUCAAUUUGUUCCUGUUCAAUUUGCACCACGCGCUCACAGAAAUUUCAUGCCUCAGAUGCAAUUUUUUCAGUAGAAAUCGAUGCCAUUUCCGUCUCUCUGUUCUCGAAGUACUGUAAAACUCCAAGAAACAUCUACCUCUUUCUUUUCCAAGCUAUUUCCCAGUCGAUGUUUCGCAAGUCAUUGAUCUCAUCAUUAGAAAUUCAUCGUCACCGCAAUCUUCCAGAUAUUGUGUUCUCGAAUUUAAACGGCAUCAUCCAUACUCGCGAACAGACCGAGAUGACACAGACAUACCUCGAUGUUGUUGAGGAAAGUGAGCGCGACGGUGUCGGUGUGAGGCAGUGAUGAGCGCGGUGGUGUGGUUGACAAGCUCUUGCAGCUGCAUGUGCGUCAGGUCGAGCUCCUCGCAGGCGGAGACGGCUCUCUUGUUGGGGAAAUCCGACGUUGCCUUCUUCAAUAGGUCCGUGAGCGUAAGUUCUCCCAUCACUAACCACAGGGAACGAAUCGACAGCAAUCGGCUUAAGCUGAAACCGAUCCCCGAUCGAACUGAAGAGGGGCACCACAAUCGCUUGGCAAGACGAGAACGAAGGAUCGACAAGAACAGGAAUUCGCACGUAUGCAUAUGAAAUGGAAAUGAGACCAGAGGGAGGGAGGGAAGGAAGUUGAUGCAAUCGAGGUGGCUCCGCGGCCAGUGCGAGCUCGGUUAAGGUGGCGACGGAGACUUAAUGGAUCAAAGGCUGUAACUAGUCUCACUAAUGUCUUCGCAAGAAAAUGUUUCAAUAAACUAAUGAUAGCCACCUAAUCAAUACAUUUGUCCAUUCAGUGGACGACAAGUGGCACUAUGGGGGCCCGCUCUAUCAGCAAGUCUGCAAGUCCAUUCUGCACGACAAAACAAAUGUCGUCCAAGUUUGAGAUAAGAAAUGAAAACCGCAGCAUCAGAAAAGUUCAUCACCAAAGGAUUAAAAUCCAUUCCAAGUUUGCGGCAAUGGCGUUUCUUGCACAGAUUGUAUAAAUGCAAGGAUCAAUGGCGAUUCUGACAGUUCAUUCUUUGCACGCACACACGCAGAUCUCCUGCUCCUUCACAACAGAAUACAAAUUUAACUCGAUUCUGUUCAUACAGAACACUUUAACUCGAACCAGAGGAAUCAGCAAGCCACGAGACAGCAAUUUUCAUGUCAUACGCCGAGCAUACGAGACGAGAAUACUAACACUAUUUGACAAAUGAGCAUCCUAUUCUGACAAAGUCGGCCAUAAUAAGUAUUCAAAAAGUUGAGAACAAAUCAAAUUUAUGUAAUAUGAUUUUGCGGUUCAAGAAUUGAAUCGAAUUUACACACCGAUCUAGUUCGAGCAUUUUAUCAAACAAGUAAUGUGCAUUUAACCAAGGAGCUCAUACGCCAAUGCAAAGCAAGGAUUGACUUUCAGAUCAUCACGAAAAUAACAGUACAAGUCCGAGUUGUUAAAUAAAGCUUCAAUAUCAACUGAUUUACUCACAGACAUUAGCUAAAGCUAACCGGCUCUGUUUCGUUCAUGAGCAGCAGAAACAGAGUGCGUGGGAUUUACCUUGAUGAGAGUGAGUUUUUCACUUCGGCCCGUGAGCAGAUCGGAGAAAAGUUAAUGGAGCUCUCCACGUCGACGAUUGAUCUCUGGCUCGUGCACGUUUGGGCGGCGUGACCAGAAAACAGAGCAGAAGGAGAGGAGGCCUUGCGGCAACGGAACCGGCAAUGGUGGAGCCGCUAUGGCAGCGUUUCGACAGUGUCUAAAGGACGAUGGAGAAGGAGAACCGAUGAAGGAUCCUCUAGAAUUCCGAAGAGAGAUGGUUUCUUCGUGAGCUUCGGUGUGUGCGUUCUAUCGUGUCAUCGCUGAGCCUGUGGUGGCCGUCGAUGGUGGUGCGACGGUGGCUGUGGUGAUUGUAGAUGGGGGACGGUGGUCUAGGCUGCGCCUUGUGGAUAAGGUCUGGGCUACACGAAUUAAACCAGGCCCAACAAACCGGACCAGGUCCUUUCGAUUAUGAUUUUUUCUUUCUUUCUUUUUCUUUCUUCGUUUGUUAUUUAUUUUUAAUAUUAUUUUUUAUUUAUUAUUUAUUUAUAUUUACCCAAAUGCAUGUUCAACUUGUUGGCAAAAAUUCAGGAGUCGAUAGGAGCAAUAUUCCAUCAUUUGGCCUAAGAACAACUUCACACCAAACUCAAUUACAAUUCAUUAAAUGUGAUAAUUCACUAUAAUUUUUCAAUUAAUAAUAUGGAUGAAACCUAGUUAUACCAUAAAAACCGUGAUAGGGUAAGUUCCAGAGUAUGCAAUGAGUAUUCUAUGUUCUAAAAAAUUAGGAAUAUGUUCAAACGCGGAGGUUCAAAAUUCUAGAUUAGGGGCCAUGAGUCAUUUGAUCUUUCCAAACAUCAAUGAUAAUUUUUUAUAAGGGAUUUGAUAAAUUUAGAACUAGGAGACAAGUCGGGAAGGAGUGGAGGUGGGUCGAAUUUUUUUCUUUUAUUCAUUUUAUUGACAGUAGAUUGAAUUGGAGAUUUGACAAUAUUAGAAUGAAAGUGAAACAUAAGUGGAUGUUGAAGCGGCAAAAAGUCAAUUUAUAAAAAGUAGCUAGUUUUCAAUCCCGCGUACUGGGCAUGAUGUAUUUCACAAUUUCUCUAUAAAAGAAGAUCGACACAAAAUGCAGAAUGUUUAAAGUAUUAUUUUUACUAGCCUACGUAUAUUAUAGAUUUAAUAGUGGUUUUAUAAUUUUUUUCCCUUGACUUCUAUGUCAAGAGUACUAGAAAGGUUAAUUGACUUGUAAAUCACAUUUGACCUUCUCACUUUAGUAAUUAACCUAAAGCUAGGCAUCAAGAGGGGGGAGGCAUGAGAGAGCUUCCACGAAAAUUUUCUCUUUUGUGCCUUGACUUUUGUCUUUUAAAAAACUGCAUAAAAAAAAAGAAAAAAAAAAAGACUUGCGGAAUUUCGUAUGUCAGUAUUAUUCAUGUACGAGGAUAUUAAGGCGCUUUUAAGCAGCUGGCGAUGAGGAAUUAAAGGGAAGACCGAGCUAAAAAGGUAAGCGUGGAAGGCAGUUCGGUCAAUUCGGGCCGGGGGAUUCGGGAUUCGGGGAAAAGUUGUUGUGACUUCUCCACGUCGCGCAUUCCCCGCAUUAAAUGAACAACAGAGUUUGAAGAGGGCAUGUCCCUGUUCUGCCUUCUCUCUUUUCUCUCUCUAUUGCGCAAAUAAUUCUGAGAAAUUUUCUUCCUGAAUCUGGAGAUCGUGCGACGUGGCUCGCCCACUUCGCCCCUUCUCUCUCCGCAACAAAUCAAAAUUCAAAUCUCCUCUCUUUAUCUCUCUCUAGGAGAUCCCGUACGCGAGAGCGAGACGAUGAAGUGCCAGAAACACCAAUUCUCUCUACAUUUCUGCAGUUGGCAUCGCCACCUUCGCUGCCCCGUACGGCCCCCCGCAUCGUCAGAGGCGUACCCUCGUAUCUGCGAGCCGAAAUCCCGCUCGGGCCUCGGGUCCCGCCGUACCUCCGCUCGGCGGCCGGGGAAGCGAUCUCCACAGCGGCGGCCGCGGGGGGCCCGGCGUCGAACGCGCCGAAUCGGGGGCGGGACCAAGCCGGGUCGGCGGCGCCGGGGCCAAAAUACCCGUCGUCGUCCCGCCUGACGUGGGGAGGGGCGUAGAAGGACCCGCCGGGGGGGCGACCGGGCCGGUGAGCCGGCUCGCCAAACGGCUCGUUCCACGCCAUCUUCUUAGCGUUCACCUGCAGCGUAAAGCUUCACCCGGAGGAACAGGCAGACCGCCAAGAAUGGAAGCGAAACCCUAGAACGAGGGUACGCCUCUGACGAUGCGGGGGGCCGUACGGGGCAGCUGCAGAAAUGUAGAGAGAGAAUUGGUGUUUCUGGCGCUUCAUCGUCUCGCUCUCGCGUACGGGAUCUCCUAGAGAGAGAUAAAGAGAGGAGAUUUGAAUUUUGAUUUGUUGCGGAGAGAGAAGGGGCGAAGUGGGCGAGCCACGUCGCACGAUCUCCAGAUUCAGGAAGAAAAUUUCUCAGAAUUAUUUGCGCAAUAGAGAGAGAAAAGAGAGAAGGCAGAACAGGGGCAUGCCCUCUUCAAACUCUGUUGUUCAUUUAAUGCGGGGAAUGCGCGACGUGGAGAAGUCACAACAACUUUUCCCCGAAUCCCCCGGCCCGAAUUGACCGAACUGCCUUCCACGCUCACCCUUUUAGCUCGGUCUUCCCUUUAAUUCCUCAUCGCCAGCUGCUUAAAAGCGCCUUAAUAUCCUCGUACAUGAAUAAUACUGACAUACGAAAUUCCGCAAGUCUUUUUUUUUUUCUCUUUUUUAUGCAGUUUUUUAAAAGACAAAAGUCAAGGCACAAAAGAGAAAAUUUUCGUGGAAGCUCUCUCAUGCCUCCCCCCUCUUGAUGCUCACUCCCUCAUGGUUUCGUAGAGAGAGAAAGAGAGAUUCUUCUCUGAAUUUUGGACAUCUUGUUCUUUUCUCCUCUCUCUCCUUUCUUUUAUUUGCACUUUUGUUAUUUCUUUUUAUUUUGUUUUGUGUCUUUGAUUUGUAUUUUAUAAAUAACAAAAGUACAAGUAAAAUUCAGCUUCUUCAAUGAAGGAACUGAAUUUUAAUAUUUUAUCCCCUCUUUUCUUUUAUUUGUAUUUUUGUUAUUUAUUUUUUAUUUUAUACAUCUUUAAUUUGCCGAUAAAAUUAAUGAUAUAAUCAAAAAGUUAAAGCUAUGCUCCGAUACUAGAUGGGCAUCACUCUUUAAUUUGGUCAUAAGCGAAAUCCAUGCAAGUAGCACGUUCCAACUACUCGAAUCCAACGAUGCAUGCUCCCUGGCCAAAGCAUUGGGCAUCACCAUAAGAACCACCGGCAUAGUGGUCUAAUCCUCAAGUCUCAAUGUCAGAUUUUCAAAAUAUCUUUUAGUUAGGCCCAAUUUAGGAAAUUUGGAUUUUAGUUAAAGUUGAGAUGGCCAUUAUCCGCUUCAUUUGUAAUUUAGAAAUAAUGUCUUAUUUUCCUUCUCACCAAGCCUCUUUCAUUUUCCCCGAUCUCUCGUUCUCUCUUAUCUCAUGAUCAUCGAGUCGUCCAGUCCCCACCAACCCGCCACCGGGCCACCUUCGAGCCCUGAGCCCUGCUACUCACCGUAUGCUUGCUCGGUCAAUCUUUUCUCUCUGUCUUUCUUCUCGUGUCUCGUCCACAUGUCAGCGAGUUACAAAGCGAGUGAUGGGACGGACUCACUUUUUUGCUCGUGUCAUGGUCUCCCUCCCACUCCCCCUCUCUCCAGCAAGUGGCAAAACAGGUUUUUACUAGCCUGUUAUGAUGUCUUCAAGCUUUUUGAAUUUAGGACGUGCUAUUUGAAUUUCUCAUGGAGAGCAAAAGCAAAAAAUAAAAUAAAAUAAACAUAUUUUUUUUUAUAAUUUCGGGCCGUGCCAGACCCUUGGAUCUGGGCCAUAUGGCAUGGCUUCAGUCCGGGCCAGGUCCUCAGUCACACAUUUUUGGACUGACCCCCAAAAUAAGAAAAAGGUUUUGCUCCGAUCCUUUGGCCACGAGGCCUUUAUUGGCUUCCACAGCUAAUAGGUGGUCCAGCGAAUGACCGCGGAGCCGUUGGAGAAAAUAAGGGACGAUAUUCUUCCAUAUCAGCUAACCUCACAAGUUUUCGGAGAACGGUUUGGUUUCGCCUCUUCUCUAUGUGUUUUUCCCCUUUUUGGGGUUCCUUUUUUCUCUCCCCUUUCUCUCAGCAUUGUGUAAUAUCAGCUCAUGCGAGCGAGCCAAUCGUGAGAAUUGCUUGUAAUUUUCUUGUUUUUCGUUUCUUUUCUUGGCAAAUGAAGCAACACCUAAAACUCCAAUCGCAUUUCAUUAAAUUGGGUAUCAUUCAUCCGGCCAAACCUACAACUUGAGGUGAGUUGUUUUCUCUCGUAACAAAAGCGGGAACACUAGCAUCUUACUAGUCGAAAGUUAAAAAGACUUUUAUCAAGAUACAAUAGUUGGAGCUAUAUAAUUCGUGAUAAAAUAUCGUGCUCUUCUAUUUCCUAUCGAUCGAGUGACAUGCAAAGACUAACAUAAUUUCUAAAAUAAAGGGUUUAUUGUUAUUAGCCCGUGAGAAGACCCAGGAAAAGGGCGAAACAAGAAUUGAAAACUUGUCAAAGAGGACAAAGGAAGAGCAAAUUCUUAUCUGGAUGUGGGGAAUCAUGACCAAAGGGGUUCUCAUCGUUGUCGUUAACCGUUGGAGCCCCGCACGUGAUUAACGGCUCGAUCUCGGGUGCAUGAAUUUGGAUCCAAGGCGAAAAGAGGGAAAGGGCCCCGUCCUGAGUGAUGUUUUUAUGUGAUGGGCCUAAGUUGGCCCGUCCGCCCAUGUUGGGCCUAAAAGCCCGGCCCACAAGAUUAGGACCCAUGGAUGGAGGGAUAUGAUGAAGGGGUACGUUUCUAUUUUGGAGGAGACGUAUAUAAGGGAGGAAAGAGAGGGAGGACGCACCUUUUGGCAUUUGUACGUAUGUUCCUCUCUCUCUCUCCCUCCAAAAGAAAAACUAAGGCUAAAGGCGACGUUGUCUUCCCUUCAAAGCCAAUCGACGUCAUCGGAUCGAACGACAUCGGUUUUCUCUUCCUCUAAUAGGCGUCGGUGUUUAAUCUGUGGCUAACAAGGUACGCUCGAUUCCGUGAUGUGCUUUAGGAUCUGUGAUACAUGUUUUUUUUUUUUUCUGGGCUCGUCUAUCGUUUUAGCGGUUUGAUUUUGUGUCGAAUCCGCUUUUUGGGAAUCCGACAAUCCCAACAUUGGUAUCAGAGCCCUAGUUCAUGUUUUCCCGAACCCUUUCAUGUUUAUGAAUGAUUUUUGAUUGAUUUUUUGUGAAAAUAAUCGGCUGACAUGGAUCAGGGCGAAAAAUCCCGGCACCCGAGCACUGUUCAUCCAUUUUUUCGAGUUUUUGUAAGUUGAAAUCGAUUUCUGAUGGCAUAAGGUGAAAGAGCUCAUCGAGACGAGUCCGUCGAUGGGUCGAACGUCGCCGAGAGACGCCGAACGCGCCCACACGCACGGCCAGAAGCCGCUGCGCGUGGGCGCCACGCGCCUAAAGCGUUGGCACAGCCAGCGCGUGUGCCGCACGCGCUGGUCGGCGAACCGGCAAGCGCCAAUCGGCGAAUCGACGCGUGAUGACGUCACCAUGAUGCACCAUGAUGUCACCCAACGGUCAGUAACCGUUGGGAUGACGUCAUCGAUGACAUCAUUGAUGGCGACAGUUGGCCGACCGGUCACCGACCCGACCCGACCGGCGAACCGACUCAACCCGAGACGCAACCCAACCUGAGAUCCGACCGGUCGCUCGUGCGUGCGAGGCACGUGCUGGGUCGGUUCGUCCGACCCGGUCCAACCGGCCCAUCCGAUCCGGCGACCCGACCGACAACCGUUGACCGUUGACCGUUGACCAUCGUUGACCAUCGUUGACUUUUGACCGUUAACGACCGUUGACCAUUGACAAAAAAAAAUGAAAAAAAUGUGUUUCUUUUUCCCAAUUAAGUCUAUGUGGAUUAUAUAUGAUCCCUUAUUUGUUCUGCAUUUGUUGCAGGAACAAUGCCUCCCUUGAGGUUGGGCACACCUAUUCGCACAAUUACCGAUGAACAAAAGAAAAUGCUUUCUAAGUUGAUAGCUAAGCUGACUGAUCAUCGAUGGAAGAGUAGUGACUUAAUUGAUCACGUCCUUGAAGUCAACGGGAAAAUUCAAAAGAUCAUAUGGAAUGGUCGUCCUAUGCCACAGUCUGAGAUGGUGCGUUUUUUCAUGAACACCCUUCCACCAGAAUGGCAAGGAGUGUUGAAUCGCAUAUGAGAUGUCAACAGAGCUGCUUCAUAUAAGAAAAUUGUGAUGGAUUUUAUAAAUGAAUAUUAUUGGAUUGUUACAAAGGAAAAGAUCAAGAAAUUGAACAAAAGAGGAUUGUUCCCAGUUCGUGUAUUGACUUGGUGUUAGUUGUAUUGGCUGAUCUUUGUUAGGUGUGCUUUGUGGACAUCUUAUGUUUACUACUUGAUUGUUGUUGAUGUAGCAACCAAUAUGUUAGUUGAAUUAUGUGAAAGCAUUAUUAUUCUAUUGGUUGUCAAAUAUUAUUUGCUUUCUGUUAUUGUUGGUUGCUGUGGGUAGUUCAUAGAAGUUUUUGUAGCUUCAUAAACUUUAUUUUGCAUAAGACAAUUAUAUUAAUGAUAGUUUUAAGUUAGGAUUUUUGGAGGACGAUUAGAAACAUAGUGACCUUUUGAUUCUGAAACAUUACUUGAAAUUGUUCAUUAAUAUGAUGGGUCUGUGCAAAAUGGAUGCAUAAAUUAUAAGCAUUAAUAAUUCGUGCAUAUAUGUCUGAUGUGUUCAGAUCAAUGACUUUAGCCACAAAGAGCAUAGUUGCCAAGCUGAACAAAGGUGAAAAGCUCAAUGGCGACAACUAUGAAAUCUGGCACAUGAAAAUCCAAUAUGUGCUAGAAGAGCAAGAGGCACUAGAGGCCCUUAACUUGACCAUGGUUGAACCUGAAGAAGGAAACACUGCACAGCACAAAAGAGAUAAGGAAACAUUCACUGCAUGGAAAAGAAAGAACUCUCUUGCUCGCAUUACGUUGCUGAGCAGCAUGGAUAAUGACGUCAUGCGAGAGUUUAGGCGUUUUGACAAUGCCAAGGAAAUGUGGGAAACAUUGGCAGCAAGAUUUGGUCAUAUUUCGGUGACCAGACUGUUGACACCUAUUUUUAGCAAAUCUAGGAAAAUAAGGAAAAUAAAAAUUGCAUUUUUUGGACAAAUAAAAAGAAAAAAUGAAAAUGGGGUAAAUUGAUUUGAUUGAAGUAUGCAAGGAAAUAUAGAAUUUUGAUGGAUGUUCGGAUUUUGUUAAAUGCAGCAAUAAUUUUAAAAUCAGGUGAACAAAUGGCAAUGAUUUUGAUAAAAUGGAAGGAAUCGAUGCAAAAUCGAGCUGAUUGCGAAAUCAUGCUCCGAUUUGCAUCCAUGAUUUAAUGCAACAGAAGAUGGAAGUUUAAAAUUUUCCCUAAAAAACGGUCGAUCGAAAUCACUAUAAAAGGGGUUGACCUGCACAAAAAAAAAAAAAUUGAGAGAGAAUCCGCUAAAAAAAUUCGUGCAAGAGGGAGAGAUUUUUCGAAAUUUUGGAAAAAAGAAGGCGGGAAAUUGUGAGAUUUUCGAGGAAAAUUGAGGAGCGAAAUUCGAAAAUGAGACAAGCUCCCUCCGUUGAUCUUUAGCCGAAAAGAAAGUGAUCUUUCUUUUCUCUUCUGACAGGCUGCAAAAGAAAAAGGAAAAGUCAGCCACUACAGUGAGGGAGACGUGAGGGACGUGUGAGGUGAGUUAAAAAAAAAAAAAAAAUCAAAAGAAGGCCACUGUUUGUCUUCCUCGUGCAGCCCCCACUUCGACGCCGCAGCACCUCCAGACGCUGGCAUCUCCCUUUGCCGGCCACUGUUGCUCUGCUUGCGACCCAGCGACGCCGCUGCCGCAACCUGCGACAGCCCGCGACCCCCUCGCGCCGGUCACGUCGUCCCGCUAGCCGCCGGAGAUCCCUCUCACCCACGAGCUUGCGCCACCACCUCACCCGCGAGCUCGCACCGCGCCCCCGCCAACGCCUGCAACUCCGGAUCCGCUGCCCGACGCCACCGGAGACCACACCGCCCCUGCUCCCCUCCGCCCGAGUGCCACACAUCCUUGCUACUGCACCACCAGAGCCCGACGCCUCCGCCUUGCCUCGGGCGAUCCGCGGCCAGGCGCUGCGACCCAAGCUGCGCCUCCCUUGCCGAGCGCUGCUUCGCCCUUGCCGGACCUCCGAUCAGCCACCCUUGGUCGGCCCUACGGCUGCCAAGCCCAUUUUGAGAAAAAAUAAAAAAAUAAAAGAGAAAACACAUUAGGUAGUUUUCUUUAUUUUAUUUUAUUUUAUUUAUUUUAUUUUAUCUUGCUCUUUUUAGUAUAAUUAGCCUUUAAUAUAUGAUUGGAAAUUCCAACAUAUCACCCGAUUCGCAACCGCGCCAGGGUUUUUUUAUUUCAUCUAUAAGGCCUUAGAUGAAAUAAUUAAUUAAGCGGGAAUAAAAUUGAUAUUUUGAUCUUUAAGGCUUAAGAUCAAUUUAUCGAUUUUAUCAGCGAAAUAUUACCCAUUGAUCUGAACGACGUGUGAUAUUUUUUAUGAUUUUGGAUGAUCUGUUUUGUCCUGGUUGUUUUAUUUAUCUUGACAUGUGUUUGAAUUAGAAUAUCGCAUGCUUUAGGGUAAUUUACAUAUUUAGACUAAGCAUUUUAUUUAUUUUGAAUUUUCGAAAUAAAAAAUAUACCAAAAACAUGAAUUUGGGAUGUUAGAUUUUCAUUUCAUUAAUUUGAAUUGCAUGUUUAAUUAUUUGGCAAUUAUUAAUUUCGAAAUUAAACAAAAAACGAAAAAUCAUCAUAUACAUGUCAUGUGGUGUUAAAGCAUAUUUCGCACGUCAUUGCAUAUUAAGACUAAAUUGCACUUAGUUCAAUUCUAGAUAAUUUUUUUCCUUAAUUUGUUAUAAGUUUAGGUAUUUUUUUUAGAUAUAUUGCAUUUUAGGAUUAUUUAGGUUAAGAUAAUGUUUUAGUUUAAAUUAGGAUUUGGCUCAACCUAAUUCCUAAUAUAAAUUAAAUAGGAUCUUAAUCUAAUUAGGCAAUUUUCACAUUUCACCUGAAAAAUAAAAAAAAAAUGUCAUAGGUUAAAUUAGUUUUAUUAUUCAUGAUAAAAUGCAUUCUUUUAGGAAAAAGAAAAAAUGUCAUAUACACGUCAUUAGGGCUAGAUUCACUGGGAUGCAUGUCAUUUAGUAUUUUUUCUAGGCCUAUUUAAUUAGAAAUUGCAUGUUAUUAGAAUUAGGUCAUUUAGUUAAUAUUGCAUUGCAUAUUGCAUGAUUUUUCAUUAAUUAAGUGAAAACAAAAAAAGAAAUUGCGUGGUAAUUAGAAACCAUAUCUAGGGUUGUUGAUGCGGUUUUUAACUUAACAUUGCAGAUGCUUUCGUUGCUUGGAGGUAAGUUUUUGCAAUUUAUUUAUUGUUUAUCUGGGUGUUAAAUUGGUGAAUUGCGCACCCGCAUGAUCACCUCACAUGUUAGGAAGUAGAUUUAAAAUUAAUCCGAACUGCCUGCAAAAAUAUAUUUUGAAAAUUAAUGGAAAUGGUACCGAAAGGGCAUUAGAAAAUUCUAGUGUAACCAAGUUCCCGUACCCUUAAUCUCUGGUUCGUAGGAGUAAAAUAAAUCUCCCUUUAUUUUACUUAGGUGUCUAAUCGACCUACCAUAAACUGAUUAGUGGCGACUCUUAGAUAAUAAUUUUUUGCAUGUUAAGAAACUUGAACCUUUAAGUCGCGAAUUGGUAUGGGCCUGGGAGAGCCCGAGCUAAGUUUGAAGACUUAGUAGUCCAUUAACCUAGUUUUAGGUGGUGCGCCAAAAAAAAAAAAGGCUGCGACACAGACUGAGGCAGCUCACUAUUAGGUUUGACUCUUAUAAGAAGUCUCAUGAUCAAACCAUGAAGCAACAUCUUAGAAAGAUAUCAAACAUGAUAAAUGAGCUGAAAGAUGCUGGCCAUGUCCUGACAGAUGAGCAGCAAGUGCAAGCAGCGAUUCGUUCCUUGUCUUAGAGUUGGGAGCAUAUGAAGGUGCACCUGACCCAUAAUGAUAAUAUCAAAACCUUUGAGGAUGCAGUGCGUCAUCUUGAGCUGGAAGAGAACCGCCUCUUGGCGGCUAAGCCGGAAGCUGAAAUCUAUCAUGCUGGUUCUAGCUCACAUGGAGCUUCGAGCUCUAAGCGCAAACGUCCUAACUGGUUUGAUAAAGGGAAAGACAAGGAAGCAGGUCCUUCAGGGAAGAAACCCAAGCUUAACCAACAUGAAAGAGGAAAGCGCCCUCAAAUGAAGAAGCUUACAAGGGUGAAGUGUUACAACUGUGACAAGAAUGGUCACUAUGCUCGCGACUGUCGUGAGCCAAAGAAGGUAAACACUCCUUGUACUUUUCAGAACUUUACUUUUGUGUCGAGUUCUGUAUUCUUAACUGAGUCUAAUCCUUUGUGGACUGUAGAUUCAGGAGCGACAGACUAUGUAGCGAAGGAUAAAGAAUCUUUCGUGGAAUUUCGACAAGUACCAACUGGAACUAAGUGGAUCUAUGUGGGAAAUAACUCCAGAGCUGAAGUAAAAGGAAUUGGCACCUGCCAACUGAACAUGCGUGGUGGACGCACUUUGUUCCUACAUGAUAUAUUGUAUGCUCUGGAGAUUCGUCGGAAUUUAGUGUCUGUUUUGGUGUUGGUUAAACUAGGUUUUAAUAUGAACUUCCAUAAUAGAGGUGUGGAUUUGUAUUUGAAUACAAACUACUAUGGUUGUGGUUAUUUUCUGGAUGGUUUCAUUGUAUUAGAUAUUGAUUAUGUUAAUGCAAAUGUGUGUUAUUCCAUUCUCACGUCUACUAAUUCGUAUGAUAAUGAUGUAAAUGUGUAGCAUGCUAGACUUGGUCAUAUUGGCUAAUAACGUAUGAAUAGAUUAGCCAAAGAGGGCUUGUUGGGCAACAUUGAAAAAGUCGAUUUGCUCAUAUGUAAGCAUUGCCUAGAAGGGAAAACAACAAGGAAACCAUUUGGAAAAAUGUCAAAGAGCUGAAUUUCCUCUACAUUUAAUCCAUUCUGACGUCUGUGGUCCAAUGAAUGUGAGAGGAAGGCAUGGGGCUGUUUAUUUCAUCACUUUUAUAGAUGAUUAUACUCGAUUCGGAUAUGUCUAUUUGAUUUCUCAUGAAUCUGAAGCAUUGAGUUGUUUCAAAAGAUUUAUAAACUUGGUAGAAAAUCAAUUAGACAAGAAAAUAAAAGCAUUGAGGUCCGAUCGAGGUCCGAUCGAGGUCGAGAAUAUUUAUCUGAUGAGUUCAGAAAAUUAUGUGAUGAAAAAGGAAUAAAAAGACAGUUGUCUAUUCCAUAUACUCCUUAACCAAACGGUGUUGUAGAGAGAAGAAACAGAACCCUACUGGAAAUGGUUAGGUCCAUGAUCACUUUUUGGAGUGAUGCGUUGUUAAUUGCUGCCAUAUACUUAACCCGGUGCCUUCUAAAUCAGUUACUUCCACGCCAUAUAAGUUAUGGACAAGUAAAAAACCGGACUUAAAUUUUCUUAAGCCAUGGGGUUGUGCUGCCUAUACUCAUGAGUCCUCUCACAUGUUUGGAAAAUUGGGUCCCAGAGGAAAGAAGAGUAUUUUCAUAAGAUACUCCGAACACUCGAAAGGGUAUGUGUUCAUAGGUGAGCAGGAAAGUAGGAAUAUAACUGAAUUUGAAUCACAAGAUGUCACAUUCUUAGAGGAUGAAUUUCCUAAGAAGGGCGAAAUAUGGGAAGAUUACUCCCUAUUUGAAAUCUUGGAUCAAGAUAAUGAUAUUAGUGGAGUUCGUCCAAGUGGGAGUAAUAUGAGAAGUGAUGAAUUGAAUUCAACUUAUUCUCAAUUGCAACCACAUGAUGAGACAACGUCAUCAUUAUCUAAUCCAAGUGGGAGCAUAAUGGGGAAUGAUGUGCAAAGUGUACAAUUUCCCAUACGGCGAAUAAGUCGCAAAAGUAUUCCUUGUCGACGUUUUGACAUUGAAAAUGAAACUUUUAUGAUUGCUCUACAAGAUAAGGAUGAGCAAAGAAAUAUUAACGAUGCUCUGAAUUGCCCUAGUAAUGAGAAAUAGAUUCAUGCAAUGGAAGAGGAAAUGGAGUCAAUGAAAUCAAACUAAGUUUGGGAACUGGUUGAUCUUCAAAAAGGACGCAAAGUUAUUGGGAACAAGUGGGUUCUCAAAAUAAAGCGAAAGGUUGUUUGCUCGAUAGAAAGGCAUAAGGCUCGCCUUGUGGCGAAGGGGUAUAAUCAACAAGAGGAAGAUAUGAAGAUACAUUUUCUCCUGUAGUGAGAUUUACCUCGAUUCGCAUUAUUCUGGCAAUAGUGGCUAGUAUGGAUCUUGAAUUACAUCAAAUGGAUGUAAAGACUGCUUUCCUCAAUGGAGAAUUAGAGGAAGAAAUAUAUAUGGAACAACCUACUGGUUUCAUAAUGAAAGGCCAAGAAGAAAAGGUAUGUCGACUUUUGAGGUCGAUAUACGACCUUAAGCAGUCAUCAAGACAAUGGUAUAUACGUUUUCAUAAUGCCAUAAUGGCAUAUGACUUUACAAUGAUAGAUGAGGAUCAUUGUGUAUAUUUAUCAAAAGAUCCAAGGAUCAUUUUGUGAUCAUAUCAUUAUAUGUUGAUGAUUUACUAAUUGCCGGAAGCAAUAUGGAGCUUGUUAAUACUGUCAAGAGUUGGUUGUCUUCCAACUUUGAGAUGAAGGAUAUGGGUGAGGCUGCAUACAUUCUUGGAGUUAAGAUUUCAAGAGAUCGUUCGAAGAGACCAUUAUCUCUUUCGCAAGAAACAUAUAUAAACAAGGUUCUUGAACGAUUUCGUAUGUAAGAUUGUAAAUCUAUAAACACUCCUAUUGCAAAAGGUGAAGGAUUGAGCCAUAGACUGUGUCCAAAGACUCCACAAGAGAAUGAACAAAUGAAGUAUGUUCCUUAUGCUAGUGCUGUUAGGAGCUUGAUGUACGCUAUGAUGUGUACAGACUUGACAUAUGUUUUGCAGUUGGAAUGGUGAGUAGAUACCAAUCCAAUCCAGGUCUAGCACAUUGGAAAGCCGUUAAGAGAAUACUAAGGUAUCUGAAGCGAACUGCUGAUUACAAGUUGAAUUACCAAGGAAAGGAUCUGCGACUUGAAGGCUAUUCAGAUGCUGAUUGGGGAGGAGAUUUAGAUGAAAGAAAAUCUAUCUCUGGAUUUUCUUUCUUAUUGAACAAUGGCGCCAUAUCAUGGAGCAGUAAGAAGCAAACGUGUAUAGCCUUGUCAACGAUGGAAGCUGAGUUUGUGGCAUUAUCAGCAGCGGUACAAGAAGGAGUUUGGCUUAAGAGAUUUUUGGAUCAUUUAGGUGUUAUUGAGAAAGCUGCGAAUCCAUUAUUGGUUAACUGUGAUAGCAAGUAGCUAUUACGUACACUAAAGAUCCAAAAUAUCAUGGCAAGACCAAAUAUAUAGAUACCAAGUAUAAAUUUGUCAAAGAUACGAAAGGAUGUGAACUUACAGUACAUAUCUACGAAUAGAAUGGUAGCAGAUCCUAUGACAAAGCCAAUAUCUAGAGAUGUGUUUUGCGGUCAUGUAAAAUCUCUAGGAUUGCGUAAAGUUUGAUAUACUGGAUUGUAAUUUCCCUGAUUUGUUCACAUUUAUGAACUUGUGUUUUUCAUUGUUAAUGCCUAUGAAUCUUUGUUUGAUCUUUAUGCAUCUUAAUGCUCAGUGCAUUAUUUUAAGUUGAGAAAAUAUGUCGGACAUAUAUAAGAUUAGCCUACUUACAUGGGUAAUCGCCUCUAUUUACUGUGUGAUAAAUAGAGAUGAGACUGUUUUUAAGCUUAUUAUCUAGGUGAUAAUCGAGAGCUCAAGUAUUUUAUUUUAUCUGUCUAUGAUGUCAGAUGUGAGUUCUGAUGAAUUUUGUGAAUGAUUAAAUACGUGAACUCAAGUUUGACAUUGGGUAUGUCUGAAUUAUCAUAUGUACGGUAUUGAAAGGUGUAGACAUACGCUCAAUGGGAAAUGAGUUAAUACCGUAAUACGUAUUUCAUACUACGUAUGCAUGAGCCGACCAAUAAGAGUGUCAAAAGUUUGAUCUCAACUUUUAUGCCGUAUGAGACUCUUGAGGAAAAGAGUUCCUCAAUUUUAGUGCCCUCAUGACUUUUACUUAUUCUAAAGAUUUCUAUUUAGUGUUUGCUAUCUUAGGAUGUUGCCAAUGGUCAUGAGUAGAUUCAAUCUAAUGGGACAUUUCUAGAAAAGCAAGCUAAACUAAAAUUGAGAGUUUGAAGGAAAGAGGAAGAUCGAAUUUGGAGAAUCACAUUGUGUUUUUGUAUUCACUGGUCGACCAAUUAUGACUGUCUCUGGGAUAAUCAAAUUGAGAUAGAUAUAUAUAUCAUUGUUUAAAAGAGAUCAAGAGAGAUAUAAAUGUGAUCGAUCGAUCUAGGGUACUGCAUACUAAAUCUACUCAGAGUGUGAUGCCCAUUAUGAGCUGUUAUAUAUUCCUAACAGAUGUAUAGCAACGAGCUCUCAAAGUAUGCUGGUCGCACGGAUUAUUCAUUGGUAUGAAUAUUGAAGUGAGGUAAAGAGGAUCUUGUUCGGCCCACCAUGUGCGAGUGGGAGAUGAUUUUUUUUUAUGUGAUGGGCCUAAGUUGGCCCGUCUGCCUAUGUUGGGCCUAAAAGCCCGGCCCACAAGAUUAGGGCCCAUGGAUGGAGGGAUAUGAUGAAGGGGUACGUUUCUAUUUUGGAGGAGACGUAUAUAAGGGAGGAAAGAGAGGGAGGACACACCUUUUGGCAUUUGUACGUACGUUCCUCUUCCUCUCUCCCUCCAAAACAAAAACUAAGGCUAAAGGUGACGCUGUCUUCCCUUCAAGGCCAAUCGACGUCAUUGGAUCGAACGAGAUCGGUUUUCUCUUCCUCUAAUCGGCGUCGGUGUUUAAUCUGUGGCUAACAAGGUACGCUCGAUUCCGUGGUGUGCUUUAGGAUCGGUGAUACAUGUUUUUUUUUUUUUCGAGCUCGUCUUCCGCAUUCGUUUUAGGGGUUUGAUUUUGUGUCGAAUCCGGUUUUUGGGAAUCCGACAAUCCCAACACUAAGGAUGAUCAGGCGCGGGAGGAGGGAGGGAACACGGUAAAAGCGGUGAGGUGGCGGGGCAGCGGAGUGCACCGGCAGACUACUCCUGUUCAAUUUCGAUUGGGUUUGUGAGGUUAAUAAUAAUUCAGACGCACACUCAUUAAUGCCACAUUCCAAGCCUAAAUGAACUAAAAAGGACGUGCUUCUGGAUGUCCUUAUCCUUUCUCGUUAUGUUGUUCUUCAUUUUGAAUUUGAAAUAAAGGGUCAUGACCUAGUUAAAAUUAUGGGUUUUAUUUUUCCCACGGGGAACACCAAAGAGGUUCAUGAGAAAAUAUAAUGAGAAAUCUUCCAAUGGCUUGUGGAAUUGGAAAAAUGUGAUGAGAUGGUUUGGUUAUCAAACGGUUGGGAUGAAUUCGUAGAGCAUUAUUCUAUCUGUGUGGGACAAUUUUUGCUCUUCAAAUCUGAAGUGGACUCCAUUUUCAUGUAAUCAUAUUUGAUAAAAGCAAGUCCAAGAUAGAAUAUCCGCCAAUAAAUGCCAAUGGGACGAACCGACCCUCAGUAGUUGGGCAUUUGUCUGGCUGAAAGUGGAAGAUGCCGACGAUUUCCAUGAUGUUUCGGUCAAGCUUGAAGUCUAGGGGGAAGAAUUGCAUUCACCCAAGUGUCCUCGGCUUUGUAAGGGAAUGGAAUCAGAUCGGGUUUGCGAAGUUCAUGACGGUUCCUAUGCACACUCAUCAGCACGGAGUUUGCGAAGAGAUGGAAGUUCGAACUGCUUAUCAUGAGAUUUUCGAGGUAUGAAUCUUAGUCUAUGAGCUGGUUCUCCAUUUGACUAUGUUCUCGUGUUUGAUUCCAAUUCCGUAUUCCAUAUAGGAACUCUCCACGUGAUUUGGCUAAGAGAGGGAGCGUUAAAGAUAAUUCAUCCUUGUAGUGUUUAUCUAUCUCUAGCUUUCCCAUGUGUGCAUAUGUAUGUUUUAGGGGAUCUCAUAAAUGUCAAGCCAAUGGAAACAGGCCGAAUGAGUCUUAUCGGAUUUGAUUGUGCUGAAAAUGACAUUGGUGUGCAUAUAGGCCUCGAAAGCUAGACCAUUAGAAAGACCCAGAUCCAUCAAAUUGGGGUUGAUGUGUCGGGAAAUAUGAAUUUCACAUAAUAAGAAUAGCAUAUGCCUAAGCUUUCUUCAUGUUCUAAUUUGCGACUGUUGCAGAUAAACUGAAACAACUGGGCUUGCGCAGAGUUGUCAAAUCGGCCAGCAAAAUUAAACCGACCACAUUGCGGUGAGGUCAAUAUAUCUAAAGAAAAGCAAUGUGGUAUGAUCCUCCUGACAAUGACAACACUUGAAUUUAAAUCACAGAGUCGCUAAACUAUAUUUGUGACAUCCUGAAAUUCGACCCCAUUUCGAUAAAGUGAAAUGGACAUUUCGUCAACGUGCUUAGGGUCCUUUUUCUCUGAACUGAUCACUCACGAGUUAACUAACCAAUUGGGUGAAGCCGUUAAGGGACGUAUCUGCAGUAAAAUCCCUAAAAGCUACUCAAUUUGUUGGAUUGGACUAAAAUCACGUUUGAUCGAUUUUUAACCACGAAAUUGAACUCGAUUUCGGGAAUCGAAUUUUAAGCGCGUCAUAAUUCUUAUUUUUAGGAUCCUGUCUCAUCGUUCGUCAAUUUAUUGACGAGUCCGAAAUUUCAAGAAAGAAAUUAUCGGAAGAAAAAUUAAAGCACGAAAGAAAAUAAAAAGAGAAAGAGAAGAGAAAAUAAAAUAAGAAUAAUUAUAUUAGUUUUACUUUAUUUUUCCCUCUCUCCCUCUCUCUUCUUUUCUUUCUUUUUCUUUCUCUUCUCUUCUCUCUCUCUUCUCUCCCCUCUCCCUUUUUCCCCUCGUGCAAUUCCCCCACCGCCUACCUUUUCUCUCUCUUUUCCCUCUUUGACCGGUCAAUACCUAUCCUCUCUGUCUCUCUCUUUCUUUUUCUUCAUCUUCCUCCCCGUGCAUCCGAAGAAGCGUACCAGAAGAGGAAGCUUGAGCAGAAGCCGCUGCUCACCGCCCGUCCCGUCGCUCGCACCCGCGACGCCCGCCCGCGCACGUCGUGCGCUCCGCCCCGCGUCCGUCGCCGCUGCCGCUCCUUCCUCGCGCGAAUCAGCCCCUGCUCAGCUCGGUUCCGUCCCGACCAGCCCCCGUCCGGCCACCUCCAGCCGCCGUUCGACCUCGCCGGACUUCCCCGGCGUCCCCCUCGUCCUCCGCCGGCCUCCCCUCGCCGUUUUGGCCGCCGGAGCAGCCCCGGCCAACCCCGACCAGCAACCCACGAAAUGGAUUUCUAGCGGCUUUAGGCCCGCUUUGAGCCGUUCCGAGCCCCGAACCCGAGCCGUGCUUUGGAGUUUGUUAUUCCUCGUGUCGCCCCCGUCUGAUUGAUCCGAUUUGCACGCGAUUUGGUGAGUAAUCUCACUAAUCUGGAUUAGUUGGCUAAUUAUGUUUAAGGUUGGUUUAUUUUUAAUUAAUUAUGUUUAGGUUGUUAGAUUAGAAUAAAUUAGCAAUUAUUAGUCAAUUGUGAUGCGAUUUAGAUAAAUUGAUUGCGUAAUUAGCAAGUAGACGUGGUCUACUAAUUAUUGGAAGUAUCUCGGGAAUUUUCCGACCCAUAAUCGGGCUUCAAUUUGGCGAUUCGGACCUAAGUGGGAUUUUUGGCAUUUAAAUAUUAUUUUUCGGAAUUAAAUUAAUUUUUUAUUUAUUUUCCGAAAAUUCAACUGGGAUGGUCAGUGACCGGAAUAUUAUCUUGAUGACUGUGGUGAAGUCCGUUUAUUUAAUCGCGCUUUAUUUUGAGCUAAAUUGAAUUUUUAAUAUUAAUUAUUUAAUUUUCGAAAUUAAUUAAUUAUUUAUUUAUUUCCUGAAAAUUCAACUGGGAUGGCCCGUGACCGGAAAUUUAUGCUGGUAAUCGUGGUGCAGUCCGUUUAUUUAAUUGGGCCUUAUUUUGAGCUAAACGGAAUAUUUAAUAUUUAAUAAUUAAUUUUCGAAAUUAAUUAAUUAAUUAAUUAUUUUUCGGAAAUUAUGAUUGAGAUGGUCGACGACCGAAAUCUCGUGCUGAUUGUCGUGGCACAGUCCGUUUAUUUAUUUGAGCUUUGAAUUGUGCUGAAUUGAUUUAAUUGUGGAUAUUUAGGAUAUAUUCCUAAAUUGAUUAUUUGGGUAAGUUGAGUACGAAUUAAGGUUGUGUAUAAUUACUUUAGAAAUGUGAUGAAUCAUCAUGAAAGGCACGUGGCUCGGUGAAUAGUACAUCAUCUCGGAGAAUGCACGUGGCUCGGCGAUUUGGUAUAUCGCUUCGGAGAAUGCACGUGGCUCGAUGAUUAGUACGUCGCCUUGGAGAAUGCACGGGGCUUGAUGAUUAGAUAUAUCACCUCGGAGAAUGCACAUGGCUCGGUGAUGAAGUAUGUCGCCUUGGAGAAUGCAUGUGGCUCGGUGAUUAAGUGUGGCAUCUUGAAAGAGACACGUGGGCUCGGUAAUUUGAUGCAUUACCUCGGAGAAUACACGUGGUCUCAAUGAGUACAUUUGGCAUCUUGAAGAGACACGUGGGCUCGGUGACUUGAUGCAUUGCCUCGGAGAAUGCACGUGGGCUCGCUGAUUCAGAAUGGCAUUUUAAAGGGCACGUGGGCUCGGUAAAUUAAUGCAUUACCUCGGAGAAUACACGUGGCUCGGUGAUUGAUUCUAUUAGUUAUGACUAUAUAGCAAUGACUAGAAUGACCUAGAGAUGGUCCGGCUGACAUGUAAUUGACUAGGUCGAUUGAUCAUUGCUUUGAUUUGACGUCGUGAAUUGAUCGACUGAUUGGGAAUGACCGUGAGUGGUCUUGUUGGCAUAUAAUUGACUAGGUCGAUUUGAUCGAUGCUUCGAUCUGUGAUGUGAUUUCUUGGGUGUCUAUUUGAUCUGUGCUAACAUGCAGGUGGGAUCUGAGGCCGAGGUACGUCUUCUGCCCUAUGCGUGUAUAGGCAGCCUAUAGUAUAAUGAUUUACUAAUCGGGCUUAGUGGGGUAGAACUCGCUGAGAUGUAGUCUCAUCCCAGUUUGGGGAAAACAUUUCAGGACUUCGAUGAGGAGCUGAGGAGGAGGAGUCUGAGAAUGAGAACUCGGAGGUGAAACCUGAGGAGAAGGAUUUUUUUGAAAGAAGAAGAUAAUACUGAGAGGAGUCUUAAAUAUGAUGUGAAUAGAAAUAGAGUAAAAAGUUGUGAAGUACUCUGGUUUGUGUUUUGUAUAAAAGGUUUGGUUAUAAGGUUCAAUAUGAAAAAUAUGACCCUGCUUUUCUAUCCCAUUGUUUUAUUGUCUGGGGAUUUAUAACUGCUUCCGCAUGUGCUUAAUAAAUGAAAGGGUCGGCGAUACAUUGUCCUGGGAUAUCGCAUUAUAAAAUCGACCAAGUGAGAAGGAUGUGUGCGUGCCCGAGGAUCGGGGCGUGACAAUAUUAGCUCUAGAUUGAUUGUGCAUCGGGUCAUUAAUUUCUGUUUUUAUCCUUGACAUGCUUUGAAAAGGAUCCUCGUACUGUCUUGGUUAGAAAUCGUUGGUUGUCUUCUUCUUUCUGAUGACAAAACUGCCGAACGUGCGCUUGAGCAAAGAGUUCCCGGUCCAUUCCCAAAGAUGCACUUCAAGAAAAGCCUGUAGACUGUGGCUCUUAUAUAUCAGGACAAAUCGUGGCCGGUGAAGCGCAUUAGCCACGAACAUUAUGGAAAGUCAUCUAUUGGUUGGGCUACUUUCUCGAGAGAAACUUCUCUGAAGGAGUGAGGCUUGUGCAUGUUCGAGUUCUAUUAGAAGGGGCAACGUCGUGUUCAGAGUAUACAUCUUCAAGACCACUAGCCAGAGGUAGCUGAAAAAUCCUAUGCAAUAGGACACGGCAAAGGAAGCAUCACUUUAGCUCAGAAUUGCUUGGCUAAAAUCUGCUUCAAAUUUGACAAAUCAGAAAAAAGCAUGAGUUUUAUUCUAAUGAAUGGAAAGAUACCUUUAAUCGAUCCUAGCGUUACAAUCACCAUGUGGGGAUGAGUCAUGAGUCAUGAGACGGAGGAAGCUAAUUGCAUCUAGUACAAGUCACACAGCCUCAUUUCCUUACUCCUCCCAUAGUAGAUUUCCGUUGUCAUCGGACCACUCUCUAUACUUCAAAACACAAAAGGAAAUUUAUAUUCAUUUAAGCAAAGAGAGAUAAUAAAAGGAUGUAAAAGCCGUCCUUCGAGUCUAUAUUAAUCAAAAUAUUUAGUGCUCUCUUGCAGUUAAUACAUAGAUUCUGAUUAUAAUCGGACAUCUACUGAGCACAACCGAAGAAGAGUUCUAUAAGCCAGCAAUGACAUAAAAAAUAGUUCCACAAGAGGGCUCAACCUCCUCGACUUAUUAAAUGAAUCACAAGGCAAGGAAAAGAGAACUUGGGCAAUUAAUGGCAUUAAACACAAUUAAUGCGAAUUAUGCAGGAAUUAUUAGAAUUAUAGUGAGCUGGGGCUUAGAUGGUGUUCCUUACUCAUGUCAAUUGAUGAUGAUAAAGAAAAGUAACUAUGUGAAAGUUACCAAAACAUUUAAAAAUUUAGUGUCACUUUAAAACUUACAAAAUUUAUUAAUCAGAUAAAAAAAAUUUACAAAUUAUGUACGGUUACAAAUUACUUUCAAUCUGCGGAACGUUACUUACAAAUUUGAAAAACUCUUUUAUGCAUGUGACACUCCAAAUUCCAUAUGGAUUGGAAGAGGGAUAAUUGACCAAUAGAUAAGUGUGAACACGAACCACCCCCGCUAGAUAUUCAUCCCCGCUAGAUAUUCAUCUCCCGAAAAACUUAUUUAGGGGCUUAAAUCAUAACAAACCGGAUUGUUAAUAUUAGAAAAUUUCAUGCCUGACUUAUAGCUCGAACUUGCACAUUAAUUAAAGAUAUUUAACUUUUACUAGCCGAGUGAGUAGACAAAUCUAGCGAGCAAUUAUCUACUUGGUAUUUGGCUCAAAUAAAGGUUGUACUCUACAAUGUUGACUUAAGAAAAGUAUAUAAUUCUCUCAAAUUAAGAUAGGUAAUUUCACACAAAAAUUGUUAAGCGUGAUUGUGGUUGGUGGAGGAGAAACACCUAUGUAGAUAAACCAAGAAAGCGAAUCUUCUUAAUACCAAAGUAAGUUAUACUAGCCAUUUAACUUAAUUCUCCAAAAAAGUAUCAACUUUAUCUGGAGUAUCAAUUCAGGCAUAACCUUUUUUUUGUAACAAAAAAUCAUCAACUUCCAUGCCUAAAUCUGACCCCGAUUAGCUUUCCAUCAACUAUUGGUGUUAAAUGUUUGAUGCAUCAAUUUCACGUCAUUAUCUUUUUCCAAGUCAGAAUUCAUAUAUAUAUGCUGUCUUCUUUUUUCUUUUUUUCUUUUUUCCAUUUUCCUUUUUCUUUCUUCUUCUUCUUCCUUUCACUGGACGAUAACCUGACCACCGUGAGUCAGCCGUACGAUCCAAUCGGACGAGGUCACAUGACUUCCUCUUGGUUAAGUCACCCCAAACAGGGAGGCCAAUCUGUAGUUUCAACACUCUGAAUCCCUUUCGAGUGACAUGUACCAUGAUCUCAUGAAGGUAAAUGGAGUAACGCAAAUUGAGAAGAUUUCAAUCUAUUUUGUAAAGCUCUGGCCACCCAGAAAGAGGACAAGAGAGAAAGAGGUUCAUUUCAAGAACCAUCAUCAGAAGGAAAUUGAAUAGCUACAGUACAAACUGUUAUUCUGAUCUUAUUAUGUGGAUCAAAUCAAUGUACAAAGAGCAUUAGGAUACAUCAUCACGGAAUUGAUAUUCUCGCUCCCUGCUACAGAGAAAGCAAGUUUCCUAUAGAUAUUCUAAUAGGUCUUGUUGACUCUCCAGUUCCCAAAUCACCGCUUUACCAUCCAAUCCUGUCAUUUAGGGAUUGGAAAAUCAGUUGGCCUCUUUAAAAAGAAAGCGAAAAGAUAAUCCACUUCAAGCAUUAAGAAACAUGAGAUAAAAGUACGUUUGUUUGCCAACCUGAAAUGUCGAAGCGUGUUAUGGUCGAACUUCCAGCCUCCCCAAGUGGCACAAUACAACUGCAGUCACACAAAAUUAAUCUUGCGUAAGUCAUUCAUCCCAUGAUAUUGGCAUUUUACUCAUCAACUCUCCUAAUCCACAUCAUCUACUGGACUCAUGUUUGGAAAUGCCAGAAGAAAAAAAUCUGGAGAAGAGUUCAAGCUUAAUAUACAUCGACGCAGGCACGCAUGCAGUCCAAUUAGCACAAGAAAAACAGCUGUAAGAUGACUGUCAUCUUUAUAAUGUAAAAAGGAAGAAGUGAUUGUUAUCAUGUUGAUAGAUACGUUAUGCAGUUCUCGUGAACCCCUCCUCGCUGUCUUGAAUUGUCAACGCCAUCAUACGUUAUGCAAAACGGCGUCGUUUUGGGUUCCGUUCGCCGGAAAAAGGCCACAUCGACGUUUUGGCUGAAUUUUGGCCGGAUUGGCACUCAAGUGAUCCAUUUUACUCCGAUUUUGGUACUUAAGUGUACCUUUCGUAAGUUAUGGCACUUAAGUAUCCCUUUGGGCAAAGUUAAGGCACUUCAGGGGUCCGCACGUCUUAGGAUAUCCAUUGAAAAUGACCAUGAACCUAAUUUAAAGAUUCACCCACAUAAAGUCCCAAUCCCUUUAUCAAUUCAAAUUAUUUUUUUGAAAUUCUUUACCGUGGAGACUAUGGGAGUCUGGAGCAAAAGUAAGUGACAAUGGAUGUCGGCAUCAACUUUUUCCAGUGGAAAAUAAAGCAUGCUUUUUUUUUUUUUGGUAUAGUAUCGCCGAAGGCAUAAGGCAGGUUCAUCAAAUGUAUGGCACUUGGUCAAUUAUUUGGUUACCCACAAACUUUUUAGACGGUUGUACAAUUCCUUACUAAAAUUAGAGAGUAAAUGUGACUUCAAUCAGUAAGGUAAGGUUUUAAAGAUUUUGGCAUUUUCACUUAAAUAAGUAUGAAAGCAGAGUACAAAGAUCAAGAGGAUGUUUCAUCUUUCAAUUGAAAAUUAAAACUGUCCGAGCACUAGAAAUCGGACCUUCAACAAGUCAGAGUACCACGGCUGGAAACUAAACUUAAUCUAGAAAUCGCGCAUCAUGGGGACCUCCAAAAGAAGGAAAAAAGCACGGAAGAAACAAUUGGUGAAAGCGAACGGUGAACCGACCGAACAACCUCUACAUAUGCAUAUAUUUCCAAAGAAUAACCCCGUCUCACUUAUAGGGAUGAUUAUGAGGGGCUCUCUUUCAAAAAAUCUGUGAAAAAUUGAAAGACAAUACAUGAAAAGUCAAAACUUAUUUUCAACUAAUGCUCAACAUUACCUUAGUUGGGUAGAAGGCUCCAAGUUGGCUCAAGUCAUAUAUGUCAAUAAGUAGAAUAUCAUCAAAGUUGCCCUUCAAUAUAUAAAUCAAUAACACGGCCAUUUUAAGUUUUAGAGCUAUUUUGAUUUGCAUACCAUUUCAAAAAUAAAACCUCAAUUUUUUUUCCCUUUCAGUUAGCUUGAUUAUAAUUUUACUUCUCUAUUUUUUAAUAUGAUUUCAUGCCAACACGAGGAGUGGGCUUAGGAAUAGUACCUAAUCCUUUUUUGCGCUCAAAUCUCUUUGCCUUCUUUGUCCCUAAUCAUUCUUGCUUUGUUUCGCUCUUCCAUUAUUCUCUGUCUCUUUGUUUUUGUUUUUGUUUUUUUUUUCUGGGUUUUCUCAACUAAAAAAAAAAAAAAUCAAAGAAAAAUUUAAAAUCGAUGAGACUGUUGAGAAAAAAUGGGAAACAUCACAUUAAAUUCAUCUCAAGAAGUAUUUGUGGUUAAAGAGCAAGAGCAAAAAAACAUUAGAAAAAUCUCAAUUAUAUCAUCAAAUGAUAAUUUUUUUGAUAAUGUUCUGCUUGGGCUAUGAGUGCAUCAACCUCGAAAAUCCACGUCUAUGCUGGCUCCAUCUAUUUGUCUUCUUGACUCCUUAAAAAAGGAAGUCAUGAUAUUUUUUUCUUGGAUUGCUACAAAAUUUAACAGUUAAUACUUUUGACAUUUCACACAUAAUCAAUGAUGAUAUGGGCAUGCAUCUUCAAUCUUCCAUUACCGCUUUAUUGCACCGAAAGGUGAAUUCCCAAGACUGAAAGAGAAAGAUUCCUCUGGUGGGCCUUCCGUUCCACCGAAACCCUUGAAAAAUAGUCAAGAGGAUCUUCUAAAGUCGUUGUGAUGAUUUGGUGUAUACAUGCAUAUUCACACACAUUGGGCGAGGCUAUUCACUCUCCCAAUUUAGCUUAAAAUCACAUCCUUUUAAGUAAACUCAAUUAUUAAUAGACCUGCAUUUUAUUUAAAAAUAAACAAAUCUGCCUUUUCCAAUUUCUCUCUCAUCUAUUGCCUGGUCUAUUUGAGAGUGCUAGUAUGAAUACCUAGAGGGGGUGAAUAGGUGUUUAAAAUAAACCUUGGCAAAUAUAUGCGGAAUAAAAUAAACUUCAAGUAAAAUAAAGGAGUUAAGGAAGAGAAUAAGAACACAAUGUUUAUAGUGGUUCGGCUUAAUCCAAGCCUACGUCCACUCUCCCACGCUAACAGCCUUCUUGGCUGGAUUCCACUAUGCAAUCAACAAGAGAUUACAACUUUGAGUGCAAACACUUAGUAGUAGAUCACACUAUCUCACUAAGUCACUCUUUUGGUAUUUCUCUCACGAUCACAAAUGUUUAAGCUCUCCAAAGACAAGUGUAUGAUCGAAGGUCGCUCAGACUUUGGAAUUAUAAAUUUUACGCUCCGUCUCUUACUUGCUCAUCGGUCCUUCAUCUCCUUAAAUACUCCUCCACUUCCAAACUAGCCGUUGGACAAUAUCUUGAGGAUCGUCUUCCAAUAUACCCAUUGGACAGCUCUGUAUCUAGAAGAUUUGGUAGCCGUUGAGUGACAAAGGUAAAAUCCCAAAUUAAUUCCAAUCGCCCAUACAAACGGAAUCUUGGUUUCCAUAAGUAAAGCUUCUUCGUAUAGAAAGAUCUUAUCUUCAAGAUCCAAUUGUCAAUCAAAUAGAUUGAGUCAAUCAAAUCAAUCUUGAUGUGGAAUCCAAACCAGAUCACUAGCCGUUAUAUGAUUGGGCUUGAGUUACGUUCUGUCAAGUUCUGGAUAUAAAGUCUGAGAGUAAUAGACUUUACAAUCUGAGUCUGAGUGUGAUAGACUUUGCAAUCUGGGUCUGAACAUAUUCUGCUUCUGAACAGAUUUAGCUUUAAGGUCUGAGUUCAGCUCCAACAUAGAGUCUGUCUUAUGGUUCAGCUUCAGCAUAGAGUCUGUCUUCUGGUUCAUCAUUCACGUUCAGUCUGGAAUUUGUUAGAAUGAGCAGACUUCUGAUGUAGAAUAGACUUUGACACUAAAGUCUGGCAGUCUUCAGACUUUGAGUCUUGAGUCUAGCAAUCUUCAGACUUUGAGUCUUGAGUCUGGCAGUCUUUAGACUUUGACACAGAAGUCUGGAAAUCUUCAAAAUAUACUCUAGACAUAUGUUACAUUCAGUCUUCUGGCCGUCUUCUGACUUUGAUAAUAUCUUCUAUAUGUUCUAACAUCUGCAUGGUCUAUUACUCAACCAUCAAACAUGUUAGUAGCCUUUGAUUUAUUUUGUCAUCUUCAAAACAUCAUAAGGGAUUUCCCUAACAAUCUCCCCAUUUUUUAUGAUGACAAAACAAUCUCUGAAUAUGCAAAUUUGUAAACAUGCUUUUAAAGAUAUUAAUUUAAAUCAAAGGAUAUCAGAAGAUAACAAAUAGAUUGAGCAUAAUAAUAUAUAGAAAAUAAUCGCAGCUCAAUAUUAUGCAAUAAAUAAUAUCAACAAAUCAGCACAUAUGCAUAUUCAUAUCUUCUCCCCCUUUUUGUCAUAAUCAAAAAGCGAUUAUGAUGGAAAAAGUAUCACAUAGAGAAUAGAGAAUGAUAACAAAUAUGUCUUGCAUAAUUUCCAAAAAUAAGCUUUUAUAAGGUAAAUCGAAUAUUAAAAAUAUGCAGUAUAGCUCACUUCGAUCAUAUCGGCAAAUAUCCAAUAAAAAUCAUGGAUGCAUCAUAACUUGCACGUACCCUUUCCUUCCAUCCAUAAUAAGAUCACGAUCAAUCCAAAAAGAUUUUUCCAUAAUUGAUCAAGGCUCCCCCUCAAUUUGUUGCAUUUUUGAGAUGAUCACGAUUCUUUCAUUUUUCUUGGAUUUGCUUUCUCCCCCUAUGAUCAUGGCAAUAUUUGCGAAUAGAAACAAUUGUUGCUUGUUGUCGCGACCUAAAUUUUUAGGGUGGGUGAACCACCUAGGGUUUGGCUAAUGGAUUACUAAGUCUUUAAGCUUAGCUCGAACCCUCCCAAGCCCAUACCAAUUCGCGACUUAGAUUCAAAUUUCUUAACAUGCAAAUUGAUUUUAUUUAGGAGUCGCCACUAAUCAGUUUAUGGUAGGUCGAUUAGACACCUAAGUAAAAUAAUGGGAGAAUUACUUUACUCCUACGAACCAGAGACUAAGGGUACGGGGACUUGAUUACAUUAGAUUUCUCUAAUGCCCUUUCGGUACCAUUCUUUUUAUUUUCAAAAAUGUUUGGCAAUUGAAUUGAUUUUAAACUAACUUCCUAACGUGUGAGGUGAUCAUACAUGUGCGCAUACCACCAAUUUAACACUCAAGAAAACAAUUAAAUAUUGCAAAACAUACCUAGGAGCAACGAAAGCAUCUGCAUUGUUAAAUCAGAAUUCACAUCAGCAGCCCUAGAUAUGAUUUCUAAUUAACAAGCAAUUACUCAAUUUUUGUUUUCACUUUAUUUAAUGAAAAUCAUGCGAUGCAUGCUAAUAAUCUAAUAUGACGGGGCAGCAUGACCUAAACUAUAUGACAUGAAGAAAUGGAAUAAUUAAAUGCAAUCUAAAUGACCUAAUUCUAAUGACAUGCAAUGCGAUGCAAUGACAUACAAAAUUAUUUAACCUAAAAUGACAUGCGACCUAUAUGUCAAGCGACAUUUAUUAAAUGACAUAAUCUAAUGACGGGCAAUUUCUAAUUAGAAAUGAACCUAACAAUAAUCACUAAAAUGACGUGCAUUUCAUGGACUUAAUUUUAUAUAACGUGCACAUGAUUUUUCUAUUCUAAAAAAUGAAAUCUAUUCCUAGAAAUUGCAACUAAUUUAUCCUAAGACAAAUUUUAUGAAAUUCGAAAUUUAAAAAUGCAAAGGUGAUCUAGCCAAAUUAAGAUUCUAUCCAAUUUAAACUAGGGAUUAAGUUAUACCAAAUCCUAAUUUAAACUAAGACAUUAUCCAAAUCUAUGAUGCAAUUUAUCUAAUAUGCAAUGACAUGCAGAGAAUGCCCUAAUUCUAUAUGACAUAUGCAUGAUAUUUUAUAUCUUUUGUUUUUUUAUUUAAAAUUCAAAAUUUAAAAUUGCCACGUAAUUAAUCAUGCAAUUAAAAUCCUAACUUAAUGCAUUUUUUUAAAUAUUUUUUUGAACUAAAAUUGCUAUCCUAGAUAUGCAAGAUAACAAGAAAUAUUCUAAAACAACCUGAAUCUUGAUUCAAAAUUUUUUUGGGUUUUUUAGUGAUCAAGCACUUAUCAACUAAACAUUAAAUCUAAACAGUUAAUAUAAUCACUCAAUAAAGGAUCAAGAUAAUUGAAAAAAUAACCUGUCGUCUCACAGGUUAAAUUAACAAUUAUUCUAACCCUAACUAUCACAAAACUCAAAAUAAUUAAAAAUCUAGUCCGAAGUCUUACGGACCAAAUUAAAUAAUUAUCAUGAUUUAACAAUUGAGAUUCUACCAAAAAGCCCAAAAAUUAAAAAUAAUUAGAAAAAUGAUCCGAUGUCUCUCGGAUCAAAUUAAUAAUUAUAUUAAUUUCGGACAAAAUCCCUACGGAUAAUGCAUAUUAAAGUCACAAAUAUUAACAUCAAAUAUUACAAGUUAAAUAGAUGAACUAAAAAUGAGAUAAAAUAGAACAAAAUAAAUAAAAGAAAAAGCUAAACCACCUAAAGAAAGAGGGGCUUGCUGCAGCGUUGAUGGGUGCCGGACGGAGGAUGGCCGGCGUCAGAGCUCCGGCGAGGGCACAGCAGGUGCACAGUGAGGAGGUGUCGCAGGGCGCGGGGCCUGCUGUCGGGCACCGAGGAGACGUGAGCAACAACGAUGUGGGCUCUGGCGGUGUUGGGUUGCGGCAGGAACAGCAGCACGGCGGCGGCUAAGCGUCAGGUCUCGGCGCGGUUCGGCAGCAGUGUCGGCGACGCACGGGUCUUCGGCUCCGAGUAGCAGCAGGCGGCGGUGAAGAGAGUCUCCAGCGGCAACGGGUCACCGGAAUCGUGGGUCAGCGCGGCACGAACAACAGAGGAGAUGCGGGCCGGUACGGGGGCUCACUCGGCGGUGGAACGACGACCAGCUCGGAUCUGCGAUCGUCGGGGCUCUCGAGUGGGCAGAUCAGGAUAGCGGUGGUAUCGCGGAGAGGCGGAGACGCGGCGUGGGUGGCAGGGUGGCGACGGCGCAGGGGCGGAGGUGCGUUGGAGGCUGGCGUCGCGGUGCCGGCGCAACGCACGGUCGGCGCGUCGGGGUCUCCGCGAGUUGCAGCGGCGGCAGGUGAGGAGUGGCUCCGGCGUCACGAACCAGCGCGGAUUGGAGAUGAGGCGGAGAACGCGGAUUGGUUAGGCAGCAGCAGAAACCUGGCUAAAAGCGCCGGCGAUAGGGCCGGCGUGGGUGCUCACGGACGGACACUCCAAAAGGAAGGUCCGGUGUCGUCGGAUCUUGGUUGCAAACGAAAUUGCAGAAGUGGGGCAGCAAUUUGGGGAAGAUGAUGAACAGUAAAGGUCAAAUCAACCUUUACUGUUUCAGCCGCUUCCCCCUCAAACUCACUUCUCUCUUUUACUUUUUUUUUUUUUGGUACUUUCUGCAGGAAAAUUUUCUUUUCUUUCUCCUUUCUUUUCUGAAUUUUUUUCUAGAGAAGCCCCCCCACAGAAACUCCCCACGGAUGGCUUCUCUCUUUCACUUUUUCUGAAUUUUUUUUCAAAGAAGCUCCACACACGGAUCCUCGUACACGGUUGCUUUUAUAGGGGGUAAGAGAUAAGCCUUCAAUUUCCCCUUCAAAUCUAUAUCCGUGAUACAUUUUCACCAACCGAUCACUACUGAUAAAAAUUCAAGAUUACAAUAAAUAUUUACUCGAAAUCCAAAUCUCGCAAAAGAUAAGUCGCAAUAUUUUUUCACACAUGUGCUCUAUCCAAAAGAUUCAUAUCCCGGAAUAAUUUCAAAAUUUUUAUUUUUCACGAGAUAAUUAAAACACAUGGGCUUGGGCCAACCAGCUUGCUUCGUGGGCUUAGUCCAACUAAUUUGAACCCAUUCGCAUUGAUCCGAUAAAUAAAAUGCCAAAUGCAAAUAUAAAUCUAUAUGCUAUAAAGUUUAACUCCUAAUUUCCUAUGCAAUAAAUAAAUAAACUAAAUCGUCAAAAUUUAGGUGUCAACACUUGUUAAACAUAAUAAUUUUUUUUUUCAGUAUUUCCUUUGUAGCAACAACAUCUGCAACGAUCACUUGCAUUUUGAAAUUCGAGGCAAAAAUUUAUUUUCUUCAAUUAAGCUUUUCUCGAAUUUAACCUGCAUCAACUUAACAAAUUUUUUCACAAAUAAGCUGUAAUAAUAUCCACGUGAUAUAUAAUACCAUUUUCUUCAAAUAGAUAAAUUGAAUAGCAUAUAUAAAAUUAUCAAAUAUUAAAAUUCAAAACUAUUCAACAUUUUGUACGAUGCAUAAGGGAUUUCUUCAACAAUUUGCAAAAAUUUGCACAAGGAAUAGAAUAUAGAAUCUCCAUGAUUUUCUGAUUGAGUUUUCCAAAAAUCCAUAUGGAAGAUUCUUUUGUGACCUGCAAAUUCUUAUAUAACAGAUAAUAAUCUUUGCAAGAAUGUCACGUAAUAUCUUCCUUUGAUUUGUGGAUCAAACUUGCUAGAUAUAAUAUAUCUUCUAAGAAUAUAGCAAGAAUAUCCAUGAAUAUGCAGUAAUAUCUUUCGAGAUCAAAGAGAUUUCCUUGAGCAUAAAUUUCAGAUAUGCAUUUUGCAAAAGGAAAAUAGAUAUUUCUGUCACGUGCCAAAAUUGCAAUACCUUAUAUUUAUGACAAAAGAUAUUUGCAAUAUAAUAAACAAUCAUCCAAAAUGCACGUAGAAAUUUAUAAAGCGGGAUGAUAAAAAAAUAAUUCUCUUACCCAGGUAUAUGUUUGAAAUAUACCAUUGAAAAUAAAAAUCAUUACCAAUCUUCAUAGGAGAUAUUUUUCUGAUUGCACCAAAAUUUGUGUAGAUUUGUAAUCAUUCUUGCCUUAUUGAAUUUCCUGCAAUCAACUCAUUUUCUUUUUGGUAUCCAUUUGGAUCCUUCCAUGACAUUAGAGCAAAAUAUAUAAUCUCCAAAUAUUCUUUCUUAAUUCAUCAUAACAGAGUACUCAGAGAAAGAAUAUUAUGCACAAUGAUAUAAAUUCUUACUUAGUCAUGGUACGAUAAAAACAGAGAGAAUAAAAUCUUUGAAUAUCUAAGAAUAUCUUGCAUCAUCACGUAAAACAGAUUUUCACUUUGCAAAAUAUGAUUAAAUCUGAGAGUAUAAAAUUAGACAAAAUAAUCUGAAUUAUCUCAAAUAAUCACACGUACUAAAUCAAAUCUCAACUCACAAAUCAAAAAACAAAUCAUACGAUUCUUUCUUCCAUAAAGCAAAAUAUGAUCAUUAUAAAAUCUCAAUCAACCAAGGAUAUAUCGAAUAUGAGAAUUAUGUUCCCAAAUCAAAUUAAAAAUUUACCUUCCUUACCAAAUUCUCUUUCUUCUUUCUUCUUUAUAUCCUGCAAAAAAAAAAAAAAUAAUAACUCAUCUUUUCUUUGGUACCCAUUUUUUCUUGGGUCCAUGAGAGUUAGUAGAGUAUGCUGUUUUUAUCCAAUUUUUCUUGAUAGGUCUCCAGACUUUAGGACAUUCUUUCUCAAAGUGAUUUGAAUCUCCACAAUUUGAACAUUUGAGGGCAUUUCGACCAACGGGUUUUACAAACACUUUUUGAAAAUGAUUUUUAUAAAAUGUCUUUGGAGGUCUUUGUUUAAGUCUCUCCUUGACUUUAGGAAAAUCAAUUAAAUAAUCACUUUCCUUAUUGAAACCAAGUCCCGACUUAUUAUAGUAAGGAACUUGUAGAGAGAGGAUAUGCUCUAAUGUUUUUGAUCCAUUUGAAAAUCUUGUCGAAAUAUUUGAAAAUUCUUUCUUCAAAGAAUCAUUUUCUUUGACAAGUAAAUCUCGACUUUUUUUUGUUUGUAGAAAAUCUUUUUGCAAAAUUUCAAAAUUUUCUUUUUGAGAAAGAUCUUGUUGCCUAAGUCGAGAAUUCUCCUUUUUAAGUUCGAAAAUCCUUUUAAGAGAAGAUUUGAGAUUUGAACAAAGCUCAUUUAUAUACUUUGAAACUUUGAAAGGAAUUGCUGAAUGACUUACCUUGAUUUCCUCAUCGGAUUCUGAGUCUGAUUAUGAAUCAGACUUUGAUUCUGAGUUUGUGUCUGAGUCAGACUCAGAUUCUGAAUGUGCCAUCAAGCAUAAAUUUCCUUUCUCAUCAUCUUCUUUUAUUGUUCUUGUCUGGCCAUUCUGCUUGUAUUUUCUUCCAUCGAAUUUCCUUCCUUUUCUACUCAGCUUUUUGAAUUUCUUGACCAUAAAGGCAAGUUCUUCAUCGUCCAUGUCAUUUUCUGAGUCUGUUUCAUCAAAAACAGCAUUAGAUAUUAAAGCAAUGGACUUCUUACCUUCGGGAUCUUCAUCGUUGAUUUGUUCCACUUCAUAGGACUGAAGAGUGCCGAUCAAUUCAUCAACGGUGAGUAGCAUAAUCCUUUGAGUCUCCCGGAUUGAGGUCUUGACAUGGUUCCAAUCUUUUGAGAGACCUCGCAAGAGUUUGUUGACCUUCAUUGGGGCAAAAAUUUGAUGACCUUGAUAUGCUAAACCAUUUACAAUUUCUGUAAAACGGCUAAACAUAUCUCCAAUCGAUUCUCCUUGCUUCAUCUUGAAGGAUUCAUAUUUGCCAAGCAAGAAGUUUACUUUUGUCUCUCUUACACGAUCGGUCCCUUCAUAUGUAACAUGAAGUUUAUCCCAAACUUCUUUUGCUGUUUCACAUGAAGAGAUUCUAUUAUAUUCAGUAGGAGACAAAGCACAAUAUAAAGAAUAAAUUGCUUUCGCAUCAAGCGCUUCUCUUUUGGACAUCUCCAUCCGAGACAUAGGAUCGGGGGGUUUGCUUUCUUUGUCUUUGCCAUUCUUAUUUGAUGUAGACGGAGCGAUGGGGUUGAUUCCUCUUUCCACAACAUCCCAUUGCAAGAGAUCUCUGGAUCUUAGGAAUGCUUUCAUUUUGUUCUUCCACACGUCGUAUUCCUUUCCAUCAAAAUAUGGUGGCCUUGUGUUGCUUUGUCCUUCCAUAAGUCCUGGUGCCAACAUACUAGCCAUGGAUCUUUAACUCUGAAGUAAAACACUUCAAACAAAGUGAGUACACAGGCUCUGAUACCAAAUGAGAGUGCUAGUAUGAACACCUAGAGGGGGUGAAUAGGUGUUUAAAAUAAACCUUGGCAAAUAUAUGCGGAAUAAAAUAAACUUCAAGUAAAAUAAAAGAGUUAAGGAAGAGAAUAAGAACACAAUGUUUAUAGUGGUUCGGCUUAAUCCAAGCCUACGUCCACUCUCCCACGCUAACAGCCUUCUUGGCUGGAUUCCACUAUGCAAUCAACAAGAGAUUACAACUUUGAGUGCAAACACUUAGUAGUAGAUCACACUAUCUCACUAAGUCACUCUUUUGGUAUUUCUCUCACGAUCACAAAUGUUUAAGCUCUCCAAAGAUAAGUGUAUGAUCGAAGGUCGCUCAGACUUUGGAAUUAUAAAUUCUACGCUCCGUCUCUUACUUGCUCAUCGGUCCUUCAUCUCCUUAAAUACUCCUCCACUUCCAAACUAGCCGUUGGACAGUAUCCUGAGGAUCGUCUUCCAAUAUACCCAUUGGACAGCUCUGUAUCUAGAAGAUUUGGUAGACGUUGAGUGAUAAAGGUAAAAUCCCAAAUUGAUUCUGAUUGUCCAUACAAACGGAAUCUUGGUUUCCAUAAGUAAAGCUUCUUCGUAUAGAAAGAUCUUGUCUUCAAGAUCCAAUUGUCAAUCAAAUAGAUUGAGUCAAUCAAAUCAAUCUUGAUGUGGAAUCCAAACCAGAUCAUUAGCCGUUAUAUGAUUGGGCUUGAGUUACGUUUUGUCAAGUUCUGAAUGUAAAGUCUGAGAGUAAUAGACUUUACAAUCUGAGUCUGAGUGUGAUAGACUUUGCAAUCUAGGUCUGAACAUAUUCUGCUUCUGAACAGAUUUAGCUUUAAGGUCUGAGUUCAGCUCCAACAUAGAGUCUGUCUUAUGGUUCAGCUUCAGCAUAGAGUCUGUCUUCUGGUUCAUCAUUCACGUUUAGUCUGGAAUUUAUUAGAAUGAGCAGACUUCUGAUGUAGAACAGACUUUGACACUAAAGUCUGGCAGUCUUCAGACUUUGACACAGAAGUCUGGAAAUCUUCAAAAUAUACUCUGGACAUAUGUUACGUUCAGUCUUCUGGCCGUCUUCUGACUUUGAUCAUAUCCUCUACAUGUUCUAACAUUUGCAUGGUCUAUUACUCAACCAUCAAACAUGUUAGUAGCCUUUGAUUUAUUUUGUCAUCUUCAAAACAUCAUAAGGGAUUUCCCUAACACUAUUUUCUUAUUUACUAGACACUUGAUGAGAGUUUCCGGUUUCAAUCUCGUCAUCUACUCCUUUGAUUUCAAAAUUUUGUUCAUGUAAGAAUUUACCUAAAAAACGUCUUCAACCUAUGAAUCAUAAAAAAAAAAAAAAAAAGUAGAGGCUGAUUUAGCUGAAAGAUUGGAGCAUAAGCACGAUCCGAAAUAUCAAAUUGCACUUAUGUUUUCAUCGAGCUUUAGCCAUAAUUUUUCCAAUUUAUUAUGAUCAAAUCUUCAGUUCUUUGAUCUGUCAUGUUUGAACUUUCAUUAUUUUGUAGAAGAGAAUAUUUCAACGAGUUAAUUUGGUAUAAGAUUUUAUUUAUGAGCUUAUAAAUCAGUGAAUAAUUAAUCCUCUUUAUUCAAAUGGUUAUAGACAAAGUUUUUGAGACAUUUAAAGUUAUUUUUCUUAUUGAUAAUUGGUUUUUCUAAAUUUAUCAUGCUAGUAAAUUUGGGAGAUCAUUGAGUGAGAGUUUCAUUUUGAGCAAUCUCAAUCUUUUUCCACACUGCAUCUCUAGAGUUAUUUCAAAGUGGUGGUGUGGCCGUUUGAUAUGAAGAGAUUCGUGGAAAGGUCCCGAGCUUAAUUCAUUAGUAGCAUGUUUUCAAAUUGAAAAGCUUGCCUCAUAUUUUUAGUUUGUUUUUGAGUUUUCACUUUGUUUGCUUUAUUCCUUAUACCUGUAGCUAGGACUUGAGAUUAUAUUAUGUACCCCAUGAAUAGUUCAAUACCAUAAAUUUUGACAGGUUAAGAUUGAUGUCUUUUAGAUUUCGCACCAUAUUAUAUUGUUAAGGUUGCUAAUUAUAAUUCUUGAAACUAACAAACUAUCAAGUGCUGUGAAAUAUAUAUAUUGUGUGUUCUCUCAUUUUGUGCACUUAUAUUAUGGUCUUUCAUAUCCAUACAUUGCUUGUUCAAAUAUGCAUGUAGGCAAACAAUUCUCUUUACAUUCUUCAAGGAAUAUAUUGAGGGAAUAAUCAAAUCACAACUCUUAGACAUUCAGACAAAUCGUGCAUAGUGAAUCCAAGGAUCCAUCUCAUCUUGUUAAAAAAUGAUAAAUUACAUUUACCUUGUUCCUUGCCAAGACCGAAUUGCAAUCACAAGAAUUUGGUGGUGUCACUCGUAGUUUGAUAAGUCAUGUUUUGUUCACAUUGUGUUGUUUUUAACUAGUAGUUAAGUCACGUCUUUUACAAAUGACAAGUAAUUGAAAUUAUGAGUUCCUUCGAAUGAUUUACAUGACGGAUGAUUUGAUGAUAGCAUUCAGGGCUCUUAGUUUAUACUUUCAUUUUCUAUGACAAUUUGAUUAAAAUUAUUAUUUUAAAGGAAGCAGCCAUGGAUUAUUACUGGAAUCCCAUGAUUGAACCAUGCAGUCAAAAAUGGGGUCCAUAUGUCAUUAGAAGAAAGCUAUGCACGUUGCUCAUGCUUGCCUAUGGUCAUUCACUCGUGAAAGGGUUAAUAGUAAGAGAGUGGCUAAAACAGCCAAGAAUAUGCAAUAAUUUGGCUAGACAUAAAAUAAUGGGAUGUCCCAUCUCCCCCCUUGAGUCUACCUUAGUAUUAAUAUUACAAAAGCAUUGAUUAUUCGUCAAUGGCUUGGUAUAAGGAGCAUCAAACUCCCAAAACUUUUCUUACAAAUCUCAGUUGAGUUUUUCUUUUAGAAAUCAUAACAUUCAAAUAAUAAAAAAAGAAGAAGUUAUGACACUUAAUUUUUUUUUUUAGAAGUCAUGGUACUCAAAUAAUUGAAAAAAAAUAUGUGAGCACUCUACAGAAGUCAUGAUACUUGUGGUAUUUUUUUGUGAUUCUUUUUAGGAUUUUCGUCCUAUCGUUUUCUCAUCUUUCUUUCUCAAAAGAAAAACAUCGACGGAUGCUGCCAUCGAGAAAAAUGGGAAAAAUCACAUUAAACUCAUAUCAAGAAGUAAUUGUUGAUUAAAGGGUCUAAGUUAUGGUUAAAAGAGCAAGGACAAAAGACAUUAGGAAAAUUUCAACCGUAUCAUCAUAUGGCAAUUUUUUUCAAUGUUCUACUUGGACCAUGAGUGCAUCAGCCACGGACAAUCCACUUCUCCAGUGGCUCCAUCAAUUAAUCUUUUGACUCCUUUUUAAAGGGAAAGUCGUGAUGGGUUUUUCUUGGAAUGCUACAAAAUUUAAUAGUAAUUACUUUUUGGCAUUUGACGCAUAAUCAAUGAUGAUAUUGAUAUGCAUCUCCUAUUUUCCGCUGACAAUUGCUUCCUUGCACCGAAAGGUGAAAUUGUCAAAGACUAAAACAGCAAGAUUCCUCUGGUUGACAAAUAGCUGUUGGGAUGAUUGGUGUGCUCACACACAUUUGGUGGAGCUAAUUAUGCACCUAUUUUACACGUGAUACUUUGUUAGGGUCAUUCCAAAUUUGUCUCUACGUAAUAUUUCCGUAAGAGAACCCAAGGACAAAAUGCUAGAAUAGCCAACCUCUUAUAUUUCCCCUCAUUUCACAUUUUUAGCUUGCCAUCACCUUUCUUUUGUCUCCUUAAUUUUUCCGUUUUCACAUGUAGUAUCUCUCUGUUGGAAAGGGCUUUGAAUUUGAUUAUGCUUGGCAUUGUGUAUGUUGGAUGUAAAUUUUCUUUUUUGAAAAAUUAUACUUUUGAUACAAAAUUAUUCACUAGUUCACGUACAAAAUCAACAUGAGAGUCAAUAUCUAUAUAAUUAUGCAGUAACAGUAUCUUCUCUGUGCCCUGCAUCUAAGUUUGACACAUAGCAUUCUAAAUAGCUAGAAGAGACUUCUCCUUAUUUUAAGAACUGGAUUCGCAACGUUCUCCAUUAAAAAAAUGUGCCCACUUAGACUCCACCUAGGCUAAUAUUUUGCAAUACUGACUAGAUAGAUUAUUCAUAUAUCAUGAUGUACUUAUAGGCACUAAUUCCUUAUUAGCUACGUGAGUAUGAGUUCUACUCAAUCUAAUUACAAGGAGAAUGUCUCUCAUGACUUUAAAUUGUUUCUAUUUAGUCAAAAUGUUUUCAAACGGUCAUACUUCAUAUAUGGGAUUAGGGGUACAUUGACAUUUCCAACACAACAAUUUUUUACGGGCAAGUUUGUCAUGUGAAACUAAUAAAGGGAAUUUCAGCCAGCUUAAUAUUCAAAACAGAUCAGAGACCAAUAUUAUGCCUAUCUAUCAUAUGAUACUAUUAUUUUAACGUUAUACUUACUUAGCAUCUCUAUCUUGCACUUAUUGAAUGUUAUUAUAUGAUAAUUUUACGCUAACGUUGUCAUUUUCUUAAGAAAUGGUUCGGAAUAGAAAAUAUACUACUCUUUACUAUAAAAAUUAUGCUUACAUAGCCUCAAAAUUGGCGCAAUUGGUUGGGUCACGAGGGAUUUCCAACUUAGGAACUAGAGAUCGCUAGUUUGAAUCCCACAAACUACAUCCAAACUGCUUUGGGUUAUAGUCACCUACAUAGACCAAAGAUAUGAGUUUAGCUAGUUCAUGGAAUUGGCACAAUAUUUCAUGAGCUUCUAGGUAAAUGGCUCUCCACACCUAUAUUACAUGCGCUCACACACACUCACUUUAGGAGAAUGCUAACUUUACAUGGUGUUACACUUACUUUAGGAGAAUGCUAAUUUUACAUGGGAUUUUUCAUAUGCACUUAUUCCUCAUAAAACUAGGUAGUCAUUAUGCAUAAGAUCUUAGUCAACUUAAUUGCAAAGAGAACAUUCCUCAUGUCUUUGAGGAAUAUUACCCAUCAAUCCUAAACAUAUUGUACGAAUGCCAAUUUAAUUCUAAACUUUUCGAUUUUUUCAAUUUAGUGAUAAACCUUUGUGCAAAAUUCCAAUAUAGUCAUUUUGGUCAAUUUCCGACAUUGAAAUGGCCGUGUGUUACUUAGAAUGGUUAGCGAUGACUGGACUGCCGCAUCAAUAAUUUCAAGCAAAAAUUCAUCAAAAGGGUUUUAUUGGAACUUUCUGUAAAUGUGUAAAAAUUCAUCAAAGUCAAUGUCGGAAUGCACUCAUCCGAGGAGCUAUGCUUAAUGACUCAGCAAGUUGCAUAUGAAGGAAACGCCUUCAUAGUUAGUGGAAUAUCCCCUUUCAACGAGAUUCACGUGGCACUCGGCAUAACAUUUUGUUGUUGUUCCAUAUGAUUGUCAUGAAAUAGGAACACGCAAGAGUGAUUUUGAAAAAAUUCCACGAUUUCCAUAGUCACUUUGGUCGACUCUAGUUCUAUUUGCUUACACUUAUAGAUAAAAAAAAUAAAAAAUAAAAAUCUGCAUUUUGCUCUCCCUCGAGAAAAUUAAAAAUGGAAAAUAAAAUAGGCUUCAUAAAUUAUGAAAAAACAUAUAAUAACUCUACUUGUCAAUAAAUGUAUCUUUUUGGAAAUUUGAAAAAUCAAUUCCUGAUAACUGCAAUAUUUGAAAAAGAAAAGAAAAGAAAAGAAAAGAGGGUUUUGGCCCCUUCACGGGGGGGGGGGGGGACUUCAAUAUGAAUGAGAGCCCAUAGAGCAAAGUUCCUUGCUAGCAAUGAUUUUGCGUGUUAAUUUUGUCAUGUAAAGAGUAGCCAUGGUCAUUUUGAUUGUGUAUUAAUAUUAUCAUCUAAAGAGUAGUAGUGUUUGAGAUAGUAAACUAGUAUAAAUGAGAGCCCACAGAGCAAAAUUCCUUGCUAGCAAUGAUUUUGCGUGUUAAUUUUGUCAUGUAAAGAGUAACCAUGGUCGUUUUGAUUGUGUAUUAAUAUUAUCAUCUAAAGAGUAGUAGCGUUCGAGAUAGUAAACUAGUAUAAAAUGUUAAGAGGAUAGCAAAAAUUUAAUUUCCUUAGAAGUUCUAAUCUAACAAUUACAACUGCAGUUUUUUCUAACCUAGCAAUCAUAAUUGGCUUUAUAAUCUAACAAUCGGCCUAAUUAUCAUGUUAAUUCUAAAUUUUUAACGUUAUAUCAUGGAGCAGCAGAAUGAGCGGGGUAGGACUAUUACCUAACCAAUGUUUGUCCAUCACACGUGGAGGAAAAACUAGAUGCCUAAAUUAUGUUUGUCUAAAGCGGUGAAGGAAAUGAUAGAUAUCUAAUCAAUGUUUGUCCAUUAGCAUUGGAGGAAAGGAUGGUGAUUUCGACAUUGGCGGUGGUGACCUGCUCUAUGUAUUAAUAGAUAUUUUAUUAGACUACCAUCAUUGUCUUGAUUGACGCGACCGACAAGGUCUUUUUUAAAUUUUUUUUACUUUUGGCUAGUAAAGGCUUUUAGGACUUGGAGCCCUUUGCUCCAACUUUUCAGCUUCCGAAGGAAUUGAGUGGGUUUUAGUUAAAGUCUUAAGUGAGGUUAGAUUACCGAGCUCCAUAAUCCAUACCCAUCCCAUCUUUCUUCCUCGUGAUUUGGGCCUUUGUGAUCUUAAAUCAUUGGAACACUAGUAGUACGUCUCAAUCGCUGUUGCUAAAAAAUUCCAGCAAAAAGUUACCGUCUCUUUCUCCAUUGAUUGCUCUUUGACGCUCCCCUUCCUUCAUCUUUUCUCGCACUCGUGUCUCUUCGCCUUUCCGUCUAUCAUCAUUCUUGUCAGGGGUGUGCAUGGUUCGGGCGGACAGUUCCCGACUUAGAACUGGAAACCGCCCGUUAAAGACCGGUUCCAAAAAAUUGAAACCGGAUCCACCCGUUUAUUGCAUGGAUCCACCCGGAAACUCGACCGGACCGAUGGUCCGGUUCCCGGGUGGAUCCAUGGAACCGAUCUUGAUGCGAAAUAAUUUUGGUUUUCAAUAUAGAAUGACUACGUGACAUCAAAGUAAGCCAAAGAAAGAAAAAUUAAAUUUAAGUACGUGGAGAUGCGGAUGGCGGGAGAAGUAAAUGUAGCGAAAUGGCGAUAGGAUUAGGACCCAAAGACGAAGGGAGUGAGAUGAGAUCUAGGGUUUUUUUUAGUAAUUUUUUUUUAAUAUUAAAAAGGUUCCGGUCCGGUCUGGGUGGGUAGGCGGGCGAAUUCGCCCAUGGAACCGGGAACCGGACCAGUACCCACCGGUUCCCAUAAAUUGGAACCGGGAACCAGACCAGUACCCACCGGUUCCCAUAAAUUAAAACCAGGAACCGGACCGGUUCCCUCAGGAACCGCCGAUUCCGGGCGGUUCCGGUCCGGUUCCGAGCGGUCCGGGCAGUUCCCGGGUAUUUUGCACACCCCUAAUUCUUGCUCUUUCACACUUUUUCUUCUCCUUGCUAUAGCCCGACUUCGUACUCUUUUUCUUAAGUGUCUAUGACUCUUUUUCAUCGUUCUCUCCCUCCCUCUCUAUGUCUCUCUGCUUUUCCUUUUGAGGUGUUUUUAUCCGAACAUUAUCUCGCUCUUUAUUUUUUGGAACAAAAAUCAAAGAAAAUGUCAGAUCGAUGCCACUGUUGAGAAAAAUAGAAAAUUAGAUUAAACUCAUAUCAAUAAAUAAUUGUUGAUACAAGUAUUAAGAGUAUGUAGAAAAAGUUUAAUCACUUUAAUCGAAGAGAUUAUCAAGAAAAAGCUCAAGUUUGAGCCCAUUAACAUAUUCAGUUAACCAUUUUUACUAAAAAACAUUAGUUAAAAAGCUAUUGAUCAAUUAUGAUAUAUUAAUUGUUUAAUACGAUAUCAAUUCUUUAUUGUGAAACUUUUCUAACCCAAUUCACACAUUCAUCUUAACAUUCGGCUCUCGCAUGUUGGCUUAGUAUUAUGUCUGCUUCCACUUAAUUCAAGUAUCAUUCACCAUUAACAUGACUCAAUUAGAAUCUCCACUUUCGUGCAUGUGCUAACUAAAAUAACAACAACGCCCAUAUUCAUCCCUAGUCUCUUUAUCCAAAUUGAAUCAUGAAGGUUGUCAUCAGGACCACAUUGCUACACAACAACAUCCACCUUCAUUCCAAGUCUCUUUUGCUAGAUCAAACUAUGAAGGCUGCCCAAAAAUCGCGUUGAUCACAGGAUUCCUUUCCUGAGGUAUUCUCCAAACAUCGGUAUACUUGGGAUUGGCCAUUAGCUAUCAAUCAUUGGCUCUGGCAUAAUUUCUUAGGAGUGUCUAGCAGAAAUUUGAUACCUUUAACCAGAGAGAUCACCAAAGAAAAGCCUAUGUCUGAGUAGGCCAAUAUAUUUUAUUGAAGCCAAAUUUACUCAAAAACUAGGAAAUAUUAAUUGCUCCAUACCAUAGCAAUUCUCCGGUAUAAGACUUUCUAACAUAACUCACAUGUAUAUGUCAAUAAAAAAGGAUCUAAGCAAUGAUUAAAAGAGUGAGAACGGAGAGAUAUUAGACAAACCCCUACCACCUCAUCACAUGGCAAAUUUUGAUAAUGUUCCACGCGGAGUAUGAAUGUGUCUACCUCAAAUAAUUCACUUUUGUAGUGGUUCCAUCAAUUUGUCAUUUGACUCCUUUUUUGAGUGGAAGUCAUGAUGGGGUUUUCUUGGAUGCUACAAACUUUAACAGUAAAUGCUUUUAGCCUCUAGCGCAUGAUCAAUGUCGAUAUUGAUAUGCAACUCCAAUUUUCCAACGAGAAUUGCUUCAUCAAGUGACUAGUGUGGGACGUUAACAAAGAAGAGUUCUGCUAUAGCGUGACCGCACUGUCCCUUCCAAUAGCGAGGGCGCAAAUGGGACCGCAAGUUCUAUUUAUGUAAUGCCAACCUGAUUACAACUUUAAAAUGGGAAAUCUUUACAAAUAUCUUUAAAAUAACUUUUAUCCCUUUCUGAUUGAAAUGUCAGUCAAAAUGCCUUCCCUCCAAAUUGAACACCAAGUAAAGUCAUCAAUCAUUUCUUUUCGUUACUCUUGAAAGCAUAAAACAUUCAGUAUAUAUACUAGUGUGCAACUAACUUAUAACUGCACAUAAUCUCGUCAUGACUAUGAAUGUACAGACGUAAAUAUGUAUGCAAGCACACAUGAAUAUGUCUAAAAGUAUGUGUAUUUUAAUUACCUCUUAUUUAGUUAGAUAUACAUCUUGAUCACAAAAAACUUUUUUUUUCAAAGAAUUGGUAACUAGAUGAGUUUUGAAAUGACUUUAGAAAUGUUGUGAUCUAUAUACUCUUUUAUAUUGACUGUGGACUAAAAAAAGCCUAGAAAUGUAUUUAAAUUAUUUUUUUGUUCAAAUUUUAAAUUUUAUAUGAGUAGUGCUUUUCCACUUAAAUUAUAAACUCAAUCUGAAAUUUAGAUCAAUUCUAAAUAUGUUGACCUAAUGUUAUGGGGGGACAAACAUUUCAGAAGUCCUAAAAAAUAAAUUGGGCUUAUUAUGGACACUUAAUUGAGAUGGCAGUCCAACUUUACUCCUUAUGCUUUUCAUUUAGGUUUUUGGCCCGUUCGGAUUUCAGAGAAAAAUAAGCACCACAACUUUUUACUUUCUAAUAAGAGCCUCAAAAUCGGGUAAAGUAAGAUGCAAAAAGGAAUCAUUCAUUUAAUUACAAUCAUUAUGGUUUUCAAAGCAGAAUUUAAUAAACAAAAACCCUUGAAAGGCACAAAGAUACAUAGAUCAAAGCAGGGCUCGGCAAAUAACAUAAAAUUUAAGCAAAGUUCACAAUAACUGGAAUUACGUGAAAAGUCAUAACAUUGGAUACCACACACACUAUAAAUAUAUAUAUAUAUAUAUAUAUAUAUAUAUAUAUAUAUAUAUAUAUUACUUUAAGUAUGAGUUUUAAUCUAUUUUGCCAUUGCUCAUACUUCAAGUUAAUUAUUCACAUUUUUAUUGAAGGUGUUUAAUAAAUUUGAAACCCCAACCAUCACCUCGUCUCGAUUCCCACAAGUACCCAUACGCACAAACCGAUGAAUAUAUUAAUAUUGUGAAAAGGAUUAAAGAUGCCACUUAUCACGCGCGCAUGGGGUGUGCGCAGUCCUUGUCCGUUUGUUCUCUUUAUUAAUUACACUUUGUUAUAUCGAUAAUGGCAAACUAUAAAAAGUAGUUAUUCCGGUGUCGGGGUUUUGGACUAGCCUCUCCUGAGAUUUACAUCUAAAUAGCGACUUGCGGUAAAGUCUGACAAUCUGGAGGGUUGUGUAAUCCCUAAGGCUGCGUUUGGUAGUCCGGAUUUGAGUUCGGAUAGGAUAACCGGAUAGGAUAAUUUGUUAUCCUAUCCGAUGUUUGGGAAUGUCCACUGGAUCGGACAAACCUGGAUAUAUCCGGAUAAAACGCCGGAUAAAAAAUCCGGGGGAGGGGGUGCAAUAAGCCUGAAUUGGAUAAGAUUUUUUUUUAAGGAAAGAAAGAACUUAACAAAAAGAGAAGAUAUCACUUGUCAUUAUCAAUGGUGGCCACUGCGGAGGUGGCCACAAUUCCUAGAUCUAGGGUUUUUCCAUGGCCUUUAAUUAAUUGAAUUUUCUAUUUUUUAAUUUUAUAAUUUAAAUGAAUAUCAUAUUUAUUUUUUAAUAUUAUCCUGAAGUGCACCAAACACUUGAUCAGAUUAGAUAUGUCCGCCUUUAUUAUCCAAAGGAUUUAAUAUCCUACUUUAUCCUAUCCUAUCCUGAUCAUUAUCCAGACGACCAAACGUAGCCUAAAGGGUAAUCUCCAACAGUUUCUCGGUUAUAAAAAAAAAAAAAGUUAUUAAACUCGUGAUAACCCUAGUCGAAUCAUUUUCUUACUUUAAAUUUUUUUCAUAUUUUUUCUAAGCCACUUGAUGGAACUGCAGUGCAAAGAAUUAAAUUGAAGUUCGCAAUUUUUUGUCUUGAUUGAGGAGACCGAAAGAGCAGUCAUUUUUUAUAUUUAUUUUUGGCCAAUGACAAACUUGAAUAGUGUGCUACCAAUUUUUCAGCUUCCCAAAGAUUAAAUGAUGCUUAGUUAACUUAACUACGGUUACCUUUCAGAUCUCCGUAAUCGACAACCAUAUCCUUCUUCUUUCGAGUGGUUUGGAUUUUUGUUAAGAUUAUCAAUCGUUAGAGCUCUAGUACUAAAUCUUGAUCGUCAAUAGGUAGAAUAUUAUCAACAAUUUCUAUUCAAUAUACAAAUCUAUAACACAAGCUCCCACAUACAUAUAUCGAUGAAAAUAUUAAUAUAAUGAAGGGAUUAAAGAUGCUACUUACCAAAAAUAAUUUUUUUUACCUUACCAAAAAAAAAAAAAAAAAAGAUGCUACUUACAACGUGCGUGUGUCGGUGUAGCCUGUCUUUGACCAUUUGCACUCUUAAUUAAGUUUUGUUAUAUAGACAGCGACAGACUAUAAAAUGUCCUUAUUAAAUAAUGGAUGAUCCAAGUCGAAUCAUUUUCUUACUUGAACAGCUCGUAGUCAAUUUCUUUAACCCACUUGAUGGAGCGGCAACUCAAUUUUUAUGGUGUGAAGAAAUCAAUUUAAUUCCACAAUGGAUUGAGGAGGACUAAGAGCAGUCAAUUAUUUUUUAAUAAAUAUCACUAAAAUCCCCAAAUUGGUCCAUUUAUGACAAUUUAUCCCCGAACUAAUAUUUUUACUAUAAAAAUCUAAAACCGAUACAUUUAUGAUAAAUUUUACUCCAAAUUAAACUUUAAAUUAAUACUGACAAUUUUGUCAUCCGUUAGUUCCUAUUAAAUAGGAUUGCUAUCACGAAAAUACACAAACUAAUAUACUUGUAAUAAAUGAAGGAUAAAAUUUUAAACUAGUACAUCUGUCAACUACUAUAUGUUAUCCAAUUUAGCAAUUUAACGGUAAAAUUUAACGAAAAUUAAUAUAUGGUAAAUUUGUUACAUGCGUACAAGUGAGAAAUUUUUUAUGAUCAAAAAAUUAAUUUGAAAUAAAUUUAUUAUAGAUAUAUUCAUUUGAGAUUUUUCAUGAUAUUAAUUUUUAUUUUUAUUUUAUUUUAUUUUAGGCAAGUAAGGACUUGGAGCAGUGUGCUCCUUACAGUUUCCCUAGGAUUUGACCGGUGCUUAUUAACUAGAGUGAGAUUACUGAGUUGCAUGGUUCUUACCGAUCUUCCCUUUCUUUCUCGCGGUUUGAGUCUUUGUCGAGGUUUUGAAUCCUUGAAUCUCUUGUACCGAAUCUCUGUCGUUGAUGAUACAAGAGCGUCUCACACCCAGGGCCCUAUUCUACUUCGUAUCAAUGUGUCCAUCGUCACUUGUCAUUACCAGACUUUGGCUCUAUAAAAAUAUGAUUCAACAAGCGCCGCCGCCCCACCAACCACCCCCCAAAGAAAAAACCAAAAAAAAAAAAAACCCAAACCUGACUUAAUGGAAAAGGCGAUAGUAGUGCUCUAGUCUAAAGACUCAUCACGUAUCUCUCUCUACCGCCCUCAAUUGAAAAAAAUAGCAAACAUUAUUGUAGCCGCUUCAUUUGAAUAAAUCUGGAAUGAGGCCCCAUAGUAGAGGCUUGGUGUUCAUAAAACAUAUCAUAAUACCAUCCCCGUUAAUAUUCACUACAUAGGAAGUGUAAAAAAGACUUCCAAGUCACCCCUGAUACAAUUAUCGACUGACACCAAGGGCCACGUUCUAUUUCGUAUCAACGUGUCCAUCGUCACUUGCCAUUACUAGACUUUGGCUCUAUAAAAAUAUGAUUCAACAAGAGCAGCAUUUCGCUCUUAUAGAUACAUACCUAUAUAUAUAUAUGUAGGUAUGUAUCUAUACAGAGAGAGAUGAAAGCUGUCAAUCAAAAUGAAAUCAACUUUUUAUCUUGCAAAAAGGGCAUUUCUCAAAGAAAUCAUCGUAUGCAAGUUUGGAAGAAGAGGCCUCGUGUGCACCGUCUAGGAAUAUAAAUAAAAGUCCAUAGACUAUAUUCUCACAUAGUCUAUGAAUUAAAUUGAAUAUGUAUUAAAAGUUCAUAAAUCAUAUUGAAAUUAAAAGCUUAUAGACGAUAGCGCGCAUUGAGCUAAAGUUGAGAAAGCACAUUGAAUAAAUUUAAAAUUUAGAGAUCUCCUUGAAUUUUAUGGACUAUUUAUGUUUAUGUCAACGGUAAUUAUGUAUGAAAAGCACAACUGACAUAUAAUCACAAAGGAUGUUCCUAAAAAAGUCCCUACAAUAACUCAUUAUUUUGAUACGAUAUGUACUCUAGAGAGGCAACUGUUGUGCUCAAAGAAUUUGCACAUCAAUAAUAUAUGGAUAAACAUUUGUAGAACCAUCCAUAUAAAUAAUAACUUUUAGAAAAAUGAUUCUCAUUAAAAAAUAUUAAAAAAUAUUUUUUAAAUAUGGUAAAGUAUGAGUAUUUGGAUUAGAAAUUCCGCGCUUGAGUGUAGAAACGGUAAAGUUCGUUUCCGAAUCCUUGGCAGCGAAGUUGAGUCCAUAGACGCUAGAUCCUAAACCUCAAUGCUCCGGUCUCCGAUUUCUGAACCCACAUCUAUCGAGGCGGGGCCCGCGACAUCCGUGCCUUCUACCUCGGUAUAUGAUGAAUCUGUAGGUCUUAUAUACAUUUCAAAUUCAAAUUCACGCAAGUGAGCGCAGGCAAAUAUCGAUGAAAAUGUUUACCAUCAUGAGGAAGAAUAAAGGUGCCCUUUAAUGAAUUUUCUUAAGUACUCUGCAAGUUCCGAGGGUCGACUCCUGCUUUCUUUCUGCCUCCGCCUUGGUAUAUGGUCCACAUACUAAAUUGAGUUGACGACAGACUGGGUAAAGUUGCAUGUUACGUGUUCUCUUGGUCAAACGGUGCAAUGAUCGCCAUUCUACGCCACGUCACCUGGAUGGUUUAAGACGAAUCGUUUGUUUACUUUAUAACAGCUGAUAAUCAUCUCUCUCUAUCUCCACUCGAUUGCUAUUCUACGCUCCCCUUCAUCCGUUUCUUGCGCUCGAAUCUCUUCGCCUCGUUCAUCUAUCGCUCUGUUUCGCUCUUUCUUCAUCUCGGCACACCCAUUCUUCCUCAUCCUCUUCCUCCUGUCUUCCUCCUUUUUCUGUGCUCAAAUCUCUUGGCUUUGUUCGUCUCUUGCUCUGUUUCGCUCUUUCUUCUCGUCGGCUCAACCAUUCUUCUUCCUCCUCCUCCUCCUCCUCCUCCUCCUCUUUAGUUUCUGCUGCUCCUUUUCAUCAUUCUCCCUCUCCGUCUCUCUUUUUUCUCGCUCUUUCUUUCUCAGGAAAAAAAAUCAUAGAAAAAUGUCGGCAGAUCCUGUCGUUGGUAUUGGAUGGGAUGUCUUGAAGAGCUAUGUAGUUGUUCCCAUCGAACGUGGAUUCGGAUACGUGAUCUCCUCCAAGAGAUUCGCCGACCGUCUUCGGGGGGAAGUCCAGAAUCUGGAGAACGAGAAUCAGAGGGUCAAGGUUCUUGUGGAAGAGGCUAGAAGGAAUGUUCGGAAAUUCCUCGAUGUCUUCACGACGUGGGAGGCUAAUGCUGACAAGGCCUUGGAAGAGGCGCAAGAGCUGUUGGACGACGAAAAGGCGACCAAGACUUGCUGCUAUGGGACUCUUCCCGACCCCAAAUCUCGCUACCAGUUCAGCAGGAAGGCCGAGGGCAAGAUCGAGGUCAUUAAGCAACUCACUCAAAAAUGCAGCACAUUCAACGGAUUGAACGACAUCUCCUUCAUCGAUCCUGCUUUCACUUAUUCUGCCUCGACGUCGAUUAAGCUUGGGGAUGAUGGCGUCUUCGAAUCCAGAGCUUUGAUGAUACGGAACAUCAUGGGCGCUCUUGCCGGCAACAGUAAUAGUGUGGUCGGGGUUUAUGGGAUGGGCGGGAUCGGCAAGUCCACCCUUUUAGUGGAUGUUGAAAGGAAAAUAAGCGAAGAUAAGUCGUUCCAUUGGGUCGCUAAGGCUGACGUGUCGGAAAAUCCAGACAUCAAGACGAUUCAAGGAGAGAUUGCGGACGCCUUGGUCCUUACUGAGAUAAAGAACAAAGAGACUAUCAGCGGGCGAGCGAAACUUCUGCACGGGAGGUUGAAAGACGAGGAGAGGGAGAAAAAGGUCCUCAUUAUACUGGACAACCUGUGGGAGGGGCUUGACUUAAACAAAGUCGGCAUUCCUUGCGGACACGACAACAAAGUCAUAGGAUGCAAGUUAUUGUUGACGUCAAGAGAUCGUAAUGUUUUGCGAAGUGAAAUGGGCUGCGACAAGGACUUCCCCCUUGGUGGGCUGGAGGAGGAAGAGGCAAGAAGUUUGUUUGAGAGGCUGGUGGGAGACAAAGUUCAUGAUGGCGAGUUUAAACCCUUGGCGGAUGAAGCACUAGCCAAAUGUGCAGGUGUGCCUUUCCUAAUUGUUGCAAUGGCGAAACGUUUUAAAUAUGCCGAUUUAUCUGAAUGGAAGGACACUUUGAAGAAAAUCGAGAAGUCUAAAGAUAAAAAAAUCAAUGAUUUGAUAAACCAAAUGUUGCAAUGGAAUUAUGAUAAAUUAGAAGAGGAGGUGAAGUCAUUAUUACGACUCUAUGUUGUUUAUGGUAUCUCCAAGCCUUCUCUUGAAAACUUGGUGAGGUACAGCAUUGGUUUGGGUUUGCUUCAAGAAGUAAGCAGCAUGGAAGAAGCUAGAAAUAGAUUGAUCUCCCACAUACAUGCUCUUCAAGCGUCCUCCUUUCUGUUAGACAGUGAAGAUGUUGAUGGUUUCAAGAUACAUGACUUGGUUCAUGAAUUUGUUGUUUCGGUCUCUUCAAGAGAUCACCCUCUUCUCGCGUUGAAAGAUAAGGACGAGUCGAUAACAGAGUCAUCGAAGGACAAGCUCAAUAGUUAUAGGGCGGUAUGCUUUCCGUUUGUUGACAUGGAGGAGCUUCCUCAAGAGUUAUAUUGCCCUGAAUUGCAAAUCUUUUUGUUUUUCACAAACAAUAAAUCUCUUAAGGUCCCAAAUUCAUUAUUUCACUCUAUGAGGAAGCUCAUGGUCUUAAAUCUUACCGGAAUACGUCUCACUUGCUCCCCUUCAUCACCAUUUCAAUUCUUGGAGAAUUUACACACUCUAUGUCUUGACGGUUGUUCAUUAGAUAAUGUAGCCAUUCUUGGCGAGCUGAAAGGGCUACAAAUCUUAGUUUUGUGAACUCCAGUAUUUAUGGAUUGCCAAAAGAAAUUGGGCAAUCGGCAGAGCUGAGGUUGUUAGACUUGAACUAUUGUCCACAACUUGAGAUAAUUGAAUUGGGUGUACUUCAAAGCUUGAUCAAGUUGGAGGAGUUGUACAUGAAUGUUAGCUUUAAUCAAUGGAAUACCGUGGACCAAACUCCACCAAUUAAUGCUAGUCUGAUUGAGUUGAAUCACAUGAAAAAUCUCUGCACUUUGCAUGUGUACAUUCCUAAUCUGAGGAUGCUCCCUGAGGAUCUAAACGUCGGGAAAUUAACCAAGUAUGAAAUCCGAAUAGGUAAUGUGUGCUAUUGGUGGAGCGAGUGCAAAGGAUCAAGGACAUUGGAGCUCAAGUUGGAUCCAUUAGGCAAUGUUCUUCGAAAAGGAUGCAUUCAAAGUAUCCUAGGCAAAAUUGACAAUCUGUUUUUGGAAGGGUUGGACAGAAAUGAGCAAAGUGUUUGUGCGUUAUCCCAAAAAGGUUUUCCAGAAUUAAAGCAUCUACAGGUCAAAGAUAAUUCCUCUAUCCAUUGCAUCCUCCAAUUGCCAUCCAAUGCACAUUUUACGAUGUUGUAGUCGUUAAUUCUCAAUAAUCUCAUCAACUUGGAGAUGAUAUGCAAUAGCCAUAUCUCCUCCAAGUCCUUUAGUACAUUAAAAGUAGUACGAGUCAAAAGUUGUGAGAAGAUGGAAGUAUUGUUUCCUCUUUUAGUGGUGAGAGGACUUCCACAGCUACAAGAGAUUAAAGUUGCCGGUUGCAAGUGAAUGCAGAGGAUUGUAGAUGCCGAUGAUGGUGGCAAAGUUGAGUUUCAUAAUUUGCGUGUAUUGGAAUUGCAUAAUUUGCCAAAUAUUAAGAGCUUUUUCACUAUAGGGAUGGCUUCUUUGAGUAGUAGAUUUCACGACCAAGUUGGCAUUCAAAUUGCAUUCUUCAAUGAGAAACAGGUAACUUUCUGUCAAAAGAAUAUAAUACUUAUUACUAUUUCCUUCCUUUGCUUAUUAGAUGUAACACAGAUUAUGAUGCUUAUUUAUUUUGUUAUUUUCAGUUUGUUAUCUUCCUAAUUACCUUAUCCGUUCAUGCCUUCUCUAUAAUUAGUUAAAGCAAUCUUCCGUUUAAGUUAAUUGUGUAGAAAUCCAACUAAUUGUACAAAAUCCAUGUAAAUUUAGUUUGUGAUAGGUUUUAAAUUAUUUUCAACUAACAUGCUGCAAGUAUAUCUAUAUUUACAGGGUUUCAUAAGGCAAAAUUGACGAGAACUUCAGCAUUAAAGCAUUCCAUAAGUACAGUAAUUUUUAAUCCUUUGAAAUGAAUAUCACUGAAUUUAGUUACCGAACUUUGUUAUUAUUCACAAAAUGUAUAAAAUAGGCGACUCUCUUGAAAACCAAUAUGAAGAAUAGGAAGGAUGAUUGCUUAUAUAUAUAUAAAAGCAACUAUACUAAUCUAAUUGAUGCAUGUCUUUUGUAUGUCGUGUUUAAAUAGGCAUUUAGUCAUUGCAUAGGCCCAAAAAUUAUAAGAAUACAGACUUUUGUGCAUAGGUUUUUUCUUCUUUUUUUUUUUUUAGUGAAAGUACGCCUUGGCAAUUGUAUGACUUUUUGUGCAUGGUUUUUUUUUUUUUUUUACAGACUUUUGUGCAUAGCUUUUUUUUUUUUAAUAGUGAAAAUAGGCCUUGGCAACUGUGUGAUUUUUUAUUAUGCCGCAUCAAAGUCAUCAUUGCAAAUUUGAAAUUCUUGUUGUUGGAAUUCCAAAGUGUUACAUUUCUCUACUCCAUACGGCGGUAUUAAGGCCAAGUUGUUACAAUAUCAAAUGAUGGAACUUGAUGCCUUGAUGGAAAAUCCACCAUCUUAAAGUCCAACUAGUUUUAGAGAGACUCACUUCAAAUGUUUUGAUGGGCCUAGUAUUUUAAUUUGGCACUUGGUAUGUCUUAGUUUAAUUUCCAAAGGUUCAAGUGCUCCACAAUUUAAUCUUCAAGAAAUUUGUGGCGAAAUUUGAGUUUUCUUUUUGUUGAGUCCAUCCAAUUUAGAUUGUGAAUUUUAUGUAGCUUCGAUAUCUUAUCAAGAAAAACCGGUGGGGGUUGCCCAAUCUCGCGAGACCUUAUGUAAUCAUUGCGGUUUCUCUCCAUGUUAAUUUACAAAUCUAAAUACUAAGUCCUUUAAGUAAAUGUCUUCACAUUUGGCCUUUAAAGUAUGUAUAGAUAUAUUGGUAGACAAAUCCACAGUUUGUGUUUAAUAUCCUAUUAAAUUGGUUAUUGAUAGUGAUUUAUUGACAUUAAAAGAAGUCAAGUGAACUAUGGAUAAACAAUUGUCCAAUUAAGGAAAACACGCGUCUAUUUUACACGUGGAAGUAGUUGCUGCCGGUGGAGCCUUUUGGCUGACUAGACAAGAUUGCCCUUUAAUAGUGGCUUGGUUAUAGCUGAAGUUGAUGGUGGGGCCCAAGACUCGGGCCAUAUAUUAGUUUCCCCUUAGUAAAGAGUCGUGGAGAUUUUAGUUGAUGGUGGGUCCCUCAAGGUAGCAUGUCUAAGUAUCUCCACUUCAACCUCGACUUUUCUACUUCGCAUGCAAUAGAGGAGUUAGAUUGGGAGGCUAUGCAAAGAGGCUUUUGGGCUUCUAACUUUCAAGGGUUCUAAAUCUUCAUUAAAGAAUUUUACUCUUGCCUUGAUGCCUUCUCAUUUUAGGCAUGGAAACUAGAGCUGUGAAGAUCUAUGAGAUUAUAAUGAAAUGUUUUUGUUAACUAUAAUAAAUCUCUUCCAACAUUGUAAAGAGGUGGAGCAGACGAAAAUAGCAAUGGAAGGUUGGAUUGUCGAGAAUGACAAUAGUCAAACAAAGAAACGUAAAGAAGUUAAACUUGUUGUAAUAGAUGGGAGUAACAGGCAAUGGCAGGUAGAUGGGAGAUUUCGAGUAACUUUGCAGAAGAAGGGUCUUCCCAAGUUGAAGCAAUGAACUUUUAAGAAGACUAGUUACUUUUUGCCAAAAAUAAAAAAGAGAAGAAAAUAAAGCUGUCCAUUGUAAGUUAUCCUUCAGAAGGAAUAAAACUUGCUCACUAAUCAAAUUAAGUUCCGCAAUCAUUUUCCAAGUAAAGAUUGGACUAUUUAGCAACGACAAUAGUAUAGAGAUUUUUUUCUCUUUUUUUUUUUUAAAAAAAAAAUUCGUUUUUUCCCUUUUGUGGAACUUAAUAAUGCCCCCUCUCUUCUUGGCACACGUAUAUAUUAACAUUUUGGAAGUUCCUAAAUUCGUGAUUUAACUAAAUCACACUUCCAUGAGUGAAUAUUGCAGGUUGUCUUUUCAAAAUUGGAGACAUUAAAUAUCAAGGGCUUGGAUAAUGUCGAGUUUUUGUUUUCCCCAUCCAUGAUUAAAUCUCUCGCACAACUGAGAGAUCUACGAGUAUCUUAUUGCAAGAAGAUGGAGGUGAUCAUUACGAAGGAAGAAGGGUUGUCAUUGGAAAUAUCAAAAACUCUGGCAUUCCCGAUGUUAACUAACUUAAACUUAAAUUGUUUGAAAAGUUUGAUGAGCUUCUCUCGCGAAAAGUGUAAGAUUGAUUUUUUUGUUUUCAUCACUAAAGAUCUUCUUGUGGAUAAAUUCAUCCUUGCAAUACAAAUGGUGACAUUCUUUUCAUCCAUUGAAAAACUUAUGAUAGGUUCAUGAGAAGCUUGGAGUCAGGACUGCAUCAAAUCAUGCUCCACUGCACUCUUCAGUCAAGAGGUACAUGAUUAAUGUUAUGCCAAAAUAUUAUUUAUAUAACAAAAGUAUUAAAUAUGCAAAAGAAAAAGCAUAGCCAAAAUAAGAACUAACUAAAUAACUUACAAAGUGUACCUUGGUUAAAAAUAUUUUAAAGAAAAUGAGUGGUGUACAAACAUAAGUACUUAGAGUUGCCGACAUGUAUGAGUUGCAAUUUUUUUAAUUUUAAUUUCUCUAGAAAUAGUUUCCAUAAAGAUGGUUAAAUAUCUCUUAUCAUACUUGCACAAAGCAUGAACGAGCAAUACAACUGCGAAACAAGAUCUCUAAAAGCUUUUUGAUGUUCAUAGGAAACUCAAAGCUCUUAGCAACCUCGCAUGUAUGGCAUCGACAUUGCACGCAAGCACAUUGAAAGCAAUUUAAGAAACAAUGGAGAGGAAAGUGAUAGUAAUGUUCAAGAAGCUGUAGAUGAAGGGCCUUUAAGAUAGUCACUUGACUUCAUUUGCUCUUAAAAGAUCCCCUUUUUUGCCGUUAAUUGAAGGAAGCUUUAGUCUCCCUUAAUUCCACUAGCAAAAGGUAUUGAGCCCUCUCCGUCGCUAAACUGAGCAAGAAUCUAGGGUCCAGGGCAUCCGAAAUCACUCUUUUAAGUUUUAACAUGAAUUGGAAGACCAAAGUGAUCAUUCAGUGACUUCUCUAAGUGCACUGCAAGUUCAUUUAAUUAUUUCAUCCAUAUUGUAACUUAAAUUACCGUUUCUAAGUGAUUUAACAAAAGCCACGUAUACUAGCUAUUUCAUUCUUGGGUUAGCAAAAAAAAAAGCACCAAUUGUGAUUUGAUUAUUCUGGGAAAUUGACUAAAAUCAAGAGAGGGAGUGAUUUUAUUUAAAUUUGAGAUUAUGAGAGAUAAAUGUGAUUAUAUGAUAGUUCAGGAGCAUAUCCAAAUUACCAUUUUGCCUUGUCAACAAAAUCCGGUCAGAAUUCUCACUUUUUGUUUUGUCUGCAGUAAUUCCAAAAGCCUUCUAGAUCAACAUUUUUUUUUUUUUGUCAAAGAGUCAUCGACAUUUUUGUAUGGACAUUUGUGCAACUUAAGACAGACUCAUUAAUUUCAUGAAUUCGAAAUUUACAUCUUGACAUUCAUCUAUCUUGGAAGUUCAUGAUUAACUCAAUCAUCAAUUCCGUGAGCGAAUAUCGCAGGUUGCAUUUCCUAAAUUGGAGGCAUUAGAAAUCAGUGGCUUGGAUAAUUUUGAGAUGAUAUGGGACAAUAAAGUUGCUGUGGAUUCUUUCCCCAAGCUAAAAACCCUUUGUGUGGUUGAUUGCAAUAAGCUUGUGAGUGUAGUUUGUUCUUUCAUUCUAAGACAGCUCUUGAGCUUGGAAAGAUUGGAUGCAAGAAGAUGUGGUUCGCUUGAAAUUGUUUUUGAACUUCAGACAUUGAAUCGUCUAGAUGGACAUCCUAUUGCUCUUCCAUUAAGAGAACUGACGGUAUCAAGAUUACCAAAGCUAAAGUGCAUAUGGGAUAAGGAAAUCCAUUGUCAAAUAAAUUCCAGUGUCUACGUUCUAUUAGCGUUUCAAGAUGUGAGAGCCUCACCUCUUUGUUUCCAGCCUUAGUAACCAGAUAUCUAAUUCAACUUGAGAAGUUGGCGAUCAAUGAAUGUGGCAUUGUAGAAACCAUCAAGAGUGAAGAAGGACUAUUUCCCAAGUUUGUAUUCCCAAUAUUAACCUCCCUUGAGCUUGAGUGUCUGAGAGAGUUGAAGUGCCUCUACACAAGAACACAUACUUCCCAUUGGCCGGCAUUGAAGACCUUGAAGGUGCAUGGCUGUGACAAAGUGGAGAUACUUGCAUCGCACUCUGAGAAUGAGGUGCAACUUGAUAAACUCCCUCUCUUCUUGAUAGAAAAGGUAUGAUCGAAGAUUACUUCUUUUGCUUUCACAGUGAAUAUUUAAAGUGAUGAUUAGGGUCACAACCAAGCAUCUUAUAUAAGUAGCUCUACGUAGGAAGAUGUAAACUGUAUGACUCACCUUCAAUCUAUAGAAAUAUUUCAACAUUGAAACAUCACAUGUUCUUCAAUUGUUGACUGAACAUUCUUUUCAAAUGUAUGAAAUGCAUUUUUAAUGAUCCCCUUUUAAUAAAGGUUUAGGCUAAUUCCGAGGGUUUAUUUCUCUUCCAAGUGCCACAAAGAUGAAAACACAUGGCAUGUGUCAUGAUCUUAGUAUAGUACAAGUGUCUCAUCUAAUUUAAAUCCUAUCCUGCUAAAAACAGAAAGAUGUGACAUUAUUGUUGACAUUAAUCACUGAAAUUUGUGCACGUGUGACUGUAAUUGAUGCAUAAGUUAUUUUUGCAAGGUAUUUAUCUUUAGAAUCGUGAAUGUAAAGAGUUACAUAAGCUCAAAUAUUUAUACAAGUCAAAUAUACAGAUCAGUGAUAAUGUUUAAUUGAUGUAGGCACAUUUCCUUUCAUUGAAUCACAUGAAACUCAAUAUUUUAUAUAUAUAGUUACCGCGCGCAACAUACAGGCCUUAUAUCCUGAUACAUGAAUGCUCUUUUAACUAAGCUGGCUUUAAAUUCUAAUUUGACUAUUUUCUCAGGGCGCAUUCCCUAAUCUCCAAGAGUUAACGUUGGAUUUAUCGGAACAGAUGGAGAUAUGGCAUGGACAUUUUAAUGAUAGAGAAUUUUUCUGCAAGCUUAGAUUGCUUAAGCUUCGUCAUCUCUCCCAUGAGUCUUCAAUAUCCAUAUGUCGUUUUGUUGAGAGUUCAACCAAUUUGGAAGAGCUAGUUGUAUGUGAAUCUUAUCUAGAAGACCCAAGCAAUAAUGAGGAAGCCAUAGAAGGCACAAUUCAUGACAUGAAAGUAAUAUUACCCUUUUCAAGAUAUAUUCGACAUCUGCAAACUCUAGAUGUGUCACAUUGUGACGAGUUAUCAAAAAUGUUCAGACCGACAAUUGCUGAAAAUUUGGUGACACUCAUUAAAUUGAGGAUAAGUAAUUGUAGGAUAUUGACAGAAGUCAUUAAUGAUGAGAAAGGUGGGGAGGGGUGUAUGGUAGCCUUCAAUCAACUUAAGUCUAUGGAGCUUGAUGGGUUGAUAGGGUUGAGAAGUUUCAGCUGGAUACACUUUGAUGUUCCCGCUCUUGGAAGAUAUCAUUGUGACUAGGUGUCCCAACAUGAAGUUUUUCUCUCAAGGAUCGAUAGGGGCAUCAAAGUUAAAGAGAGUUCAAGUGUCAAAGGAAGUGUGGUUUUGGGCGGGAAAAUUCAACAUCACUAUCCAAAAUAUGUUUGAAGAAAUGGUAUGCACCAAUUACCAAAUUCCAUGCAUUUGGAUGGUUUUGACCACUAAAUGAAUAAUCGCUUUUUGCUAGCUAGAAGUUUACGCUUAACGAUGCAUUUUUUGACAGGGUACGUUUGCUGGAGUAGAGAAAAUGCUGCUGUCUGAGUUCCCAGGGCUGAGUGGAAAAUAGCAUAACAAACUUAGUCCCAUCAAGUUGUCUUGGCAAUUAAAAUCAAUGGUGGUAGAUAAAUCUCCGUUAUUUAUUAACGCUAUUCCAUCCAGAUUGAUGCUUGUCUUAGACAAUUUGGGCUAUUUGCAAGUGUGCAACUAUGAGUUGCUUGAAGAAAUAUUUGAUUUGGAAGGGCUGGAGGUUGUGGAAAGCACUCGAAUACUACCUCAACUAUGGGAAUUGAACUUGGCCAAUCUACCAAAAUUGAGGCGACUGUGGAAUAGAAAUCUUCAAGAAUCAAUGCGCUUUUAUUCUUUGGCUACUCUCAUACUUUAUAAUUGCAAUAACUUGGGACAAGCUUUUACUUCAUCAAUGGCUCAAUGCCUUGCCAGUCUUCAUCAAAUGGAAAUAAAGGAGUGUGGUCAAAUGGAAGAAGUGAUCGUAGAGGAAGAACGGCAGGGAAGUGCAGUGGAGAAGAUUACAUUCUCGAAGCUCCGGCAGAUGAAAUUGGAAUGGUUGCCCAAUUUGACUUGUUUCCUCUCGACAAAAAAUCAUACGCUGGAAUGCUCCAACUUACAAGUGCCGAGCAUUAACCAUUGCCCCAAGAUGAGAAGUUUGACUGGGCAAUCUUGGAUGGAGAAUGACCAUGGCACCCCUGCAUUUUUCACUUCCCAGGUCAGUCUUUCAAACAAAUGCAUCUUUGGCAUUUCAUUUGGAACAUGUUCUCAUAGUACUGGACAAUGCACGGUAUGAUGCAAAUUUUGUGCUUUGUGUGGGUUUAUAUACAUAAUCUUCUAAUAUUUAAUAAUAAGAUUAAAAAUAUUCUAAUCCUCAAUAAAUAUUACUAUUAUAUGUACAUCUCUAUAUUCUAUUAGAAGUGUUAAGUCGUUAUAAGUUCAUAAUUCAUAUCAUGUGCAGUACUUUAGAAUUAAUUAGUGAGGUUUUUAAAAAGGUGAUCACAACAACCAUAUAAAAACAUUAACUUUUUGCAAUUUCAAUUAUAAAGAACUAAAUAGCAAACACAAAAUAGCAUCUAAAAAUGGCAGAAAAAGUAUUAAGUAUUGCCCCUUCAUAUUUACUUGCGUGGAAGCAAAUUAGCGUCGUUCUAUUUAACAUGAAUAAAAGGGAAAAAAACUUCAUAUUUAUAAAAUCCAAUUUCCCAAAUUGCUUAACUAUUACAGCUCAUUAUACCAUAAUCAGUGAGUUGACUUUUUUAUUUCUUAAUAAUCAUCAAUACUUGAGCUAGGUCUUGAUAAUGAGAUAAAUAAAAAUAAAAAGGUCAAUAUGCAUGAAGUGGUUUGCCUUCUCCAUUCGUAAAUCAUUCUCCAUUCGCUAUACUCCAGCAACCUAUCAAAUUACGUACUUGUAUUAUAGAAUAAAUAUUAACUCUAGACUAUUAUAUUUAGUGAUAAUUAGUGUGAUAGUGCACACAAUCUAUGUUAGGCAAGAGAAAAUGUAGAUUACAUUUUCCAGAAAAAGAAAUGGCGAGAAAAAGGAAAAAAUAAAGAGAGAAAAUGACAACUGGAUAAUAAAUAGUAGCAAUUCCGUGGGCGAUUACUGACAUUGCAAGUCUUAUUUCAUAACUAAAUGACAAAAUUUAGUCGAUGUCCAAGCUAAAAUAAAAAUUUGAAAAAUUUAUCAAAUCAACAACACCACCGAAGGGAAAGUAUUAGGUGCAUUAAUUACAUAGCAUAGGAUUCAUAUUAAAUCAUCUGCAGAUCGACGCGUGUCAAUCGAACCAUCAAAAUUUUUGCUCCCCCCUCUCUUCAAAUAACGCCCCGUUACUGGAAAGCUCAACUCUGCUCUUCCUAGUGUGGCUUUUCUCUCUCGCUCUCUUUCCUCUGUGAAGGUGCAUCUCUAUACAUGAACCACACCUCGGCGUUGGCCUCCGUCGGUUGCGGUGCGCUCGCUGAACAACGGAAAAAAAAAACAUAAAAAGGAAGAAAUUAGACGAAGUCUAUUUGAUGUUUUAGCUUCUCUCUCCUUAAGAACUGUUCGCUCUGUCAUUUCGUUUCACCUUCCUCCUCCUCUUCGCGACGAGGGGGAAAAAAGAAAGUGAACCAAGUCUACACAGUCAAGUAACAAUAACUCUUCUUCCUCCUCCUUACCCCCCAUCCUCUACCUUCUUUUUUUGGGGCGAUUGAUAGGGUGAUCCAUCCAAUGGUUGAAUCGGAAGCUUCGGAAUCGCUUCUCUGAAGUAUGCCUCCUCUCUACACGCGUGCAUGUGUGGGUUUUGAGCAAUUACGCAAACUGGAGCUUGUUGCUUUUGGUGGGCCAAUGGGAUCUCCGAUGCGGAAGCGAUUUCAGCAUUGAUUCAGCUGGGGCAUUGAUUCUGGCGAAGAAAAAUUAAAAAAUCUUCUCUUCAGCCCUCCCUUCCUCCUCCUUCGUCCACAGCAGCCCAACCUCCGCCCCUCCUCCGCCGUCGCCCACGGUGGAGUUACCGGCACCUUGAUUAGGAUGACCCUCACUAUGUCUAAGCUGAGCAUGGCCGACUUCCUCUGAUUUGUCCGUCUCAUUGUUCUACAGAUCUCGAAAUUAGGCUGACCCUCACUAUGCUUGCGUUUUUUCUUAUUCUAAUACUUUUGCAUAAUUCUUUCUAUUGUUGCCUGCGAGUAGAAUGUUUAAUUAUGAGGAGUAUCUAUAUAUUUGUUUACUUUUUUAUCGUAACAGUUAUCACUAAUUAUUUAUUUACUUCUAAUGUCAUUUGCAUGUAUAAGUUGUCAUGUAAUAAUAGGUAUCCCCGCACAUUUUGAGGAUAUUUCAAAAACUUAUUGUUACACUGAAUCGAGAAUACUAAUAAAUUUGGGGAAGCAUAAAAAUAGUCAUAUGAUUUUUUGGUAGUGACAGGUUGUGAUAGCGUUAAUUUCAUUUUUGUGUCAAAUAUGCGCUGCCUGUAAUACUAAGUUGCUCCCACAUUGUUAGAUAAUUUCAAAUACUCAUCAAAAUGCUCAAUUAAGAAUAUUAAUAGACUAAGGGAAGUGUGGAAAGUCAUUUUGUUUUUUUGGUUGUGAGAAGUCCUAGUUGCGUUAACUUUAUUGUAACCAAAUGAAAAAUAUCAAUACUUUGCUUUUUAGUGGACAAUCAUAUUGUGGUCAUAACACGGUAAAAAAAGAAAAGAAAAAAAAACACAGUUGAAUUUCUCCAAACAAACGUAUUGUGGUCAUCCGCUUCUUUUUUCAGUUCUUUUUAUUUUUCUUUUAGUCUCCAACACCCGAACAAAACUCCAAAAUCCUCAAGACAAGGCAUCAAUUAAGGAUAAGAAAUUGGUUACCAUUUUUUGUGAGUGGUUGGCCCGCUAGCCCACUGCAAGAUUCUACCACAAAAGUGAAUAAAUAAUAUUUCAAGCAAAGUUAUUAAUGGUCCAAUGUAGAAUUAGUAAGUUGGCCCAACUUGCUAUUCUAUGAGAUCAUAAUAUAUGUUAAUUAUUCCAAUCAUUAUAUUGUCCGUGCCUAUUACAUAUUUAUUUUUUCUAAUACAAAAAUUUUUCUGCACAUAAUAAAGAAAAAACUUGUAAACAGUUGAAGUAAUUAUUAUUUUUAUCCGGUUCACCAUCUAAUUUGCAUGAUGCUCCUCAUUUGUGAACUUUAUUAAUUGAAGAUUCAUAAGUAAUGUUCGCCUAUUACAUAUUUAUUUUCUUUCAAUACAAAAAUUUUUCUGCACAUAAUAAAGAAAAAACUUGUAAACGAUUGAAGUUAUUAUUAUUUUUAUCCGGUUCACCAUCUAAUUUGCAUGACGCUUCUCAUUUGUGAACUUUAUUAAUUGAAGAUUCAUAAGUAAUGUUUCGCAAUUGGUAUUAGUGCUGAAUAAGUAGCGGUGCUCAUAGUAAAUAGAGGAAAUAAUUUCUAUCGCAGGAAGACACAUUUGAUGAGUGUCGGACUUGAGUUGCCAAUCAAUUGUAAGUGAAGAUGCACAAAUCUCACUUGUGCUCCCAUUCCAUGGCUUAUUGAUCCCAACCAUUGAUCUAUUUAAAAAGUUAUUUCUAGAAUUUAUUACUCAAUGCAUCAAUGAUUGAUGAUGAUUAAGGCACCAUAUGGCGAAAAAAUGGGUUAGUAUAUCUCCAUCCUUUCCAUAUAUACAUGGACAUACUUAUAUAAUCAUCUUCCAUGCCCAUGCUAUUAAAAAGCAAAUAAGCAUCAUUGUACAAGAUUUCUUAUGUCUGUACAAAUAAACGCAAUGUCCAUGCAGCUGAUUCACUUUUGCUAAUAAUUUUUUGAUUAUUCUAAAUCUACUAGAGAUGAAAAUGGGAAGUUAAUUUCUUUUAAUUGAUAAGAAAUAGAUGUAGAACCAGCUUAUACCUAUCGCUGAAGCAUCAUUAUAAUGCACCUAUCAGUGCGGCAUUGGAGCCAACAUAAGAAAGAGAGAGGAAUGACAUGUAUGCAUAUCUCGAUUGGAUUGCAAUGUGAAGCACAUGCAUCAAAGCUUCUUUGAACCAUGCUUCAGCUACAUUCAUUCCUUGAACCGAAUAAAUUUAAGAAAUUCUUACCUUAUCUAAUGUUGCAUUAUCAAAAAAUCAGUGCAAGCAACUUUGAUAAUGAUCAAUGCAAACAAAUGUGAAAGUUGGAGAAUCCAAGUAUUCAUCAUGAACUUUCCAAAAAUUAAAGGGAGAAGGUAUUGCUAGUAGUAAAUGUCAAUUGAGGCACUUAAAAUUCAAUGCUCAAUGUACUAUUGAUUAUAAAUGCAUUUAUAAUUUCAUGCUUGUUGCAAUGCAAUAUAAUUUGCCUUAGUCAUUAGUCAAUUUAAAUGAAAGCAUCAACUACUCUCUUUUUUUCACUAACAAGCUCUCGCAUACUCAUGUUUUGUGAGAGUGAGGGAAGUUUAGAAAUUCUUUCUUUGAGGUCAUAACUCAAUGUGAUCAUAUUCAUUAUGACAUUUUUCUCAAUAUGCUAGGUACAAUGUGUCCAGCUUAGGUGGAUUGUUCUCUCCCAUAUGGACAAUUUAAGCAAAAUAUGGAGUGACGGUCCUCAAGAAACUCUCACUUUUGACAAUUUACAGAAAGUGCAAGUUCACAAUUGUGGGAGCCUUGAAAGUGUGUUUCCGCAUUGGGUGGCUACAAGUCUAACCCAACUUAAGGAACUUCAAGUGGAGUCUUGUGGGAUUGAGGAAAUAGUCACUAGUGGGAAUGAGACUCCACAUUCCAAUACUACUCAAGAUCUUUUCCCAGAAUUAACCUCUCUAGUGUUACUGAUAUGCCACAACUUAAGAACUUCUGCACCAACUUGCCCACUUUGAAAUGGCCAUUCUUGAAGGAAUUGCGAGUGACUCACUGUGGUAAAGCAAACAUGAUGUCUUCUGUAGCAUCUAUGAGCAAUUGGGCUCAAAAAGAUUAUCAAUGGGGCCUUUCAGACCAAGAAGCACACUCUUUAUUUGAAAGGGUAUGAUUUCAGCUGCUCUCCCUUAGUUUCUAUUUUGUUCUUUAAAGCACUCAUUGAUCUCAUAUCCACUACAUAAUCAACCCACGUUAUAUUGCUAUAGAAAACAUGAUCUCUCUAAAUUAUUAGUUUGUUCACAACAUUAAAAUAUUUCUAAUAUCUUGAGUAUACUUUUCAUUUGUGGACACCCAUAAGAUAUUUCAUAAAUUAUAAUUACAAAAAUAAUUAUAGAUUUUUGUUGAAGGCACAAUAUAUUCCUAAUCUAGUCUAGUGGUGCUCCUUGGGGAAAUCAAUGAAAAUUUGACAUGAGGUCCACUUCAAUGUUGACACGUGUUGCACAUUUGAACUUUUCUUCUCUAUUUUGUCUUCUAAAAAAUCAAAAAAAUAAAAUAAAAAUCAAUACAAACGUUUAACAAAAAUAAGAUUAGUACCUUAAUGCACUAUUUUCUAUUGUAUUCCUUAAUUGAUCUCAUCUUAUACAUAGUCAUCCUGUUGUAUCACUAUAGACAACCCAAAAUUCCUUACCUAUGAGUUUGAAGACAAUAUAAGAUAUUUUAUUAUAUCUUAGGCACACUUUUAAGUUUAUGGACCCAUAUGUUUCAGUAAUAUCAUAUGUGCAUCCCAUUACAUAAGUUUCCGAAGAUGACUAAUUUUAGUUGACAAGAUAUUUCUAAUAAAAGAUGAAUUUGAUGAGCUUGGAGGGAUCUUGACAAGUUCACUCUAUAAACUUAACCAUACCAACUUCUAUUUGAGACUUUUAAAAGCUUGAGACUUGAAUGUAGGGCUCUUGAGAUAUAAUGAACUUUAAGAAGAUGGCCACCUUCCUUGUGAAUCAUCUUAAUAGGUUUACUUUUUACAGCACAUGAUUUAUUGUCAAAACUUUGCUGAAUUUACUUCUCUUGUUGUAUUGGCAAUUCGACAGGAUUUUCCCAACUUGGAGAAACUUUUUUUAGUCAAUAACAAUAUUCAAAUGAUACAAGAUGGAAAUUUUCCGGAUGACAUGUUUAGCGAGCUAGGAGCACUAACACUGGCAUGCUUUCAUGAUAAAAAGGCCGUCUUUCCUUCCAUAUUCCUCCUAGAGAGAUUUCAGAAUCUACAGAGCCUUGAGGUCUUCUGUAACUCCUUUGAAGAUUUAUUCCCGGACGAAGGGUUUGUUGAAGAAGGGAAACAUCCAAUGCUUGAAAAUUUAAGAGAAUUUAAAUUAAACAAGCUACGCAACUUAAAGUCUGUGUGGAGAGAAGACUCUUUAGUGUCGAAAAUUCUUUAGAGCAUCGAAACAUUAAAGGUUUGGGAUUGUCCUCAUUUGAUGACAAUAUUUCCGACCAUGACAUCCUUCCGGAAGCUGACGGGCUUAGAGGUGAAGAAUUGCGCUAGAUUGGUACAUCUAAUAAUAGCUUCAACGGUCACAAAUUUGGUGCAUUUCAAAAGGAUAACUAUAAUAGAAUGUGAAAGAAUGAAAGAAAUAGUAGCUGACGAUGGAAAUGGAAAAGGAAAAGUGAUUUCUUUUGGGAAUCUUUUGGAUUUGACACUCCAACAUCUACCGAGCUUAGAAUGCUUCUCCUCCAUUCCGAGUUGCAAUUUUACGUUCCCAUCCUUAUGAAGUAUUGGAGUAGAAGAGUGCCCGAAAAUGAAGACAUUUUCUAAGAGUAUGCUAAGCACACCACGACUAAUUUGGGUGAGACUAUUCAGAUACAAGUUGGAUGGGAACUGUGGGGAGGGUAAUGAUCUUAAUACAACCAUACAGAAGUUAUCAGCAUAAACAAACGCAUAGAAUUUGUAAGAUCCAAUUGACGUCAUUCUCUCAUCCAUUUUUAUUUUCUUUUUAUUUAUUUAUUUUUGGCAGUGCCGUAAGUUUUGAAAAAUUUUCUUCUUGUAACUUUUCUGUUAUUGAUUCCGUCAUAUCAGCAUCACCGUCAACCCUAUCGAUCGAUCUCGGCUCAUCCUUCACUAAACAGAAGGAAGCAAAGCAGGGCUCUCCUUCUCCUUCCUGACGCCAGAGGCUCUCUCCAUCUUUCUUCUUCCUCCUCGGUGGAGCAAAACUGGGGGGAACCUCUGCUGCCUUCACCGAGGACGGAGCGAAAAUGAAGCAUCAGGAAUUGCCAGGACUGCGAGACUGCGAGAAGCGAAGCUGCACUUAGCGGAGCGGAGCCAAGUAGAUUCAGUCGUCCGCUCACUUCAUCAAAGCAGAAGAAGAUCACACUCUCUCUCCGCGUUUGCAUCCGACAAAUCGUAAGUUCACGUUUCUUCCGAUUUUGGUGUCUUAUUGCGUGUGAAUUAGGUUGAAGCCGGAAGUUGGUUUCGUAGAGACCUUCCUCAAUCCUCGCCUCCUUCUUCUAUGGCUAGGGCCCUUUUCUUCAACCUAGCAAUUUUAUUGCCCCUAAAUCCACAUCUUCUGUGCUUUCCUCGCGAGCAUUGGCGAGAGAAACGCGUCUGCGUAGGACAUCUCUGCAUGUUUGAGCUCCCAUCGAUGGAGAUGAUAUAGGGAGAGAUAUCUCUCGAGCAUCAUGAAACUUGAAAAUAUUCAGAGAGAAUUCCAUGCCUUGUCAAAAAUAUGAGGGGGUCACUUUUACGCCUUGUUCUCAAUGUACUCCAGACUGCUCAUCCUCAUGAGAAUUUCUUGUGGUUUGACGUGUCUUUGUUUCUGCUUGCGUAACUCUCUUUCGCAUUGUUCUUUUCAAAUUCUAGAAUAAAUUUUAACAAGCCCUUUUACUUUGUCUUGAUUGGUUACGAGAUGCUGCAACGAUAAAAUUUGUUUCCAAUUUAUGCUAAAUAUUUUCAUAGCAAGUCAAACUGAUGAAGUGUGCUUAAAUUGCCUCUUCACAGAACUGUCCCUCUCGGUGCUUUGCUUGCCAUCCUCUUGUGGUCCAAUCCAGGUACAGUUGAGGCGCCGUCGUUGUCUCGCGUUUCUUUUAUGUAGAGCAAUAACAUGGUUUUAGCUUCAGUUUUCAUUCGGUUCCUUUCAAAUUUAAUUCGUACCUAUUCUGCUUCUGCAUUCUGCAUGUCUGGUCAAUGGGAGGGAACUCCCGGUGUUCAUCUUUUUUGUUGGGGGAAUGGUUAUUGGAAAAAGCGAAGGGUGUCUUCGAGCUUCUACCAUUGAGAAGGAUAAGGUUGUGUUUUUAGAUGUGCAUCCAUUACACAAGGUUUUCGCGGCUUGCGGUACUUGUUAUGAUAAGCUUUUGGAUAGUGGAUGCAUCUAGAGUUAGGUGGUCCUAUUGAUCAAUCGUUCGCCCUUUUUGAAGUCGAUGCAACUAGGAUGGUCAUGUAAGGAGUGUGCUUCGUUUCAUUGGCUAUAAAAGAAGAUGUCAAUGCGAGUAGAACAAUGUCGACAGUCUUUUUGACGCCUUGUUCUCCAUAAACUCCGGACUGCUCAUCAUCAUGAGAAUUUGGAGGGGUGACUUGCGGUUUAACAUAUCUUGUUUCUACAUUCCUAACUCUCUUUCUGUCUUUCUCUUCAAAUUCUAGAACAGUUUCUAAGAAGCUCUUGUUUUUAUCUUGAUUGAUUACUAAUGAUGUGGGGGAUACUUUUGACUUCUGAUCUAUGCUGAAUAUUUUCAUGGCAAGUGAAAUUUAAGUUGCCGUUUUUCAAGUACUAGGAGGACCAAACAGUUAGCGGAUUAAGGCAUCCUGAGCUGGUUUUUUUAUGGUCCCACUCACCCAAGGCCUCUCACUGUUUUUAAAUCGGCUGAUAACUUUCCCAAUGGAGUACCCUUUUUCGAGGUGGUGAUGAGGCCCUCUUAUGUUAAGCAUGGCUUGGUAUGAUCCCACGCUUAUUGACUCAGACUGGCAAUGUCCGAAAAUCAAAUAUAUCGAUGCUUUUUAGAUCUUUGCUUAUAAUCUAGUGUAUUUCCAAGUUUACUUCAUUGUAUAGUAUACCACACGAUACAUUAUUUCCUUGAAGUGUCUGCAUUUCCAAGUUUACUUCAUUGUGUAGUAUACCACAUGAUACAUUAUUUCCUUGAAGUGUCCGUGGGUGGUUGGAGGUUCGAAAAGAUAACAAUCGUCUUCUUCUUCUUGUUGGAUAGAUGUUGUUGGAAAAGCAAUUGCUGAGGCGUCUUAAGAAUAGAAUCCAAGUUCUCUAAUAUGGAGCAAUCGGACAAUGUUAUUCAAUGCUGUAAAUUUAGAAUAUAUAUGUAAAUCACACCAGGAGACUAGUUGAUAUGGACAAGCAAAUUGCAAAGAAUUGUUGCUGCCUCCAUGACUAAAGAGAAAGACCUGAUAGAUAAGGGGAUGGCUUGUUAUGAUUCUGAAAUUUCAUUGUAGAUCUAAUGAUUGAUAAUUUUGUUUUCAAAUGGGAGAUACUAUUGUACUUCGUUAUAUUAAUCAAAUUUAGGGGGGAAAAGAUGAUUUUACUUUGUCAAAUUGAACCAACGGUUUGAUAAAAACCUUAUUUGAGCUGCACUUGAAAGAAUCAAAUAACUUAGGUUUAAAUUUUCAAGUCUAUCGAUGAUCCAGUGAUCAAUGUAUUUGCUUUUUCCCCUGUGAUUGUGAUUCGUGUGUCUGAAAUUGAUAUGUUUUAAAUAUAUAUAGGAUCUGGAAGGUUUCUUCUGAAUGUAUACCCUUUUGCAUUCUCGGAGCAUAGAUUUGACCUUGACUUUGGAUUGAUGGCUUUCGUUAUAUGGUUAUUGUCUAUUAAACUCCUGAAACUAGCAAGUAAUGCCUUAAACUCACGACAUGUACGAUUUGAUUCUCUCAUUAGGGUAUGCUUAUGUCUUGGUCUGUUCUUCACUAUAUGUUGGUUUUUCAACCAUGUAGAUGGGCAGUGUGCUCCUGUUCAAUCCAUCGCGUGACAUAUUCAGGACAUUAAGCAAAUUGCCACUCUCGGGUAUUUGGAUAGGUCAUGGAUGGUGAAGGUAAGGAGUUGUAGAUGAGAAUUUUUUUUUUUUUUUUUUUUUUUUUGGGGUGGGUGGGGGGCAGGGGUUUCUUUUUCACUGGUUGGCCCACAUUUGGAAGAGAAAGUCAUCUGUAUGUAGAAACUCAUUGAUAGGGAUGAUUUUGUGUUCAGAGUCUAUACAUAUUUACUAGUGCUGGUUAGGACUUGACUUACAUUGAUUGAGAUGAAAUCUGGAAUUGUCACUUUUGCUGGUCCAAAGGAAUUCAGUAUUCCAAAUAAUAACCCCUUUAUAUAGUCUUGAGGAAUCAAGGAAGGGUACUUCUAUGCCGAUUGGGUUUUAUGAAGUUGAUCAUAAUCCAUAUGCACACUCAUUAAUGCCACAUUCCAAAUCUGAAUAAACCGAAAAGCAUGUGCUUCAAGAUGUCCUUUUUGGUUUAUGCAUUCUUGUUAUGUUGUUCUUCGUUUUGAAUUUGAAAUCAGGACUCAUAGGCUUAUUAAGAUUAUGGGUUUUAUUUUUUCCACAGGGAAUACCAAAAAGGUCCAAGAGGACGCUUUUGAGAGAAUGGUGCAAUUAUUUGGCCUGUGGAAUUGGAAAAAAUGUGAUGAGAUGAUUUGGCUAGCAACGGGUUGGAAUGAAUUUGCAGAGCAUUACUCUAUCUAUGAGGGCCAAUUUUUGGUCUUCUAAUCUGAAGGGGACUCCAUUUUCCAUGUCACCAUAAUUGAUGAAAUAAUGUCCGAGAUAGAAUAUCCAUCAAUCAAUGUCAAUGUGAGGAACCGAGCCUCAGCAAUUGUGGAAUUGUCUUGCUGAAAGUGGAAGAUGCCUUCGAUUGCUGUGAUGUUUCAGUCAAGCUUGAAGUCUAGGGAGAUGAAUUGCAUUCAGCCAAGUGUCCUCAGUCUUGUAUGGAAAUGGAAUUUGUUCAGGUUUGCAAAGUUCAUGGCGGUUCCUAUGCAUAUUCAUCAGUAGAGUUUGGGGAGGGACAGAAAUUCGAACUGCUCAUCACAAGAUUUUCCAGGUGUGAAUCUUAAUUUAUAAGCUAAUUCUCCCCUUGACUGUGUUGUUCUUGUGUUUGAUUCAAAUACUGUACAGGAGCUGUCCAUGUCGUUAGGCUAAGAGAAACUGCACUAGAGUUAAUGCUACGAGAAACUGUGUUAGAGCUAAUUCAUUUUCUUAGUGUUUCUCUGUCUCUAGAUCUCCCCUGUGUGCAUAUGUAUGUGUUGGGACUAAAUGUGCCGGCGAUUGCCGUGAUGUUUUGGUUGAGCUUGAAAUCUUGGGGGAUGAACUGCAUUCAGCCAAGUGUCCUUAGCUUUGUAUGCCAAUGAAACUUGAUCAGGUUUGCAAAGUUCAUCACAGUUCCCAUGCACAUUCGUUACCAGAAAGUUUGGGGAGGGACAGAAGUUCAAAUUGCUCAUCAUGAGAUUUUCCGGGUGUGAAUCUGAAUAUAUUAGUAAAUUCUGCCCUCGAUGUGUUGUUCUUGUGUUUGAUUCGAAUUCCAUCAGGAACUCUCCACAUUGUUAGGCUAAGAGAAAUUGUGUUGAAGCUAAUUCACUCUCGUAGUGUUUCUCUGUCUAUAGUUCUCCCGUGAAUAUGCAUGUGUUAGGGGAUCUCAUAAAUAAUGGAAACAAGCUAAGAAUCGUAUUGGUGUGCAUAUAGGCCUUGGGAAGCUAGACCAUUAGUAAGACUCAGAUUGAUUCAUUUAGGGUUGCUGGGUUGGCAGAUACGAGUUUUACAUAACAAGAAUAAGAUACAAAAGCAAAAGCUUUCUUCAUGUUCUGUUUGUGACUACUGCAGGUAAGCUGAAAAAGUGGCGCUUAUGCAGAGCUCUCGAACCAGCCAGCAAAUUUAUACUCGAUUAUCCUUUCUCUGAAAUUGCGGUGAGGUUAAUACAUCUGAAGAAAAACAAUGUGGUAAGAUCCUUGUAAUAAUGACGACUCUUGGAUUUAAAUCACAUAAAGCAACCUCAUACUGUCUUCCUCAGAAAUCCUUGGUUGUUUUCUUCUUUGUAAUGACAAAAUUGCGCAAUUUUUACUUGAGCAGAGAGUUCCUGGUUCAUUCCCAAAGACACACGUUAAGAAAAGCCUGCAGACCAUGGCUCUCAUAUUUCAAGAUAAAUCAUGGCCGUUGAAGCUCAUCAGCCACGAGCAUUAUGGAAAGUCAUCUGCCUGCACGAGAGAAACUUCUCUGAAGGUGGAAGAUGUGUGUGUGUGUUCAAGCUUUAUUGAAAGGGACAAAUAUCGGGUUCAGAGUAUCCAUCUUCAGAACCACUGAUAAGACUUGGGUGUAUAAUAAUACCAUGCAAUACGAUAAAGCAAAGGAAGCAUCGCCUUAGCUCACUUUUGGUGAGAAUAGAACUUACAGAAUUGCUAGGCUGAAUUUUGCUUCCGGUUCAGCAAAAUGGAUGAAAGCAUGAGUUUUGUUCCAAUGGAUGGAAUGGUCUUGAACGUGUACGAUACCUUUCCUUGAUCCUGGACUUAGUGAUCACCAUGUGGGCAAGAGUCGUGAGUUGGAGGGAGCUGAUAACUAAU